AUCACUGUGCUCGGGCCACACAGCGCGCCACUUACGGGUGACGCCCUAGCUUUAGCGCGAUUUUGUUCUAGAUUCAUUUUCAUAAGGAUUCGACGUGAUCAUGGAGUGCCGGCUGUCGACUACCUGACGCCCUCCCCCUCCUCCUUUAUCCGGGCUUGGGACCGGCCAUGUAAAAUUACAUAGGCGGAGUUGGUUUUAACAAAGCAAACGGAAAACAAAACAAUAAACAAUGAUUUUCAAACAGUGCAUAACCUGUUGAAUUAGAGGAAAAAACUGAAAACCCAUACCCUUCCAUACAUCCCUCUGUCAUUCUGUCCUCACUGACCCCGUGCACUAACCCAUUAAUUAACCCCAAAAAAUGCACACAACCAUGCUUUCUCCUCUCCCUCUCUCUAUCUCUAUCUCCCUGUCCACAUCUCUUUCAAAAAUGAUAAAUCCCCCAAAACCGGAUCUAACAUACUAAACAAUUCGAAAAUCUAAGCUACCAUUAAAGAAUAUAAUUUAAAAAACAAACUUGUCUUUGGAUUUGAGGCAUGCAUCGCAAGAUCCGGCACACCCCACUCUCAGUAAGGUUUGUUCAUGACCCCUACCCUGUCUCCCUGAAAUCCUGACGACCCAUACGGUCUUCUCUGACCAUACCCACUCUCCCACUUGUGAAAUCCAUCUGCAGCAACAGUGUCGAGACCUCUCUCUCUCUCUCGCAAACCCUCCAUCCCCGAAACCCUAGUUGAACGACAGCAAAUGAUACCUACCCGGUUACCCCCCAUCUCGCCCAAAACCGAUAGGACAAAAUUGCCCUUCCUAACUUUUACAUUAUAGAACAACGCAGCAAAAACUCAAGCAAGAAAAUGAACACAUACCAGUGAUUAUUUCCUCAUAGGUUAUUCCCAAUGUAAUAUGUUAGAUUGGAUAAUUUCCAGAAAUAAAAUAAACAUUCCGAAAGGUUCAGCUAAGUUUCUUGUUUCUCCAAAGAAAGUUACCUGUAAAUGAAGAACAUCUGCUAAUAGCAACCUCUUCAAGUGAGGGAAGGUAAGCAGUUGGGAUGGCGUUUGCCCGAAGUAUGCAAUCUGGUCCUGUGUUGCACGCUGUUGUACCUGAUUUUGGCACAGAGGAAAAAAGAAUGUACUGAAAAAAAUUAUCAAACAAUAAUGGAAAAAAUCAUACAGAUGCCAACAGAAACUACACUUACUGGGUCUGAGAUCUUAUCAAUAUCCACUGUCCCUUCAUAGGUAAUGUAAAAGAAAAAAUUAUUUGCCAUUAUAGCUUCUUUGCCACGCUGCUUAUACCUGUAUAUUCCAAUUUAUUAAUGAAUAUAACAGUUUCAAAAAUGAAACAUUCAAAGUUGAUAUAGUCUAGAGUUGUGAUGAACUUAUAAAAGAAAAAGUUAAAAAACAAAAUGAAAUGAAAGAAAAAGAGGUAGAUACAAACCAAAAAUAAACUAAAAUUAAAAAUCUCCAAAGUCCAAAGAAACCUACCCGAAUAUGAGAUCAAUCCAUUCAUGCAAAUGCGUAGAUGCAUGCUCACUUUCAAGAGCCCAAGUUGUUGAAAUACCAGCCACAACAAUCUUACCAUCAACCUCGUCCUGCAAGGAAAUGAAGUUAAACUUAAAACAGAUCAUUCUAGGAACACAUGUAACCUAAAAAUGUUAUGCAUUAAACUUGUGCUUCCAAGCAUAUAUUAUAGAUGACUUGUCCUGGAUGUUCUUCUUAUAUUAAAGAAACCAUCAUUAUUGUUGCGUACACCUUAAGCUGUGAUAGUAGCAUAUAUACAGCCCGAUAAGCAGGGUCUUCUGUGCUUUCCACGAUAAACAUAUACUCUAAGGGACCACCAUAGAGAGAAGUGACCUGUUUUCGUUAAUUAAACAAAAUAGUGCAGACCAUAUUGGAAGAAAACCUUGGAUACAAAUUCAACCUAUUAAAUCAGUUAGCAGGAGGAUUUUGAACACUUCACCAGAUAAGACAUCCCUACAGUGCAAAUACAGAAAUUUAGACAUGCCCACCAAAAGAAAAUAUAGCUUAACUAUGUUAAUCUAAUAUCACAAAGAUAUUGAGUUUCUGAGUCUCAGACCCAAUAGAGUGUAAUUUAAACUUCUUAUGAAGAAAAACCUAAUUUUCAACUCGAAAAUAAUACAAAAACAUGAUUGGCUUUGACCACUCUCAUUCCAAAUGUUCUAGCGUAGCCCCUGACUCAAGGGCUCACCAAAUGGGUUUUCGAUUUCUGAAUGAAAUUAGAAGCCUAAGUAAUGUUUGAUGGCAUAUUGAAUCAUCAAGAGCAGGAUUCAUAUGUCCCCUUCCUUGCACAGAACCUAAAUAUGAUCGAAAAAGAAUAAUGAAAACCUAAACGAAUUACAGAGGAACUGAUGGGUUUAUGCAUCAGCAAGAGGAAGAAAAAAACGACAUACCUUCCUGACGCCACCUCAACCCCUCGUGUUGUCCCCAUCACCUCGAUCUAAUCGAAUCAUAAAGGCUCGGCCCGACCCGACCGAAACGAAGCACAGCCUCUCUCGCCUCUUGAAAUCUGAAAUCCCCACCCCAAAAAACCACGCAUGGGCCUUCCUGACACAAAAGGUGGAGUAAGACGACACAGGCGAGAGAAGGGAGACGGCGGCGAGAGGAGGAUAGGACGGAGGCGAGACCGUCUGCGUCGUUCUCGCGGGGUCUGCAAGACGGAAGAGGCAAGGAGGGUUUGAAAAGGAAAUGGAAAAGGGCGGUUUUACCAUUGUUCUUCCCUUCCCCCGAUCAUCAACACAUGUACAUCAAGAUUAGCAGCAGAGAGAGGCUGGUAGAUUUGUAAAUAAGUUGAAAACACUGUUCAUUUCUACAGUGCCAUUUCCAUGCCUUCUUUAGACUAAAGUAAUAUGUAAUAUUGUGGACUGAGAGGAGGAAUGAAUGACUGAAUGAAACUUUCUACUUUUUCCCUUAUUCUUCUUUCCUUAUCUCCUUCAAUUUCUGCACUGUUUUCUAUUGAAGCUAACAUCUCAAGACACCCGAGCCCAUUAGUCGUAUCAUAACCAAACAAUCAAAACCCAAAAUAAAAAAAAUUCAUACAACAACAAUGCUUUCACAGAAAAAUCUCUAAAAAAAAACCCCACAAACCCCCUAAAAAAAAUCAAUCUGACUACCUCGCCCCUCUCCCUCCCAUCAGUCCCCUCCAAAUCCAUCGCAAUCGUGCACAGCUCAAUGCCAACACACCUGGCAAUCCAAAUACCCUUUGUAGUUUGGCUCCUAAAACAAAUCCACAAAAUCAGAUAGUCCUCUCUCCCAAAAAGCACUUAUUCCAAAAGCAAAAAAAAAAAAAAAACCAAAAUUGACUACACAAUCAAUUCCAAACUCAGAAACUAACCUUCCACCGUAAGCAUCCAUCUCCCUAAACUUAGUCCAAAACAAAUGAUUUAACAAAGUGCUUUUCCCUGCCAAAUCAAAAGACAUAAGCACCAAAACCAAAUUCACCAAAAACCUCAAAACUCAAACCAAAUUGAACAAAGUUUCAAAUUUUUACCGCUGCUCUGCGGACCCAUGAUUACAACAACCGCAUAGGAGAGUCCGCACUCGGUAAGCUUCACCUCCUUCACAAACCUGUCGAGCCCAUCUGCGUUAAAUUCUCGAUCGCCAUAGAUAAGUAAAUUCAAGAAAACAUCAAAACCCCAGAAAAAAAAAACAAAAUCUUUCAGAAAAAUCAAAGAAAUUCACUCCGGUAAUCAAUCAAUUAAGUACCUAAUUCCCUUGGAUGUCUUGAAUAAAUAUAACACUUCAAGAUAAAUUAACUACCCAAUAUUAAUUUUUCCUGUUUCUUUCUUCUUAUUCUCGGGAAAGAAUCAAACCCAAAAACAAUUAAUCGAAGAAAACAUACAGAAAAUAUUGGGGAGGAGUAACAUACAAUCUGUCGAGUUCUUCUUCGCUUUGCAGAUAAGAGAUGGUGGCUUCUCAUCGAGUUCAUGUAUGUAUUGCCCAGAGUGAGAUGAUGAGCGGGCGUGAGAGAAUAGGGCAGUGAGAGAGAGUCGGGAGAGAAAAAGAGGGAAAGAAAUGGGGAUGGAAACGGAUGGAAAUCUAGUGCCCGGAGUGAGAUGGAGAGCGAGACGAAGACAGAGAGAAGGAAAAGCUUGCGAGAGACAUGGAAGAGUGCCGAGGAGAGGAAGAUUAUGGUUUCAGUAGAUGAGAGAGGAAGUGAGAGAGAGAGGUGAAGAUGCAGUAAUUCCCUUCACAAAAUCAAACCCCCAUCCCUCAAUCACCGACAGCAGCCUUGAUUUGAGGAGGAAAAAUCAACCCUAAACCCUUUUUUGGUAGCUUCAGUGCCUCACUCCUCUCUCUCCCUUCCCCUCCCUCUCUCUGCAACCCAUGCUUUUUUGGCAGCAUCACUCCACGUAACCCAUCCCAAUCCGUCCCAAACCCUACGGGUCUUCUCUGACCAUACCGACUCUCCCACUUGUGAAAGCCAUCUGCAGCAACAGUGCCGAGACCUACCCAUCCCCCUCGCUCUCCUUCCAUCGCCAUCUCUCUCUCUCUCGCAGACCCUCCAUCCCCAAAACCCUAAUCAAACGGGUCACCCCCCAUCUCUCCCAAAAUCGAGAGGAUAAAAUUGCCCUUCCCAAUACACCAUCCCCACCAUCGGAUUGUAAUCUUAGAUGGGCAAAACUGUAAUUAAAUGAUUUGGGCCUGACUGAGGGCCAGGCUUCUCAGCUAAAACCAACUCAUUUGGGCCGGGCCUAGUACCGGGCUGCCGACCCAAAACCAACUCAAAGAGCAAUGACAUGGUUGUAAAUAAUCUGAAAUUCGGAUUGCAAUACUAUUCAUUUCUACAGUGCCAAUUGAGAACCUUUCUUUAGACUAAAGUAACUUGUCAAAUUAAAAAGCUAUGGUUCAACAAUCUGAACUUCACUUAUACCGAACAUUUUGGAAUAAUACUUACCUUCUAAUGCAGGGAAGAGAGAGAAUAAUCCAUACAAAGUCCUACUUAUUUCCAACUCCAACGCUAACCCUUCUGCAUCACCGUUGUAAAAAAAAACGUAUUAUAGUUUGAUCAAAUACUGCUAUGCAGUACUAUAGCUAUAUGAAACAGAGAUUUUUAUCACUUCUAAUUUGCAAAACUUUUGCUUACAUUCAGUUAGAAAAAGCUUAUUAUAUCAUACACAGAAUAUUGCAGAAGUUGUCAAAUAAUUACCAUCUAAACAUUGAGAAUAACCCACAUCCACAUCGCACAAAAUUUUAUAGAAAAGGGGACAAAGAGAUGAGUGACCAAACCAAUAUGAUGCAAUCGAAUCCCCUUGUAGGCUGCUGAGAGAUAAAUAAAUGGCGUUGCCAGAAAGAUUAAAUGCAUUCUUCAAAGUAUAUAGUGGUUGUUUGGGUGGAAGACGGUUCGAAUGGACUAAUUUUCAAUCAAACGGAUUUAUAAAUGAAAGAACAGAGUUCAGAUAACGAAAUGCAACAUGGUAAAAUUCAAGAUCACGAUUCAGAGGAUUUGAACAAUAUUGUGUUGAAAACUCACCAAAGAGUGACGGUUCCAGGGCAGUAAUGGUUAGGGUUCUUGACUCCUCCAGUUGUGAGUGCAGAUUUUAUUGCAGCCUAUACAAAAUUAAAACAAUUAGCAACUUAGAUCCAAUAAUCUGAUUGUUUCUAGGGAAAAUUCGCUUGCAAUUAUUAAAUCUAAUUUUAUAGACAUUAGAAACCCAAACGAAACGCACCUUGGUGGCAAGUACCUUCCCUUUCUACAAUUAUUUUCCUAGAAAAAAAAAUCACAUGCAUAUUUAUACACAUAAAAGGUUGCAAUGAAAAAUACGAAGAAAUGAUCUGCUGACGAAACAAAAAAAAUUAAAUACUUCACUUAAAAGGAAAGUUAACUCCAGCGACAGAAUGAAAAUCUAUAUCUUCAACAUGAAAAUCAAUGGAAAAAUUAAAUACCUCACAAUAUAUGCAAUAUUUCAAUGAAUUAGAGACUUAAGACCUAUUAAAGUUGCUAUUCUUCAAAACACAGCAGCAUAAUCAUUCAAGUUGAUGCAUAUUUCAAUCAAAUUGAUGUAUAUUUCAAUCGAGCCUCAUUAAAAAUAGAAAAUACAGCAGCACAAAGCAUAACAAAAGCUUGGAAAUGGAAAAGGAACCUGCAAUUAGGUUUCUUUGAGAAGAAAAAAUGGCAGAACAGAGCCCAGAAUCACAAAGACAGAGACAGAGUGGAGUGAGUCGGAGGAUACAGCAAGACUGGACCUUUCUACCAGAGAAAACAAUAGACUGCCGAUGAACUAAACCACCUAAAAAAAUCUAUGACAACUUUAAAGAAGGAAAAAAAUAUCUAUGACAAUUUGAAGAAAGCAUAUGGAAAAUAAAUCCGUUAGCAAUUUAGAGAAAUUGGUGGACCAAAUCAUAUUAAAUUUAAGUUAAAUGAGCAAAGGUACACCAAUUAAAUGAGGUACACCAUAAAUAUUCAGACUUUUCUACCUUUUAGCUCUCUAAUUUACUUUCAAUAUACACGAACAAAGUUGAGGAUUCACUUUAUGAUAGCCAUCCAACCGAAAUCACACAAAAUCAACAAAUCAUUGACAAAAACACUCAUGGAGUUCUAAUUAAAUAUGGAAUUAUUGGAUCAUUUGCUUCUGUAUGUGGAAUGUGUUGAAAAACGCCCACACUAGACCUUGUUCUUUGAUGUAACCAACGGCAAUAGACUAAACUAGCAAAUAUAGAAAAUACUUAGAAACACACAAGAAUUAUACUGGUUCGGCAGAACUUAUGCCUACGUCCAGUUGUGAUUUCUCUUGGUAGAGAAAUCACCGCUCCUUUGAUUAAUAAUAGAGAUUACAAAACUUUUGCAAACCCUAGAACUAAUCUCUCUCUCUUGUCUUGGCUGUCACAGUUUUUCUCUCUUACAAUUUAAGACUUGCCGCACCCUAUUUAUAGGCAUAGGGUGCAAUUUACAUGUCCUUUACAGAUUAUAAUUCCUAUUCUAAGUGGAAUAGGAAAUUAGACUUCCUUUCCAAUUCCAAAUAGACUUCUAGGAUUUCUAAUCUAAAUUGAAUAAGGAAACUAAGAUUCUUUCCUAGCCCUUUUAGGAGAAGAAUUGGUGCACCCUUUUUUCCCUAAAACAAUCCUAAACAGAAAAGGACAUUAAUUGACGAGCCAAAACCUAACAAUCUCCACCUUGGUGAGUCAAACCAAGUCUUGAUCGUUUGCACCCCAGAGUAUCUUUGAACCUUUUUGAAGUAGCUCUGGAAAUCUUCAAGAGUCUUCACCUUGGCAAUCUUCUUCUUGCCUUGUUGCACCUCAAGUGAGAAGGUGUUCCACUUUAAUCAAUCAACGAGAUUGAUCAAGUUCAAGCAAUGCUUGAACUUCUUGGCCGGCACUAUCUUUGUAAGGAAAUCUGCGGCAUUGUCAUCCGUAUAAACCUUUUCAAUCCAAAUUUCCUUAGACUCCACCCAAUCUCUGAUUUUGUGAUACCUUGCUUCAAUGUGCUUUGAUCUUCCAGAAAAAACCUGAUUCUUUGCCAAGUGAAUGGCACUUUGACUAUCACACUUCAGCUUCACACAAUCUUGAGUGAUUCCCAUUUGACUUACCAAUCCACUAAGCCAAAUCGCUUCCUUUCCAGCUUCGGCAAAAGCAAUAUACUCUGCCUCUGUGGUCGACAAAGCUGUAAUUGGUUGCAGUAGUGCCCUCCAACUGAUUGGUCCUCCUGCGCAUGUAAACACAUAACCAGAAGUUGACCUUCUCUUGUCCAAGUCCCCUGCAUAAUCUGCAUCCACGUAUCCUAACACCCCUGCAUUUUCCUUUUGCUUCUCAAACAUAAUCCUUUGUCGCCAAUAACCCUUCAAAUAACGCAAAAUCCACUUGACUGCAUCCCAAUGUUGCUUUCCUGGAUUUGCCAUGUAUCUGGAAACGACACUGAUUGCUUGAGCUAUGUCGGGACGUGUGCAUACCAUUGCAUACAUGAGGCAGCCCACUGCAUUAGCAUAAGGCACAUUCUUCAUUACUUGUUGCUCUUCCUCGGACGUAGGACACUGUUGCCCACUUAACCUGAAGUGAGCUGCCAAAGGAGUCGAAACUACCUUUGCUUCUUGCAUGUUGAACUUCUCAAGAACCUUCUAAAUAUACUUGGCUUGUGAUAUCCAGAUCCUUCCAGCGGUCAUAUCUCUCUGAAUUUCCAUGCCAAGGAUCUUCUGUGCAGCACCUAGAUCCUUCAUGUCGAACUCCUCGCUCAACAUCUUUUUCAAGUCUUGAAUUCUAGACUUGUAUUGACAAGCAAUUAGCAUGUCAUCCACAUAUAGCAAUAGCAAUAUGAUCAUCCCAUCUUGGAACACAUGAUAGUACACACAACAGUCAUAUAAACAUCUUCUAAAAUUGAAUAAGGAAACUAAGAUUCUUUCCUAGCCCUUUUAGGAGAAGAAUUGGUGCACCCUUUUUUCCCUAAAACAAUCCUAAACAGAAAAAGACAUUAAUUGACGAGCCAAAACCUAACAGAAUGAAUUCCUUUUAUUUUAUUUUGAGAUAUAUAUAAAGUUUCAACAUAUCCAAUUCCAAUUAGCACAUAUCCAAAUUCCAAUUCAAUAAACCACACAUCCAAAUCAAUUCAAACUAAAUACUUAAUAUUCAAUCACAUAUCCAAUUCAAACUACAUGGCUAACAUUCAAUAACAUGUCCAAUCUUUAAGCACAUUUGCCAUAAAAAAGUUGCAUCCUUUUCACUGUAUUUUUUCAGACUUUAAUCACAUGAAUUUAAGCAACAAAAGAAGGAACCACAGGAAAGAGAAAAGUACCUUAAGACAUUCAAGGGUCGGAAAACUGGUUGAUUUGGACAGCCGGAAUCUGAGCUGAAAUGGAGGUCGGGUGGUCAGUUGUGGAGGUGUCUGGGUGUGUGCGUGCGUGUUGAGUAGAACUGCUUUUGUGCUUUAUGGCUGGUGGAUAUAGCAGACGAAAAAGAGAAAUAAAGGGAGGAAACAUUGUAUUACCUGUUCAAGCAAGGGAGGAAACACUUUGCAGCAACUUUAAAAGCAUGCUUGUUCAAAGGCAUAAGCUAUAAUAAAAAUCAAACAGAAAAAUUCAAUCUAUUUCUAACAACAGCAACCAUAAUUUCCUACUAAAAAUAACAUAUAUCAACAGAUUUGUUAGGAAACAAUUCACAACUAUGCUCAAUUCAUUCAAAAGUAGGAAAAAAUGGGGCACUUAAGCCACUAAUUGUAACAGCAGAAAGAAAAUUGAGCUACUAAUUUGAAAUGACAUGUUUGAUUCAAUGAAUAAGUAGAAAAAACAAUAGGAUUUUUAGCUGCCUCAUAUAAUCUUUUAUGCAAAGCCUUAAAAUGUUAUGCUCAAUUCAGUCGAAAGUUGGAAAAAAUGGGGUUUUUGCAAUGAAAUUGUCAUGUUUUGAUUCAAUAGUUUAGACCACAUGGACAAAAUUGAAAUUGCAUGCUUCAUUCAUUCAAAAGUAGGAAAAAAGCCAGAUUUUUAGUUGCUUUACAUAAAUAUUUUAUAGGAGGUGUUAAAAUGACAUGCUUAAUUCAUUUAAAAGUUGGGAAUUGGGAUUUUUUCAGUGAAAUUGUCAUGUUUUGGUUAAAUGUUUUAGGCAAAAUGGACAAAGAAGAAAGAAAACACACCAUUUGGUUAAAAGUAUUUUUUUUCCUUUUGAUUUUGGCCAAAACAAACGGUUCUGUCUAAACAAAGUGUUAAUGAUCUUCUUCCCCUGGUUUGGUACUUUGCAAAAUAGCACAAUGGUGCAACACCACUGCUCAAGCAUGAUUUCCGAAUGGGUAAUGCACAGCAGACUAGAAUUACAAAGAAAUUUUAACCUAACAUCAAAUUUACCCAAAUUCCAAUCAUUCCUCUGAUUUGUUCCAAAAAAUUACAAACACACUCUAAUCUAACACUUAUCAACGGGUUCCUAGACGUACAAAAAAACGAUGACAAAAACUCACCCAGAAAUUAAGCUACCAAUCUCUCAAGUACGUACUUGAUAAAAGUGAAGCAUAUACAAAUGUAAAAUAUGAAUGAAAUAUGCAACAAUUGUAUAAAAACAUGCAUAAAUGAUAAACCAAUAUUACAAACAUGUUAAAUAAACAGAAGGUAUAUAAUAAUAAAGAAGAAGAAGGAGAACGAAGUACUAAAAAUAGCAAGGAAAUUGUUUUUGGCGGAAGGAGAUUUACCCAAAAAAUAAGAGGACCGCCAGAGACUGCCAAAUUUGCGACUAAUCAACGAAGGAACCAAAAUGAAAAAUAUCCUCUCAGUGAGGAAAACCUAGCACAGGAUCAGAGCCAACCCAAAACAAAAUGGUUACAAUUUCAUCCAAAUCAAGCAAAACUCAAAAGAAAAACCAAACACAGCACAUACCACCGUUGAUCGCAACCCCAGAAAUUGUGCGAAGCAAUUUUACCACGGAGGACAAAACACCCAAAACCCUAGGUUUAUACAAAUGGAAAACCUAUUUCGGCAGAGAAGCUAUAACACUGAAAGACCAACACAACAGGAAGAAAAAGAGAAAUGAAGAGGAAGUGAUAUUAUCAGACAGUGAAGAAAGCAGCACAAAAUAUCUGUUUUGUUGUCCCAAUUUAAUAAUUUAAAAUCAAAUCUUGCACUCCUGACUAAAAGUUGAAGAACCGAACCAGAAUCAAACAGAAAAGAAAGCAGGAAAAAACAUGUUUCUAAGCAAGUUCAAACCAGAAACAGUGAAAUAAGGGAAAAUUCGGUUCAAAAGGGUCACUUAGCUUUGAAAGGAAUUCAAGCUGCCAGCUGGAACCAAAUCUCUGAAACCAACCCUAGGUUUAGGCGUCCCUUCUUGCCUCACCCCUACCUAUUGCUUUGUUCAUCCUACCCCUCCCUCUCUCCUCCAAUUUUUCCUUCUAGAAGUCCUCAUCUCUCUUCUCUCUGGCAUCGCACGACCCACCUCUCGUCUCUCUGCUAUCGGACGACUCAUCUCUCUCUUCUCUCUAGCAUCGCACCACACCUCCCCUCUCUUCUCACUGGCUUCAUUGCAGGCUAGGCCUGCCCGUGUCGGCCAUCCAUCUGAACAACCCAACCACAAACAAAACCCACCAACCCAGUCACACAGCCCAAACCCACAAAAGCCCAGGUGAAAUCCUUAGAGCAAUGACAUUAUUGUAAUUAAACUAACACUAUUCAUUUCUACUAGGGGUGGGCAAACGGGUAUAGGAACCGCGGGUCGGGGCGGGUAAUCACGGUUCGGGGCGGGUACGGGCCAGUUCCUAAUAUUUUAGAGAACAAAUGGGGCGGGGCGGGGCGGGCCCUUUUCAUUUACGGGGCGGGCCGAGUCCAGAUGCUUAGAAAAACGGGUACCCAGACCGGCCCGUUUCUAAUUAUAAUGAACGGCCGAGAUUGAAUGAUAACCUAUCAUCCCAUCUCAACCGUUGGUUUCUACCCUAGUUUCUACUCAAUUCAACUUUCCAGAAUUCACUAUGUCUCAGCUGCCUCUCUAUCUCCCACAAUCUCUCUCUCCCCGAACCUGUUUCUUCUUCUUCUUCUUCUUUAAGUUUUUAAUCCCAGCUAGGUUUUGCUAAUUUUCUCUGCAUUUUCGCUCAGAAGACUGUACCUGUGAGAGCGUCAUCUUCUCAACGUCGAGGAGGUAAAGGCUUUCGUCGAAGAUCGAUUGAGAGAGCUCCUGAGAGUUGAUUGAGUUUGCUUGAUGGGAUUUAAUUUUUCAGUUUUUUUUUUAAUCACCCGAAGUUAGAGAGAUAGGUUUUUGGGAAUUUGGCUGCUUUUUUGUGAGUUAUUUCCUGUGUGUGUUAAUAUUUGUGGAAAAAUGAUAGUGAAAUCUGGGAAAGGUGGCAAAUUUGGAGAUGAUGAGAUUGGAAUCUGAUUGUGGUGAAGGUAGAGAAAAAUGGGGUUUUUGUAAUUUGAUUGGGGAAUUUAGUUGCUUCAGAUUUGUCUGCCAUUUGAAAAAUUGGGUAUUGAAUAUUAAAAUGGUGUGUUUUGUUUUGUUCUCUUCCAUUAGGUAGUCGGAGAGCAGAUAGGGAUGCAGUCCGAGACGGAGCAGGUGCCACCAGAGUCGGAAAGAAUGGAGGCGUUGAUUGCGAGGAUGUAGGCCAUGGUGAGAAACGUGGUGUUGCCGAUGCGGGCCUCGGUGGUGAAAGUGGAGCUGCGCUCGAUGGAGAAGCUGUGGUGCGAUGACGAAGGCAGCAUGUCGGUGGUUCUGGAGUCCUUUCCGUAGCGGUUUCGUAAAAAAAAAAAAAAAAACCAAGGACUCGUGGACCCGGCCCAGACCUGCCCGUUUCAAACGGGCUGGGUUCAGUUUGAUUCCUGUAAUGAAAUAUGAUGUACCCGGCUUGGCUCGGCCCGUUUCUUUUAACCUUCAAUUCCUUCAAAAUUAGGCCUGGCCCGGCCCGUGCCCAGCCCUAAUUUCUACCGUGCCAUUUCCAUGCUUUCUUUAGACUAAAGUAAUUAGACACAUUAUUUUAUUAAAAACCCAGCCUAGUGAAAAUAGAGAAAAGCCCUACUCCCUAACCGCCGAGUCAUGAUGACUUUGGAUUUAGAGCCGUCCACGUGAAGCAACUUGAGGUUCAACCAUAAAAAUUAAAAGAAAACUAACGAAAAGUCCAAAAAAACUUCUCUUGUAAUGAAAAGCCCUUUUUAAAUGUAUAAUGAAUAGUGUCAGUUAAAGGUAAAAAUGUGGUUUUUCGUUAAAAGUGAACAGUACCGGGAGUGUUUUGUUAAAACUCUCUUUUAAAAUUAAUUGACAAUAUAUGGAAUAGCCUAAUUACUUAUAAGCACAUGUAAUGUCUCUUCUUUUCUCAAUGUGAGACUCAUAUACUAUCAACACCACAAACCUCACCUACCUCUCUUCUUUUUCCUCUGGUUCUUUCUUCUUAGCAUAUUUUCCAAGUUUUCAUUAGGCCUGGCUGCGAUAGCGGCAUUGUAGUUUUAGUUUGUGGUUGUAGCGGUGAUCUAUCUCGAUGGCGAAGUCUACCCUGGGAUCGACAGUGGUGACAGCUGCACAUGGCAAUAAGCAAGUACUGUUCCUGGUAUUAGGACUAGGGCCUUCAUUUUGAUGGGCUGAUUUGUUUCGCCCAUAGUUUUACUUUAGGUAUGGUUAGAUAUGUCGUGUUGCAAUUCUUUUGAUUUUUUUUCUUUGUGAAACAAUAGAUUUUGUUAAAUUAAACGUUAAAUUAGCUUCCGACGGAGUUCGAACCCACGCCGUCAUGCAAGGGCUCAACUCAUUUUCAUUACUGUGGUAAAAGGGCACUUGCCAAUUGUUUUGAAGAACCUAUUAUGUUUUCAAGUUACAUAAUUUGAGCGUAUGUGAAAAAUGUUUAUAAAUAUUGUUAUUCGUGAUGAAAAAAUGUCAAAUCACGUGUUUUAGUAAUGAAACAGAUUCAGAAAGAAAUUUCUUAUGAGGUUUCAAUCUCCAAUGUCCAACGUAAAUUAAUAACUUUGUCAAUGACUUAUGUUUAGGGAGCGGAGGACAACUUGUAUGACGCAGGUUCACCAUGGCGUAAGAGUUGUUCUCUUCUCCUUCACCGUCAUUUUGGGCUUCUAAUUUCACAUGCAUCAUGUUUACCUAGUUCAGAUAUAAUAAAGACGAAUUCCCAUAGCUUAUACAGUAAUGGUGCUGCUUUGAUAUAUACUAUUAAAACUUAGUUGUGGAAUCAGAAGUUUGGAGUCAUGAAUUAUAUUUGACUCAAAUCCUCUCCAAAUCACUGGAAAAAAAAAUUAGACGUUAGUUGAAAAACCUCGACGGUACGAGAAAUUUAUUGAGAUGAAAAAAAGAAGUUACACCUAAUCAAGGAGGGACAUAAACCUUAUUCUUCAUAAAGCAAAAAUAACAAAAUACAAGAAAAGAGGGAGGGAUAUACACCUUACCCCUCUUGAACAAGAAAAUACAAGAAAAAGAGAAGGGGAGACAUAGACUUUACCCCUAUUAAAAAAUAAAAUACAAUAAAAAGAGAGGGGCGAACAUAGGACCAAACCCCUCUAAAAUAAAACUUAAAAGGUAAGAACCUGCAAGACAAGCUGCAAAACAAAAAAGAAAAAUCCAAAAGGAUUAGGUAAAAAAGAAAUUUGGUUGAGCCGGUUUAAGCAUUUUCCAACAUAUCAAUAAAAAAAAAGAUCUAACAUUUCAACCGUUUUUAUAUUUCAAAAAAUCUACACUUCUCCCACGUUUCAAUUCUAUCAAAUAAAAACUAACGAAAAGUCCAAAAAAACUUCAUUUUUUAUGAAAAGUCAUGCUUAAAAGUAUAGUGAAUAGUGUCAGGUAAAGGUAAAAAUUUGGUUUUUCGUUAAAAGUGAACAGUUAUUAAAACUCCCAUCUAUCAAAAAAAUAAAUUUAUCGGAACACAAAAAUUUCUUCGAGUAAACCAACUUACAUAUGGUUCGAUCGGUUUAAUGCGCACCCCUAUUUUUUUUUUCCAUGCCCCGGAAAAGGUACGGUCUUAUAGUGCACCGGUUCCUCUUCCUUUGCCACAACAUGCAGAUGCGACCUACUGAUGAUCUUUUCUGCUACAUCUGCAAUGACCAAUGAACUUUCAUUAUUAACUAGUUACCAACUUACCAAUCAUAUAUAGAUGCUAAUCAAACAACGAUUUAUUGUAUGAGAGAGAGAGAGAGAGAGAGAGAGAGAGAGAGAGAGAGAGAGAGAGAGUACUGUGCUUUGGUUUUUCAGAAACAUUGGCAAAGACUAAUUUGGAUGAGAACAAUAGCAAUAGGAUGAUGGAAAUCAUGUAAACAAAGUUGGCCUUGUGAACCAUAUUGUAUGAUCAGCUCGAGAUACAAGUUUGGCUCCGUUCCCAUAUAACUACUUACAUUAUAUAUAAUGCGAUGUCUAAACGUCUUUUACAUAUUUUUUUGUACCAGUUAUUGACCUAGAAUUGGCCAAGUCAAGGGUUUUAUCCCGUGUCAUUUUAUGAGUUUUCCAUGCUCAACUUUAUAAUUUGUUAAAUUUUUAUAUUUCUUUCAAUUUUUUUUUGCUAGCAAUUUUGGAAUUAAUUUUUGUAUAAUCUUUGCUUCUUUUUUUUUUUUACGAACAUUUUGAUGUAAAAAAUUGUUUAUAUUUUUGAGUUUUUUUAUGAAUAGGUGAAAAAUGAACGGAUAGUUAUAGAGUUUUGGAGAAGUUUUGGUGUUGAAUCUAAUUUGGAUCAAUUAGUAAUAUUACUUUGAUUGUUAGAUUUAAAUUUGAGCCGUUGGAUCUUUUUUAUUACCGUUCAAAUUGAUUAAAUUGGAUUGAGUCGUUUGAUUAAAAAAAGAUGCAGCUAGGUGCGCAUCAUUGGAUCAUAAUCCACGAUGUGCGAUAACCAAUGAAUGACAACAACUCGCGCAUCUCAGCCAUAGAAACUGGGCUUGCUAUGAGCCCGCCCGCACUGAAUAUUUCUAUUAUUUUCUUCUGACCAGCGGGCCCGUCACUCCCCCUUCAUGCGCUCUGCAACUUGUUGUCCCCCUCGGCCCACUUGCAUUUCUUAUCCUUUCGGCGUGGAUGCAAGAUCCAAAUAUACAUUCAAACCCAAAUUCCUAUUUUUCCCACCUCCUAAAUACAUGCUUUGGAGAUAAUUUCGACCACAAACUUAGGUUUUAUCCAUAAACGUCCCACUCAAAUUUAUGUGCAAACAACUUGCACUUGCACCACAUAAUUUCGGGAUGCACGGUAGUUGGCUGCUGAAAAAUUAGCAGUUCUUGCUGCUAGCUAAUCAUAGAUGAACAUGUGUUUAAUCUGUGAUUAAAAAAUUAAUUAUGGUCCUUCGAGAUAACAAAACAGUCACAUAAAUAGGGAAACAAGUUGGUGUUACCAAGACUAGUCGAACGAAGACGUGUGAUUUGGAUUUUUUUACAUAUCAAGCACACACCAUUCAUUUUUUGCUGAUAGCUUGAAGGUGGCGUACGCCGUAGGUAACACCUACCAAUUGCAACUUGGAAGUGAGCAACCAGUGGUAAGGAUGUUUUGGUCUGUGGUGGUGAUAUUUGGUAAUUGGUGCUGCCAGCCGACGAGUUCUGUCCAUUUUGUGGGCACAGCUGGAGAUGCCCAAAUGUGGAAUUUUAGUCUUCAGUUCACCAUCAAAAUAAACAACACCAUAAAUUUCAAGAUUGAUAUUUAAUGAUGACAUACAUUUUGAUUCAAAUGCAAAUGCAAAUGCAAAUGCGACCACACACAUAACAGUUACAUUAUUCCGGAUGAAAUGUUUUCGAUGACGUUUACAUAUAAUCAAGCUCUAGUUGAACACUCUUCGGAUUCGAAAAUCAUCUAAACUUGGCUAAUUAGUUUUUUCUGAACAGAACAAAGCAAAGAUGAUACGCAAACGGUCCAAGAAUUACAGUCUUAUGCUUCUAAAUUAUUAAUCACGGUACGAGAGAAAUUUAUUGAGAUGAAAAAAAGAAGUUACACCUAAUCAAGGAGGGACAUAAACCUUAUUCUUCAUAAAGCAAAAAUAACAAAAUACAAGAAAAGAGGGAGGGAUAUACACCUUACCCCUCUUGAACAAGAAAAUACAAGAAAAAGAGAAGGGGGAGACCGAAUUUCGAGAUGCACGGUAGUUGGCUACUGAAAAAUUAGCAAUUCCUGCUACUAGCUAAUCAUAGAUGAACACGUGUUUAAUUUGUUAUUAAAAAAUUAUUUACUUGGACACAUAUCCAUCUGUGAUAGACAGCAACAUGAUCUACUGUUGAUUUUUCAGCAGCCAAAUUAUGGUCCUUCGAGAUAACAAAACAGUCAAAAUCACGUGUUAAUGAAAUUGUGGAAAUUUCUUCUUGUUAUUAUGCUGAGGUUUCCAAUGUCGACAUGUCCAUAUAUGGAGUUAAGCAUGGAAUAAAACAAAACUAAUGAUUAAGAGGUGAUUUCCUCAUUAAUUUUUAUCUUACACAUACUCAUCUUUUUUUAGUCUUUUAUAUAUUUAAUAAAUCAAAUCAAUAAAGAGAAAACGACACUGCGAAUAUUACUACUUACGGUUUGGUUUAGUAUAGCUAACCAAAAUGAUCGGUUCAAAAAUUGAACUGAAAUUGUUCGGAAAAAGAAGGCGAAAAACCGAAACCAAACCAAUAUGUCGGCUUUCUCGAAAUUCAGUAAUAUCGAUCGGCUUUUCGGUUCGGCUCGAGAAUGGGCCUUCAGGUCAAAUUUGUUGGGCUUAUGAUUUCAAGACCAACAAAACCCAAUUUUUAUUACCGUUAAAAUUGAUUAAAUUGGAUUGAGUCGUUGGAUUAAAAAAAGAUGCAGCUAGGUGCACAUCAUUGGCUCAUAAUCCAGGAGUUGUGACAACCAAUGAAUGACAAUGGCUUGAGCAUCUCAGCCGUAGAAACUAGGCUUGCUUUGAGCCCGCCCGCAUUGAAUCUUCCUAUUAUGUUUCUUCUGACCAGAGGGCCCGCCACUCCCCCUCGGCCCACUUGCAUUUCUUAUCCAUUCGGCGUGGAUGCAAGAUCCAAAUAUACACUCAAACCAAAUUCCUAUUUUUCCCACCUCCUAAAUACAUCAUUUGGAGAUAAUUUGGACCAAAAACUUAGGUUUUAUCCAUAAACGUCCCACUCAAAUUUAUGUCCAAACGACUUGCACUUGCACCACAUAAUUUCGAGAUGGACGUUAUUUGGCUGCUGAAAAAUCAACAUAAUUCGAGUUUGACAGUAGUUGCUGCUGAAAAAUCAGUAGUUCAUGCUGCUGAAAAAUCAUAGAUGAACACGUGUUUAAUUUGUGAUUAAAAAAUUAAUUAAUUAGAUACAUAUUCAUAUGUGAUAGACAGCAACAUAAUUUGCUGUUGAUUUUUCAGCAACCGAAUUAGGUUCCUUUGAGAUAACAAAACAGUCAAAAUCACGUGCUAACAAAAUUGUGGAAAUUUCUUCUUAUUAUUAUGCUGAGGUUUCCAAUGUUGACAUGUCCAUAUAUGGAGUUAAGCAUGGAAUAAAACAAAACUAAAGUCUGCAGACUGGACCAGAAAAUAGAAGCCUGUCAAUGUCAUACUUUGAAUCUUCCAAACCCCCAACUAACUCAUUACUAAUGCAUUAUUUGUGAGGGUGUGAGGAAUGUCUUAGUGAGAGAUUUUUUUUAGAGGAUAAGGUUAGAGAAAUCAAAAUUUUAAAUCGAAUAAUGUGGUAGUGAAUGAUUGGAUUAUCACUUAAAUAUUUUUUUAAAACGAUAUUAUCUACACUAAGACCAUCUCCAAUCCUUGGACUAAAACCUAAAAUUUUUAGCCCAGAAAAUUUAGAUUUUAACCCAUAACAGCUUUUUUGCUCCAACCCUUAGGCCAUCUCCAACCGAUGGCUGGCCAGAGGGCUCGUUUUAGCCCUCUGGCCCUCCAAGAUUCUCCAAGAUAUUAAUAUUUUAAUGAACAGUACAGGGCCAUAUUUGCCUCCGUCUCCAACCGAGGGCCAGAGGGCUCGUUUUAGCCCUGUCACAAAAAACCGUCUCCAACCGAGGACCAUAGGGUCAAACAUAAUUUAUUAUUUAAAAACUACAAUUUAAAUUCAAAUCUUGUGAAAUAGAAGUUAUAGGAAAUAAAAUAUGAAUCAAAUUUAUGUUGGUUUUAUGUUGUAUAAUUUGUAUGUUGGUUAAUGUUAUUUAAUGUUAUUUCAUAUUGUUUAAUGUUGUUUCAUGUUACUUAAUUUAAUUUAAUGUUGUAUAAAUGGCCUAGGAAAAAAAUAGAAUUGAAAAAAAUUAUGAAACAAAUUUUGUGAAAUAGAAGUUAUAGGAAAUAAAAUAUGAAUCAAAUUUUGUAAAAUAGAAGUUAUAGGAAAAAAAUAGAAUUUAAAAAAAAAUUGAAACAAAUUUUGUAAAAUAGAAUUGAAAAAAAAUUUGAAACAAAAUUUGAUUAAUAUGAAAAGGAAAAAAAAAGGGAAAAAAAAAAGUUAAAAAAAAAAAAAAGGCCUAAUAAUACAACGGCUACUAGCCGUUGUAUUAAAAAACAUUCAAACUAUUAGUGUCGGUUAUAACCGACACUAAUAGCAGAACUAUUAAAAAAAAAACAAACCCUUUAAUGCUGUCGGUUUUAACCGACAGCAAUAGGAAAUAUUAAAAAAAAAAAUAGCCAGCCAGCGGGCUGGCUGGCUGGCCGAAAGCAGCCAGCCCUCCAGCCCUCUCCGAUCCCGUGGGACCCUCCCAGAUUCCAGAGCCCUCUGGCCUAGCCCUCGGUUGGAGACGGUUUUAGGGCUAUUUUCGGCCCUCUGGCCCUCUGGAUUUUUCGGUUGGAGAUUGCCUUAUGACCUAAACUUUUAGCCCCAGAUUAUUAAAGAAUGAAUUUAGGCUAAUUUUUUUCUUAAAGUAACUUUUUUAAAAGAAAAAAAUUAUGUAGAGUAUCCUAAUUUAAUUUGAUGCACAUUUUAUCCUAAAAAUAUUUAGAUUUUGAUAAAUAUUGAAAAAUCACAAACUGUAACAGCCCGUCCCAAAAUAUUGGAAUAUUUUAUUUUCUGAUGGCGUGAAAAUACGAUUUUACCCUUGGGUCGAUGAAUUUUGUUGUGGCGUUGUAUGGCUUAAGUUGUGAAUGUGGACAAAUAGGUUAAGUCCCUAAUAUUUUGGAACCAAUUAGGGACUUAGACUUGAAUUAUUUUUGUUGUUGUUUUGCCUUGGUUGGCUGGAUCACACGGACCACACAUUCACCCACCCGUUGACCUUCUCUCUCUCCUCUCCCUUUCGAUUUUCUGCAACGUCCGUACAAACGUACGGACGAACCUCAAACCAACCCAUUUAUGCACAGAUCGAGCUUGUGAUUAGUACCAUCUCCUUCCUCUCGUCAUCACGAACUCAACCAUACCAAUUGUUGGACGUGAAACCUUUGAAAACCCGAGAACCCAGGCACCUCGAAGAAGGCACUGUUUAUACUCUUGUGAUCGUGGGGGUUUCAGUUGAUUCUGAGCUUAUGGGAAGCUUUAGAUCACCCUCAUGAUGCUCGAAGUACCAUUUUCACAAAGUUUGGACGUCGGGAUUGUGUAGAACCAGAGAACCCAAUAUUUGGUACUGUUCAUGUGCUCGUGGAAUUGAAGGUUUCAAGGUAUUUGGAGCUCAUAAGGAGCUUAAGGACCUCUCCACGAAGCUCAGAGAGGAAGAAUGAGGUGAUUUAGACGUCUGGAAACCGAGAUCGAAGCAUCACAGUUUGGCCGGAAUUAUCGAAGGAUCUCUGGCAAAUUCUCGAAGGUGUUAGGUCCAAAUCUUGGUAAAGUUUUGUUUCUUAUGUUGUAAGCUUCAUUUUGGUGAAGAUUUCAUGAAAAAUGGUUAAGAAUUGACUGAAAUACGAAGCUUGGAAAAUUUUCCAGAAACCAGCGAGUUGCAGCGGCACCGGCGACGAUCUCCGGCGAACCAAGGAAGAAGGAGGAGUAUAUUCUGUCAAGUCUGACGGAAAAUGCUAACGGCGUCAGUUAUAUUAAACGGUAUAUACUGAUUUUUAACGGAAUAUUCCCUAACUGCCGUUACUGUUACCGUUAGGGUUCCUUGCGCGUGGUCGCGCGUCUUGCCGUGCACUCGCUGGCGCGUGGCGGCGCGUGGGUGGUCGGAAAAUUUUUCUAAAAUUAUGGGGUUGUUCGUGAGGUUGAGUAGAUCACUGUGGUAUAUUCAUAUACCCAAAUUGAACAACGUAUGAGAAGUUAUUUCCAAGGUUUUGAUUAUGUGCUUAAUUAACGUUAUUUCGGUUACUUCUCAUAUAGGCGAGGCUUAUGCGGACGAUGAGCAAAGUUAAGGGAGGCUCGGGGGCUACGACCCUUCGACAUAUCUGUGAGUGGGUAGUUAUUUUCAGUAUAUAUAUAUAUAUAUACUUGACGUUUUCCCAGAAAUCAAAUUUGAAUGAAAGUAUGCUUUAAAAUGCCAUGUAUAGAUUUAUAUGAAAAGUAUGAUUUGAAAUGCCAUGCAUAGAAUUUAUAUGAAAAGCAUGAAUUUAUAUAUGAUGCAUACGUGUGAAAUGGUGUUGUGGACGCACAUGUGAGUAUCAGGUGAGUUGCAUAUUGUUCAUUGAGUUAUGGUUGAUGUGAUUUAUGUUGAGAGCUCAUAACCUGCACCCCGGUGUUGUGCUUAUGUUAUUCACCCUGCAUCACACGCUCACCUUGGAUCCAAGUAGAUGCUAGUCGUACAGACCACUAGAGGUGGUUUUGACAUGCCAGUCAUACAGACCAUUAGAGGGGUUCCGACUGGUAGGUGACCUUAGAUUAUGUGCACAGAUGCUUGAUGAGAGAAGCACUAGAGCGUAUUAUUACACCAUUAUAGUCGUACAAACUACUUUCGGUAGUUCCGACUUAUGUGCAGUGUAGCGCCGUACAGGUCAUAGUUGGUGACUCCGGCAGGGCCGUACAGGUCACAGUUGGUGACUCCGGCUGGAUGAGAUUUUGAGCUAUAGUUUCAACCGUACAGGAUCAUUGUAGGAUCUCCGGUUGAUUUAUUUUUCACCUGAUUUAUAUUGAUGCAUUCAUAUUAUAGUUUGGCAUGGCAUGGCAUAUUUUUUUUUUCCGAAAAGUGUUAAAGAAAUGAGUUUUGAGAUCUAUGAAAGUAUAUUUGUACAUAUGCUAUUUUUUUUUCUGGGAAAGUACAGGUUUUACAGAGGGGUUACAACGUUUUGAGAAAUGUUUUGUCUUGAAAAGAUUGGUUUUACUGACCCACUCAACUUUGUUUUUCGCCCCUCCAGGUUCGAGAUAGAGCAGAGCUUUGGUGGCCACGAGGAAUCCAACGGUGUUCUGACAGAAUUUCACAAACGUAGGUUUCACCUUCGAGUAUUAUACCUUAGUAUUUAUGUCUUUUGAGCUUCCGAACCGUGUAAAUGGUUACGUCACUCUCACGUGACGACCAGCAUUCCUUCCUUCGGGACGGGGUGUGUCGGUAUCAGAGCCCUAGGUUGCAAUCCUGGGCAUCUUGAGAAUUCCCUAGUGUCUUCUGUCAGAACUAUACCGCCUCGUAGGGAGCCACGCCGUUCAAAUGAGCUUAGUUUCCCUAAUUUAACAGUUUAGGGGUAACUAUUGCUAUUGUGAUUCAGUCUAUUAUCUAAGAAACCCUUUGAGACUGGUUAUAAGUUGAAUUUGAAUCACUUUAUGGAAAUUAUGAACCUGGGGGAGCAGAGUGUUGGCUUACUCACUUGGAAAAGACGUUUUGGAUUAUGCAAGUCAAAGGAAUCUUUCUUCUGACAGGUGGGUCGAGACGACUACCUGGUUGUGGUUUAUGAAUUUGUAUCCUGGUGGAAACAGGAGUAUUAUUCGUUGUCAUCGGAGGAAACAGCUGAUUGAGAAUUGUUUAAGGAAUUGUUAAAGAAAAUAUUUAUUCCUCCGUCAUAUUAUGAUGGUAGUAAGCAAGAGUUUGCAAAUGUGAAACAAGGAAGAUGACGGCAAAUGAGUAUUAUAGAAAGUUUUCAGACUUGCCUCGUUUCCAUUCGGAUAUUGUUGCUAAUUUGGUUGAGGUGUUAUGUUGUUUUAGGCUGGGUAAUAAGAAGAAGUGGCAUUUUUUGGGACCACUAUCCAUUGUACUCUUUAUCAAGAGUUUACGAGAUGUUGUUGAAAAUUGAGGACUCUAAGAAUAUGAUCAGCUAGAGUAAAGAGGAAUAAAAAAAUAAAAAAAGGGAAUUAGAAGAAAGACGAUAAAGUUGAUGAUCCGUCAUAUCAAGGACCUCGAAAGAUUCAGAGUUCCAAAAUAAGUGAAGCUAGAGCGAAUUCUCCCAGCUGAGGUUUUAAUGCCACUGGUCAGAGGCGAAGUGAUACAUUUAUGGGGCUUUUAGAUCCAGGUCCAAAAACAUAAAGUGUUCUUAGGAUUGACUCCAGUUAUCUAAUUAUAUGUUUUUAUUUCUUUUAAACUCCUUUUAUAUUUUCUAAAAAUAAUAAAAAUCAAUUAAAAUCGUUUAAUAUUAUGCAUUUUUCAACUCCAAAAUAUCUAAUUAAUAUCUUAUAAACAAAAAAAAAAUUAAUAUACUAACAUAAAUCUAUCUGCAAAACAUUAUACCCUAACUCAAGUAGCAAAUAUGUGAAUGUAUAUUAUACCUAUAAGUGAGAUAUGAAACUUAACUAAAAGGUAGAAGAAAAAAAACAUAAUAUACUUACAAGCAAGACACAUUAAUCUGUGACAUGUUGACUAUGAAAAAAAAUAUGUCAUAUAGGUAGAUAAAUACAAUUAACCUGUGAUAUAGGUUGAUUAUAAAAAUUAAAAAAAAAUCUAUAAAUGGGUUAAAGCAGGAUGAAGAACAAGAAAAAACAAAAAAAUAUAAAAAGAAAUAAUCAAAGAGAUAAAUUAGGAAGAAAUUUGAUUUUUACCAUAAGUUUUUUCUUUUAAGAGAUAAUUAUUGAUAAUUAAAUAAUUAAAUUUAAAGAAUUGGACUUGUUUUAAUAAAUUGGACCAUUCCUACUAUUGGCUCAAAAAAUUGGAGUUAUAUCAAGUUUCCCCUAGAUUUAUUGGUGAUCCCAGAUCUCAGAGACAAGGUGAUUUGAAUAAGGGAAAUGUACCUUUGUGCAGCAGGAACAAUAUUAGACACUUGGAGAGUGGGAAUCAAUGAAUGUGUCAUGUGGACAGGUGGAACAUAGAGUUAUGUGUUGCCCCUAGAAUCAGUUGUUACCCAGCAAUUUUCCCUGACACCACAGUAUCGAUCUAGCAGGUUUACGGACUUAGUAGUUUUGGUCAGAUUGACCGUGGGUACAAGGAUAUUUGAUGAGUUAUAUGUUCAUCCGUACAGGCCACUAGAGGUGGAUCCGGCUGACAUAUUAUUUGGAUAGUUGUUGAGUAAGUCGUACAAGUCACUAUAGGUGACUCCGACUUAAUUGCUAGCAAGGAUGGUUGAGCUUGAGAAUCAGCCGUACAGGUCAUUCUAGCUGACUCCGGCUGAUAUGUUUCUUAUUAUGGAUGAUGUUGCCAAAGAAAGUAGCGAAUGAGCACGAUCGAGGCGUGAAUAUGUAUUUUUUCCCUGUGAGGAGUAAGAUGGUAAUGUUGCACCCUUUAGAAUUGUUGCUUACUUAUCGAGACAACGAUGAUUUAUUAAUAUUGCGGGCUGCAUACCGUAAUAUUAAUAACUUAUUCGUUGGAUCCGUUAAGCAAGUAAACAGGUAGGUUACCCUACAUGAGUUUGGUGUUAUUAAGGGUGUUCAGUGAUGAUGGAAAAUAUAGUUAUGCCAGUGAAUCUUAUUUCGUUGGAGAUUUGGAUGUGAUUUUAGGCACAUAUUAGUAGCAUUAAAUCGUGCCAGGAUAGAUUGCUACGAGAAACCAGUUACUUUCCAUCGAUCUGAUUGACCAGAGUUUACUUUUGUGGGUAUGCAAAGUGGAGCGAGGCAUGUCGUUAGUUGCUGGGAGAGCAAAUAGAUUGUUAUCGAAAGGCUGCCAAGGAUAUUUAGCUCAUGCGGUACUAAGAGAUGUUGCUCUGAGUAGUGUGAAGGAUGUCAAGGUGGUUGGACAUUUUCUUGAUGUUUUCCCUGAGGAACUUCCUGGAUUACCAUCAGGCGGAGAUGUGGAGUUCAUUAUUAAUUUGUCUCCAGGUACGGACCUUAUAUUAUAGAUUGAUGUCUUCUGAGUUAAGGGAAUUGAACAAGUUCAGUUACAAGAAUUGAUUGAUAAAGGUUCCAUUCAACAUAGUUUGUCGCUUUGGAGGACCCCAGUUUUGUUUGUAAGGAGGAAGAAAAUGAACGUUAAGACUAUACAUUAAUUAUAGGAAACCGAAUCGGGCAAAUUUUGAGAACGAUUAUCCGUUGCCACGCAUGGAUGAUUUGUCAAUCGAGUUAGAGGUGCCUGCGUAUUUCCUAAGAUGGAUUUGAGGUCUGGUUAUUACCAAUUGGAGAUUGAGCGACGAUGUUUCUAAGAUUGUUUUCAGGACUCGUUAUGGUCAUUAUGAGUUUUAGUGAUGCUAUUCGGACUGACGAAUGCGCCUGCUGCUUUCACGAGAUUGUUAAGACUUAAUCAGAACAUAUCGGACAUCUUAAAUUGGUAUUACAAAGAUUGAGGGAACGUCGAUGUAUGCUAAGUUUAGCAAAUGCUAAUGUUGGGUGAGUCAGGUAGCAUUUCUGAGUUAUGUUAUAUCUGCUUAAGGUACUCAAUUGAAAUCUUAAAAUGUAGCAGAAUUGGAGAAAUUGGAACAACCGUGAACCGUGGCUGAAGUUUGAAAUUUUCUUGGCUUAGUAGGGUGUUAUAGAUGGUUUGUUGAGGGUUUUUCAGUUAUUACCUUGCUAUUGACGAGUUUGAUAAGGAAAGAGGUUAAGUGUGAGUGGGAAGGAAAUUGUGAGUAAAGUUUCCAAUAGUUGCAGUAUUUCCUCACUCAUGCGUAUGUUUUAGCACUUCAAGACAUUAACGGUAAUUAUGAGGUCUUUAAUGAUGCUUCUUUGAAGGGUAUUGGAUGUGUUAAGGCAAAAGUGUUAGGGUAAUUGCCUAUGCUCCGCGACAAAUUGAAACCUCAUGAGAUAAUUUACUCUACUCAUAAGUUAGACUUUGCACUAUCAUCCUUACUUUGAAGUUAUGGAGACAUUAUCUUUAUGGUGAGAAAUACAAGAUUGUUAUGGAUUAUAAGAGUCUUUAGUAUCUGUUUACACAGAGGGAUUUUAAUCUUAGACAACGAAGGUGGAUUGAGUUGCUUAGUGUUUAUGAUUGCACGACCAGAAUGAUCGUGAAAUUUUUAUAGCCGAUGCACUUGAUAAGAAGACUGCAGUGAGAAUUAAUGCCUGGUAUGUUUGCCAUGUUCAUCUUCUUGUGGAUUUGAGACCUACUAGAAUAAAGUUGAGAAUGGAAGAUCGGGAAGAAGUCGUACUUGCUAAUUUUCAAGUUAGGCCUUUUUGGUAAAUCGUACUUGAGACUCAAGCGUUUGACGAAGAAAUUCAAGGAUUUAUUUAAAGCAAGGAAUAACGGGAAAAAGAAAGAUUUCAGAAUUCGAGAAUCGGAUGACAUGUUUAUGCAAGAAAACAAGACGAAUGUGCCUAAUGACGUGGAAUCAAAGAAAGCAAUUUUGGACAAAGAGCACUAUUCAGCUUAUGCAACGCAUCCUGAAAGUAUUAAAAUGUAUCAUACCAUUCGACAAUUUUUCUAUUGGCCGGGCAUGAAAAGAAAAAUUACGGAGUAUGUAAGUUUGUGUAUUAUUGGUCAACAGAUUGAAGCAAAAAGAAAGAAACCUUUGGAUUGAGACAGCUAUUUUCUGUUUCGCAGUGGAAAUGGAAAAAAAAUAUUACUUUAGAUUAUGUGUACAAGCUUCCUCGUACACGAGAUGGUCAUGAUUAAAUUUGAGGCUAUAGAUGGUCAGUUUACCAAGUCAGCGCAUGUUACGCCAGUGAAGAGUAGCAACCUUUCCAGACAGUGCAAUAGUUACUUAUUUGUUUAUGGAAAGAGAUUUGGACUUACGGAGCUGCGGAGUUUUUAAGUGUGUUGGUUACGUCAGUUUUCCGAAGCACCAUUAGGCCCAUGAAAACAGUGUCAUGUGUAUCGAUUUUUGUUAACUUGUGGACGGAAUGUUUUUGGGGAGAAAAAGAUUCGACCGCGAAAGGUACAAUAGUAGAGGAGACUACUCAGAACGCUCAAGUACUUAAGCCUAACCGACUGACAUGCUAUUGUUCGAGUAUGCAUGGUUAAUGAUUUGAUAUUUUUGAAACUUUUACCAAGGAAAGAGAUAGUAAGGUUUGGAAGAAAGAUAAGCUAAGUGCUAGUUACAUCCAUGGAAGAAAAUAUCCAAAAUAUCGGCGAUAUUUUGCCGAUAUUUUCGUUUUUUUUAGUUACCGAUAUUUUAAUGAGUAUCCAAUGAGUUUUCGUCAAAAUAUCGAUAAUAUCGCGAUAUUAGCUAUAAUAUCGCGAUAUUAGUCAAAAAAUUCCUGAAAAUUUGGAAAAGUCUCAAUUUUGAGCAUAGAGGGGUUCGAACCCCUCCCACUUAACUCCUUAACCACCAUACCACUUAUGUUGUUGUGAUAAUAUGCUACAAUAUUUAUAUAUAUGGUUUUGUUUUGAAUUCUUUUUACAAGAAACAAAUUUGCACAUAUUCCAAAUUUUUUGUGGUAUUAUAUUUUAAAUUGUGUCAAUUAAUUACUUAGUCAAUGGCAUGUGGUUUUUAAUUUUUCUAUUUUUUAUUUGGUCACUUACAUGGUAGGGCUGGAAAAAAUUCCGGAAAAUCCCAAACCAAACUGAAAAAGUCCCAAACCCAAACUGAAAAAUCCCAAACCAAAACCAUCCUGAAGUUCGGGAAUUCCAUCCCGAAAAAUACCGAACUUUUCGAUAUGGGAUUGGUUUCCAAAUCCCAUUUGUUUGGUAAUCCCGAAAAAUACCGAAGUAUUCGGUUUCCUAUUGACUUUUGGGUUUUGGUUCUUGAAAACCAUUGCCAUGAUUGCUAACUACUCUUCAAAAUACACUCACUCUACACAUAGAGAUGAUGAAGAUAGUGAAAAUUUUGAACCUCAUAGGAACUCUAUGUGGUACUAAGUCACUCAUGUAUCUUACCAUGCAAUGUAUAAAGUGUAAAAUAUUGUACUAAUUUAUUAUAUAUAAAUGAUUAUGGUGUGUUUAGACUUCUUUCAUUAAUUUCUACAUAUUUUCUACACUCACAAUGUUUGUCAGCUCGCUAUAUAAUCAACUUGAUAAUGUUAAAUCCAUCAUGCAAUGCAUUUCCUUUCAAUUUUUUGUGAUAAACUAAUAGAUAAUUGACUAAAUAAACAUCCUGCAAAGUUUCAAUAAAAAUUUCCAAGUUUUUCUUACAAUUUAUGUGGUUUCCAUGUAAUUUUUAUCGAUAUCGAUAUUAUCCCGAUAUUUCCAUCGAUAUUUCCGUGUUUUCGGACUACCGAUAUUUCCGAUAUUACCGAUAUUUUCUUCCUUGGUUACAUCAGACCGUUUUUUUAUCACUGAAGGAAUCGAUGAAGUUGCGUACAGGUUUGAGUUGUCUUCAUAAUUGGCUAAGGUGCCUAAUGUAUAUUUGUUUUGAUGCUUCGUCACUAUGUAGCAGAUCCAUCGCAUGGGAUUCCAGUUCAACCUUUGGAGAUUAACCGAAUUUGACUUAUGUUGAGGAACCAGUGACGAUCUUGGGUUAGAAAAAGAAAGUUCUGAGAACUAAGAUAGCGUACUUAGUAAAAGUUUUGUGAAGAAACCAUUAAGUGGAAGAAACUGCGUGGGAGACAGAGAAUUGGAUGAGAGAGAUGUAUAUCAGUUUGUCUUAUGUUUAUUAGUGGAUUAUGAUCGUAUGAAAUUUCGAGGACGAAAUUUUAUAAGGUGGGUAGAUUGUAACAGCCCGUCCCAAAAUAUUGGAAUAUUUUAUUUUCUGAUGGCGUGAAAAUACGAUUUUACCCUUGGGUCGAUGAAUUUUGUUGUGGCGAUGUAUGGCUUAAGUUGUGAAUGUGGACAAAUAGGUUAAGUCCCUAAUAUUUUGGAACCAAUUAGGGACUUAGACUUGAAUUAUUUUUGUUGUUGUUUUGCCUUGGUUGGCUGGAUCACACGGACCACACAUUCACCCACCCGUUGACCUUCUCUUUCUCCUCUCCCUUUCGAUUUUCUGCAACGUCCGUACAAACGUACGGACGAACCUCAAACCAACCAAUUUAUGCACAGAUCGAGCUUGUGAUUAGUACCAUCUUCUUCCUCUCGUCAUCACGAACUCAACCAUACCAAUUGUUGGACGUGAAACCUUUGAAAACCCGAGAACCCAGGCACCCCGAAGAAGGCAUUGUUUAUACUCUUGUGAUUGUGGGGGUUUCAGUUGAUUCUGAGUUUAUGGGAAGCUUUAGAUCACCCUCAUGAUGCUCGGAGUACCAUUUUCACAAAGUUUGGAAUUCGGGAUUGUGUAGAACCAGAGAACCCAAUAUUUGGUAUUGUUUAUGUGCUCGUGGAAUUGAAGGUUUCAAGGUAUUUGGAGCUCAUAAGGAGCUUAAGGACCUCUCCACGAAGCUCGGAGAGGAAGAAUGAGGUGAUUUAGACGUCUGGAGACUGAGAUCGAAGCAUCAUAGUUUAGCCGGAAUUAUCGAAGGAUCUCUGGCAAAUUCUCGAAGGUUUUAGGUCCAAAUCUUGGUAAAGUUUUGUUUCUUAUGUUGUAAGCUUCAUUUUGGUGAAGAUUUCAUGAAAAAUGGUUAAGAAUUGACUGAAAUACGAAGCUUGGAAAAAUUUCCAGAAACCGGCGAGUUGCAACGGCACCGGCGACGGUCUCCGGCGAACCAAGGAAGAAUGAGGAGUAUAUUCCAUCAAGUCUGACGGAAUAUGCUAACGGCGUUAGUUAUAUUAAACGGUAUAUGUUGAUUUUUAACGGAAUAUUCCCUAACUGCCGUUACUGUUACGGUUAGGGUUCCUUGCACGUGGCCGCACGUCUUGCCGUGCACUCGCCGGCACGUGGGUGGUCGGAAAAUUUUUCUAAAAUUAUGAGGUUGUUCGUGAGGUUGAGUAGAUCACUGUGGUAUAUUCAUAUACCCAAAUUGAACAACGUAUGAGAAGUUAUUUCCAAGGUUUUGAUUAUGUGCUUAAUUAACGUUAUUUCGGUUACUUCUCAUAUAGGCGAGGCUUAUACGGACGAUGAGCAAAGUUAAGGGAGGCUCGGGGGCUACGACCCUUCGACAUAUCUGUGAGUGGGUAGUUAUUUUCAGUAUAUAUAUAUAUAUAUAUACUUGACGUUUUCCCAGAAAUCAAAUUUGAAUGAAAGUAUGCUUUAAAAUGUCAUGUAUAGAUUUAUAUGAAAAGUAUGAUUUGAAAUGCCAUGCAUAGAAUUUAUAUGAAAAGCAUGAAUUUAUAUAUGAUGCAUACGUGUGAAAUGGUGUUGUGGACGCACAGGUGAGUAUCAGGUGAGUUGCAUAUUGUUCAUUGAGUUAUGGUUGAUGUGAUUUAUGUUGAGAGCUCAUAACCUGCACCCCGGUGUUGUGCUUAUGUUAUUCACCCUGCAUCACACGCUCACCUUGGAUCCAAGUAGAUGCUAGUCGUACAGACCACUAGAGGUGGUUUUGACAUGCCAGUCAUACAGACCAUUAGAGGGGUUCCGACUGGUAGGUGACCUUAGAUUAUGUGCACAGAUGCUUGAUGAGAGAAGCACUAGAGCGUAUUAUUACACCAUUAUAGUCGUACAUACUACUUUAGGUAGUUCCAACUUAUGUGCAGUGUAGCGCCGUACAGGUCACGGUUGGUGACUCCGGCUGGAUGAGAUUUUGAGCUAUAGUUUCAGCCGUACAGGAUCAUUGUAGGGUCUCCGGUUGAUUUAUUUUUCACCUGAUUUAUAUUGAUGCAUUCAUAUUAUAGUUUGGCAUGGCAUGGCAUACUUUUUUUUCCGAAAAGUGUUAAAGAAAUGAGUUUUGAGAUCUAUGAAAGUAUAUUUGUACAUAUGCUAUUUUUUUUCUGGGAAAGUACAGGUUUUACGGAGAGGGGUUACAACGUUUUGAGAAAUGUUUUGUCUUGAAAAGAUUGGUUUUACUGACCCACUCAACUUUGUUUUUCGCCCCUCCAGGUUCGAGAUAGAGCAGAGCUUUGGUGGCCACGAGGAAUCCAACUGUGUUCUGACAGAAUUUCACAAACGUAGGUUUCACCUUCAGGUAUUAUACCUUAGUAUUUAUGUCUUUUGAGCUUCCGAACCGUGUAAAUGGUUACGUCACUCUCACGUGACGACCAGCAUAACCUCCUUCGGGACCAGGUGUGUCACAAACCGACAACAUGAAACUCAUUAAUACUAUGAAAAAAAUAUGAAACACAUAAAAGAUUUUUUUAAUUACUUUAGCCGUUAAAUUUAAAUUUGGACCGUUAAAUAUUUUUUUUUACCGUUGAUUUCAUCAAAUUAGAUCUUAACUGUUGGAUUCAAUGAAUUUAUAAAUAUAAAACAAAAUAAAAUAUACAUAUAUGAUGUGUCAGCCCCAUUAAUUCUGGGCUAAAUCUGGCUUUUUUUUUUUUAGGUUUUAGGUUUUAGGCCACAUUUUUAACUUGGGUUGGGUUGGAUUUGGGGGGGGGGGGAAUAGAAGGGGAAAUUUAGGUUAUAAGCCAGGGUUGGAGUUGGCCUAAGACCAAACCCAACCCUAGGCUAAAUGCUAUUUUUUAGGUUUUAUUCCCCCCCCCCAAACCCAACCCAACCCAACCCAACCCAACCCAUGCUAAAUAUACGGGCUAAAAGUUAAAAAUCUAAAAAAAGCCAGAUUUAGCCCAGGAUUAGUGGGGCUGGCCCACCAUAUAUUUGUAUUUCAAAUAUAAAACUAAAUAAAAUAAACGGUAAAAAAAUAUAUUUAACAGUCCAAAUUUAGAUCUUACGGCUAAAGUAAUUAAAUCUAACGUCCAAAUUUAAAUAUCGGAUACUCGAAAAAAACUUCUCCUAAGAAAGUUCAAAGAUUAACAUCAAGUACUAAUUAUAAGUCGCGCAUUUGUCACUUAUACAGAAUACACUUGCAAGCGUGGUAGACUAAUGAUUAAGAUGUGAUUUUCUCAUUAACUUUUAUCUUCCACAUACUCCUUUUUUUAUAGUCUUUUAUAUAUUUAAUAAAUCAAAUCAACAAAGAGAAAACGGCAGUGCGAAUAUAUACUACUUGUAAUUAGGGGUGGUUUGGUUUAGGAUAACGGACCUAAAUGGUCAAUUCAAAAACUGAACCGAAAUUGUUCGGAAAAAAGGGCAAAAAACCGAAACCAAACCAAUAUUUUGGUUUUCUCAAAAUUCGGUAAUAUCGAAAUAGUUUCAGCAUUUCGGUUCAGGCUCGAGAAUGGGCCUUCAAGUCAAAUUUUUUGGCUUCUGAUUCAAGACCAGCAAAACCCAAUUUUGCCCAAACUUUUUGAGCCCCAAAUGUUAAGCUAUGGGCCUAUGCUCAUGUGCUCUAUUCCUCUCCAUUUCCUGAGCAAAAAUACUUGUGAUUAUUAAAAUUAUUGUUGUGAAUAAUAUGUGGAUGGCCCACAUGAAUGAUUUGUUACUAUUUAUGCACAUUACUUUCACUAUUCAUUUGUAGAAAAUUUGUAAACUGAAUAGUGUUCUCUUUGCUUAUAAAAUGAAUGAGAGGUGAAGAAUGAGGAUACAUACGAAUGAGGAGAGAAACCAAACGAAAGAGGAAGAGAGAAAAGAGAGGAAGAAGAUAGGAGAUAAUAAAGAGGAUUAUCUUUGUACUCCUAUUAUUCCAAAUUAUAAAGAAAUCACAACUACUGCCCUGAGGACGUACUCCAGUCACACUGACUGUAGAGGAACCUUGUAAAUUUUGUGUUUUGUUUAUUUAUUCCACUACACACACCGUUGAUUUUACAACACGUUAUCAGCACAAAAAGCUCUAAUGUCAGUGGAAAGCACUAUCUACCUCUCACCUCCAUCAGCUAAAAUCUCACAUAUGAGAGACGGCAAACAGGGAAGAACAUCUUGUCACAAAAAUCCAUCAACCUUUCUUUUAUCACUUUUUCUUUUUAUCACUCUAACUGUUGAUGUGUUAAUCCUUAUCCUUGCUAGACUUGCAAUCUCGUCUUUCUCUCAUGGACAAGAGAGAUGGAGAGAUCUUACAGACAAACAAAGGUGCAGAAAAACAAGCAAGGGUAUGUCCAUUUUUCGUCUCUCCCACCGCGCCAGAAGCGCCCCUAUCGAAUUCCGUUGAGAAUUGAAAUUUACAAUGACCUAUAGUCGUCACGAUAUGAGAAAACUCGUACCUGACAACUAGUUUUCAGAGAUCCAGAAGAAUCUCAUCAGACUUGGAAACUCAGAUUGCGUCGUUCUCGAUAGAUCUCGAGGACCUCCAUGAAUCAUCAGUUGUUUAAGAUGGUGAUGACAGGACUGACUCCACACAUGCCUCCCUUUCUUAUACCUCCAUUAACUCCACUGUCAUCUAUGUCCCUAUAGGGAAGUUCUUGCUUUGCGAUGCCAUGUUCUCUGACCCAUGCAAGAACAACACCAGUUUCUAGUUGCCUUUUUGGAUGGAAUUGGUUUUGUGUGACCUCCACAACAACCCAGCUGGUCCUGGGUUUCGAGACUGGUUGAGACAGACAAAGAAAGAAAAAAGGGGAAGUUUAUGGAAUAUGCAUGGCACUAUCUAGAAAAAGCAGAAUAAUGCAUCUGCACCAUUUGAAUGAAAAAUAAUAAUGGGGCCAAAAUUUUUGGAAUGAUGCAGCAUGUGAAUGAAAAAAUAAUAAUUAAAAAGGAAAAGAGGUGGAAUCUUGUUGCAUAAUGUCGACACAACAUGUGAAAAAGAAAUAAUAAAAAUAAAAAGAUAAAGACUUUUGGAUGGUGUUGUGCCAUCUGAAAAGAAAGAAGGAAAAAUAUAUAUUUAUUUAUGUGAAUGGUGUUGGUUUAAAAGCCUCAUCACAAGUUCUAUUUACUUUAAAGCAAUUUAUUUAUCAUGGACGAUUUUACCGCCUACUGCUUUAAGUUUUGAUUUAUGUGAAUGGUGCUGAAUUAAAGUUCUUGUCACAAGCUUUAUUUAUUUAAAUGCAAUUUAUUUACUAUGGCUGGAAUUACCACCUAUUGCUUUAAUUUAUUUAUUGUACUUAUUUUUUGUUAUGAUGAAUAUAUAACAAUGACCCGAAGUUCCUUGAUCAUAUCAGAACCUGCAGUUUCUUGAUCCUUAUCAUAUAAAAUGAUUGGACCCGAAGUUCCAUCAUACAAAAAGAGAUCAAGACAUGAAGUUCCUUGAUGAGUAUCUUAAGUUUGAAGUACCGCAGUGCCUCAACUUAAUUGUAAUAAAGGUCAUAAGAGUCUCAGUCUACACACUAUUAAAUAAGGACCAGAAGUUCCUUAUGUCCAUACUCAAAAUAGUUUAGCAGAAGCAUUUAUUAAGUGGAUGAAAUUGAUUACCCGCGCUGUGUUCAUGAAAACAAAAUUACUAGUUUUUACAUGAGUACAUGCUAUUUUGCAUGAUGCAUUAUUAAUUCGGUUGAGAUUUAUUACCAACUAUCAAUACUUCUUAGUACAACUCGUGUUUGGAAACCAGCCAAACAUUAUACAUUUACGAGUCUUUGGUUGUGUGCCUAUUGCACUACCACAAUGUACUGAAAUGAGGCAUCAUCGCUGAUUGGGUAUUAAUGUUGAACACCAUCUAUCAUUCAAUAUUUGGAACCCUUCACUGGGGAUAUGUUUACCGCGUGGUUUGUGAACUAUCAUUUUGAUAAGAUAAUUUUCCCGUCGUUAGAGGGAGAAAAUAACAUCGUUCCAGAAGAACAAUGAGAAAAUAUCAUUCCAGAAGAAUGAUGAGAAAAGACCGUUCCAGAAGAACGAAAAUAAUUUGUCUUAUUUUGAUUCACGAAGCAAUCAAUGUGAAAAUGAAUUUUUGAAUAAUUGAAUAAUGCAAUGAUGUGUCAAUCAAAUGCCAGAUGCAUUUAAUAAUGCAACGAAAGUGAUAAAAUCACAUAUACUUACUGCAAAUGUGCGUACAAGAAUUAAUGUCUAUGUUGGACAAUAUAAUGAGGCAGUAAAUAAUUUAUAUUGCAUACCUGAAGCGUGGCAGGCCCUUAGACUCAAAAGGUUCAGUCAUUCGAAAGAAGAAUAAUAUAGCACUACUAAACUAUUGCAUUCCCGAAGCAUAACUGUUGCAUGCCCGAAGCAUGACAGUCACUGCAUGGAUACACGUCAUAGAAAGGACAAUCCGCAGACAUGGGAAUGUUAAUGUCUCAUGCAUGAAUCAUGAUAGACAUAUAAGUUCCAAUGACUCAACUCUCGGAAGUGGAGAUUAAAAAUCCUAGCUCUAUAACGCUCAAGAAGAGGUUAUGAUCCACAUUCUCUAAAUUAUGACUAUCCUGGAAGAGAUAGUGUAAUGCCCUUGAAGAGGCAAUGGAUAUCCAAAAGAAAUAAAAAGCUUUUAUGCAUGCGCAUGCAUAUGAGAAUAUGGGAUCACGAAUUGAUGAUAACCAAUUGUAAUUUUGGUUUUACAAGUAGCUACUAAAUUCAUCAAUGAGCUGUGUUAAUAUUGAGUCCCGUUCUUUUCCGUCAACAAAAUUUAUUGGCCAAAAAUGGAGAAAGACAAUUCCAUUACAAUCUUGUAAGAACGUGAAAAAAUUGACUUAUACUUUAAUACAAUACAAAUAGCCAAAAGAUGUUAAACCAAUGAGGUUACAUUGGGCAUUUGUAAUACAGUGAAAUACAAUUACAUGAUAUGACACAAGGUUACUAAUUGAAACUUGAAAUUAUACUCUGGUAAACAAGUUCAUAUGAAUGGAGAAUUACAUACAAAAGGUUAUGAGUCGCCCACAUCAUAUCUCCAUGAGUAAAUCCCUCAAGUAUACAUGGAAGCAAGUUGUUCUGUAUAAAUUCCAAAGGAGAAUGUGUCAUGAAGUGUAGAAAAUCCCUGAAGGAUUCAAAUUGCUUGAAGUAAGCCCUAGAAGGGUAAAACAUAAAUUAUGUACUCCAUACCAAUGGAUGAUAUAAAUUACCUUACCGAGUGUUAUCAUUAUGAUAUUGUUGCAACAUACUAAAAUCUCUUGCAAGAGUCAAUGACAUUAAAUUAGAACUCAUGAAGAGUCAAUGAGAUUAAAUUAGAACUCCUAAAAAGUCAAUGAUAUUAAAUUAGGACUCCUUAAGAGUCAAGAAAUAUUAUCAAGUGUUGAGAGGAAUAUUGUCUUGAACUGCAGAUCGAACAAUAUGCCAACAUGAAUUUUAUCCAUAAUGUUUAUGAUAUUAAAGAAUCAUAUGGAUUGAAGAUUAUGAGUUGAAUACUCAAAUGAUGUAGACACUAAGAACGAUCAUUUAUUUUUCUGAGGGUAAAGAUAAAUUGAUAUUUGGUCCAGAAGUACCACAUCUUAGUGAAGUAUAUCCUUAUUGUAUUUGGCACAAUACAUGGAAUGAAAUCAUUUAUCUAUUGAUAUCUCCGAGAAAUUAUACAUAUGUGCAUAUAUAUGAGUUAAAAACAAACAAAUAGGAUGAAGCCUUCACAAAUGUUGCUCAUGUGAAGCCUUAGUACUCGGCAGUACCCCAGAAAGAGGAGGCACUGGAGAUUGAUCAUGUGACGCCUCAGUAUUUGGCAAAACACCAGAACGGGAAGGCAUUAGUUGCCUUCAGAAUCUAGCAACAAACCUCUGGUGAUCACUUUGAAUCUGACUUUUGGAUUCCUAUAGUUGGUCGAGCUUUCUCUUCAUGCUCGUCGAGUAAUUAUUGGCAAGCACAUGUAACACUCUAUUCUCGUGCUUGAACCCUCCGAUCUCUUGUUUAAGACUUACCACAUCAGCCAUCAAUGAUUCAACUUGGCGAGUUUGAGCAAGUAGGCGUUGGUCCAUAUUGGAAACAGAGCCAGCACACUGAACACUGAGAGUCAAUGAGUCUUGAACGGCCGAUUCAUCAGACCGUUUUGAAAGGAUUGUGUUAUCCUUUGGAGUGAGAAUAUUCCUAGCUACUACUGUAGCGGUUAUGUUAUUCUUCAUCAUAGAGUCCCCAACCGUAAGAGAACCAUUAGAAGAUAAGAAGGACAGGCGCCAUAUGUUAUCCUGACGCUGCUCGUCUGUAUCACUUAUAAGACUCAAAUCUAAGCAAAUGUUAGAUGGGCAAGCCAUUUUCAAAAAUGAUGAAAGAAAAAUGAGGUCAAAUAAAAUCUCAGAAGUGCAAGAAGAGGAAAAUUUCUACAGGCAGCAACUUUCCGAGCAUACAUUUUGAGCACAAUUAACGUCUCUAUAAAAUAAGAAGCAACAGAGCCACUUGUUCAGAGAUCGAAGAGACACUGCUCUCCGAAUUUCAAAAGCCAGAUGUUCCUGAAUAAAGUUUGUUAGCAUUUUUUAGACGCAAUCUCAUGUUUUUCGGAUAUCGCGUGCAACUUUAUCAAAGAUCUCUGACAAAGUUGAAAACGCGUAAAUUUUACUGUUCUAAUUACACCACAGUUGCUGACAAGAGUAAAGGCACAACACCACUACAUGUUACUUGGAAAUCUCUACAUAUGUCGACCUAUGUUCUCCAUAACAAGGCAGACCUGCAAGAAUAUUUAACUCUUCCUCAUCUCCAAGAAUGCAUCUUCAACAAGCAUCUUGAAAUACUCAGUUUUCUUCAUCUCCGAAAAUAUUCAACAAGCAUCUUCAACAAGCAUCUUGAAAUAUUCAGUUUUCUUCAUCUCCGAAAAUACCUCUUCAAAACAAGUCACACCAGAGCAAGAGUAUCUUAUAUCAUCAGGGACAAGAGCAAGAGUAUUUCAUAUCAUGCAAUCUCCCUGUCCUUUCCUUUAUCCUUGUCCUUACCUACCAAGACAAGGAUAAAGAAAGCAAUAUGUCGGAACCUCCAGUCUAACUUCCAGUAAGGAACCGACUGCCUGGAACCUUUCCUGAUUGCUUACCUAGCAUUGGUCUCGAGUAGUCAUCUUCAAAUGUCGACAUGAUGUUGGCUAUUUACACUAAAGCUGUCAAGCAUGAUGAGUAGCAAAGGUUUGCAUUCCACUCCUGCAUCAGUGGACAAAUACUACAAGAGAAGAGGCCACAUAUGCAUGGAGAAAAACCAAGGAAAAUACAACUUCUGCAAGGGGAACAGAUAAGGCAAGCAAAAAUGAUACAUUGAAACAUGUGGAAACAAGAGCUACAAACACGUGCCGAUUCAUCCCUGACAAAGCCGAAGAUCACUUGCCACGUGAAGCUCUUCGUGGUCCAAUUUCAUUCAAGAUCAAGCAUCGAUGGCCUUUGAAGAAAUCACAAGUCCGAUUCAAGAUCAAGUAUCCACCACCCUUGAAUCAAAUUCAGCUCCAGAUAAAAAAAAGUAAAUUCAGACAUUUGGAGGAAGUAUAGCAGAAGGCCCUCCAGCCCAGUUCAAGAACAAGCAUGUGGAAAGUUAACUACAAGUACAACACCUCUUUUGGCAACUCUUCUCGCUAAGAGACUGAAGCAGAAUGAUUAACAAUCAGCCUAAAUGAUUUGAAAUCAGGGGGAGAUACUCAUCAGGGAGAGCAUCCAAAACAAAUCAAGAUUUUAACGAGUCAAUUAAAUACUUGUGGCCAUCCAAGGGGGAGUGUUGUGAAUAAUAUGUGGAUGGCCCACAUAAAUGAUUUGUUACUAUUUAUGCACAGUAUUUUCACUAUUCAUUUGUAGAAAAUUUGUAAAGUGAAUAGUAUUCUCUUUGCUUAUAAAAUGAAUGAGAGGUGAAAAAGGAGGAUACAUACGACUGAGGAGAGAAACCAAACGGAAGAGGAAGAGAGAAAAGAGAGGAAGAAGAUAGGAGAUAAUAGAGAGAAUUAUUUUUGUACUCCUAUUAUUCCAAAUUAUAAAGAAAGCACCACUACUGCCCCGAGGACGUACUCCAAUCACAUUAACUGUAGAGGAACCUCAUAAAUUUUGUGUUUUGUUUAUUUAUUCCACUGCAUACACCGUCGAUUUUACAACAAUUACAUCAAUUUAAUGAAAAAGUUUGUACACAUCAAUUCAAAAAUUCCUAUUGAAAGGAAACAAAUUGCUGCAAUUGCAUUAGUACACCAUUACGGUACAUACCUCAACAAUCCCUAAUCUCAACAAUCCCCUCAACCAUUACACGAAAAGGUCUGACCUCAACAAUCUUCUAAUCUCAAAUCAAAAUUCAAAAUUCAAAUCGGAACUCUAAUCCCCAUUUCAAAAUCCCAAAUCGAAAUCCUAAUUGAAAUAUGACGAAUUAAAGGGAAAAUUUCUUACAUUGAGCGAGACUUGAUCGAGAGAGAGAGAGUCGGAGAGGAGUCGAGAGAGACGUGUGGUGUCGUGGGUGUGAUGUGUCGGAGUUGAGAUCGACUGAGAGAGAGAGUCGACAGAGGUGAAACACAGAGAGAGGUCGAGAGAGAGGGUGGGUGGGGCCAGAGUCGAGAUCAGGUAGUUUGGGCCUAAGUGGGCCGAGUCGAAAGAGACAAAAAUCUGGUUACUGGGUUAAGGAAGAAGAGAAGACGAACUGAAGAGAAGAUGGUCAAGAGAGAGAAACAGGCCGAGAGACAAAAAGAGGAGUUUCAAAAGAGAGAGAUAGGGGAGGAGUGGGAAAUCAGGCAACGGAGUUAGGGGAGGAGGAGAGCUCGAGGAGUCGAGAGAGAGUUACGAACCACUUACGCAACCAAAUUAGUCUCACUCUAUAGCAGCAUUGCCAAUUUGCCAGAAGAUAUUAAACUAUAGUAAGUAAAUUACAACCAUACCAAAAACUCCUGCAUUUCGACAGAAGUAGUAAAUCAAUCAUCUAACUUGGCCCUAACCCUAAAGCUAAAGUGUAUCACCAACCUCUUACACUUUACGAGCCAGGGUCCUCUGCUUGGUCGCGUGCUGUACUACUUUUUCCUCUACAGGAAGGCCCUUCUUCCGUCUUACACCGUUAAUUAGUUUCCUUGCAGUAUUGGGAAGCAUGCUAGACCCGUCACCAAACUCCUCAAUUUCUUCUUCUGUUUUUGGUACAAAGAAAGGAUCUUCUGGAAGUGCUUCCCAGUGACUAAGCACAAGAAGAGCACUUGCAGCACCAGCAGUCCAUCUUCUAAGCUCAUCCGCAAAACCAAAGCUUUCAGAAACUGGCACAUAUGCAUGCACAGUGAACAAUGGGGAGCCUUCCUGCAUUUCCUCCUUUAAAACUCUAGCCCGCCUUCGCCCAAGCACAGCGUACAUAGAACCCAAAUGCUCAGUUGACGUAUUCAACUCACAGAAGUACAUGGCCUCCACAAGCCGUGGCUUCUUUUGAAGUACAGCUUCUCUACAAGCAUCUUUGAUGGUUGUCAUUACCUGUCCUCUGAAGAUACCAUAUUGCUCAGGUUGGUGGUGGGAGGCUUCCCCUUCAUCAGACUGAGCCAUCAAUGGUUCAAUUUUAGCCUCGAUAAUAAAUGCUAAACCCCGCACAGGUUCAUCGCAUAAAGGUCCAGCUGCUGUCGCCACUUGAAACCCAGAUACUACACUGCUUUCAAGGCUCUCCGCCUCAACUAACAAUGUUUGAGCUACUUCUGAAGAUGUAUCAGCAGGUGUAUUGCCACUGCCAGAAGCAUCCACAAACCCUAAUUUUUGAGAUACAUGAGAGGAACCACAGAUGAGGACAGAGCCAUCUGAACCCUUUCCUUUGAGGUCUGGAGUAAGGAGGAUAUUAGGACCUACUUGCGAAGGGCCAAGCGCCCAUAUCCUUUUAAGUAAUUUUUGCCACUUUAGUUUACACUUCUCAAUCCUAUCCUUGUCGUCAUCACCACUAGACAGAAUAUCACUCUCCACAGCAUCCAUGAUACGUUUCUUCAGUGCUUCAAUCGGGUUCUCAUCUUCUGCAAUCCUUGAAAUCUCUGUGUCAAAACUUUUACUGGUCUGAGAAGCUCUACCUCCAAGGAUAUCUCCAAGUAAAUCAGAACUAUCUUCAAGCACCUUAGUUAAAGAGGGUGGGAGCUUUAUGACUUGCACCUUUAUCAUACACCUACCGUUUGCUGUCUUUUUCUCAACAUAAUCUGAGCUUGUACGAAAGAAUUUCAAAUUCUCAAGUUUGUCGGCUACAUUACCCUCAAUGGUCUCUUUAUAAGACACAAGAGGUGGAGACACUUCCAGGCUUACCCUUGCAAAUCUCUCCUUCAAAUCUUUUAUGCAUCUUUCAAGAUGCACCUCUCCUGCAGCAGACAGCACAUUUUCUCCCCUAUCAGAAACUGUUACCCCAACAAACGGGUCAGCCCGGUUCAGCAGCCGUAAACCUUUAGUCAGUGCACCCAUAUCCGCAGGAUGAGUUGGCUCAAUUGCGACUCUCAGAGUAGGAGCAAUCUGGAAAGCCAUACUGGAGAAAGGCCAACAGUUUUUUGUCGAUGAAAGUGUUGCACUUUUCAGUAUAUGCUGGCCAAGGCCUCGAAUUGCCACAAGAUUCCCGGCAUGGGCAGAGGCCACAUGUGUUAAGCCUUGGCCCAUCAUGAGAUACAGAGAUUGCAACUCAGCCACCUGCAAAUGCUUUUUCACUGACUCCCCUUUUAAUGGAUCAUACAAAGCCGAAAGCACAUAAAUUUUCUGUCCUGAAUAAAGAACCCCACUAAAGAUCCUUGCAAAUGCAAGGAAACACUCAUUCAAUUCACCCUCAUCACUUACGUUGUUUUCAAUUUCCCCAUCUAAUCCCCUCUGUGGAAGUACUUUCAUAGGGACAGCAAACAUUUUGGAUACAAAAGCAACACAGGGAGCUUCAGGGCUCGAAUCACAAGCUUCAACCGAUUUCCUCACAAGCUCCGCCUCUGCAAGCGCAUCGGAAUCAACCCCAUCACUCAAAACUUGUCUCUUUGGAAGCAACCGCCCUAUCCUAAACGCCUGUGCUGCAACUGGGUCAGGCAUACACCUCACAACCAUCGACAACACAGCAUCAGAAAGCGGAAGCCAACGACUCAUCACUGCUUGAAGCACAACCUUCUGAUCCUUGUUCUGAAGCUCACGAGGCGGCACAUUCAAAUUAAAGGACUUAAUAACUUUCUCAAGCAUCACUUUCCCACCGCCAUCAUCGUCCAAAGCGGCCUGAUAAACCUGCCAGAGCGGCUCAAGCACAAACUGAACAAACAUUGGCCUAGCAUUUUUCAUACCAGCUACACCUUUCUUCCCCAAAAUCAUCUUGGUUUUCGGAUUAAAGUACCUAGGUCCCCACAAAGCCUUUGUCAAUGCUGCCGCACUCACCCCAAAUUUCGAAGCGUAAAUCUCAGCAAACUCACUAAUGCAGAAACCCCAACCGUCCAAAGCACACACAAACGCCACAUUCCCUUUCUGGGGUUGAAACGUAUCUUCCUCAUCAUCCUCCACAUCCAAAAAGCUCAGAUUUUCAUCACUACCCACAUCCCCCGCCGGCCCAGAAAGUAUAGCAUCCACGUCGGACAAGUAUUUCUCGCUCUUAUACGCACUCACAAUCCAAUUAACCUCAUGAACAAUACGAACUAACCUCGUGUAAGCUUCCAUGGGGCUCAAUUUAAGCUCGGAGAUCAGCCGGUCGAUCUUGUUCAGCACCAAGCACGGCGUCAGCUUCUCAAUCCAGGCCUGGCGCAACACGGCGUGCGUCUGGAUGUGGACGCCCUCGACGGCGUCGACCAGGACCAGAGCGCCGUCGCUCAAUCGGGCGGCGGUGGAGACCUCGCUGCAAAAGUCCAUGUGGCCCGGGGAGUCGAUGAGAUUGAUGGAGUGGUCUUUGUAGUGGAGCGCAAUCGAGGAGCUUUUCAUGGUGAUGGCCCGCCUCUGUUCCUCGUCGAGAUAGUCCAUGAACCGGAGGCGCCCGGCGAGUUUCGGGUGGACGACGCCGGAACCGGUUCCGGCGAUUAGGUGGUCGGCGAGCGUGGUCUUGCCGUGAUCCACGUGCGCCAGUAUGCAUAUGUUUCGGAUAUUUCGGGUGUUAUCGGCCAUUGGAAGAAAUAUGAGAGCCGGGAAAUCGAAGGUUUCGGAUUCUUUUUUGGAGCAGACGACGACGACGACUUGGCCGCUCUGCGGAGGAACUUCUCUGGUUUGUAGCAAUUAGGGUUUUUCAGUUGUUUGAAGGGUAAAUCUGGUAUUUAACUCAGCCUUUUUUUCAACUAUGUUUUUUUUUAUUAGAGGUUCGUUCCUCACGAAAUAGAAAUUACGGAAUUUUUUUCACAUCGAUGGAGUAUUAAAUGCAAUUUAAGCACUAACCGCCGUUGUAUACAACUACUUAAGCAUCAACUUUACCACUUCGUGCAAACACGUCCUUAAAAAUCCUCCGUCAACAUCCGUUAGCAAACGUUUUUAUUAGAAGCACGUUAAUACUUUCACUGAAAACACCCUUGAUGCUUAUCCAAUGAAAAGUGAAAACUAAUUGAAGAAAAACAUAAUUCUUCAUUUCUUAAGCGACAAGGUACAUAGUCGGAACUCCAAGUUCUUGAAUAAAAUGUACGGACAUUUAACGAGGAACACAAACACGAAUAUCAUGACAAACAAUAUCUUCGGGUCAAGAGAAACAAUUAGUCCGAGCGCAGUACUAAUGAAUUCAUGAAUACAAGUUACAACGAUAAACAAGUGCUGGCAAAUCCAAGAAGGACAGCAUCUUAUCUCACAUUUGAUCCUGGUCUGCAUGCCUUCAAGUGUAAACAUUGCGGCUCAUCGAACGGGGGAGGCUGCGGUACAAUGUCACUCCCCUUCCCCCAACACAGAUAAAUACCUGAAAUAAAAAGGAAUAAAAACCAUAUGUAAGUAACAACGGGAGCAGACUCAAAGAAACAAGAAAUGGAAGCAGUUGCGGAAAAAAGCAGAAGCCAUUUUGGUCAAAAGUAGGUUUAUUAGACUCUGUAAAAAUCCAUCGCCAGGCAGCAUAAAUGUUGGCGGUGACAAGUAAGAAACUCCUUACACUCUUUAACAUUGAUUUUCUUAUGAGAGUUCUAGACCUAUAUAUUGCCUGGAGGUGUAAAAAGUAUAUGAUCGAGAGUACCGCAAAACGCUUAAUUCUGCAUCUUUUUGCCCCUACCUGCACGGGUACAGGGCUGAGGGUGGAUCUGCUCUCCUUUUACUCUAGGAUGGACUUUUACACACCACCGAUUCACAGUAAUGGGCAACAUAAGAAAAAUAGACAAAUACUUAAUGUGUUAUACCACCAUCUUACCAAUAGAGUAGCUUCAAGUCUUCUAAUCACGAUAGGGUGUGAGAUCAAUGUUGAAAGGUUGCUUCCCCUUGCUUACCCUCUAAGAAUUAACAACAAAACAGAAUAUCCAGGUCAAUAUCCAGUAAUAAAAUGAAAAAUCAUAUUAUUAACAACGAAACAAUCAAAAUGAAAAAUCAUUCUUGUUCUUUAUUUUUCACUCUCUAGCCUUGUCAGAGAAAGCCAGGGAGUUUUAGGAUGAUAGACUAUACCAUAUAAAAUAUGUCUAAAUAAGUACUUCUGAAUUGUUUGAAAAGUUGUUAAAAGAAUCUAGUAUUCAUAGUACAGCUAACACUGCAUUUCCAUGGUUAAUAUAACGACUAUAUUUUUGACUCUCCCAAGUAACCAAGAUGUUAUACUUUCCAUUUACAUGAAUUCUCUCAAGUAGUUUUUCAACAAUUAACACAAAAAUGAUCAUAAAUGUAAGUGCUCGUAUUACGGAAGGGACUUACAGCAAUUGCUAUGAGCUCUACCAGCAGUUCCUCCAAGUGGCGCAAGGGCUAAAAUCAUAAAUUAGAAGUAUUUUAAACAGUUUAACUUAAGAAAGUACUCUUUAGUUAAACAAUGCCCACAUAUUCAAACAUCCCAAAACAGGAAUGAACUUCCAGAAAAAAUGUGCAUGCAAAUAAGAAAGCAUUACUCACCCAUUGAGUUGGACCAUCAACUGGAGCGUUAGAAGGAUCAUCAUGUACCUAUGUAACCAAAGGAAAAUCUUAGCAACCCAAAAGUCUGUAUGCAAGCGUGAAUAAGUAUGUGUGUAUGAAUCUAUUCAUAAUGAAGAAGACUACCCUAAGAAAUAUCUGCAACCUACGUAUGUUAUGGUCAUACAAUGAAAAGCUAAGAAAGAUGAAUUCGUAUUGGACACUUUCGAAUUUGCAUGCACAUUUAUAGUUACAGAUAACUUAAGAGAAAUUAUUCAUAAAGCUCCUUCAAGUGAACUCAAAAUGAAUUCAAGUUACAGUUUGCAUUACUGGUAAGUGGAAUUAGUUAACAUCACCUAAUUUGUUUUAAAGUAAACCCCAGAAUUGAUAAUGAUAAUCCUCAGAGAAGGCGAAACAAAAAAUGCAGGCAUCAGAUUCAGAACUCAGAAGAUUACUUUACCUCCAUGAAAAUUCCAUCCACCCCAACAGCGACUGCUGUCCUCGCAAUGCACGGUAUCAAUUCACGAAGACCACCACUGGCAACACCUCCAUCGUCCAACUACAGGAUAAAGUAGGGUUCAGCCAUUUGAAAUGGGAUGCAAAAUUCGACAAUAAAAUAAUAUCAAACCAAAUUCAGCAUAUUAAAGCUGUUGAUGCUAAAAAAAAUGGUAGAAAUAUUGCAACAUCACCCUUAGAAACCCAUGAAGAUGAAUAAAUAAUAUUGGUUACAGAUUUCAAGUGAAAUACCACAGAAUAUAUAAUUUGCAGCUAUAAUAACCAUGCGUUUCUAAGAGAGGAAGCUGCAGAGCACAACAAAUGUUCUCACCUUUCUCCCAGCAGGCUGUUGCAAAGCAUGUGUGACGUCAGCAACCUGUAGUGAAACACUUGAGUUGAGUCACAUGGUCUGGUCUUCAGAUUGUUAAAUGAGAAUGGAGGCAGCAUGUUAAGAUACGGAAAAUUGGGACUGAACAAAUGCAAAAUACAAAAGAAUCAUCUGACAAGAACCAAGGUCUGAAAGCAUUAGUAAGGAGCAGUUAAUAGUCACCCAACUGAACAGGAUACAUGUCAAGUUGUUAACCAGCUUCUACAUCUAUAUUGCCACAUUACAGUCAGACGACUUGGAGUCUUGACCUACUAACAACAUAGAAACACAUAUCCCAACCUCUUUGUAAUUGACUUCAUACUCAACAGGCAACACUUCCUACAGAAGCUUCCUAUAGGUACAUCCAAUAUUCCUCACAACAGAAUUUCAGGAAAUAAAGCAAAACAAAACGAAAUUGAGUAUAAAACAACAACAGCACAUAAAAGAGCAAAAUUUAACAUUAACUUACCACAGGACAAUUAGCUUCUCUGAUCCACUCCAAAUUGCGAGGAUCAACAAUUAAAUCAUCUAUGAAUCAAAGAAGAGACAUAGGAUUAAUCAACUGAGUAAGAACAAUUUAUGAGAAUGAACAAAUAAUUUCCUAGAAUGUAGGUCAAUUGUACAUCUUAUACGAUAUGAAUGGGGAGUCAAUGCAUGAAAGUUUAGAAACAAAAAGGGGACAUAAUGCAAGCAGAAUUUACUUUCACUUGUGUUAAAGCAAUGGAUACAGAUAGCCGGGGCAAGCAUAGCUUAAUACAUAGAUGCUGUAAGACUUACUAUAGCCAAACAUAGUUCCCCUCUCACAAACCAUCACGUUUGGAUUUCCAGCCAGUCUAACCUUCUCGGCAGAAUUUACCAUGACCUGAAAUAUGAACACUUUGAAGCUUAAUAUCUGAAGCACAAGGAUACAAAAAUAUUUUAAAGAGUAGUCAGCGGAGGUCUAAUCAAUUAGGUCAGAGAGAGAGAGAAAGAGAGAAAGAUCACUCACAGAAGGAGCACAGAACUGGCCCUUCUUAAUAUUGAUAAUUUUUCCAGUCUUGGCUGCUGCAACUAGAAGAUCUGUCUGUCAUCAUAAGAAGUCACAAAUAAGAUAAGAUUCCAGCUAUUGCAUCCUUUCAAAACUUCCUUUUUAACUUUUUAUUCCUCUUUUUAGCAACGCAUCCGUAAAAACAUUUAAUGAAAAUAUCUGCUGGUAGGAGGCACAGUGUUAUUCCUUCACCUGGCGGCAUAAAAAUGCAGGAAUCUGAAUAAUAUCUGCAACUUUACCAACUGCUUCACACUAGAAAAAAAAAAGAACAAAGAAGAAACAUGAGAAACAGUUCCUGACCUGUCAAAAUCCAGUUCAAACUUUUCUCUUUAUCUAACAUGGGAUGGCAAGGAAGUAGACAAGGAUGGAUGGCUUUUUCAGAUGUGCAUGCAAGUAUUCAAGAUAGAACAUAUAGAUCUAUUCAUCGGGUUCAAGAUCAAGAAAUUUGUAAUGGAGUAGAUUAUAAUCAAUGCCAGAGUCUAACUUCUCGUUAUCCACAGUCCACACACAUUGUUACAGAGACAUAUAGUGAUGAGGAUAGUAUAUCCGAGUUACCCAAAUGGUACACAUUUAUUCAGCAAACCAAACAGUGUUUUGUCAAAUGAAAUUCGAUCAUUUUACUUUUUACGACCUUAUCUUUGACCCACAAACUUUAAAGCUUAAGCGAACAAGUAUACUUAGAACAAGGUCUAAACUUUUGUGUCUGAAGAGAGGAGACGGAAUGCUCACCUGGCUAGCUUCAUGUACAUCUGUAAUUAUAGGGAGGUCAUAUGCUGUUUUAACCUUCUCAAGGAUCUGAAAGAAAAAGGAGAAAUAAAGAGGAAUUGGUGAUUCUAACUUGAAUGUCUUCUAUAUUGAAAAUUACUGCCAAUUAAACGUUAAGAAAGAGAAAUCCUACUCUUGAAGAAUCAAACCAUGGUUUCUAUAUGCCCGUAGUAAGAACACAUGUCACAGAAGAACUUCUAACGUAUCGACUAACCACAAUGGGAAAAACUGAUCAAUAACACUGAAUUGAAGUCUUCUAAAUCUGAUGACACAAAUAAUCACCUUGAACAUUUAACAAUAUCUAAUACGUUCUCUAUAUUUAUUACCGUAUCAACCAAAGCGAUUCAUAUCUAAACUUAGCAUGAGAACAAGAUAACGAACAGUGGUCCACCUUUAAGCCUUCUUCCAAGCCAGGACCCCGGAAUGAUUUUGAGGACGUACGGUUGGCCUUGUCAAAGCUCGACUUGAAAACCAGUGGCAAUCCAACCCUACAAGAUUAAACAAUAAAUUAUCUAUCUUGCCAAAAACCGAAAAAAAUACACAGAUUUAAAUCCAAUCUUUAUCCCAUUUCGACAAAAUGCAUAAAUCCCAAAGAGAAGGAGAAUACUUUGUUGCAACACUCUUAAUGUGCUCGGCCAUCCGGAAAAUGUGCUCCUCGGAUUCAAUCACAUUGGGACCAGCUAACAAGAAAAACGGUUCGGUCGCCUGUAGGGAUUGAAACAAAAAAAAAUUAAAGUGCCAUUGGAGCAAUAAACCAUCCGAAUUUAUAUACCCUAUAACGUAAGACUUCAAAGAAUCCCAACAAAAUUAAACCUUGAGCUGGUUAUAUAGCAGAACUGAUGAAUCCAUAUCUUCCCACUUAGCUGAAACAAUACAAACAAACAACUGCAGCUACAGAUAUCAGGAUUCAAUCAUAACGCGUAAAUCAUUGACCACAUUACUCAAAAAUUGUUAAUUUAAUCAAAAGCAGUAACCAAAAUUUUAAUAAAUUUUCAUAAUUCUUUUUUUUGGGGGAGGGAGGGGCAAGAAUUUUGCUAAUUCAGAAUGUUGAUACUGUCGGAGAUUCAUUGGGACCUUUCCCGCAAUUUUCUGGGCAACCAAACAGAAAUUUAAACGAAAUUCCAAUGCGAAUUCAUACCCAACUGCAGUUGAUUUCCACAGACCUAUCAAGGAAAGAAAUCUACCUCACUUCAAUCGCGAAAACAGGGAGAGAGCGCUUCAGUGAGUGAGGGUGCAGGAAGAAGCAGAGGCGAAACUUCCUUUUUCUUUUUCUUUUUCGUUUUUUAAUAAAAAAAAAAAGUUAAUUAUGUCACCGACUCUCUGUCACUGUCGCUGUCUAUGUGAGGGUCCAAGAAAAUCAGAGGCCCAUGUUAGAAAUUGAAGGCCCAAGUCAGAAAAUUGUCGCUGAAACUGGAGCUCAUUUUUUUUUAAUCGAAUCUGAUGAGCUUUUUUUAGAGAGUGAAUUAUAUUGUUAUCUAAAAUAAUUUUUAGUAAAUCGGAAAUCAUUUCCACAUCUAUUUAUUUAUGUCUUUUGAUUUUAUAUUUAUUCAUUUAAAAAGUUAAAAAUACACGAAGAAGAAUUAAGCGUGUUUUUUUUGCAAGAAUCAGGUCGGAAAUAAUCUUUUAAAUUUUUGCUUUAAAAUUUCAUAAUUGGAUUGGAUCAUAUCACAAUUUUCAAAUUUGGAAUUUUGGGCCAGUUCAGAAAUUUCAGAAACGGAGUAAUUUAGAAAAUUUUAGAACAUAAUUUGGAAAUUCAUAUAUUUUAUAAGUUUUUUUAUUACACUCUAACUUUAUUGUUCAUGCAAUUUGUUGUUCUUCUUAAUAUUUGUUACAUGUAUAUGUAUAAAUUCAAUUUAUUUUGUGUUAUACUAGUGUGUGUUUAAUAUCAAAACAAUAAACAAAAUGUAUCCAAACUAAAUAUAAAAUACAAAAAAUUGAUUACAAAAUAUAUAAUUAGACUAAACAACUAUAAUAAAUGGGAAUAAUUCAUAAGUUUUUUUUUAAUGGAAAUGUGUUUGGACAAAAUUUGUAAAUGCAUUCCUCCAUUCCAAUUUCUCUAAAAAUAUUAAAUUCAGAAUUUUCAUAUUUGAAUUCGAAAUUUUACUAUCAGAAUCAAAAACACCACUCCAACAACUUUCGGGAAGAAAAAUCCUCGGAGGGUGACCAAAUUACAAGGUAUUAAGUACUAGUUUGGUACUGAGGUGCUUUUAUAAAAAGUAAGUAUCAAAAAAAGCUAAGCUCAAAAAAUUGUUUGGUAAAUACUUAAAAACAGCUUAUUUUCACAGUUUUUUGUGAAAAAAAAAGUUGAAAACGUGGAGCAGCAAAAAUGAGCUUAUUCUCACAGCACAGCAGAAAUAGUUUUUUUUUUUUUCAAAGCACAGCAAUACCAAACCAACCCUAAAUGAUUUGUGUGUGGCGGCGGAACGACUUCCGGCGACUGCUCUUAAUUAUUUCUUAUUGUCCACGGGGCCUAACGUCCACCAUAUUUUUCCAUCCCAAGAUGUUUUUCAUUAUUUUCAAGUUCUUAAAGAAAUCAAACAGUAAAAAUUAAUGAGGGUGAACCAAAAUUUUAGAAAUUUGAUAUAUGAGAGUUGGAUGUACGGAUGAAUAUUUUGGUUGUAUUCAUCUUUCUUGUCUUGCUGGUAUUAGAACGGCUAACUGAGAUUGUCAGAAUCCAAUCGCGCAAAUUCAACCGUGCAAUGCACCGGUGUAUCUUACACCGAGAGGUUGCAUGAAUUUUAACGAGUAGCAAAAGAAUUUUUUGACUCUUUAAUCGUUAUUUCUUAUCUGCAAAUCACAGUCUGAUACAUAUACAAACUAACUUAUUAAAAACACCAUACAAAGUUCUUGCACUCUUGUAGAUGAACAUUUGUUUGUUAGGAGAAAUGACUUCUUAUACGUAAGGGAUCAAAGUAUUUUUCCUAGCGUAAACAACAAAGAUGUAAAAUAAAAUUGGCUAAAAAGGACGAAAGUACUAUUCACUCUCCAUUCAAAGAGGACCUUGGGGAUGAGGUUGCCUGAAAAUGUACAGAAUCCAGCAUCCACUUCUUACCAAAGCUCGUCUCUUCGGGACUUAAACAAAAGGAUACAGUGUCCUAUGCAAGGGCUAGGGGGAUGGGGGAGUCUCAUGAACUCACACAAUAAUUCAAACUUAAAAGAGAAAGAACAAUGAACUAGCUGAAACUUUUUAUUAUAUACAUGUUUCAUUAAUUUCAGAGAAAGGUCAAAAAUCAACAACUUAUACAUUUUCCAUUUAACAAAUGCGUAACUAAAUGUCGAAUAUAUCCUCUAUGUUUACAUUACUUUCCUUGGCAUGAGCAUUUUGGGAGGAGCCAGAGACCUUAAUUCAGGUGCAGAACUAGGAAAAAGAGUGUUCAGCUUGUGCAUGAGGAUGUCGGACCUUGACGGAAUCUCAUUCAGAAGAAACUGUUGAACAAUGGGUUUCUUAUACCACUCCAUGACAGCAUCUCCUGGAGCCCUCAGCACCACUUUGCUAACCUCGAAUGGAGAUUCCACCGAGUUCAAUAUCUGUGCAACCACAAUCUUCAAAGUCGGUCCUGUGACCAAUUUAAAGCGUCUUGGGAUGACAUCAUAAUAUAACAUUCGUUUUCUGAACCUAUGGAGAGUAUGCACAACUGCUAUCAGAGCAGCUCCAACUGAUAAGUUCCUGACGUCCAGGGACCAAGCAAUUUGCUGAUCAAAUACUAUUGCCUUUGGGAAAAGAUUAUUCUCAUAGGCAACUUUCCAAACACACCAGGCUCGAUUUAUCUGCCCCAUAAGAACAAGGUAGUUGAGGAGAACAUUAACAAAGUACUUAGCAGGCCCCUCUUCCAACUCAUAAUCGAUACCUUGAAAAAAUUCCCUCACAAAAGAUAACACUGGUUGUUUCCUCUGUUAUGUGCCCGUGAAGAGCCACACAUAAAAGCAUGUGCCUUAUGUCUUGUGGCACCAAGUAUUGACAUCAAAUGCCUCUCAUGCUCUUCUUCCUGGCAUCUUACGAGAUAGGCUAGAAUGGAUGUGUAAAGUAUGAGGUCGACUUUUGCACCAAGUAUUCACAUACAUUUCUAAGAGAGGCUUCGCUGACUCAUUCAAACCACUCUUCAUACAUGACUCGAACAACUGUCUGAUUAUAAAAUUAUUUGUUCUAAUCCCUGAUGAGCCCAUGAAGCGCAACCACCGCAAGGCUACAUCAACAGAACCCUCCUUGAUAUACACCAUCAAAACAUCACUAGCGCUCACAUCAACAGAAUAACCCAUGGCCUUCAUCUCAAGCAAAAUCUUGGCAGCCACGUCCACAAGCUUCUUAUUAGCCAAAAGCAUCAAAAGAGAUGUGUAAGUACUUAGACCUGGUCUUAAACCUGCAUUGGUCAUUGAGUUAUACAGCUUCAUAGCAGAAUCUACUUGUCCAGAGGCAGCAUGCAUUUCCAAUAGACACGAAUAUGUGGAAGGAGUGGGUAGAAAUCCAGCCUUCUCCAUAUCGGUAAAGGUAGACAUUGCAGUAUCAAGUUUCCCUGAUUUUGCAUGGGACUCAACAAUCAUUGUGUACAACCCAAAGUUAGGCCUAAAGUCCACUCUCUUCAUCUCAUCCCAAAGCCUAAGGGCAGCAUCUAAUUUGCCAGCCCUUACAUAUGACUCAAUCAUAGAACCGUAGCCCUGCAUUUCCAUGUAUAACUUCAUCAACGUGUCCAACCGCCCAUCUUUUCCCAUUGAAUCAACAAGUGAUGCAAAGACAUUAAAGCUGGGAUUAAAGUUCCUUUAUUUCAUUUCUUGGAAGAGCUUAAAUGCAGCAUCAAGGCGGCCUGAUUUCGCCAAGUUUGGUACCAUCAACUCAUAGGUUGAUCCAUCUAAUGAAAAGCUUGCAGCUUGCAUGCUCUCAUAUACCUCAAAUGCCUUAUAAGGUAAACCCUUAUUUAGAAACAGCAAUAUAAGUGAAUUACAUGUCUGAGUAUCAACUUCAAAACCCGAAUCUUGAAUCUUCUUAAAGCAACAAAAUGCCACCUCCAUUUUAUCUGCUUUAGCCAAGAACUGAAUGACGCGAUUAUACGCACCAGAUGACAAAACCCCACUACUACCUGAAUCCUGCACCAUUUCAUCAAACAAGGAUUGGAUUCCAUUGAAGUCCUUACUUUGGUUUAGGCCAUCAAACAACACCACAUAACACUCGUCACUCGGCAAAUACCACGCCUGCCUCUUAGCCCAUCGAAACAAACUCAAAGCACCAUCGCCAUCCUUAAUAACCUUCAAGGCUUGAGUAAUGUGAGUCAUGUUUGGCACAAAUUGGAGUUUGUCUAAUUGGGUCUCCAAUUCAGGCCCCCAUUUCCACCUCUUCACAACCUCAACAAUCUUAGCAAUGGCAGAGGCAUUCAACAUCGGCUUUUUCAACCCGCCUACCAUCACAUGGUCAUCGAACCCUGGCUCGACCGACCGUAUACCUUUCCCGGUGUAAAUAACACUCCCUGAUUCAUCCAAAUACUCAAUUUCCUCAGUCCACUCAUCACUCUUCUUCCUAGAACAGUAUUUUCUGAUCAAAGGGCCUAAAGAUACCGGCGUUUCAACCAAAUUCGUAUCCGAAAAACCAGAGCCCCCCACAAAAUUGGGUUUUGCUGGUACAGAAAAAUUAUGAGAAAUUGAAUUGAAACCCGUUAUAGAGCUCCAUAACCUGAAUCUUCCUCCAUAACUCUGAAGUUCAUUUGCACAUAAAUUUGGGUACUUUGAAAGGAAACUACGAAAUGCAGGGCUGACGUAGGGUUUUUGGUGAGUCUACAAAUAUUUAUAGGGCAAAGCUUCCUCCUACAAAACAUUGAGUUAUUGGGUAUACAGAACUAUUAGGGUUUAUGGAGGUUGAAUGUGUUACCUGAUUGUUGGAAAGAUGCCGUCUUUACAGCAGAGCUUAAACCCUAGCUUUCAAUGGGCAGCUGCAGCAGACUGAAGUACUGGUUUGUACUGAGAUACAGUACUGGUUUGGUACUGAUACUUUUAUAAAAAUGGGUAUAAAAAAAAGUUGAGGUUAAAAAGGUGUUUGGUAAACACUUAAAAACAGCUAAUACCUUAUUUUUAUAGUUUUGUGUGAAAAAAGCUAAAAACGUAAAGCAACCAAAAUGAGUUUUGAAAAAAAAGCUGAAAAUGUGAAGCAACAUAAAUGUUGGAUUAUAUGUUGAAUGUUGGAUUAUGUUUCUUGUUAAACGUCGGAUUAUGAUUUUUUAAUAUACGUUGGAUUAUAUGUUUAAGAUAAAGUUUAUAAAUAUUUUUCUUUUAAAAAUAAAGUAUAUUUAGUAAUUUACCUUUAUUUGUUAAGAAAAUUAAAUUAAUGACACAUCUAGUAUUAUACAUUUUUGGUCAUUUCAUACAUUUACAAUUGUUUUACAUAAAAGUUUAUCAAACACUAUAAUACCGUUUUUUUUUUCCAAAAGCACUUUUGCAAAAAAAGUUUAUAAAACACUAUGCCACUUUAUUUCACAGCUGUUUAUUCUCACAGCACAACAGAAGCAGCAAUACCAAACCAGCUUGAAGUGUCAACCACCUACCGUGCUGCAAAUACCUGAAAGAAAGCUUCCUUUUUUAAUUGCACUUUGCACCCUGUGAUUUGGGAUGGUUAUCAAUUUGGUCCCUAUUUUUUGAAACUGUCAAUAGCAACCCUAAAUUAUCAAAAUAUUACAGUAUUGGCCCCCCUGUAUAACUACUAUCCUUUGAUUAGGAAAUGUGUGAAAUGGUUAUUUACAUCAACGUUGGGUUGCUGUGGUGUCCGCCGCUUGGGUCAUUUUUUCAUCAUUUUAUAGUGUUUGAGAAAAAACUCUUAUUUAUUCCUUUUAGGAUAUGUGUAAUUUCAUUUAAUGUAGAGUUUAAAUAAAUAAAAAUGAGUUUAACGUGUCACGUUAAAAAGUAAGGAAAACUAAUGAAAAGGGCUUGAAAACUUUGAGUUUUAAUGAUAAGGACAAAAUAAAGGGUAAAGUGAAUAGUACCAGGAUUGACUUUUAGUGUAAAAAUGUGGUUUUUCGUUAAAGUGAACAGUACUGGGUGCUUUUCAUUAAAGUUCCCUAAAAAGUAACAACUUACUUGACAGUUAACUGGAUCAAAAGGACAAUAGUCUAACAAAUUGUAACUUUAGAAUGGUAUAAUGAUUUAUAUUAAAACUGUAUAUAAGAAUAUAAUGAUUUAUAAAGAUCAUGUUUGCCACCACAAGACUCAUGUCUAUUUGAUUACAUGUAAAAGUCUAUAGAUAGGUUAUGAUACGAAUAACGUUCUUAACAACUUGAGCUACAAGUUAAUAAUUGAUUAGUUAAACUUUUGAAUUUGGUACGAGGUCGGAAGCAAAACGGGAUAAAAGAACAUAGAGAGCAGUUUUGAUUCUAAAAUCCCACAACUCUGAUGAGACUUUGGUGAAUGUUGCAUGUUCUCGAAUAUGGCAUUGCCUUCAUUUCUUAAUUUGUCAGAUUAAAGCACUAAUCAGCCUUCAAAUAGAUUAAGGAGUAUUAAUCCUUGGUGGGGACAUGGUGAUUAGGAUAACCCAUUGAAGCAAUUUGUGUUAAAGGCAUUGUACGUUUCGUAACCAAACCUGCAAAUGUACUUUUAACCAAACAUGUAAAAGAUCAUUUGAACAAAGCAAAUCCAAGCCAGUAAGCAAUCAGAACAAAAGUGAUUGUAACAAGCAUUCUUUUGAUGCAAAGUGAUACUGGGCGGCGCGCACGGUGGAGGGGGGAGGGGGGGACAUCGAAUACAGAGUAAACGCUUGUAAUUGCUUUAACUAUAAAUUCUCUUACAGUAUAUAUAACUAGUGGCGGAGCUACCUCGAGGCCAAGGUAGGCUCGUCCUAUGUUGAAAUUGUUUUUUCCUGUAAACCUCUACUACCAUUAAUCAAUUUUACCACUAUCAACUUGAAUUUGUAAUUGUGUGUGUUAGUCAAAUUAACUUCAAUCCAACAAAUACAAAGCCUUUAAUUUUUUACAUCAAAGAUUUGAAACUAUAGUUCUAUAAUUGAUCAUAUUCUCUGUUUCUUGCCUAUAUACAAUUUUUCCCCUUUGCUUGGUGACUAUUAUUUUUUGGUUUAUUUCUCAUUUUCCUCUAUUAUACCAUCUAAGAAAUCAAAAAGAGAGAAAAAGAUUUCACGUGUCCAAAUUAGCACAAAAACCCUUCAAAUUCUCUCAUUCCUAAUGUUUUUACAAAAAUGUUCUCCUGGUCUCCAUGAGAAAACGAAUAUCUGGUCACUCACCAUUGUGAUUGGUAUAAAGAGUGAAGAAUAAAUGGACUUGAUAUAGUUGACCUUGUAUAAUGAAUAAUAAAUGCAUGCAUGGUUACUCACUUUUGAAUUUAAUAUCAAGGUAACCAAAACGAACGAGACAUCUACUUUUAUUUAUAUUAUGUCCAUCUCGGUAUAAAGUGUGUCCCUCCUAACAUGAACUUCUAACUCUGCCGCUUCUCCCCUAAUAUGAAUUUCUGACCCUGCAACUUCGUAUAACAAACAACCAAUUUUUCAUUUGAAAAAUGCAUAUCCACCUUGUCUCUUGGUUUGGUUUUCCCCCCACUUAGAAAGAGAAUUGAGAGGAGAGAGAGAGAGCUUUGAGUAGAAAGGAAGCAACAGAAAAGGGCAGAGAAAAUCACACUUCGAUUUUUCCCAGACCAAGCAAGCAUAUAUUCCAGUUUGUUGCAUGCAAAAACAAUAUUAGUGAGGAGGCAAAAGAGAUGUUAUAAUUCACCUUCCUAUAACAUACACCUUCUCUUUGAACCCUUUUUGUAUUCCUUCAAACACACAUGUCUGAGCAAAGUGAAUGAAAGUUGGACCGCUAAAGAAGCAAUCUUUAUGGCCACCCGAGUUAACUAACCACUUGUCUACAUUUGCCCUUUCUUGUAGGCAAUUCUGGGGAGGUGAGGUCCAAGGCUGCUGCUCAAAUAUGCAAAUGCUUCCUUCUGCAUGCCUUGCUGCUUCUGGUUUUUGAGUUUUUUGUGGGAACUGUAGCAAAAGCAGAAGAGGAGAAGAAGAAGCUUAAAUUGGAGUUUUGGGUUUUGUUGCAAGUCAUGGAAACAAGUAGAAAUAACACAAGAGUUUGCAUUGUUUUUCUGUAUUUAACUUUGGCAACUAUUUCCUUCACUCAAUGUGGUAAGCUUCUUCCUUGAUUAGAUCAUUUUAGUACUUAACCACAUUAUAUAUACAGUGCUUAACCUCAAGUUGAGGGUAGAUUCUUAGGGAUGACCCGUGAUAUAUCCCCUUUUAAUCUAUAUUUCUCGUCAGGUGACUAAGUCACGUGAUGAGAGAUAUAGUAAGAGGUGGUCGAAUAACAUCUCGAUACAACUAUGAGACGGUUAAUUUUAUUUGUUGACAAGUAAUCCAUAUGUUUUGGUAGAGGCAAGAAGAUCAAUGAGAUUGCUAAAAGAUAGUCUUCCAAGUCCAACACAGCACCAAAGUCUGUUUCUCAAAGCUGCAAACAAAUUGAACUUAAUCAACCGCCUUGAUUUUCCAUUGGAGGGAUCAAAGGACAUCCAACCAUAUGAUGUGGAUUCACCAUUUACAUUGCCACCUUAUGAUUCUUUACCUCCAAUUUCCAUGCCUGAAAAUGCACCUCCAUAUUGUACAACUCCACCCAAUACCCCACAAACUCCCUCUACAACUGCCCCAACACCUAUUGUGUUAUCACCACCAACUCCCUCAUCACCCUUCGUUUACGUUCCCCCAACCCUUCCUCUCCAAAGUCCACCUCCAAGCCCAACAAGCAUUGUCCCAGGUUCACCACAAUCUAUCUCCACCCCUAAUCCACCGGAAACCUUCCCAAGCCCAACGGGCUUUGUACCCGGCACACCACAAUCCAUCCCCACUCCCAACCCGCCCGAAAGCGUCCCAAGCCCGCCUGAAAGCUUUCCAAGCCCGCCGGAAAGCGUCCCAAACCCACCGGGCUUUAUACCUAGUCCCGCUAUCUACAUCCCAAGCCCACCUUAUUUCGAGCCUAGCCCGCCCGGUCUUGUUCCAAGUCCGCCUUCUUCGGUACCAUCUCCUAUUGGGUUUCAACCAAGCCCGCCGGUGUUCCUACCUCCCAUUGUGUUCCCUCCGCCCACUACACCGCCGAGUCCAAGACGAGGCCCGACGGCGGCCCUGUGGUGCGUGGCUAAGCCAUCUGUGCCCGACCCCAUCAUCCAAGAAGCUAUGAAUUAUGCGUGUGGGUCUGGAGCUGAUUGCGCUUCCAUCCAACCCAAUGGGUCAUGCUUCAUGCCCGACACAUUGUUUGCCCAUGCUUCCUAUGCCUUCAAUAGUUACUGGCAAAGGACUAAGGUUGCUGGUGGCACUUGUUCUUUUGGAGGAACUGCAAUGCUAGUUACUGUUGAUCCAAGUAAGAGAGUACAUAUUUCAAUAAUUUCAUUCACUCAUUUCUUGUUUAGUCCCAAUACUUUUCCGUAUUGCAUUUUAGUUUAUAUAGAAAACUGAUCCAUUAUCUUGGUGACGUCUUCACAGGUUAUGAUGGGUGUCGAUUUGUUUAUUAUUGAUUUCAAAAUAGACUCGAUCACAAUGACAAUGCGGAUUUUUCUUUCUUUUUCUUUUUCUUUUCAACUUUUCGACAAGAAAAAUACAAAAUUUCAGUGUAUGUAACCCUAAUUUGAACAGGAAUUUUGUAAGUACAAUGUAAGGAUAACUUCUUGUUCAAUCAUGAAUACAAACUUCAAUAAUUUCUCAUGUUAUAAAUUGUAUUUUGUUGUAAUAAUGGGUAUGUUUGCCCACAUGUGUAUAGUAAUGUGUAUAGUAAAGUAUCACAUGUGUAUACUAUAUACUCAUAAGCUAAAUAGUAAUGUUUUGUAAUUUUCCAUUGAAGUAGCUCUAUAAAUAGAGCACUUCAAUUGUGCAAAGAGGAGUGAAUGAGAAGAAGAAAGAAAAGAGAAAUAUAUCUAAUAGCAAUAAUAUACAUUACUUCCUCUGCAACAGCUUGUGUCGGUAUAUUACUCUGCAACUGCUUCGUUCCUUCACCGAGUAAAGGUUAUCUCUCUAUAAAUUUUGCCUAUUUAUAACACGUUAUCAGCACGACUCUCUAAUCAUUUCUCAUUUCCUUUCACCGAAAGAAAAAAAAAUGUUUCCUCUAAGGUUUUUACUGUUCUUCUUCUUCCUCUCUCUCAAUUGCUGGGUAUACCCUCGCGAAGAACUGUUUGCACCAUGUUUACUUCUAGUUCUCCAACUAACAGUCACUUAUAUCUUUGAUUUCUUGUUUGGUGUAGAUAUUGACUACUAACCCACUGAUUAUUUAUGCAAUCCAAGAUUGUGCGGUUCUAUCGCCUAUCUUGGACUGCAGAUCUAAUUUUACUGCAAAUUUUACGUGGAGCGGUAUAAUCGCCCGCUCUAUCCUGCAUAUUUAAAUUUUCCCGUUAUUUAAUUUUAUCGCAAUUUUAGGUGGUGUGAAAUAAUCACCCACCCUGCUUUACAUAUUUAAUUUUAUCGCAAUUUUAGGUGGUGCGGUAUAAUCGUCCACCCUGCUUUGCAUAUUUAAUUUUAUCGCAAUUUUAGGUGGUGCGGUAUAAUCGUCCACCCUGCUUUGCAUAUUUAAAUUUUAUCGCAAUUUUAGGUGGUGCGGUAUAAUCGUCCACCCUGCUUUGCAUAUUUAAAUUUUAUUGCAAUUUUAGGUAGUGCGGUAUAAUCGUCCACCUUGCUCUACAUAUUUAAAUUUUCCUGCUGUUUAAAGUAGUGCGGAAUAAUCACCCAUCCUAUACUUAUUUCGAUGAGAAUGGUGCGGUACAAUUGCCCUUCUCAUUAAUUGUGUAAAUCUCGAGCCUGAAGUUUCGAGUACUUAUCAUUUUGGCCUGAAGAUCAAAAAUUUGUAAGAACCAGAAGUUCUAACAAUAUAUUUCUCCAGUACACAUAUUAUUGCAAGUUCUUACACACCUCAUUUUUCUUUCAGAAAAGAAAAUGGCAAACUUGGCAAAGCUUGAUUUUGCUGCCCUGGACAUUACUGGAAAGAAUUACCUUACAUGGGUACUGGAUACCAAGAUCCAUCUGGAAGCAGCAAAUCUUGGAGAUACCAUCAAGGAAGAAACAGCUCAUCCUCUCAAGAUCGGGCAAAGGCCAUGAUUUUUAUUCGUCGUCAUCUUGAUGAGGCACUAAAGAGCGAGUACUUAACGGUUGAAGAUCCGUUAGCCCUUUGGAAUGCCUUGAGAAGCAGAUACAAUCACCAGACAAUGGUGAUUCUUCCAAAAGCUCGCUAUGACUGGACACACCUGAGGAUCCAGGAUUUCAAAUCAGUGGCUGAGUACAAUUCGGCGUUGUUCAGAAUUACCUCUCAGAUGAAACUCUGUGGGGAUACUAUCACUGAGGAGAUGUUAUUGGAAAAGACUUUCAGCACAUUCCACGCCUCUAACAUGGUACUGCAACAACAGUAUAGAGCGCGAGGCUUCACUGAAUACAACCAGCUGAUAUCUGUGCUCCUGGUAGCUGAACAGAACAAUGAGCUUCUCAUGAAAAAACCAUAAUUCCCGACCUACUGGAUCAGCACCGUUCCCAGAAGUGAAUGUUGCUUCCCUUGAAAGGAAUACCAUAUCCUCUCGUGGCAAUAAUUACAAACGAGGACGUGGCCACAAGCAAGGUCGGUGGAAAGGGAAAAGCAAGAACCAUGGUGUCCAGUUUCACAACCAGGUUCCAAGGUAUAAUCCAGGCCCGAGCUUUAAAAAUACCAAUCGCCAGAAAGGAAAAGCUCAUGUGAACACUCCUAGAAGUCAUGAAGGAGGUUGCCAUAGGUGUGGUGGCAACGGACAUUGGGCGCGUACUUGUCGCACCCCAAAGCAUCUGGUGGAACUAUAUCAAGCCUCCUUCAAGGAAAAGGGUGUCGAGAUCAAUUUCCUUGACCAGGCUAAACCAAUGGAAACCCCUGAUCCAGUGACCAAUUUAUCAGGACAGUUAAACACAACCCACCUGGAUGCUACAGACUUUAUUAAUGAAAGAGGGAAUGAAGUUUAUGGGUCCGAUUGAAUUAUUUAUGUUUAAUGUACUCAUGUUAUUUGUACCUAUGGUUUAAUGCUCGCAUUUUCAAUUCAAUAAAAGUAGUAUUCCAGUAUGAAUAAACUGCUUUUUCUUUACUCAGAGAUCAUGGAUAAAAAUUAUGGUUGUUCUCAAAACAAGAUCAAUGGCGGAGACUUUUGUCUUGCAGAUAGCGCGCAACCACGCAUUCAAUACUUCGAGACCGAAAGUAUUUCUCGAAUUUGGUACUUGCAAAAGUAAAGGUAACAACAAUAUCAGGACCAUCAGAUGUAAUUGAAGGCUCAGGAAAAGCCCAGAUUAUGUUACCAAAUGGAACAAUAUUGUCUAUAAAGAAUGCAUUAUAUGCUACUCAGUCCAUUCGAAAUUUGUUGAGUUUUAAAGACAUACGUUUAAAUGGAUACCACCUUGAAACGAAAAGUGUAGAAAAUGUGGAAUAUUUAUGCAUUACCUCCAAUGAUACCCAGAAGCGUAUAUUGGAGAAGUUGCAUGGUUUAUCGAGUGGAUUGUAUUGUACAUACAUAAAGACAGUUGAGGCAUAUACUGUCAUGAACCAGAAGUUCAUUGAUUCAAAGGUUUAUAUGCUUUGGCAUGACCGUCUAGGUCAUCCAGGAUCUACCAUGAUGCGUAGAAUCAUUACCAACUCUAAUGGACAUCCAUUACUGAACAAACACAUUAAUGUCUCGAAUGAUAAUUCUUGCAAGGCUUGUUCCCAAGGGAAGUUGGUAAUUAGACCAUCACAACUAAAGGUUGAUGAUGAAUCCCCAUCAUUUUUGCAAAGAAUUCAAGGGGAUAUUUGUGGACCUAUUCAACCACCUUGUGGACCAUUUCGAUAUUUUAUGGUUUUGGUUGAUGCAUCUACCCGAUGGUCACAUGUUUGCCUAUUGUCUACUCGAAAUGUAGCUUUUGCGAGACUUCUUGCUCAGAUAAUUAAGUUGCGAGCACAGUUCCCAGAUCAUCCCAUUAAGUCCAUUCGACUUGAUAACGCUGGUGAAUUUACGUCUCAAACCUUUGAUGAUUACUGUAUGGCACUGGGCAUUAAUAUUGAACACCAUGUUCCUCAUGUCCAUACUCAAAAUGGUUUAGCAGAGGCAUUUAUCAAGCGGCUUCAAUUAAUAGCCCGUACUCUGCUCAUGAAAACAAAAUUGUCAGUUUCUACAUGGGGACAUGCCAUAUUACAUGCUGCAUCAUUGGUUAGAUUGAGACCCAUAGCCAACCACCAAUACUCAUCAAUACAACUCGUGUUUGGACAUCAGCCAAAUAUUUCACAUUUACGAGUUUUUGGUUGUGCUGUUUAUGUGCCUAUUGCACCACCACAACGAACUAAAAUGGGACCUCAGCGCAUAUUGGGAAUUUAUGUGGGUUUUGAUUCACCAUCUAUCAUUAGAUAUUUGGAACCUUUGACUGGUGAUGUGUUUACAGCUCGUUUUGCUGAUUGUCAUUUUGAUGAGAUAGUUUUCCCGUCGUUAGGGGGAGAAAAGACCGUUCCAGAAGAACGACAAGAGCUAACAUGGGUUGUUCCCACCUUAUCUCAUUUUGAUCCAAGAAGCACUCAAUGUGAAAAUGAAGUGAAAAUGAUCGUUCAUCUUCAAGGUAUUGCUAAUCAAAUGCCAGAUGCAUUUAAUGAUGCUUCGAAAGUGACACAGUCAUAUAUACCGGCUGCAAACGCACCUGCAAGAAUUGAUGUCCCUGUUGGACAAAAUAAAGUGGCAGCGAAUGAUUCAUCCAGUGCACGCCUGAAGCGUGGUAGACCCCCAGGUUCAAAAGAUUCAGCCCCUCGAAAGAGAAAGAUGAGGGCCCAAUUGAACCCAAAUGAUAUCAUUCAAGAAAAGGAAUUGAAUGAUAAAUCCACAAUUCGUGACUCUGUACUUCCAGAAAAAGAAAAUGUCCUUGAUGAGACACAUGUCCCUGAAGAGACAGAAGUACAUGAAAGCAAAGAAAUAUCCAUAAAUUAUGCAUGUACUAAUGAAUUGUGGGAUUGAAAUGAAAUAAUCAUCGAUGACAUGUUUGCAUUUGCAAUAGCCACUGAAAUUAUAUUAAGUGAUGAUAUUGAGCCCCGCUCUGUUGAUGAAUGCAAACAGAGACACAAGAUUGGCCUAAGUGGAAAGAUGCAAUCCAGGCAGAAUUAAAUUCCUUGGAAAGGCGAAGUGUUUUUGGACCAGUAGUCCAAACCUCAACUGAUGUAAACCCCGUAGGUUACAAAUGGGUGUUCAUAAGGAAACGCAACGAGAAAAACGAGAUUGCAAGAUAUAAAGCACGACUCGUUGCACAAGGUUUUUCACAAAGACCUGGAGUUGAUUAUGAAGAGACAUACUCUCCUGUAAUGGACACAAUUACGUUCCGUUACUUAAUAAGUUUGGUGAUUUCAGAAAAACUUGACAUGCGACUUAUGGAUGUCAUCACCGCGUAUCUAUAUGGAGAAUUAGAUACUGACAUAUAUAUGAAAGUCCCAGAAGGACUUAAGUUGCCUGAAGCAACUAACAAACCACGGGGUAUGUUCUCAAUCAAAUUAAGGCGAUCACUAUAUGGGCUAAAACAAUCUGGGCGAAUGUGGUAUAAUCGUCUCAGUGAGUAUUUGAUUAAAGAAGGAUAUGCCAACAAUGUCAUCUGCCCUUGUGUGUUCAUUAAGAAAUCAAAUACUGGAUUUGCUAUAGUGGCAGUAUAUGUCGAUGAUAUGAACCUAGUUGGAACCCCUGAAGAGCUCAACAAAACUGCUGAAUAUCUGAAAAGCGAAUUUGAAAUGAAAGACCUUGGGAAAACCAAAUAUUGUCUAGGCCUGCAGAUCGAGCAUUGUGUUAGUGGAAUUUUGGUCCAUCAAUCAGCUUACAUUGAAAAAAAUACUGAAGCGAUUUGGCAUGGACAAGGCUUAUCCACUUAGCACCCCAAUGGUCGUUCGUUCUUUGGACAUUAAGAAAGAUCAAUUUCGUCCAAAAGAAGAUGAUGAACUGGUCCUUGGUCCAGAAGUACCAUAUUUGAGCGCAAUAGGUGCUUUAUUGUAUUUAGCACAAUGUACUAGACCAGAUAUAGUUUUUUCAGUUAACUUGUUAGCCAGGUAUAGCUCUGCUCCAACAAUUCGUCAUUGGAAGGGAGUCAAAGAUGUUCUACGAUACCUUCGUGGGACAACAGAUAUGGGUCUCUUCUACUCAGACAAGCCCACAAAUGAACAAAUCCUUGUUGGAUACGCAGAUGCUGGUUUUCUCUCCGAUCCGCAUAAAGCCCGCUCACAAAAUGGAUAUGUGUUCACUAAUGGAGAUACUGCAAUUUCAUGGCGAUCAACAAAUCAAACGCUAGUUGCAACAUCUUCCAAUCAUUCGGAAAUAAUUGCUUUACAUGAAGCAAGUCGUGAAUGUUCUUGGUUAAGAUUAAUGAUCCAUCACAUCCGGAAUUCAUGUGGUCUACCUUCAAAGACAGACACUCCAACUGUCAUCCAUGAAGAUAAUGCAGCUUGUGUCGCCCAGAUGAAGGAAGGAUUUAUCAAAGGUGAUAAGACUAAACACAUAUCUCCAAGAUUUUUCAGCGCACAUGAGCUUCAGAAGGCUAAAGUUAUUGAAGUCAGACAAAUCCGUUCUAAUGAAAAUUUAGCAGACUUGUUCACCAAAUCUCUACCAAAGUGCACAUUUCAGAAGUUAGUACAGGGAAUCGGAUUACGUCGGCUUACAGAUUUGAAGAAUGCGGAAUCAGGGGGAGAUACAAUUCAGGGGGAGCAUCCAUGAUACAUGCAUGUUGUACUCUUUUUCCUUCGCUUAGGAUUUUUCCCACUGAGUUUUUUCUAUCAAGGUUUUAACGAGGCAACCUAAGCAUGCUCAACACCAUCCGGGUAUAGUUGUACUCUUUUUCCUUCGCUAUGGUUUUUUCCCACAUGGUUUUUCCAAGCAAGGUUUUAAUUAGGCAACUGAUGUUGAUAUGUGGGCAUCCAAGGGGGAGUGUUGUAAAUAAUGGGUAUGUUUGCCCAUGACACGCCCCGACCCUGAUAUUUCCCGAAUACCAAGACCGACACGUGCUGGCCGACACCCGGGGGUGACGAAAGCCAUUAAUUGAUACAAAAGCUAAGAAUAAGAAAUAAAUAAGGGUUAGAAAUUUAAAAUACAAAGAAUUUAUAAUUUAGGAAUGUGCUCAGAGCAUACAACUAAACCUAAUCACUAAAAGGAAUUAAGAUAAAAUUUAAUGAAUAAAGGAGUGAGUCCUACAUUCGAGAGGAUCCGAAGAUGCUGCUGCGGAAGUGCCUUUACGCCGGGAUUAGGUGCCUUGAUUCUAAGUCCUGAAUGGGGGCGCAAAACAAAAGGUGAGUGGACCAAGUUCAUAUAUAUAUAUAUAUAUAUAAUAAAACAAUUAUCAACAUACUAACCCCCAAAGUUUAAUAGUGAAAACUACUAGCAUAGUAAGUGAUGGAUUUAAUAAAAAUCCUAGCAUGCCAAAUAUAUCUCAAAAGUCACAUCGCGAAAACGCAUCGCGGAAAUCAAAACAGUAAACGCAUCAUAAAUCGUCUCGUAAACGCAAUGUGCCGCUAGAAAGAUCACUGAAUAAAUAUAACUCCCGGCCCAAUGCCUGCACCUCAGUCUCUGUGCCCGUAGCCAGAGAUAACUCCCUCCCGGCCCAAUGCCUGUCUCCGUGUCCCUCAGCCUUUCGCUAGGGAUUAUUUCUCCCGGCUCACAUGCCAACACCAGAUCCUCGCCCCAGGCGGCAUAGUGUCUACUAGUUACGCACAAAAUGUUACGCCUCUCGUAAAUACCACUUCAUAGUGUAGGUUACCGAUCAUCGUCUACACUAUAAAGAGGGGUUCAAAAACAUGUUCUAGCAUCCUAUCGUCAUCUAUCAGAUAGUCUACCAGUUCAUGGUUUUUAUAGAAAAUACGAUAUAUUAAAAUAUAGCUCAAUAUAGACUAACAAUUAAUUCCUCACCAAAACACGAGACGAUAAUCAAUAUAUUAAAUCAUCAGGCUUCACAUAAAUCCAAUCGUAAAUUCGUAGGCAUGCUAAUCAUUUAUGAAAUUGAAUUAUUAAAUCAUGUAAUUUUAGAAGGGGUCCACUCACAAAUAUUCCUUAGCAGCAGAGUCGCACGAAUUAGGAUUACAAAUUUCCUUAAUAGCAAUUUUACCUAAGCACAAAAAUAUAAUUAAUAAAUAAAAGGAUUUUCUAAAAUAUUGGGUUGAAUUAAAUAAAAUAGGGAAUUUGGGAUUGGAUGGGUUUAGGAUUUUAAAGGAUUUUAGGAACCUAGGCCUUAGGAUUUAAAAGGGUAUGGAAAGGGGGUGUGGGCUGAAGCCCAAACAUAUAUACUUUUAACACACACACACACACACAAGGCACAAGGCCCUCGGGCCUCACUAAAGAAAACAGGGCUUUAAGCCCUUAGGACAUAACCGGCCCUAGGCCCUUCAACAUUAAGGCCCGUGGCCUUUUGGGCUUUUAAAAACUAAAACUAAAAAUAAAAACUGAAUGGGUUAGGGUACUGGGCUAAGGCAAACGGGCUGGAGGCCCGCGAAGGAAAUGGGAGAGGCCGGUUGGCCUGUGGCUUGCCGAGGGAGAAGGCCGGAGCUGCUACAGCUCCGGUCACCUGAAAACUGGAGCUUCAAGCUCCGAUCUAGGUACGAACGUGAAGCACAAGGAGAGAGGAAGAGAUUUAUACCUUCCAAACGUCGUAACUCGGUCGGAGGUGACCGGGAAAGUCCUCGGGGUGCACGGGUUCACCGGAAAAGUGGGUGUGCUCACCCACGACCGUUCUGAAGCAAAAACCUACGUAAAAAGGUAAGGUUCAAGCUUCUAAAUCACAACCAAACCAAGAACUAGGUACGAGAGUGAGAGAUUUGAGACUUACCCGAACUGAAACAGGAAGAAGACUCGUCGGAGCUUUGCUCCGAGCCGUCUAUCUCGUCGGACAGGGGUCCCCGGGUUCGUGGGGAGUCUCUCCUGAUGGUGCUAAGGUCAUCGCGAGUCCAGGGGGAGGGAGAGAGAGGAGAGUUCGAGGGAGAGAGGGAUGCGGGAGGUUGAGGGAGAGAGGGUGAGAGAGCUACGGGGAGAGACAGAACACGAAAAAGAAGAAGAAAAGAGGAAGGGGGGGUUCACGGGGAUACAAAAAUAAGAGGGGUGGGCCCCUUGGCUCACCAAUUAAGAACUUAAAAAAAAUAUUUUUAAAAAGAAUGGGGGUGGGUUUUAACAGCCCACAUAUGUAUAGUAAUGUGUAUAGUAAAGUAUCACAUGUGUAUACUAUAUACUCAUAAGCUAAAUAGUAAUGUUUUGUAAUUUUCCAUUGAAGUAGCUCUAUAAAUAGAGCACUUCAAUUGUGCAAAGAGGAGUGAAUGAAAAGAAGAAAGAAAAGAGAAAUAUAUCUAAUAGCAAUAAUAUACAUUACUUCCUCUGCAACAGCUUGUGUCGGUAUAUUACUCUGCAACUGCUUCGUUCAUUCACCGAGUAAAUGUUAUCUCUCUAUAAAUUUUGCCUAUUUAUAACAUAUUUUUUUUUUUUUGGUAUUUUAUGCAAACUUUGUUAGGUUCAAAGCCAAUGACUCAACUGAUCAUGACAAAUGUGCUUUUGUUACUGCCAAACAGCUGCAAUCCACUUACUAAUUAACAUAGAUUUGGAAACAUCUUUUAGUAUUAUGAUAAUGUUCUGAUGUGGUUGAUCUACUAGGAUAUUACUCCCUAUGUUUGGAAUUGUAUACUCCUUUAUCCAUAUCUAUGGCCCUCACUUAAUAGAAAGAAAAAACUUCAACUAAUAAUAUUUGACAUGAUGAAACCGAAACAAGUAAUUAAGAUAAAGUCGGGUUAGCAACAUAUUUAGAAAUCACAUCUUAUUAGUUCUUAAUGUAAAGUUCAAAACUUUUUACGAUAAAAACAAUGUUUGACAUGCAAAUUUUUUUACUUCAGUUGAUUUAAUGCAUAGUUCUAUUAGUGAAGUAUUUUGUCGAAUACUUAGUAGAUUUAUUGAUAUCUAAUGAAACUGUUGACCUCUACCUACAUUUGCUGAUCAGGCAUUUCAUCAAACACUUGAUGAUCACCACUGGGCCUUGUACUUAGUGAAUAUCUUUAGAGAACUUGUUUGUGUCUUAUAAGUAUCAUACUAAAUUUAGUUAAGAACUCAACAAUAACUGAUAAAAACUAGAAAACAAAAGAGGAUAAAAGAGAGUGAAAGAAAGAAGCAAUAGGGUUAUGUCUCAUGCACCCGCCCACACCCAACCAAUAAAUUUGGACGUUUCCCUCCACAUUACCCGCCUCACUCACCGACAGAAGUCCACUACUCCGCUUCCUUCCCAAACUCCGAAGCAAGCAAAACAACUCACGCAAAAGCCCUGAACCCGCCGCCUCUCUCCCAACCAUUUCUCACUCUCUAGGCGGCGCCGCCACCCUCAACGCCCACUACAGCCACCGUAAUGUCGGCCUCAAUCUUCGAAGACGGCUUCUCCUCCGACCGGCUCUUCAACCAGGGCUACUCCUACACAUACGAUGACGUCAUCUUCCUCCCUCACUACAUCGACUUCCCCACCGACUCCGUCCAUCUAGCCUCCAACCUCAGCCGCCGCGUCCCUCUCUCGAUUCCCUGCGUCUCGUCGCCGAUGGACACAGUCACCGAGUCCCACAUGGCCAUUUCGAUGGCCGCACUCGGCGGCAUAGGCAUCAUCCACUCCAACUUGACGUCGUCCGAGCAAGCCCACAUGGUCCGGUCCGUCAAGUCCCGCCGGGUCCCGCUUCUUUCGAGCCCCGUCUUCAAAUCCCCAAGCGAUCGAAUCCAAUCUGACGACGUUUUCGACGCUUCGAAUCCCUAUGUCCUGGUUACUGAGAGUGGCAGCCCCAAUUCGAAGCUUUUGGGGUACGUGGCGGGCAAGGAUUGGGUGAAAUUGGGGGACAAGGAGGUGAAGAUUUACGAUUACAUGGUGAACUGUACGGACUUCACGGUGCCGUGGAGUUACGAUUUGGGGGCGAUUGGGGAGUACAUGGAGGAGAAAAAGCGAGAUGUGGUGGCGACUGUGAGGGACAAUGAGGUUGUGGAUGUGGUGGCGAAGGAGGAGGUGGAGAGGAUCAAAGGGUACCCCAAGUUGGGGGUUGGGACGGUGGGUCCGGACAGGACGUGGCGGGUCGGGGCGGCGAUCGGCACAAGGGAGUCGGAUAAGGAGAGAUUGGAGGAGUUGGUGAAGGCAGGGGUGGAUGUAGUGGUGUUGGAUAGCUCUCAGGGGAACUCCAUUUAUCAGAUUGAGAUGAUAAAGUAUGUGAAGAAAAUGUACUCGAGUUUGGAUGUAGUUGGCGGGAAUGUGGUGACGGUGAGUCAGGCGCAGAAUUUGAUUCAGGCUGGUGUUGACGGGUUGAGGGUUGGAAUGGGGUCUGGCUCAAUUUGUACCACUCAAGAGGUUUGCGCUGUUGGUCGUGGGCAGGUAUAAAGAUGCCUUCUUUUCGUUAGUUGUUGCUUUUGUGAUUGAUACUUUAGUUUGUGUUCUCAUUGUUGCGGCUAAUUUAAAGAUUUGUAGAAUCUGGAGGUGUUGAAAGUUAUCAUAUUUUUAGUGAUCGGUUUAAUUUCUUGAAUUCUUUGUGGAUGAAAAAUAUUUGAUUAAGGAUUUGUUAAUCUAUGACAUUGUGCCUAACAAUCGUUGUUCGGAUGGGUGUUUUACUAUUUAGUUACUAGAUUCUUCGGAACAUAGGGCAUAGAAAACAAAGAUUCGACUUUAGCUUCUGGCAGUGACAACCCUUUGAUGGACUAAAACAGUGUAGUUUCUGGCGUGAAAAAAUGUAUAAUUACAUUUUGGAACAUGUUGAAUACUUUGUUUGACGUUUUGUUCCUCAGGUUGCUCAAUGCUAUACCAUUUUAUGACCAAAGUUGUUUUGGUUUUGGUGAUAUUUCAGGCAACUGCUGUUUACAAGGUUGCAUCUAUUGCUUCACAAAGUGGUGUGCCUGUGAUUGCUGAUGGUGGAAUUUCCAAUUCUGGACACAUUGUCAAGGCUUUGGUCCUUGGGGCUUCUACUGUCAUGAUGGGAAGCUUCUUAGCUGGAAGCACUGAGGCUCCCGGGGUUUUUGUGUAUCAGGUAUGUCUGGGACUUACUCAUGUUUUUAUUGCUGGAACAGGUAUAUUGCUCAUACCAUAAGAUAUUAAAUCUACUUGAACAUUGUGGAUGCAAAUUUCUCCUCCUUGAUCUUGGACAAAAAUGCACCUACAAAACAAAUAACACCUUAGGUCAAGGCCAAGAGCCUCACGCGCCCACGAUGAAUGAGGGGGCUUUGGUCGAAGAACCUCCGAUGCCAAAGUUAGAAUUUAAAGAGAAAAAUGUUUGAGAGUUUUGGAGAAUUUUAGCAAGAGUGAAGACUUAGGUUUUUACAUAAAAUGGGGUUCAAUAUAUAAAGCAUGGCUAGUCCCCUUGGGAGAGAAGGUGGCCGGCCCUUUGUGUAUUUUUUUGGUGUAAUUGGUAGUUUAAUUAGCCAUUUAAUAGAUUAAUUAGGUAAUAAAUCUAUUAAUUAGCUAAUUAACAUAAUUUCAAAGGAAUGUUUUGGAGGUUACCUUGUGGAGAAGAUAUGUUGAGGAUAGAUGAAAUAGGUUUAAAAAUAAAUACCUAUUUGGGCACCUUUGACUUGAUUGAGGGAUAAUUGUCCACUGCUCGCGCGUAAGAAUCCUGAUGUGCCUUGAGGGUAAUUUUGUCCUUUUUAUCAAAAAAUCCACGUGUCGCCUUUUGAUUAUUUUUGGCUCCACAAACAUUUUCGUUUGUAUGAGUGCUUACUACACAUGUCUUUUCUAGUACUUUGACAACUUUUUGAGCGGUUUAAGGAGUUUAUUAGGCAGAAUUAUGGAUACUGAAUUGCAAAUGUGAUUGGUAAAGAAACUUACCUAGAAGAUAUGUGUUUCUAAGUUUGUUAUACAUCCUGAGUUAUUUCUCAUCCUUUUUGGACUGCAUCAAUAUUGUUCGAUGAUCAAUCAUUGAUGUGUUAUGAUUUGCCAUCAAAAUUUAAUGCUUUUACAUCAUUAGGAGUGCCAUCGGUAUGUUUGCAUGGACUCUCUCUCUGAUGGCCUGAACUUAGUAAGUUUGAAGCCCACAUACAGUAAGGGGUUAACCCAAGUGGCAAAAUGGGUUAGGAUUAAGGCUAAAUAAGGGUCCAGUUCCUUGAAAUUGUGAUUGGGUUUUUCAUGGAUGCAUGUCAAAGCUAAACUUAUGCGGAACUGUAUUGGACAUAGUAUUUCAUUUCUGUCUUUCCCUUUUUUUUUUUUUUUUAUUAGGAAAACUAAUGAAAAGGGCUUGAAAACUUUGAGUUUUAACGAUAAGGACAAAAUAAAGGGUAAAGUGAAUAGUACCAGGAUUGACUUUUUAGUGUAAAAGUGUGGUUUUUCAUUAAAGUGAACAGUACCGGGAGCUUUUCGUUAAAGUUCCCUUUUUAAUUUUUAUGGUAAUUAGCUUAUUAAGCAAUUUUAACAGAGGGUCUUCGCUAUCUAACCUACGACCCACAUGAUGUAUCUUGCUCUAUUUCUGAACUAAAGUAAAAGUUGUCUAUAUAAAUUGCACUAGAUUUCUUUAAUAAAAUUGUUUCUUCUCAAAAAAAAAAAAAAAUGCACUAGAUUUUCAGUAUACUUGUCUUUUAUAAGCAACAUGCUGUUUGUUAUUUCUUUGUCAUUGUUAAUUAGAUUUCUGCGUGCUUAACCUCUAUUAAGGAAACAGUUUGAUAUAAGUGAUUUCAUGUUUUCUAUUAGAAUGGUCGCCGAGUCAAAAAAUAUCGAGGCAUGGGAUCUCUUGAAGCAAUGACAAAAGGAAGUGAUCAGAGGUACUUGGGUGAUACAGCUAAGCUGAAAAUUGCACAGGGGGUAGUUGGGGCGGUUGUAGACAAAGGUUCUGUUUUGAAGUUCAUACCAUACACAAUGCAAGCUGUGAAACAAGGUUUCCAAGAUCUUGGUGCUUCUUCAUUGCAGUCCGCUCAUGACCUCUUAAAAUCAAGCGUUUUAAGGCUAGAGGUAAGUAGACCAUUUUGCAGACGUUGUUGUGAUACUCAUAACAUCGUUAUUAAGGAUGUCAUUUUAGUUUUAUGCUUUAAAUGAGAAUUGAUAUUGUAGCCAAUGUUUCUUUCGAUAACUUACUUCUACUCUUUCAUAGUCUGUUCCAUACCAUGUUGUAUUCUUGUUCAACAAUAUUAGGUUAAACUACCAAAAGGAGUGGGGAAGAAACCUAUUAAUCUAGAGUAUUGUCAUUCUGUGUCACUCAUUUUCAGACACUUACUUACAGAAAAGAAACCUGUAACCUCUCGCGGUUUUCACUGACCCCGCUUACUUCUUAGAUAGUUUUCCAUCCCCAUAUAUUACCUCAGGAAAAGCGCACUACACGAUUACCUUGUUGUUGCUCAAGGAAUCUGAGAUGUAAUGAUGGUCGUAUCAAGAACUAAUAUGGUUUCUCAAUCAGUUGACAAUGUAUUUUACUAUGCAGGUAAGAACAGGAGCAGCACAAGUAGAAGGUGGAGUUCAUGGUCUGGUUUCUUACGAGAAGAAAUCGUUUUGAUGGUUAUAUCUUUUCAGCUUUUCUCAUUCCUGCCGGUGACUGCUGUCUUGGGGAAUUGGUGAACUCUUCCGUGUUCCAUGUUGCAUCUGAUAUCGCCAAUUUAGCAUGAAUAACAAGGGCGAGCCUGUCAAACUGCUACUGGGUCUUUCUAAGCAGCGAAAGUUUUGGUCUCAAACGGUUCUCUGGUAAUUUUGUUGGUUGCCAUGAGAGCUCCCAAUCUGCCUGCAUUGGUUUGACUCUGCAUUUAAAACGUGACAUAUGACCAUUUAGAAUUUAUCUAGUUAUGUUUGUUACUAGUUUUCAUUAGGAAUCAUUAUUAAAUAAUGCGGUUUCAAUUGUUUACAACAUAGUUGUUUUUGUUUUUUUUUUUUUUUUUUUUUUAAAUAUAAGUUUUUAGGCACAUGAGCAAACAGAAAAGGGAGAGAGAAGCAGAGACAGCCGCUAAAUAUUAGAUGUUACAAACUAGGGGUGGAAUAAAAUACCAAAAAAACCAAACCUACCGAAGCCGAACUGAACCGAAUGGACGAUACCGAAAAUUUUGUACCCGAAGCUGAACCGAAACCGAAAAUUUCGGUAAGAGAUUUGGCAUGAAAUUUAGAUUAGUUCGAUAAGACCAAACCGAACUAAAAUAUAUAUAUAUAUUGUUUUAAUUUGUAAUAUUAAUUUUUUUAUAGUCAUUGGAUUUAUCUCAAUCGUUCACUCAAAAUCAACCUUUUACUCUGGACCUCAUCUCACUCAGAUCACUCUCUCCCGACUCUUCCUCCCAACCUUGAACCUCGACUCCUUGAGCUCUCCUCCUCCCCUAACUUCGUCGCCCGAUUUCCCACUCCGGCCACCCAUGCCACUUCACAAUGACCUCCACAACUAACUCUUUUUUGAAACUCCUCUUUGUCUCAAGGUCCAUUUCUCUCUCUCGACUCUUUUCUCUUUCAGUUCGUCUUCUCUUCUUCCUUAACCCAGUAACCCAAUUUUUGUCUUUCUCGAUUCAGCCCAUUUGAGCCCAAACCACCUGAUCUUGACUCUGGCCCCACCCACCCUCUCUCUCGACCUCUCUCUGUGUUUCACCUCUGCCGACUCUCUUCGGUCGAUCUCAACUCCGACACAUCAUACCCACAACACCACAUGUCUCUCUCUCUACUCCUCUUCGACUCUCUCUCUCGAUCAAGUCUCACUCAAUGUAAGAAAUUUUCCCUUUAAUUCGUCAUAUUUCAAUUAGGAUUUCGAUUUGGGAUUUUGAAAUGGGGAUUAGAGUUCCGAUUUGGAUUUCGAAUUUUGAUUUGAGAUUAGAAGAUUGUUGAGGUCAGACCUUUUCGUGUAAUGGUUGAGAUUAGGGAUUGUUGAGGUCUGUACUGUAAUGGUGUACUAAUGCAAUUGCAGCAAUUUGUUUCCUUUCAAUAGGAAUUUUUGAAUUAAUGUGAUCAUAGUAAGAUACAAACUUUUUCAUUAAAUUGAUGUAAUUCUAAUAAUUACAAGUAUUUUUGCCCGGGAAAUGGAGAGGAAUAGAGCACAUGAGUUUAGGCCCAUAGCUUAACAUUUGGGGCUGAAAAGGUUUGGUUUUGGUAUUUCGCCCUCUUUUUCCGAACAAUUUCGGUUCAGUUUUUGAAACGACCAUUUCGGUUCGUUAACCUAAACCAAACCACCCCUAAUUAUAAGUAGUAUAUAUUCGUACUGUCGUUUUCUCUUUAUCGAUUUGAUUUAUUAAAUAUAUAAAAGAUUAAAAAAAGAGGAGUACGUGGAAGAUAAACGUUAAUGAGGAAAUCACCUCUUAAUCAUUAGUCUACCACGCUUGCAAGUGUAUUCUAUAUAAGUGACAAAUGCGCGAUUUACAAUUAGUACAUGAUGUUAAUCUUUGAACUUUCUUAGUUAGGAGAAGUUUUUUUGAGUAUCCAAUAUUUAAGCAAGUACUCCAUGUGUUAUAAAAUAAAGACACAAAAAAAAAAUAUAUCAUUUGCUUCACUUGUAUUAUGGCAUGCAAAGUAUUGCUUAAAUACCCUAUACUUAACCAAUUGAGUUACAAGUUUUAUUAUUUAGCCAUAUUUAAAAGAACGAAUUUAGUAAAAUCCGGGAUAUAUGUAUAAUAGUAAGAUGUCUAGAUGAUUAUUUGUCAAAUUGUCAAAUGGUACCAUUAUUGAUCGUAUAUUUUUAUAUUAGAGUAUGUCAUUCUAAUCCUCCUUAAAAUAAGGAGACACUAUUUUUGAAACCAAAUCAAGAAUGAGACACUAUUUCUAAAACUAAACCAAUAGGUGGAAACUAUUUAUGAAACUAGACCAAGAAAGAAACACUAUCUACGAAACUAAACCAAGAAAGAGACACUAUUUAUGAAACUGUACCAAUUGCUAUACACUAUUUAUGAAAUUGGACCAAGAACUAGACACUAUUUAUGAAACUGGACCAAGAACAAGGUCACUAUUUAUGAAAGUGGACAAAAAACUAGGCACUAUUUAUAAAACUAGACCACUAUUUAUGAAAGUGAAACAAGAACUAGACAAUUUUUAUGAAAUUGGAUCAAUAAGGAGACACUAUUUAUGAAACUGGAUCAAUAAGUAGACAUUAUUUAUGAAACCAAAUCAAGAAUGAGACACUAUUUUCAAAACUAAACCAAUAGCUGAAAACUAUUUAUGAAACAAGACCAAAAAAGAAACACUACAAAAAAAGUAGUCAUUACCGACGACGAUUUUCUGAGGGCCCAAAAAAACUGUUGUAAAAAACACAUUUUGCGACCAUAAAAUAUGAGCCGUCGGUAACAUGGCAUGAAACAAAUUUUUAUUACCAACGCACAUGAUGUACUCGGAAAAAGUCUCAAGUUUCCUCGGAAUUGUACUUUUGUUUGGCGGGAAGAACUGGCGCUAGUUAUAUUAACGACGAGUAAAGUUCUUAUAGGAAAUAGAAUGGUUAUUUCUGAAGGUUUACUCAUGUUGACGAAAUUGAUUUAGUAUUUUCGAGGGAAAAAAGUCUUCUCGGUAAUGUUUUUAUAUUUUUGAGGGAAAAAAAGUUUUCUCAGUAAUGAUUUUAUAUUUUCGAGGGUGAUUAGUUGUUGUCAAAAGUAAUCAUAUUUUUUCCGACAAAAUUUUUUCUUUGUCAGAAUAAAUUUUAAGGCAUAUGGUUUUGUUGGAAUCAAUUAUUUACUAAAGGUCACAUGUGUCGUUUGAAUAUUCUUGAAAUAAGUUUGAUGCUUAAUUUAAAUUCUACAAUAAAUAGAUUAUAUAGCUUAGAAUACAUAUGGAGAAAAUUGGACCAUAAAAUUAAAAAUAAAACCAUUGAGCAAAAAGGUUUAUAACUUAAUAUAGUAUUCUAUGAUAAAGAAAUAAUUUGCAUGCCUUUGUUAAAUCAUAACAUUUGUCAUGGACAUUGAACAAAGUAUAACCACAUCACUUCCACAACUAAAUUUUCAGAUAAAAAAAAAACACACACAAUCACAAUGAGAGCUUAUCCCACAAUUUCAUCAUCUUCGUCAUCAUUUUGGUUGGCUUGAAUACCCCCAUGCGCCUCUUCUUCUUGGUAUGGCUCAUCAUCAUCAUCAUCAACAUUAGGCAUCUCAUAAACAUUUCUAGGCUUCGUUUCCACCACAUAACUCCAAGUCUUGUUUUUAAUCUCUCUCACAUAAAAAGCUUGGGUUGCUUGGUUUGCCAGCACAAAUGGCUCUUUAGUAUUCAACUUGCGAGUUGUAUUAAUACUAAUUAUUCCAUAAUGAUCUAUCUUAUAACCUGUUCUUUUUCGCACAAUGUCAUACCACUCACAAUUGAACAAUACAACUCUAUUGCCUUCUGUGUAACGAAGCUCAACCACGUCUUUUAAUACUUCAUACCAAGGCACACUAUCAAUCAGAUUCUCCCCCUUAACCAUAACUCCACAAUUUUGUGUUUUUUUAUUCUCAUCAUGUUGCAAUGUAUGAAACCUAAACCCACUCAUAUAGUAACCAGGAUAAUAUUUUACUCGCCUUUCCGGACCGAGAGCCAACGAAAGCAUUUGCUUAUCAACUUUGUUAUCAUAGUAUAGUUGUACCAAUUGCUAUACAUUAUUUAUGAAACUGGACUAAUAACUAGACACUAUUUAUUAAACUGAACCAAGAACAAGGCCACUAUUUAUGAAACUGGACAAAGAACUACGCACUAUUUAUGAAACUGGACCAAGAAUUAAGUCACUAUUUAUGAAAGUGGAACAAGAAUUAGGCACUAUUCAAAAGCUAAACUAAUAGGUGAAAACUAUUUAUGAAACUAGAUUGAGAAAGAAACACUAUUUAUGAAACUAGACCAAGAAAGAGACACUAUUCAUGAAACUGUACUAAGUGUUAUACACUAUUUAUGAAACAAGACAAAAAACUAGGCAUUAUUUAUGAAAUUUGACUAAGAACAAGAUCACUAUUUAUGAAAGUGGACCAAGAACUAGACACUAUUUAUAAAACUAGACCAAUAACUGACUAUUAAUGAAAGCGGAAACAAAUUAAACAUGUCAAACCAUUGUUUGUCUCAAUUAAUACGAGACUCCCACUAUUUCAUCUCCCAUUAAACCUUUUUGUUUAGUAAUACACAUCACACACACAAAUACAUCCUAUUUUCUUUUUCUUUAACAAAUACUAAAAAAAUUUGUCCUUAAAGAUGCUCUCAAGCUCUUAGGGUGUGUUUGUUGUACCGGACUGUCUCAAACUGGACUAGCUGCAGGGACUAAGCUGGACUGUCUUAGACUAGACUAAGCUAGACUAGCUUAGUGAAGCGUUUGGUGCAGUGUCGGACUAAGAAGUAGGAUAAUGAAAACAGUACUGUCACCGGUUUGAUGUUUGCUCAGACUAGUACUACAUUAUUGUUCUACUUUAAUUGUUUUUUUAUAUUAAAUAUAUUAUUAAAAUUAAUAAUAUUGGAUGAGAGUGUGACUCAAUAAAAAUACAAAAACCAAAUUUUCUUGCCAACGAAAGAAACAUACAUGAUUCAAGAGUAGCAUUGUUCCAAACAUGAAUAUAACAAAGUGUUUUCCCAACAAUCGACAGGGUUCAUGACACUUUUCUUAAUUAUUCACCUUUGGUUUAAAGUUGUAGAUUAAAGUUAAAGGUAUUUGAGUAUAACGAAAUUUGAUGUCUGACAAGUUCAGUUUUUUACUCAAUUGUGAAAUAAUUACUUGGAAUUGCUCUUGUAUGUAUAAGCCAAUUUCAGUCCAUACCAUGACAAUUGCAUUCAAUCCCAAGACCACAACCAUGCGAGGCAAAAAACCAAAACGAUUAGAACCAAAUCCACCCCACACAUCAUUAACUUGAAAGAAAUAGUUCUCUGACAAGUCAUCAUUUUGUUUACAUGCUUCCACACAUACUCGCAACCUGAAAAUACAUUGAACCAACACAAGGGCAUGUCCGAAAUCUAGACAUAUAGUUUUCAUUUGAAACGACGUUUGAAACUUCAAGUACAUUUAAAUGACAAUAUAUAACAUAUCAAGUCUAUGAUUAAAAAUGAGUGUUAACUCAUAUAAUCCUCCACGGUAUGAGGAUUACCACCGCCACGGGUAAGGUAACUUAAGUAGCUCAGUGUACUUGGAACAAAGCACAAUUAUCACUUCAAGCACCACAUGCAGCUUUGCUAUUCAUUCUUCUGCAGCACUAGUAGCACUUAGGUCCACACUGAGGUCAAGAACCUGCUCAAACAUUCCAGGAAAUUUGGUUAAACCUUAUAUGAAAGACAUGGUUCUAUGAAACAGUAAAAAGAAACAAAGGGAUCACUCGGGAUGAAUAAAUAUUCACCAACAAGCUAUUGGUUCGAAGUAUGCACGAGUUCCCCAAAGGCCUGCUCUAAAUACCACUGUUUUCUCCUUUUGGUAGUAGUUUGGAGUCGAAAUGAUAGUAGGAUGAUAUUAAUAUGCAUCAAGCAAGUGUUACCAUGAAACCUUUCCAACAGUUAUAGAAUAAUAUAACUGACUAUACCCUCCACCCGAUAUAACAUUGCAAUUGCAUAUCCAAUUACACAACAGAAAUUUAAAAAUUAUGGUUUAGACAUUGUAUGCAUAUAAACUAUACCAUUCCUUUCUUUCUAUUAAAGAAAACCCAUUUCCUUGCCAUAGCAUAAAACAACUUAGUCAUGGGAUUGUUUUUUCUAAAGCAACAGUUACAAAGGACCUUCUCAAAUAUGCACACGACAUUCAUUGCAAAAUUAAAAUUGGUCCCAAACAAAAGAUAAGAGAACUCACAUAUCUGAUCUGCAACCCAACUGCUUCUGUGGCAGGAUAACCUACACUGAGUGAGAUUCAUUGGUGUUUGGAAUUGGGUGGCUCAUGAUGGCAAUAACUCUUGCAACCUUACCAACCUUCCUAACCUGUCAAAAUGCAAUAACUUUUCAGUAAGUGUUGGGGAAUAAGCAUUUUUCUUCACCCUUCAAGCAAGAUACAGAAGAACAGAGAAGAUAUUGUGUCCCUUGCAGACCUAUAAAUAAAAACAACCAUAUGCAUACUUGUAAGGCAUAAGAUGAACAUAAAACUAAUAUUAACGUCCCACCACCUUUAAAUACUUUACUCAGAAAGGUUUACCUUGUUAGGCAAGUAAGAAGGAUCACAUACAACUUUUUUGCACUUAGCAGUUUCCCCUUCAGAUGUGACACCGAUAACUUUCCCUUCCUCGUUGAACUCUACCUAGCAUCAUGCAUCAAACUCAGUGUCUAGACAGGAAUUAAACACAAACUAAUGCAAAAUGAAAGAGUGUUAAACCCAAGAAAACAGUGUAAGGAUUACCUUGCACUCAGGCUUAUUCAACAUAUAAGUCCCACCAUAAACUGUACUCAGGCUUAUUCAACAUCUAUGAACCCCGACUAGUAUUUACCUUCAUUCUUUUCAUAGUAUCUAGAGCAGGCUCAUUCAGGUAGCAAUCAUCCCUAUGAAGUGCCAAAGCAUGCCUAAUGAAGUCAACAUGUUGUCAUCAAGACCAUAUUUUCUGUCAAAACAUCAACCAUACAAAAAUAUAAAUAAAUGUUCUUGGAUUGUUACUUUAUCAAAAUAAGACCAACUUUCUUUUCUACAAGGAACCCUAUACAAUAGAAAACAUAGACAAAGCAUUGGUACCAAUGAGAUUGUAAAGACACAAGUUAUGAUUCUUCUUAGAAUGAUUAUAGAGUUCAUUUGCAAAAAAGGUUAUUGCCCUAGCACUUACGCGAUCAAAUCUCUAGUGGUCACUCUUGUUAAGUUCAUUCCCUCAUGUGUUUUAGGAUCAGUUUCACUAUAAUCUUGAACAUAUAGAAUGAACUUGCGUGCAAUGAGCUUUUCAAUCAGACCCAUGAGUGGAGAUUUAAGGGCCUCCAUGUAGUUACUGGAACCUUGUGAACCUGUUGCAACAAGUGAGAUCCCACCCAUAAGGUUUAAGAUGAAAUUUAUACAGGACAAUGUGUGAGUGUAGUUACUAAAUGCAACUCAACUCAUUUCUCAAACCCGAUACCAAAAUCCAAAAACUCUAGUCCAACAUGAUACCAAAAUCUAUUGAAACUAGACCUAAAUUACAAAUUUAACUUUGCAUCCUCCCUUACAACAGCAAUUUCAUGAUGAUUAUCAUCAUUUUGGGACUGAAAUGGCAUAAAAUGUGAAAACCCCAAAUUCUAAUCUCAAUUUGACCCUAAAAAUUAAAACCUUAAUUUUUUUAAUUUGUUCAAGUGCAGAGGUUUAUUAUUGAAAAUUUCUCAAACCCAAAGCACCUAACUCAAAUAAAGCCCAGUAAUACCACGAUCUACAAAACAAAUUGAAGAAAUAAUGUCGGAUUCGAAGUUUACCAGACAAGAGGAGCAUAUGAGGGCCAGCAGGAUGCAGUUGAGGGUGAGCAGGACGCAGAGAUGAGGAUGAGGAGGACGACGAUGAGGGAGCAGGGUGAGGAUCAAAUUGCAGGAGAAGGGAGAUGACGGGAUUAGAGGGCAGCUUAGCAGUCCUCUCCGAAUCGGGGGGUCUCGCUAAGACCUGUUAGCGAGGGACUCAAUCAAGGCGAGUCCCUACUAGUCCCACUAAACUUAGUCCAGGUAGGGAACAAACACAAGACUAGACUAAAACUUAGUCCAAUCUAGUUUAAUGAGGGCUAGUGAUGCCAAACAAACACACCCUUAGAGUCCAUGUCCUUUUUCUAGCAGACAUAAUUAACCAUAAAGUAUUAGUUGAGAGCGAGGUUGGAAAACAAGGCCAAGGAUUUUAGGAGUCGCGAGCAACAUUGGUUGUCAUAUAUGGGAAAGGAUCCAUGCUGGAUCUUUUCCUAGGAAUCCUAAGGAUCCCGUGAUCUCAUCCGUUUAUCGUAUAUCGUGUGGUCAGAAAUCGUUUCAAAAUUUUAAAUUUUAAAUUAAAUAUGAAUAGUACCUAACGAAAACUAACUACACGAUAUAAGAUGAACGAGUGAGAUCACGGGAUCCCUAGGAUAGCUAGGAAAGAGAUCCAGCAAGGAUCCUUUUCCGUCAUAUAUGACGGUGAACUUGGUUCGCUCAAUUUUUAGAGAGAAAAAGGAAUGGAUGAGAAGAUUGGGUAGCCUCUUCAUUAGCCGGAGAGAGUGUUAUGGUAAUUUUAUACACACCAUAAAAUCUUUGAUGGUAAUUUUUUGCAAUCCCAGGGCAUGGUUCUCAAUUCCAUUUUGCCUCUCCAUCAAUUCUUCCUUAAGCAACCAUUUUUGAGAACCAAAUGAGAAUUCCUCUACAAAAAUGUUGGAAAAUAUCAAAAAUUACUUCUUUUUUUUGCAAAAUAAAAAUUAAUACACAUUGAUAAAUAAAAUAAAAUAAUUACAAAGUACACUUGAUUUACAGAUUCUUAGAAAUUUAUUUUACAGUGGAUUUCCAGGUAAAAUUAAGAAUAUGCAGAAAUGUAUGCAUUACACCAGAAUAGAGUACUUUGAUACUUUGAUUCUUGAAGGUGUUAAAUGACAAAUAGCAAGUAUGUUGUGUUAGCUAAAUUAAGUAACUGUUUUCUGAUGUGAUAAAAACAAGAGGAAAGCAUUAUGGCAAAAGCAUGUUUUUUGAUGGGCUUCAUAAUGCUUAGAGAUUCCAGUUCUGUGCGAGAAAACUUUCAAAGUUAAUAAUCAACUGAUGAACUUGCUGCUCCUUAGUUUUGACUUGCGCCUCAUAAAUCAAAUUUUGUGUUUUACAUCCUCCGCAGUAAGAAGCAUAAUCACAAGGAGUGUCCACAAAGUCCCAAGGAGGAGAAAUUGUCUCCACCUUUGUCACCUGCACUUUUUACCCAAGAAAAAUAUAUUGUUAUUGUCUUGAAAAGUUCUUGAAAUGGACAUGAGAUAACUUUCAUCACAUGCACUAGACUAUGAAUUGUGUAAGGGCAAUCACAUAAAAUUCAAAACCAAUAUAGGUAGCAUGUAAUUUCUCAAGUUGUAUAUAGUAGAACCAGCAUUCUUGUGUAUCAUGCAGGUUUUACAACCACCACUCCGCUAAAACUUAAGUAGAGACUUUAAGUACAGCAGUAUUCCUCCUACCAUGCUAGGGACAACUGCCACAGUCUCCAGCAUCAUUGCACGACACCCAUACCAUCUCUGAAACAUAUAUACCAGUGAACAACAACUGGGAACAUAUUGGAAUGAAAAGAAUAAGCUUCAACCAAAAUCUUAUGAUCAAUAAAGAUGCUGCAAUCACAAAACACUAACUUAGGAAGCUUCUACACAGAUUGCAGUUCCUCAUAAUGAAGAGGCAUGUAAUUACAAAUUCGUCUAAAAAUGCACACCCAUAACCAAACAUAAAUUGACAUGCAUUGAUCAAUAAAAAAGUGGCUUAAUCAUUUUUCUUGAAAGGUUUUGGGGUACUGCUAAAAUGUGGAUUACUGGGAAUAUGUUCAUAGCAAAGUUACACUUAAGUUUGAAAUCGAGGAAGUACACUGAAAGUGGAAACAACAUUAAAAACUUAAAACAAACUCAGAAUCUCACACAGUCAUUUAUCCAUUUCACUAAUCAAGAGCACAAAAGAUACUUUCCCUUAUCCAGAUUUUCUUCAGCUAAUAUACUCACAUAGUGGAAAGAUGAAUGUAAAAGUCACAAUAAAAUAUAUCCCAAAAUUCCAGAAGAACUCAGAAAUCAAAGCUUAAAAAUGCAAAAGCAUCAGAAUGAUUUAAAAUCGGUUUAUAAUAACAUAUAAACCGACUUCUUGAUGAACUAAAAGAUUUCCUUGUUUUACAAUUACAUCGCAUAAGAAAACGCAAAAUGUAUAAUCAUAUAUAUAAAAUAAAACAUAUAACCUUAUUUCCUUGGACAGAGAAAAGCUAUAAACUACAAAAAUGACUUAAUUCUAAAUACUUCAAUCUAAAUUUUGAACCCGACACAAAAAAAUAGUAUGAGAUUGGCACUAUGAUCUAGCUAAAACAAUCAACUAGCAAACAACAUUGAUCUGAACCCUUAAUUCACGAUCCGAAGCUAUAUUUCUUGAUUGCUUAAUUAGCUAUACACAUUUGAAUUAAACUAGAUUCAAAAGCGUACCACGCCAACAUCGUUGUAGAAUUGUAGUCCAUGAUCAGAAGAUCUGCAACAGAAGCCAAAACACAUCGUUUUAAGUGCAAAUUACGUGCAAUCGAGAGAGCGACAAAACAGUAGAAAGAUUGUAGAGGAGAGAGAGAGAGAGAGAGAGAGAGAGAGAGAGAGAGAGAGAGAGAAUGAGAACGAUUGCGUACCUAUGACGUUUUUUUGCUGAUGUCGGUGAAAAGUCUAGUCCCUUCUCAUCUUUACAGAAGGGAAAGAGAGUCAGAAAUAUAGAGAGAGAGAGAGAGAGAGAGAGAGAGAGAGAGAGAGAGAGAGAGAGAGAGAGAGAGACAUCGUUUUGCAUGUAAGAGAUCGCCUUUUGAUAGAGAUGGAGAUGGAUCAAAAUUAAGUUUGGGGUCAGAUCGUAUCUAUAGAUUUUGCAUAGUGAUAGGCAUGGAGUUGAGAUCUGAAACUAGAAAUAAAAAAAGGAAGGUUUCAAAUGUUAGGAAGAAAUGGGGGAGGAUAGAGAAUAGUAGGGAGAUCUGUAAGUGAAAUUAAACGAAAAAAGGCUUGCCGUCAGGGGCAAAACCAGAAAUUAAUGAUUAGGCCAUUUUAAAUUUACCGUUUUAAUGUUAGGUUUUGUUCUAACUAUUAAAUAAAGUUAUUACUUGGUUUUUGGUUAAAAUUCAAAGUUUUUAAGCCAUUUUCAUUAGUUUUCCUAUUAUUUAUAAGAGAGAAGUGCGACUCGAAAUUAGUAUGUGACAUUAAUCUUUGAACCUUCUAGGUAGGGAGAAUUUUUUUUUCAAAUUUUUAGUAUUCAAGCAGGUACUCCACAUAUUAUAAAAUAAGUAGAAAGACAAAAAAAUAUGUUAAUUUUCUCCAACAUAUAAUAUGACAUGUAAAAUGCUGCUCAAGUACUCUAUACUUUAAAAAUAAGUAGAAAAUCCUCAUGUAUAGAGUGAGCACUGAGGAGCAUGCAUUAGCAUGAGUCAGUCGGGGCGUUGGAAGAUUCAAACUAUGACAUUGACGGGCUCCUUAAUUCUGGUCCAAUCAGACUGUAUUUUAUUUUCUUCCAUGCUUAAUUACAUAUUAUAUUUUCCGAUCAAAAAAAUCAGGCAUUGACAUUUGACAUUGAAAACUUUAGAUAUUGAAAACCUCCAACAUAAUAACAAGAAAUUUCGUUUGCCCUAAUUUCAUCAAAACGUGAUUUUGACAGUUCCAUUAUCACCAAAUUAUUGCAAGUCAUUUGGACAUAAGAGAAAUGCUAAAAAAACUCUUUAUGACUUCUCUGUCAUUUCAUGUUUUUUGAACAGCGAUUUAUAAUAUUAAAAGAAGAAUUAACGUGAGAUGAUAUAAAAUUUAUAAAGUGUUUCACUUUAAAAGAGUCUUUUUAGCAUUUUACUUUGACAUAAAGUUGGAUGACUUAAUGGGCAUGCAAACGUAGAAACCUUGACCUAGCACUAACAUUUGGUCAGAUAAAACGCGUUUUGGUGCAGGUCGCAUUUAUAUUAUAUAUAUAUCGCGUUGUGGUGUAGGUCGCAUUUAGCUUACUAGCUUGGCUAGGGGAAUGAAGGAGCCAAACUUUAUACCUCUACUAAUGAAAAUGGUUCCCUUCCUUGUAUUGCUAUUGUUAUCAUCAAAAUUAGUUGUUGCCGAUGUUUCAGAAGAUCCAAUACACGGUUACCCUCCCUCUCUCUUAUCUCUCAUAUUAUAUCUCAUAUGCAUUAAAUUAUUGUUUUGGCCGUUUGAUAUCUAUUUUAUUUUUAAUUUCAAAAGAACAAAAUACUGAAAGUUUUUUUUUAUAUUAUAUAUAUAUAUAUAUAUAUGCUUUGAUUUCGGUUUCAAUUUUCAAAAUUUUUUAACACUUAUCAAACAAGUUUCACAAAAAUAAAACUGAAAAACUAAAAAUUUAAAAUUUAAAUGGUUGUUGAAUGAGCCCUUAACAAACAUCUAGUCAUCUGUAACGAUGAAAAGUUUCUUUUUGCUAUUGCAGAGAAUGCAGCACGGAAGAUGAUCAUCAGUAGGUCGCAUCCGCAAAUGGAUAUGAUUUUGGCAGGGAAAGAUCCAAUAGACGUACCAAUAGGUUCUAAACCACCGGGAUCGGGAUAAUAGCUAUAAAUUAUAUGUGUCGCUGUUGCAUUGGUUCAAAGUGCCACGUCGACAAGCUUGUGAGAAGGAUGGUUAGGCGAAUAUCUCCAAGCAAGCCUGUCAGAAGAAUGAUUAGUAUCUUUGUUUGUACUAAAUUUUUCUACAUGUUUGUAAUAAAACACUUAUAAAUAAGUAUGAACAAGACUUGACUGCUCAAUUUUCAGCGGCCACUCCUGCUUAUACCCAAUCUCGGAUGGAUACGUAUUCAAGUUUUGAUUUUUUUAAUCAAAAUUUGGACACUUGUCCACACAUGAUUGGGUAUAAGUAGAAAUGACUGCUGAAUUGUUCAGUAGCCAAGUUAAUUCCAAUAAGUAUUUACAAGCAAAACUGCUUUUUACAGAGAAAGUCUCAAACAAAUCCUUAAUGCUUAGUUGAAAAGUUGAAAAACGAAUGAAUGGACGAAAAAGUUAAAUCCAAAAUAACUGUUGUUACCUACUAUAUAAUCUUUUGUGGAAAAAAGGGAUGCUAAAAAAAGUUACGCAAAAAUGUUGUUCUUAUUAACAAUGUUAGGCAUGGUUUUAAAAUGCGCUAGGCGAGCAGUGGGAAUGGAUCUAGCGCCUAGGCGUUUUUAUAGUUUUAAUGAGAUUUGUGGAGUGCUAAUAAUAGUUCUUUAAAUUUAUUAUGUAAUUGUUUGGGCCCAAAAUAAUAUUAUUGGGCUGAGCGUAGGUUUAUGUUCUAUCAAAAGCUUUUCCAAAAAUAAUAUGGGCCGUCCAGUGGUCAUAAGCCACCUAGUCAGGUCGGUCGAGUCCUAUUGCAAGAAGGUUUAGACUGGAUAAGAGCGAAUGGGUCGAGUCCUAGUAUGAUAAGGAGUCUUAAUGGAAUAAGGAUGCUGAGAUUUGAGAAGUGAAUGCUGCCAGAUAAAGAGUUUGGUUCAAAGUCCUAAUAAAGGUAGGAUUGGCUGAGACGUGGUUAGAUUAGGAUAAAGAAUCCUAAUCCGAGUAUAGUCUUGGUUCGGCCAUGAUAAGGUUGGCUGCUAUAAAUAAGGAAGAGGUGUAUCAUUCUAAGUCCCUCCAAUUCAACACACAAAUUGCCCUGCGCAAACCCUCACUCUACUCGAAACCUCUCAAACAUCUUGAGAUUUUUAUUUUCUUUUUCGCCAACACAUCUUUAGUUUGGAUAAACAGCACUGUGAAGACAACCGGUGAACACCUUCAGUUUGGAUAAACAACACUGUUGCCGUAGAAUCAGCCGACCACAGAGCACCUUAAGUUUGGAUAAACAUCACUGCGUCGAGGCCUACUGGUUAUCUAUCCAAGUCUCGGUGAAGAAGGAUUUUCGAGUUCUUGUUGGUAGAGGUCAUCUCAUUAGCCUUCUUGGCAAAGUGAGGUGUUACAAGUUACCAGGCUCGGCACAUUGAACGCUGAGUUGUUUUAUGUUUAGAUACUCGCAAGUGGGAUUUAAAGUUCGGCAUUCUGACGGCCGAACUAUAUUUACGAUUAAGACGUACAUUUGUUUUGAGUACUUGUGCCCAGUGUUCUAAAAAGCGGCCUAGGCGGCGUUCUGACAACCGAACUAUAUUUACGAUUAAGAUGUACAUUUGUUUUGAGUACUUGUGCCCAGUAUUCUAAAAAGCGGCCUAGGCGGCGCCUAGGCGCUGAGCGUAGGUGUGCUGAUCCGAUUAGGUCCAAAUCGUUAAGAAAAAUCGGGGAGCUAUUAGGUGUCCACCUAGGCGCUCUUAGGCGGCCUGGGCGGUCUAGGCGGAGUGAAAUGUUUCCUGGCUUCGGACUCUCCGCUCUGCCAAAGCAGCUCCGGAACGACGGGCUUCUGCACACCCAGUGUGGAACUCCUGCUUAUGUGGCGCUGGAGGUGCUGAGGAAGAAGGGGUACGACAUAUUUAAGGCGGAUAUUUGGUCGUGCGAAGUUGUGCUGUUUGUUUUGCUGGCUGGAUUUCUACCGUUCCAGGUCGAGAAUCUAAUGAACUUGUACAUGAAGGUUUUCAAGGCGGAGUUUGAAUGUCCGCCAUGGUUUUAGACGAAGGCGAAGCGGUUGAUCUCGAAAAUGUUGGUUACUAUGCAAAACAGAAGAAGAGGAAACCAAAAAAAAAAAAAGGAAGAAUUUACAGAAGGAAAACGGAAAAAAAAAAAAAAAGGAAGACAAACUGAAGAAGAGGAAACAGAAAGAAAACGAAGACAAUGAGGAAAAGGAAAGAAUAAAAAAGAAGAAAAGUUUUCCGGUUUUGUCAAAAUGGUUUGGGAGUCUCUAGGCUGAUUUGAGUGAUGGGGACUAUGGGUGGAGGGGAGGGGUCACACCACCACACACGUGGUGCUUUAUUUAAUGGGGAAGAAAGGAUGCAUGCACCUCUUCAUAAUUGUUUUUUCAUGAUUUCCUGACCUCAAGCUCAACUUUCAAUUGAUAUAUAGGUUUCUGAUCAGUUUUGGGUGAGAUUUUUACUUUUUAUGUUUCAAAAAUAAGAUAUAAUCAUUUAAAAUAUCUUAAGUUAUAUAGCAUAUAUGUUUAAUGUGUUUUUAAAUUUUGAACACUUGUUAGAUACUUUUUUUGUAUUUUAUCAUUCUUUUAUUAUCUUAUUCAUGGAUUUCAUACAAAUAUAAUUUUUUAUGUGUACUUAUUUAGAAGAUAUACAAGAAAUUUACCUAAAUUCGCCUAGGCCACCUAGGCGCCCGCCUAGAUCCCGCCUUACCGCCUAGGCGCUAGAAACCAGCCGACCGCCCGACUAGCGCCUAGCGUUUUUUAGAACCUUGCUUGUGCCCAUAUAGUUUGGUGUCGAUUUGGUGUGCUUAUACUCUUACGAAUAUAAUCACUAUGACCGAAUCCGACGCCGACGAUUUGUGAACUUCGCAGAACUAGCAGCUUUGUCUUCAGGCUCUAGAACCCGAAAAUCGAGACGUGUUCCUUCCUUGGCCACAAUCGCAAGAUUAAGAAGUCAGCAGCUCGCCCAACACCACGCAACACAUUCUACUCCCGGCUGAGCUCGGUCGACGAGUUAGCACGCCCCGCACACAACCGAAUGACGUAGUUAGCUUAUUAGUUACUCGGUCUACGUGUCACAUAAGCUUGGUAGCUUUUAGGGUCAACAGUAACAUAAAUAAAUGUUUAUUUAUACUUAAAAAAAUACAUAAUUGUGCUAAGAUACAUAAAUUACAAAAUAGAAUGAGAUAUAGAUUAAAAUGUAUUAGAAAACAUGGAAACAAGCAUAUAGUGACUGUUUAUCCAAGUAUUCAAUAAAUCUCUUAUAAUUUAUUAAAAAAAUAAAUACAAAAUGAAAGUUAUCUAUUUUUUGUCUAGGUAGGCUAGGCGGGCGCCUAGACAAGUCUAGGGGCCCUUUCUUAAUUUUCAAACUCUUAGGAAUGAAUGUUUAUUUAUACUUAAAAAAAAUACAUAAUUGUGCUAAGAUACAUAAAUUACAAAAUAGAAUGAGAUAUAGAUUAAAAUGUAUUAAAAAACAUAGAAACAAGCAUAUAAUGACGGUUCAUCCAAAUAUUCAAUAAAUCUCUUAUAAUUUAUUAAAAAAAUAAAUACAAAAUGAAAGUUAUCUAUUUUUUGUCUAGGUAGGCUAGGCGGACGCCUAGACAAGUCUAGGGGCCCUUUCUUAAUUUUCAAACUCUUAGGAAUUAAUUGGGGCGGUGGCCUCCUAGUGGAGAUUUUUAGGAUGGUGAUGUUAGGCAUUCUGUAGCUGAAUUUCGUGAGGCUUUUCAUGUGCAAGUGUUUAGUAAGUUCAUAGAAUAAAGAAAAACACUUUAAACUCAAAUGUAGUAUACAUUUACAAGAAGGGAGAGAGAUCGCAGAGUAAAAAGAGAGAUACGGCCUUGAGGAAUUUACAUUAGGAAAGAUCUUCAAGUAAUACAAACAUUAAUAAAAAAGAUCUUUUAGAUCUCAUAAGAUUUCUACAUAAUCUUUACUUAGGAUUUACACAAUUACAUUCUUAAUUAAAUUAGAACUACAACAAACUUUACCAAAUAAAAUAUCUAUAUUUUAGAAAGAAAAAACAUACAAUUACAAGCCUUAAAAUUGUCGGAGUUUUAAUACUACAUUGAUAUAAAAACGAAAAAGAUAAAGGAGAAAAGGCAACUUUGUAUUUAGUACGUACGCAAAGAUGAGGAAAGCAACACGAAGUACAUGAACACAAAUAGCCUUAACGUAUCCAUUGGUGGCUAAAAUAUGUUCGAUCAAUAUCUUUUUUUUUUCUCUUCAAGUUUCAUGUGUGACUGAAAUUUGCAUAUGGUUCAAUAUCUUAGUGAGUAGGGUGUUGUGUUUCUACAUAUGUGUCCAAAUUCGAAACUGCCCCUCCUUAAAUUUAUUGUAAUAGUUUCGAAACGUCUCUCUUUCCAUAAUAAUAAUAAAAAAUAUUUUUAAAAAACAUGUGUUAGUAAAAUUCUUUUGUUCAAUUAAUUAACAACUAUAUCUCUAUAUAAUGAAAAUGACUUAAUACGUUGACUAUUUUGCUUUGACACCAUAAAAAAAAAAUUAAUUUCAUAAUAAAAUUAAUUAAUAAUAUGUUGUAGGCGGAAUUUGACUUGCAAAAUAAUAAAAUUCCAGUUGUACAUUAUUCUUCAGAUCCUCAUGGAGCAUGCAUGCAUUAGUCAGUUGGGUUUGGAAGAUUCAAAGUAUGACAGACUCUUAUUUUCUGGUCCAAUCUAACUUUGUCUUCCAUGUUGAAUUAUACAUAUCUGGCAUGUCUCCCCCGCUACAAUCUGGGCAUGAGUCAUUGAGAAAGUGAUUACUUAAUUUCAUAAAUUCGCGACUUUGACAUUUUUAUUUUCAUCACGACUAACAAUAGUAUAUAAAAAUAUUGCGUGUUAAAGAAACAGAUGAGUCCCUUUUAUGUAUGUGUCUAGAUUUCUCGUAUAAGUUUCUUAAACAAUAGUGUUGAUAUAGACUUUAUGAUUUGGUGAUACUAUUUGGACGCACAAAAUUAACUGUAAUCAAAGAGUAUGUCAACAAAGGAUAAUAUGUACACAACAAAACAAAAUCCUAAACCCUAAAACCUAAACUAAAAAACCUAAGCCUUUAUGUAACAAAACAUUUUUAGGUUCGUUGGACAAGAUUUCACACCCUACGUGCCAUUUUUCCCUUGACGCCAAAAGUUUGCCCAGCGAAAGCUGACUUGCCCAACUAAAUGACUCUGUCGCGCACAUCAGGGGUGGAUUCGGUUUCAUUCGGUUCGAUUUUUUGCCAAAACAGAAACUGAACCAAAAUUUCGGCUCGGUUCAGUUCGGUUCAAUUUUCUUUUGAUUUUUUUUCAGUUAGGUUUUGUUCGGUUCAGUUUCGAUUUUUUAUUUUAUAUUUAUAAAACUUGAUCUUUUUUUUUAAAUAUGGAAUUUAGAAAAGAGGCUUGCAUUAGUUGACUAAUAAUAAGAAAGUGGGGAAAGUGGAAAGUGGGAAGGUAGUUGUAUAUAUACAAGAUCAUAUAAACCAAUCCUAUUAUAUCAACAACCUCAAUUGCAAAGAAAAAUGAUCACCAUAUCCAUUAAAAAAGCAGACAAAUAGAAAAACUCUUUCAAGUUCCAAAGCCUUCCAAAACUUUCCUCUAUAACCAAUAAAAUAUACUCCCUAAUUGAACCAAGUAUAACAACAACAACAAUAAUAACAAAACAUUUUCCCACUAAGUAGAGUCGGCUAUAUGAAUCCUAGAACAUCAUUGCGUUCGGUUCUGUGUCACGUCUUCCGUUAGGUCCAAGUACUUUAAGUCUUUUCUUAGAGUCUCUUCCAAAGUCUUCCUAGGUCUUCUUCUACCCCUUCAACCCUAAACCACUUUCCCCGUAAUCGCAUCUUCUAACCAGAGUGUCAGUAGGCCUUCGUUUCACAUGUCCAUACCAUCGUAACCGAUUUUCUCUCAUAUUUCCUUCAAUUUCGGCUACUCCUACUUUACCUCGGAUAUCCUCAUUCCUAAUCUUAUCAUUUCUCGUGUGCCCACACAUCCAACAAAGCAUUCUCAUCUCCACCACAUCCAUUCCUAAUUGAACCAAGUAUGCUCCUUGAAAAAGACAUAGGUUAGUUUCAAACUUGGAAACAAAGUUUCACAAAAGAAACAUCAUAGACAUACAUUCAUAAAGUGUAAAUGGAUUUGGUUCGGUUCAGUUUUCAAACCUCCAAAGCCGAAACUGAAACCGAACCAAUAAGCUUCGGUUCGAUUUUUUCAUUUUCGGUUCAAUUUUUUAUUUUUUAGUUUCAGUUUAGUGUUCGGUCCCUUUUUUCGGUUUUUUUUAUUUUUUGAACCCACCCCUAGCGCACAGCCUCUGACAAAACCCUAAUCGAUGACCAUUUUUGCCCAACCAAUUGAAACAUGCGUCGGGUAAAAUUACAGAGGUACAUCAGUAAUGUUACAAUAAUACAUAUAUGACUUUUGUUCGGUACAACCACUCUACUGUCCACUUUGUGAAGUCUAGACUUUUAGGUUUGGCUUUCCUUGUUAAAUAUUAUAUUUUUGUAACCACAUGCUCAAUUUAGUUUUAGACUACAUUCUCUGAUUAUGGGAUGCUGCUACUGGGAUUAAACGUUCAAGGAUGUGGCUCACAUCACUUCAAAAGGUUUGGUCAUGUAUGUGCAUUUCACGUCUAUAUUCUUGGUGCAUUAUAGUGUUGUUGUCUAGUCAGAACUGCUCGCUGAUUUCCAGCUGGCUAGGCAUGCAAAUUAAGAGCUGCCCACAUGGGCUUCCUGAUAGCUUUCUGCUAAUAGUCAGAUCUCAGCCUUUAAUCUUUUAUGAUCAGUUUGUAGUACAACAAGUGUCCUUAGUUGGUGAGAAAAACAAACUGAUACUUUUGGGGUUAAGAUCCCUAGCUAAGGUUCUUUCCAUUUUGGGGUUUUCAGAUUAUAUUGUCUAGAGAGAGAAGUUAGAGAGAGAUAGAGCAUUUAUGCUUCCACCUUCUUCCUCCUCCUCAUUUAUGAAACCCUAGUUGCAAAACCAAGUUUGUGCAUUAAACAACCAAUCAUUGUAUAUUAGGGUUGCAUUGUUUUAAGGUUUUGCAUUAAGUUCUUGGUUUGGUUUGUAAACUUUAAAUCUGUUUUUAAAUCCCUUAAUUAUCACUUUCACAUUAUCCCUUUUAGCCUUUUAGGGGUGGAGGUAGUUUCACAGGAUACAAGGUGGGAUGGGAGACAAAAUCAGGACAUGGAUUAGGCGUUGGACGGUGGCCGACCUUGGGCAGCCCUUAGGUGGCCUAGGCGGGCGACUGAGUGGCCUAGGCGGGCGACUGAGUGGCCUAGGCGGUCCAAGAAUUUCAGUUUUGUUUUGUUUUCAAGAAUGCAGAUCAGCUGCAUUCUUACCUUUCUGAGUUUCUGGUUUUCUGUUUGGCGAAGAGGAAAAGAUGAAGAUGAUGAGAAAUGACUUUCUCUCUCUUCCUUUCACACCACGUGACCACUCUCAUACUUUUCUUAUGGCUUUUAGCCAAAAUGAUCAUUGAGAUUUGCAUAACUCAUCACUUUAGUCUCUGAGAUUUGAAAUCAAUAGAAGUGGUCCCUGAGAUUGUACACCAUCAAUUAUUUUGAUCAUUUCGUAAAACAUUAUGUUGAAUAAAAAUCAAAAUGACAAAAUACCCUCAAUUUAAUAAACAAUAGGCCAAAACAAUAGGCCAAAAUAAAAAUUCUAUUGAUUUCAAAUCUCAGGGACCAAAGUGAAGAGUUAUGCAAAUUUCAGGGACCAUUUUGGCUAAAAAGCCUUUUCUUAUUUAAUUUUUUUCUUAGUUUCUCUCCAAUCAAGUUUAGAUAGCUAGCAUCAAGUUGCUUGCUUUAUUGAUUUUUCUCAUUAAAAAAUGAUAGGGUGUCAGGCUGAAAAUGUGUUAACUAUUAGAGUAAAUUGUAGCAAUGAUCAUUCAACUAAAAAUCCAUUAACAUUGGUCCCUUAACUCAUCAAAACGUGCAUCUUUAGUCCCUCAACUAAAAAUCUAUUAUCAAUGGUCCCUCAACUUUAAUCCAACUGGAAAGAUGGUCCCUCAACUUUAACCUAAUUCGAGAAAUGGUCCAUCAACUUUAACCCAAUUGUAGCAAUGAUCAUUCCAACAUAACUCAUUUUAACAAAAUUUUGACGAAGUUGACGAAAAUGACCAUAGCUACACAUUUUGAUAUGUUGAGGUACCAAUGGUAAUGAAUUUUUAGUUAAGGGACAAUAUCUCUAAUUUGAUAAAAGUUGAGGGACCAUUGCUACAAUUUACUCUAACUAUUAAGUAUUGGUGUAGAGUCCCAUCUUUAUGCGUCCUAGUGUGCCACUUUGCUUUCUACAUUCACAUAUUUGACACCUUUAUUUCUCUUUAAAUUCAUCAGAAAUUAAUAUGAUCUCUAAAAAAUAUUUUGUAAAUGAUCACAGACUUGUAAUAAUUUGAAGUUUUAUUUUAUACAAUCAAAUUCAUCAAAAUACGAAAGAUAUAUGAUAAAUUUACCUAAAUCUGCCUAGUCCGCCAGGCUCCCGCUUAGCUGCUUAGGCGCUAGACCCCAGCCCAUCGCCCGAUUAGCACAUAGCAUCUUUUAAAACCUUGAUUAACAAUGAACACCGUGAUGGGGCAUAAAUUAUCUUGAAGAGAAAGAACCAAGUUGUUGACAUGACUGUAGUUUCAAAAUUGUUUAUUUUAAAAUUGAGUUUGCAUACCAAUCUUUACUGAAUUAAUUAUUGCAAUUAUUUUUUUAUAUUCGAAGUGAUUAAUUAUGCCAUCGACACCAAAUAUUCCAUUAUCAGGAAUCAGAUCCCCUCCUGAUCAUAGGGUGGGGAUCCUCCUGACCGGGCCAUCUGGGCCAUUGAAAUUUGAUCCAACGGCUAACAAUAAUUAUAACUUUUAGAAGGCCCCUUGUUUGUAGCUGUUGGAUCAAAUUUCAAUGGUCCAGAUGAGCCGGUAAGGAGGAUCUCCACGCUAUGCUCAGGAGGGGAUCCGGUUCCCCAUUAUCAAUCUGGGAAAUUAUCAAUAUACCUUACCAAUCGCUUUCAAUACCUACCUAACAUGAUUAAAUAUACCAUUCAUACCAAAUACUCCAUUAUCAAUUUGGGAAAUUGUCAAUAUACCUUACGGAUUGCUUUCAAUACCUAGCUAAACUUCAAAUUUGUUUGACAAUAUGAAUAAAUGUUCACACUGCAAUUUUCAAUAUUCUAUUUUAAAGAUAAGAGACAAAGACUUCAACACAAAGUGUAAGAAAAUUCAAAUCAUCUCGAGUAAUGUUAUUCAUACUAUAUUUUUAUACCAUAUUUCUAUAUCAUCUUAGCAGACAUCUGAUGUGGACAGCCACAUCAUUUGAAAAAUUUGUAAAACCCAAGAAAAGGAAGGAGAAAGACUCCUCAUAUACCACAAUCAUCAUUUAAUUAACUAGUUUUUCUUAAUUAUUAGUUUAUUAAAUAAUGAACUAAAUUAAAAAAUCUGAUUAAUUCAAAUGAUGUGGUUGUCCACAUCAAAUGUCACCUAAAGUGGUAUGAAAAUGUGAUACAAAAAUAUAGUAUGAAUAACAUUACUUAAUCUUCUUAGACAAAUACCAUCUCAUAUAUUAAUUAAGAAAGAAUAUUCAAAGGUUUCUAGAUUGUCGUGCUCGUUGACAAUUGAUUAAGGGACUUUUUUUUUUCUACAUACUUUUUAAAUUUGCCCGGUGGUAGUUUUUAUCUUAAAUUUUGAUAUAAAUUUACAAAAAAAAAAAGUUUUCAAACUUCACAAGAAGUCCAAGGUUUCUCCCAUUUUCUUUAAGUUUAAUAGCAAAAUCUUAAACAGGUCAAAAAUCUAGUGCUGGUUGUUUAGAAUCCAUCUACUGAGGCACAGGUAGCAUCUAAGCAAGGAACGGGCCCGCCUGCAAAGUCAGAGUUUAAGUGGGAAAACAAAAACAAAUAGAGGAUAUGCAAAUUAAUAAUGCAUCUCACUAUAAGUAAAGUCCUGAGUUGCUUAAAAAAAGUACACACAGAAACCAUGGUGAGAUUUUCAACUUAUUGUGAUAAAGUAUGCUUUCUAGCUUGCCUUAUCUUGUAUCUUCAGCUAGCUUCAUCACCAAAAAGUGCUUUUGCUUCUGCCAAUUCCACUGAAGCAGAAGCACUCCUCAAAUGGAAAGCUAGCUUUCAAAACCAAACCCAAAACAACCUGACCUCAUGGAUUAAGGCAAAUGAAGCCCCAUGCAAUACUUGGGUUGGUGUUUCAUGCAACUCUGCUGGAAGUGUCAACAGAUUAAACCUCACCAAUUCUGGUAUACAAGGUACUCUACUUCAAUUUCCAUUCAUGUCUUUGCCUAAUCUUGCAUAUGUUGACCUCAGCUUGAAUGAACUUUUUGAUCAAAUCCCACCUGAGAUCAGUUCCCUCACCAAACUCAUCUAUUUCGAUAUAUCCUACAAUCAAAUGUCUGGAAAAAUCCCACCCGAAAUCGGUCUUUUAACAAAUCUUCAGGUUCUUCACCUAAAUGCAAAUAAGUUCAACGGCUCAAUUCCUCAAGAAAUAGGCCAACUUAAAUUCGUCUAUGAGCUAGCUCUAAACUUCAACAAUUUAGAGGGUUCAAUUCCAGCUUCUGUCGGUAAUUUGAGCCAAUUGACUUCUUUGAUUCUCUUCGGAAACCAACUUUCGGGUCCUAUCCCUCCCGAAAUAGGAAACCUUUCGAAGUUGGUUGAACUUUACUUGUUUGACAACUAUUUAUCAGGCCCAAUCCCUCUGAGUUUCGGAAACUUGAAAAAUCUAACCACGAUGAUGUUGUACAACAAUACCCUUUCUGGCUCUAUCCCAACUUCUUUGUGCAAUUUGACAAACCUUGUUUAUCUCUCUCUCUACGAUAAUAAACUUUCCGGCACUAUUCCUCAAGAGAUUGGAAGCUUGAAAUUUCUUGUGUCUCUAGAGCUGACCAACAAUCAGCUCAACGGAACCGUUCCCUCUUCGUUUGGCAACUUGAGCAGCCUAGAAAACCUAUACCUCCGCGGUAACCAAUUAUCUGGAUCAAUCCCCCAAGAGAUGGAGAAUCUAAUCAAGUUGACUAUACUUGACUUGGCUACUAACCGAUUUUCUGGUUAUUUGCCUCGAGAUAUAUGUAGAGGUGGAUUGCUACAAAGGUUUAGUGCAGAAAACAACGAAUUUUCAGGUCCAAUCCCGAAAAGCUUGAAAGGUUGCAAGAGCUUAGUCAGAGUCCGUCUUGAAGGGAACCAGUUUACAAGCAAUAUAUCUGAAGACUUUGGUGUCUAUCCGAAUCUUCAGUUUGUAGACCUAAGCGACAACAACAUGUAUGGUGAAAUCUCAGACAUCUGGGGACAGUGUCCAAACUUAACAACUCUAAUAUUUGCGGGGAACAACCUUACUGGUAGCAUACCAUCUGAGAUUGCCAAUGCAACAAACCUUCAAGAACUCGAUUUUUCUUCGAAUCAUCUGGUUGGGGUGGUUCCCAAGGAUUUGGGGAGAUUGGCUUCGAUGGUGAACCUAAAACUGAAUGGCAAUGAACUUUUGGGUUCUAUACCCUCUGAAUUUGGAGCAUUCACUGAACUCGAAUAUCUUGACGUGUCAACCAACAUGCUGAACGGCUCAAUUCCAAGCACUUUUGGCGAAUUGGUCAGUUUAAACUACUUGAAUUUGAGCAACAACAAUUUCAGUCAAGAAAUUCCAUUUCAGUUGGGGCAGUUAUUUCACCUGUCACAAUUAGAUUUAAGUCAUAACUCACUUGAAGGUAAGAUACCAUCAGAAAUGAGCAAUAUGCAGAGCUUGGAGCGACUGAAUCUUUCCCACAAUAAUCUUUCCGGUCUCAUUCCAGCAACGUUUGAUGGAAUGCGCGGCUUGCUGUACGUGGACGUAUCCUACAAUCACUUGCAGGGUCCCAUCCCCAACAACAAGGCAUUUCAAGAUGCCCACAGCUUUGAAGGGAAUGUAGGUUUGUGUGGAAAUGUUGUAGGACUACAAUCCUGCAAUAAGCACGUCUCAAAAAGAAAAAACAACAGAAAACUCGUGUUUGCAAUUGUUUUCCCUAUCUUGGGAGUAGUUUUACUUGCUUUCCUUGCAAUUGUCUUCAUUAAAACAAGAAGAAAGAAAGAGCCAGAAACAGACAAGAGCGAUAUCCAUGAUGAAGAAGAAGUUUUUUCAAUCUCUCUUUUUGAUGGAAAAAAAUUGUAUUCGGAGAUCAUAAGAGCAACCGAUGGUUUUAACUCCAUAUAUUGUAUUGGGAAGGGAGGAUCUGGAAGUGUCUACAAGGCAAAGCUACCAUCAGGCAGCAUAGUUGCAGUGAAGAAACUCCAUCAAAAACUUGGCAGGGAGGAGACAUCACAGAAGGAGUUCCACAAUGAAAUAAGUGCACUAAUCAAUAUACGACAUCGAAAUAUUGUGAAACUUUGUGGUUUCUGCUCAAAUUCACAGCACUCCUUUCUGGUCUAUGAGUAUCUUGACAAGGGUAGUCUGGCUUCAAUCUUGAGCAAAGAAGACGAAGCAAAAAAAUUGGAUUGGAGUAGAAGGGUGAGAAUUGUAAAAGGCGUAGCUCAUGCACUGUCUUACAUGCAUCAUGAUUGCGUGCCACCAAUUGUACACCGGGACAUAUCAAGCAGCAACAUUUUGCUGGAUUACGACUACGAGCCUUGUGUUUCGGACUUCGGCACUGCUAAGCUUUUGAAUCCAGACUCAUCGAAUUGGAGCUCUCUUGCAGGCACAUACGGAUAUGUAGCACCAGGUAAAGUAAAACAGUUAAAAAAAUAUAAUGUUUUCUAAAUUUGUGAUAUCAAGUUAACAUAUACUAAUGGCUUGCUCUUCCUUAAUUUUAUGCAGAGUUGGCCUACACAAUGAAGGUAACUGAGAAAUGUGACGUUUAUAGCUUCGGAGUGCUGGCACUGGAAGUGAUCAUGGGAAAGCGACUAGGCGAUUUAAUCUCGUCCUUUUCGUCUCCAUCCGCGUGUGAAAACAAAUUGCUGAAGGAUGUAUUGGACCAACGGCUUCCACCUCCUACACCUGAAGUUGAAGAUGAACUGACAACCAUUGCAAGUGUAGCAAUCGCAUGCAGGCAUUCGCAACCGCAAUCUAGGCCAACAAUGCACAUGGUUUCUCAGUUGUUAUCAUUACAAAAUGCAACUUCCACUGGAGGACCAGGCAUCACACUUGAACAACUCAUUAAGAUUUGAAUUGCGUUUGACAUUGUUUGAGUUGGCACGAAAGUCGGAUGGUCUUGUUUAAUUAUAUCAAUACAUCUAUAUUGUUAUUCCUACUUAGUAAAAUAAGGUUUGUUUGUUGUUGUUGUUGCUGUAAUAUAUGUAUGUUGUUCUUCAGACAAGAUUAAGUACAAUCUUCAACUAAUUACAAAUAUUUUUUUAUUGCAGAAUCAACUGGAUUGAGUUGACUAUAAUUUAUUUUUUGUAGUUGAGUUAACUAUUACUUGAUUGAAGCCACAUGGUACUAUGUUAUAAUUGCAGGUAAAUUAACAAGAAGAGGAGUGCUAGUUGGACUCGCUCCUAAAACCUCGUUUGGUAACUUGGAUUGUACUAAUUAUUAAAUUAGUGAGACGUUUGGUGCUUUAUCAGACUAAAAACUGACCAUUUAAUAUUGUGUUUGAUAUAAGAGAUUAUUCGAAUUGUUAUUAUUUUAUGUGAAUGAUUACAAAAAUUGUGGAUGUAGAAUUUGGUAAUUAAAAGUCCUCAUGUCUUAUGGUAAUAUGAUCUUUUGAAUCGUAAAGUGUUGGCUUCAUGCAACGGUCUGUGAGUGGUGACGUGUUCCAAUCAUGCACACUCUUGCCUUAGGGUUGUAUAAGAACCAACUUUCACCAUUUGAGAAAGUAUGAAUGAAAUCAAAAUGUUAUAGCCUUUAUCUUUUCCCUUUUCUCUUUCGAAUUGCUUCUCUACUGUUUGGCACCUAUCAUCUGCUAUCAAGAUCCAGGUGUUGUCUUCCAUGGGCAAGAGCAAAGCUUUUGUCGUUGUUGCCGACGUCACGGAAGCCGAUCUCGAACUGGAGUAUCAGCAACACCAAAUCCUUGAGCAACUCAAUGGGUUUCAUGACUCGAUGUUGAUGUUGGCCACUCGCCAAGAGACCUUCUAGUCUUACUUGAUGAACAUUUCAGCUUGCUUGGCUAAUAUCAGCCUUGUUCAGUCCCAUUUGAUGGAGGAGCUCUGGUCAUCCCACCAACCACCGCCGCCUACCCAGGUCUCCCUGAUCCCAUCGGUUCUCUCCACAUCCUGAUUGGCUCGGCAUCCACCCCACAGCCCCACCCACCCGCUGCUGUCUCUCCACCUACAUGGGGUUCUCAAUACUCCAAAUCCCCCCACAUCCCUUACACCCUGUCACAAGUGAUCGGAUAUCCGUUGGCAUCUCCUUAGUUUUCCACGUCCACUUCCACUCUUCGUCACCCCCCUCCCACACUAUUUCCCACCCACCAACAACACCCCAUCCUGUCUGGCGCCCCGUCCCACUCCACUGGUACCAAAUUCAUGAAAAUCGAGCUUUCCUGGUUCUCCAGCGAUGACCCAUUCAGCUGGUUAGCUUUAGCGGAAGAGUAUUUGGACUACCAUGGUGUCAACACCCCCAACAGGGUCACGGUGGCGGGCCUCCAUUUCACUGGUGAUGUGGCUUUGUGGUUUAAGUGGUACAAAUUGCAUAUUGGAUCCAAUUUAUGGGCCACCUUCACCGAAUGUCUCUUACAACGCUUUGGGCCGGGUGACCAAUUAGACUUCAAUAUGUCCUUCUCUCAUGUAUCCCAAAAAGGACCUCUCGAGGCCUAUGUCAAUGAUUUCAUUCGUUUGUCUUGCCGAGCCCAAGGUUGGACCAAUGCACAACAUUUAGGGGCGUGGGCUUAAGAUGGACCUCCGUAUUAGCUCAAGCACCUCAUUCUUUGGCCCGCGCCAUCAAACUCGCCCGUAUCUAUGACAAUAAGCAACAACGAUGUCAUAGCACCUUCCGCUAAUACUCUCCUUGCCCUUCUCCGACGUCUCUGGUAGUGUCCUCGACGACAUCCGCUCCACCCACCAGACCACUUCCCUCCUCGGCAGCUCGGCCACCGCUGCACCUAUCUCCAACAGUAGUCUGUGAGCGCAGUUCUCGGGGCCAAUGUUUAUAUUGCCCAAAGAAAUACUUUCCUGGCCACAUGAUAAGUCGAUAUUAUACUUUAUAUUUUACCCUUAUCUUAGUCUUAAUUUAUUAGUUAUUUUGGUAGAAUUUUGAUACUUUGUUAUAUUUUCAAUGUAGGACAUUCGACUUCAUCUGGAGAAAAAAGUGAUCAAACGGAUGAAUUUUGGAGUAAUUCUAAUUGGAGGAUGUUCGUGAGUCUUUUAAGAUGAUUGUGUCAAAAUUCCAGAUUUUUCUACCAAGCCGUUUGACUGUGGCGAAGAAAUAAAGGCCCAGGGUGCAGCUUUCCCAUAUUGACAUUUAUGGACGCUUUGGGUAUUUUGAAGGUCAAUAUGGCAUAUUUUGAGGAAGAUUCAUCCUGAAGAUUUGUUAACCACGUCUCAAUCUUUAAAAAGAUACAUUUUGGGACCAAAUCAGAGUUGAUUUGGUCGGUCAAAAGUUUGAUUUUCUGAGAAGUUUGAAUUUCAGUUCAAAUAGGAAACCUUUUAUUUCCGAAUUAUCUUAUUCUAUUAUGUUUCCCAGUUUUUAGAAGACAUUUUCUAGGUAGGAUUUUAUUUUGUGGUCGUAUAAAUAAGGCUUUUUAGCCAUUAGAAAGAAAAGGAGAGAGUACGAAGGCAUCAAUUUGGAAGAACUUAGUUAGGCUUUGACGUUUUGUAUUUCAAGGUGUUUUCUAUCUUUUUUCCAUUUCAAUAAAAUUCCUUUUGUUUUAUGGUUGUUCGUAACUAAUUUUUGUUUGCUAGGGCGAUGCCUUGAGCCUUAUAAUGAAUAUGUAGUCUUUAUUCAAUUUCUUAUGAUAUUAUGCAUGCAUGCUUUGAAUUAUUAAUCAUUGUGUUUAAACUGUCUCUAUAUCUUAAUGCUUAGCUACUAUUAUGAUGUUUAUAUAAGUAAUCGGAUGCAAUUCGAUCGGAAUACCACCGGCGGAUUGAAUAUUGCUUAUUGUGAUUGGUAGUUGUAAUUUCACCUUGGACGAAUACCACAUCUUAGGGAUUGCAUGGUUUUUCAAAGGGUUUUCACAAAGCGUAAUGAGUCAUGCAUGUUUAUAUUUGAUCUGAAUACUACAGACGGAUUGCAUGUUUGAUAUACGUUCUAGCUUGAAUACCAUGAGUAGAAUAUGCAUUAGGAAAACCUAACCUUCAAAAUUGCAUGUGUAAUUCAUAAGUAAUUGGUAAAUCUACAUAAGAUUGUUAAGGGGACGGCGGAACCCUAGACUUUUAUAAUUUGGUUUUCAAAGCGUUUUCUUUUGUUUUCUUUACUUUGCUAAUUUCUUUAACCUUUUUAGUUAAAUUCGUUUUUAUUAUUUUUAAAUUCAAAAUUAACCUUUUCCAAUCUUUGUUUUCAAGUAAUUAAUUAAGAUUUGGUAUUUACAUAAAUUAUUCAUUCAAUUUCUGCGAAAAACAACCUUGCUUAAGCCGUUUAUAUUAUAACUAUCUUGUUCUCUUGUAAGUAUUUUUAAGUGUUUUUAUCCUUACUUCUAUAGUUGGUAAAAAUCCCUAUCAAGAAAUUGGUGCCGUCACCAGAGAUUGUUAUAAAUAAUUUGGGUUUUUCUUAUUCUUAGUUAAUUAUUAUUGUACAUACAUAUAUUUUUUAUUUAAUUGUUAAUUUUAUAUUUUAGGUUGGUUUGUUGAUUUUUGAGAGCACUAUAAUGAUGGGCUGGGAACUACCACCACCAGAAGGAUCACCUUUAUGGGUUUCUUUCGUAAAACAGAGUUUCUAUGGAUUUAAACCUACAAUUUAUGUCCUUUGUUGUUCAAAUACCCACGGAAUUUUGCUAUGCCCUAAAAGGAAAUAUUUUCUAGACUGUGUGAAGAAGCAUAUUAAUAUGAGAAACGACUCACAAAGGCAUUGGGACGAUCCCACUUUUGAUUACUAUGCUCCAGCUUUGAAUAAGCAUCCUAGUUUUAGAUGGGCAGGUACUUAACAACCUUUUGAGCAGCCUAAUGUGCCACAAAGUUCAAAGGACGGUUCGACUACUAGUACAUUAGAAUGUGUGAAGAGUUAUGAUAAAUGAAAUUGAAGAGCCGCCUGCCGGUAACUCAUGCCAAAAGGAGGAAACAACCCUGAUGACCUUGAAAUUUCUCCAAAAUCCGUUCCUACUCAGGUUCAUACACCACACAUCCCAUAUCAAGAUGCUGCAAAGCAACCUACAAAGCAGCAGGAAUUCAUUGAAACUGACCUAUUGGAUGGGGAUGUACAAACCAAAUCAGACUCUGGGAAAUCAUGUGGCCAGCUAUUGGACACUAUCACUUUGGAUACAGGGCUGGUUACUGAUACAAACAUUUUAGUUGCUGUAUUGGGCAGUACACCAGCUAGGGGUGGGCGCGGUUCGGUUUGGUGCGGUUUUGAGUGAAACCAAAACCAAAACCGCAAGUUUUUGCGGUUUGGUUCGGUGCGGUUUUGAAGCCAAAACCAAAAUGAAACCAAACCGUUUGGUUCGGUUCGAUGCGGUUUCAAACGGUUUCGGUUUGGUUUUUAAGAAAAAAUGUACAAUUUGCAAUUUAACAUAUUAAAAAGCAUUUCCCAAUAGUAAUAGGAAAAUGACAUUUGUUAUGUAAACAAUUAGCAUGUUGCAUGUAGUUGUGAUGUUAAAACAUGUUUGUGCAACAAAAAGGUGUCCCUUACAAUAUUUUUCAUAAAACAAGUUGAAUAAAUUUGAAUUCAUUAAACGUGAGCGAAAUUUUCAUACUAGAAUAUGUGAUAUCAUGCUUCAAAUGAGUGGCUUUUUAGUAGAUCAUUGUUCGACUCUUGAUAACAAGAUUAGUCCACCCUUGUACAUAUAUGUGUGUGUGUGAUGGUAUAAAAUAACAAAGGUCCUUCAAGUUAAUGAACAAAAGAAAGUGAUGAAUGAUGAUAUUCUAGUGUGGUUGAGUCCAUACUAAGUGUAUGAAUUUUAACAAACGACCAAUUAAAACAUGAAAUCUAAUAUGGACAUUUAAUUAAAUGUUUAUUAAUAUUUGCGGUGCGGUUCGGUUUCGGUGCGGUUUUCAAAAGCCAAAACCGAAACCAAACCGUUUUCUAUGUUGCGGUUCGGUUUCAAAACCGAAACCGUUUCAAAACCGCAAAACCAAACCGUUCGGUGCAGUUCGAUUUGGUUCGUGUUUCGGUUUCGGUUUUCGGUUUUAAGUGCCCACCCCUAACACCAGCACAACUAAUUGUAAUUAAAGAAAUUCGGGCCUAAGUCCUACAACGUAGCUAAGACAUACAAGGAAUGGGAGAAAAAGUUUAAUGGCAGCCAGAUUCUUCAUAGAGACAUUCCACCAGUGAAAAAGUUGUGGGUAUUAAAUACAAGAUGGAAGUUAGUUCGAUGGAGACACAAGCCUCGCUGGAAGGGACCUUAUUUGAUUUCAAAGACUCAUUCUCAUAUAAGGGUAUAAAUAAAAGAUUCAGCCACUGAAUUUAAAUGCACAGUUCAUGUCACUCCAUACUUACCAUUGCUCUAUGAUGCUACUAAGGCAUGGUUGACCCUAAAAGAACAAGUGACGUGAUUAUCAACCUCAUUCCCAUUCGUCUAGCUAUAGACGUUAACUAAAACACUAAUUGGAAGACAACCCAUUUUUUCCAGCUCUUUUCUUUGUAUUUUCGUUCAUUUUAUUUCUUGUUUUUAUUCCUUAUCACAAAAAGCCGAAAAACAAAAAAAUCACAUAAAAAAAAUUCAGAAAGUUGAAAAAAAAAUACAAAAACAGCAAUUCGUUUUAGUUGAUCACUUUGUUUGUUUGUUUGUGUAACUUUUUUUUUUUUUUUUUUUUUUUUUUUUUUCCAUUUUGGGUUUUUAUUCUCAUCCGAUUUUUAAUGUGUGUUUUUGGCAGGUUGAAUUCAGAAUCAAUUGGCCCUAAAUAUGCGCUAAGCGCACACAUUCGACUGAAUCAUGCAUUCAGUAGCAUUCAUACACUCAACUCAGUACAUUCAUCAUUCAUCCACAAUAAUCAGAUUCCAAACGAAUGCAGAAAAGAUUGAGGCAGAGUUCAAGAAUGCUUAUUGUGGGAGAGCCCUCUGCAUUGUUUGGAAUCCCCUUUCACUCACUCUCUCUCUCUCAUAUUUUAAUAAAAUAAUUGUUUUACAAUAAGUUUGGGGUGGUCCAGACAGCACAGAGGCGGACAUUCAUCAAGCCAUGUCACAGAUCCAGUAUCAUGCACAGUUUUUGCUCAAUAUUUGUCAUAUGGAGGCAUGCAAGCACACAGAAAUUACAUGAGCAUUGAAGAAAUUUAAGUCUUAGAAUGCAUGACAAAAACAUUUCGGAGAUCCGCAUGAUUUCCAGAGACAUCACACCAUGCUUAAUUUUAACGCAGUACAGGGAUUUGAUUUACUUCCAUUUCGUAGAUCUGAGCAGCCAUCUUUGCUGUGUGUACAGAAGCUCCGUGUGUGCACCUUUGCCCCUCGCAGUCACUAUUCUUUCCUUGGUCUUACUCGGAUCCCGAACUCUACCUACAGAAUACAUACAUGCAUGUGUUAGAAUUUCGUUUUCAUUUGACCUUCGGUCAUGAACUCCAAGGAAAGAAGAUGUGGAUGCAUUUUACCUGAGGAAAGUGGCUCUGUAUUUGCAGCUGUAAACAAGUUGGGGGUGGAACAGAGGAGGUGCAGCUUUGGGGCCUUCGGUUUCCGUUGCAGAAAUGGAGGAGAGAGGAAGAAUCUCGACUUCUUUUUUUCGACUUCUUGAAGAGAGAGAGAAAUGGAUUGCUGGGUUUGGAGGAUGGUACUGGUUGAGCGGCUCUGGACUACGUCGCGAGUUCGACUCCAGGUGACUUUCUUCCUUGUUUUUCCUUUCUUCUUCAUUUUUAUCUUUGUUUGCUGCUCGUUGUUUGCUUAUUUAUUUGCUUUCUGUUUUUAUCUCUUUCUUUUUAUAGUUUUAAUUAGUUGUUUUUAUUUUACUUUUAUUUAUUUUCCAUCCCUUGAGGACAAUGUGUGAUUUUAAAUGUCAAUAUAAGAAUCCUAACUUAUUUGGGAAACUUUAAGGAAUUCUGAAUUCUAAUUCAUUGAUGAUUAUUUUGGUAUUUGAAAAACCAUCUCACUUAAUUCAAUUUAGAUGAUAAUCGUUUUAGAUUGAAUAUUUUGUCAUUAUUUAUACAAAAAGUAGUCACCAUUUAUAGAUUGUGACUAUUUCUAUGAACAGUGUCACUAUUUUUAAAAACAGUUAUCACCAUCUCUAAACAGUGACACGAUUUCCAGAAACAGUGACACUAUUUCUAAAAACGGUGACAUUAUUUUUAAAAACAAUGACACUAUUUCUAAAAAUCGUGUUCACCAUUUUUAGACAAUGACACUAUUUCUAACAAUGGUCACCAUUCCUAGACAAUGCCACUGUUUCUAGACCUAGACUUAAAAUUUAGGACUAACACAAAUUUAAAGACCAAGUAUUACAGACACGUAUCAUGUACAAUCUAGAAAAUUAACCAACUAAAAAAGCUUGCGGUUUUAGCAUAGAAAUAUGAAUUAUAUUAUUUGGAAAAAAAGAACUUGUUGACACAUUUUUUACUGUAAGUGAGCCUCUUUGGCUUAUCCUUUUAUUUGUCCUAAAAAAGAAAGCUAUUGUGAAAAGAAAACAUUUGCAGCAUCAAUGGGUGUGACAAGGACAAGGAAUAACCAUGGUCCAUUGUUUCGAACUAUCUCACACUUAAAAUUAGUAACUGAAUUGUAGAAAGCUACAAGUUGGAACUGCAAGUGUACAACAGUUCCUCAAGAAAAAUUGCUUGUCAAUGAAUUGAUUGCACCAAAUUUUAGAUUCGGUUUGGAUCAGGUUUGAUCGUAGUGGACAUUGCCAUAUCUCAAGAGGCAGCUAUUAGGCUUUGGUCAAUGUAACGCCUUGGAGAGUAUGAGAGAUGGACUAAGAACAUAUGUCGUUAAGGGUGUAUAUGGAGAUGUAUAAUACAUAUAUAUCAUUUUGGUUGAAAAAAUAUAUCUUUAAUGAGAGAGUGUAAGUUACACCCAUUUUAGUUAAAAAAAAUAUAAAUAUUUAUAUAAAUUUACAUCUUUUAUAUCUUCAAAAGAAAAAAAGAAACUAAACUAAAAUAUUACAUUGAACGUUUAAAAAGGUUAAAAAUGUAGCCUUUUAGUAUUAUGGUCUAAUGAUAUUCAUCUUCACUGGUACGUGAGAGGUCUUAGAUUCGAUUCUUGCCAAAAGCGAAUUUGAACUAUGUUAUUAAGCCCAUUGUGAGGCUUAGCCCACUCUCCCACCCCCUAAGUGUAAAUAAUGUUGUUUGUUCAAAAAUAAAACUGUAUGAUUGCAACUUGAGUAGCCUAGAAAACCUAUACCUCCGCGGUAACCAAUUAUCCGGAUCAAUCCCCCAAGAGAUGGAGAAUCUAAUGAAGUUGACAACACUUGACUUGGCUACUAACCGAUUUUCUGGUUAUUUGCCUUGAGAUAUUUGUAGAGGUGGACUGCUACAAAGGUUUAGUGCAGAAAACAACGAAUUUUCAGGUCCAAUCCCAAAAAGCUUGAAAGGUUGCAAGAGCUUGUCAGAGUCCGUCUUGAUGGGAACCAAUUUACAAGAAAUAUAUCUGUAGACGCAAUUUACAAGCAAUAUAUCUGAAGACUUUGGCGUCUAUCCGAAUCUUCACUUUGUAGACCUAAGGCACAACAACUUAUAUGGCAAAAUCUCAGACAUCUGGGGAUAGUGUCCAAACGUAACAGCCCUACGGAUUGCGGGGAACAACCUUACUGGGAGCAUACCAUCUGAGAUUGUCAAUGCAACUAAAAUUCAGGAACUCGAUUUUCCUUCGAAUCAUCUGGUUGGGGUGGUUCCCAAGGAUUUGGGGAGAUUGACUUCUAUGGUGAAUCUAAAGUUGAAUGGGAAUCAACUUUUUGGUUCUAUACCCUCAGAAUUUGGAGCAUUCGCUGAACUCGAACAUCUUGUCGUGUCCACCAAGAAGUUGAAUGGCUCAAUUCCAAGCAUUUUUUGUGACUUGGUCCAUUUAUACCACUUGAAUUUGAGCAACAACAAUUUCAGUCAAGAAAUUCCACUUCAGUUGGGCAAGUUAUUUCACCUGUCACAGUUAGAUUUGAGUCAUAACUCACUUGACGGCAACAUACCAUCAGAAAUUAGCAAAAUGCAGAGAUUGGAGCAGCUGAAUCUUUCCCACAAUAAUCUUUCCGGUCUCAUUCCUACAACGUUUGAUGGAAUGUGCAGCUUGUUGUACAUAGACGUAUCCUACAAUCACUUGCAAGGUCCCAUCCCCAACAACAAAGCAUUUCAAGAUGCUCACAGCUUUGAAGGGAAUGUAGGACUACAAUCCUGCAAUAAGCAUGUCUCAAAAAGAAAAAACAAUAGAAAACUCGUGUUUGCAAUCGUUUUCCCUAUCUUGGGAGCAGUUUUACUUAAUUUCCUUGCAAUUGUCUUCAUCAAAACAGGAGCAGCCUCUCCAUAAAUGGGGGUAAGGCUAGCCGACAUUCACCUCUCCCAGACCCUGCGUAAAGCUGGAGCCUUGUGCACUGGGUACGACCUUUUUUUGUCUUCAUCAAAACAAGAAGAAAGAAAGAGCCGGGAACAUAAAAGAGUGAUAUCCAUUGAUAGGAGCAUAUUUAUCCGACUUUGUUAGCUUGUUUCUUUGCAUUUAGUGAGUUAGUUUUUGUUUAUUAUAGUGAUUUAAGCUAUUUUCGUGUGUUUGUAGGUCCAAAUGGCAAAAGUGGCAACAAAAGGCAAUUUGAAGGAUUUUAAAGCAGUUUUGGAUUUGGAAUAGAUAGCAUGCGUAUGGAGCAUAAUGGAUGGACCUUUUUGAAGUUUAAAGAAGCUAAAAAUGUGCUACAAAUCUGGAAGAAUUAAUUCAAGAUUUGGAAGAUAAGGAAUCAGCUAAAAGGAAGGAACAUUAUCCAACCUUAUCCUAUCCAAACUAACCUUAUUUAUCCUACCUUAAUUCCAGCUGCAAGGGGGGAAUCAAUUUUACAUUAAAUCACCUAAAUAUUUGGUUCUAGAAGCCCUAUCCUCUGCCUAAAUUGGUGCCGCACCACCCUUUCUAGAAGCCUAGAAACCUACUGUGUAUCCUAUUCCCUUUCCUCCAAGGAUUGUGUUAUCCUUUUCCUCUACAAAUUAUUGCUGUGCAAUCCUUUUCCCUUCAGAAAUUGUGCCGAACCCUAGCCCUAUAAAUACACAUCUUUGCCGCACCAUUCAAAACACCACACACGAGAGAAAUUCAGAGAGAAAAAUAAAAAGAGUGCCGCAGGUUUUUGAGAGUUUUUAGAGAUUUGUGCCGUGCUUGCAAGGAGAAGAAGGACUUGUGUCGUGACCCUGCAGCCAAUGAUUGUGCCAAAUCUGCCAUUGGAGUGCUGGAGCGUUUAUGGGUUCUUUCUAUCCUUAGUUUUAGUCUAAUGUUUAUUUUAAUUUGGUCUUCAAUUAUGAUGAACAUGUGGAACUAAUUUCGUUUUAGUUAGAGGUGAAUUCAAAGCUAUGAACAUAAAUGUGAUACGAAUUGAUUACAUCCAUUUAUUGUUUCAUAAAUCGUGAAUACAAUUUAUUUAUCUGUUUUAUGGAGAACUUGUUCUUGUGUGUUGAUUAAGGAUGCAUACUUAGUUUGCAUACAAAGAUUUGAUGCUAAAAUAUGAGGGAAUUUCAUCUAGUCGUUAUGAACUUAUAUUUACAGGUAAAUUCUUGGCAGGAGUAUCAUGCAGUUUAUAGUUACGAAUGCCUUAUCAUUGCUUAUGAUUUUUAUAGAACUUAAUGAUCUUUAAUAUGUAUCUCUAUCAUGUUGUUCAUAUAGGGAACUUGAUAAGAAUAAUUUGAUUGUGUCGCUGAGUCCAAUUCAAUGAAUUUAGGAAACUCUGAAAGUUAAUUUAUGCUUCUCACGAUUAAUUUGGGGCAUUGUCAUUCAUGGUUUAUAGGAAUAAUAAAUGGAAAUUGAUUUGUAUGCAUAUGUGUCAUGUGUGAAGAAAGACCCUCUAGCUACCCUUACACCCCUAAAAACAUCCAAUUUCGUAUUACCUUUAGUUUGUUUAUGCAAGUACUUAGGUUUACUUUAAAUUCAUCAAAACAACCCCCAUUUAGUACUCUGAGUCUUUUUAGUUUAAUUUUCGUCCAAAUUUGGACCCUUUAGUUCUUGUUUUGAGUCAAUUUAACUUAGUUUUGUGUUAUUUGAGUCAGUUUAGCUUGUUUUGAGUUGUUUGAGUCUAGUUUUAAGUUUUUAGGUUUAAUUUGUGUUGAUUAGCAUCCCUAACUAAUCACUGGCUUAGAACGAUCCCUACUUAUGCGUACUAUAACUAUUUUAAUAGGGUUUAAUUUGUGUGUUAGUUUUUACCAUAUCAUCCACAAUGAAUUUUUUUCAAUCUCUCUUUUUUAUGGAAAAAAAUUGUAUUGGGAGAUCAUAAGAGCAACCAAUGGUUUUGAUUCCAUAUUUUGCAUUGGGAAGGGAGGAUCUGGAAGUGUCUACAAGGCAACGCUACCAUCAGGCAUCAUAGUUGCCGUGAAGAAACUCCAUCAAAAACUUGACGGCGAGGGGACAUCGCAAAAGGAGUUCCACAAUGAAAUAAGUGCACUAAUCAAUAUACGACAUCGAAACAUUGUGAAAUUUUGUGGCUUUUGCUCAAAUUCACAGCACCCAUUUCUGGUCUAUGAAUAUCUAGAAAAGGGUAGUCUGGCUUCAAUCUUGAGCAAAGAAGACGAAGCAAAAGAAUUGGAUUGGAGUAGGAGGGUGAGAAUUGUAAAAGGCGUAGCUCUUGCACUGUCUUACCUGCAUCAUGAUUGUGUGCCGCCAAUUGUACACCGAGACAUAUCAAGCAGCAACAUUUUGAUGGAUUACGACUACAAGCCUUGUGUUUCAGACUUCGGCACUACUAAGCUUUUGAAUCCAGACUGGAGCUGCCUUGCAGGCACAUACAGAUAUGUAGCACCAGGUAAAGUAAAACAAUUAAAAUAUAUAAUGUUGAAUCUGGUGAUAUAAAGUUAAAACAUAUGCCAAUGGCUUGCUUUCCCUUAAUUUUUAUCCAGAGUUGGCCUACACAAGGAAGGUAACUGAGAAAUGUGACGUUUAUAGCUUCAGAGUGUUGGCACUGGAAGUCAUCAUGGGAAAGCGACUACUAAUCUCAUUCGUGUUUUUUUGGUGGAAAGGAAUCUGGUUUUCUAUCAAUAAUCCUACUUAAUAAUUGAGCAACAACUAAUCUCAUUUGUGACAUAAACUUAAAGACUAAUUAGUAUCAUAAUUACCAUUCCUAUUUUUAAAAUCUCAUUCAUGACAUAAACCUAAAGACUAAUUAGUAACAUAAUUAGCAUUCCUAUUUUUAAAACCAAAUUAUGCGUAGGCAAACCAUUAAAGUCAAGUUUGUUUGAAAAAUCAGUUGGAUACAUUGUUUCAAGAUUUUCAUUUGCAGAAUACAAAAAAUCAUAACAUAAAAGCUAUCUCUCAACCCAUGCCAAAAAGUUGCCAAUCCAGAUUAUUCACAAUUUUCACAGCAACGCUCUGAUCAAAGAUUCUAAGAAGGAACAUAGCUAAUAAGCAGUCAUAACUAUCAAACUCACAGAUGUAAUAACUAUCAAAAUCAUAGAUGCAAUAACUAUCAAACUCAUAGAAAUAUAAACACACAUUCCAUUACAUUUCCAGUAAACUAAAUACUCAAGAGCUCUUUUUGACAUUGCAUUGUAAUCCCUUUGUAAACCAGAAAAGCAAUAACCAUAUUUCCAAAAAAAUACUUUAGACACACAAAUAGAUAAUCAGGUAAAAAUACUAUCCAUUGGUUUAACAUAUGUUUUCCACACCGCUGAGACUAUGAAUUAUGGCUAUUGUCCAUUUCAUGCAAAAUCAAAGAAAUAAGAUCUGUUAUUAUAGAAAAUCAAUUAUGUGGACAGGCAAUUGAAGACUGAUUUAACCGAAGGCUGUUCUAGUGUUUACAGCCACUUCUAGUAUAAUUUAGUUUGACAUUGAUAUUCAAAAUUUUCAUCCAAUAAAUUGGCAAGCGGUGCUGAAUAUUAAAUUACGAAAACAAUUUUAUGUACUGGGCAACUGUGCCUUGAAGCUCAGAAAUACAAAAUACACAUAGCCAAAAGCUCAAUAAAAAGCAAGGAACCGAUAACUCUAAGGAAAAGCUACAAAGAAAGCCAUUGGGUUACCAUAGUCGAGUGGUCUCAUUUACCUUGAAAUGGGGGUACCGCCCAAGCUUGAGUUUUCAUGCCUUGAAAAUUCAAAAAAGGAUAUGUUUCGAUCCCCAGAUAGAUGCAUUCUAUUUAAGAAAAAUACAUGGAAAUAUAAUGAAGUUCAGAAAUCCAACCAUGUCGGUUAAAUUCCUUGUGCCAGGUUGCUCAAGGAUGACCUCCUAGUACUUACACUUCUAAGUGAGAUUUGACUUGGUUUCACAAUUCCGACUCCUGCGUAUUUUGGUACACCAUUUUGCACAGCCCUAAGAUCCUGUAUUACAAUUUCAAUUUUGCUUACGCAUGCAUGCACUACAACAGUAGUACAGUGAUGUAAAACAAAGACUCUGACUUAUCACUUGCAGCCAUGUUUCCAAUUGCCGCAUCUCUUUGUUUUAUUAAUUUUUCUUUUAUAAUCAAACAUAAAUCACAGAUACUUCAAAAACCAGAAAGAGAAAAAGAGAAAUUAGAAAAUCAUAUUGAAAACCCCUACCAAAGCACGUUAAUAAUCUAACUAAUGAAUGCGGUUCGAGAAACAAACCCCUGUUCGAGUGUGACUGAUCAGAUCCCGCACUUGCAUUGCUGUUUCCACACAGCACUCUGUACACAAAAUCCCCCAAAAAAUAAAUACAUAGUCCACACACAAAUCAACCAACAAAUAAGAAAAAAAAUCAUCUUUUUCAAUGACUUUCUUAAAUGGGGAACAACCUGCUAAUACCCUUCAUGGCCAAAGCACAAAGAAUAAUUCAUAUAUGUUUUUCAAUUUUCAAAUCACAAAGUGGAAUACAAAUCUUAAAACUUUUAAGCCAAAAACAGAUGCACUAUUUUUCCAGAGACUCAAAAAAAAAAAAAGAAAAAGAAAAGAAAGCAAGUGCAAGCACAAAUCUUGUGAAAUAAUUAGGAAUAUUCUAUAAAUAAUCAUAUGCAAAUCAUUACCCGAUUAAUCACCAAAAAUAUCAAAACAGAAAUCCAUAGCCAGAAAUUGAAAGACAUAUCAUAUUAUCAGUUCAAGAAUAAGAAAACACAAUUCAUAACAAAGCAAGCCAAUAAACAAAACCCACGAAGAAAAUCUCAAAAUUCCAAAACCUCAAAAGGAUUAUGAAAACAAAGACGCACUCAGAACUAAGAGCCCAGUGGAAGCUCUGUUUACACAAAAGCUAUAACCAAAAUCACAAACUUAAAUUUGUCGGACCCAAAAAAUUUUUACAUACACAAAUGUAAAAUUUGGAUUUUUACAUGGUUGCUUUCGUUUUUAACAAUGUUUCGGUUGCAAGUAUAUGGACGGUGGUCAAAAUCUUGGCUUCAAAUUUUGAAUUUGUAGGGAUUGGUGUCAUUACAUACAACAACAACAACAACAACAAAGCCUUUUCCCACUAAGUGGGGUCGGCUAUAUGAAUCCUAGAACGCCAUUGCGCUCGGUUUUGUGUCAUGUCCUCCGUUAGAUCCAAGUAAUCAAGUCUUUUCUUAGGGUCUCUUCCAAAGUUUUCCUAGGUCUUCCUCUACCCCUUCGGCCCUGAACUUCUGUCCCGUAGUCACAUUUUCGAACCGGAGCGUCAGUAGGCCUUCUUUGCACAUGUCCAAACCACCGGAACCGAUUUUCUCUCAUAUUUCCUUCAAUUUUGGCUACUCCUACUUUACCUUGGAUAUCCUCAUUCCCAAUCUUAUCCUUUCUCGUGUGCCCAUACAUCCCACGAAGCAUCCUCAUCUCCGCUACACCCAUUUUGUGUACGUGUUGAUGCUUCACCGCCCAACAUUCUGUGCCAUACAACAUCGUUGGCCUUAUUGCCGUCCUAUAAAAUUUUCCCUUGAGCUUCAGUGGCCUACGACGAUCACACAACACGUCGGAUACACUCUUACACUUCAUCCAUCCAACUUGUAUUCUAUGGUUGAGAUCUCCAUCUAAUUCUCCGUUCUCUUACAAGAUAGAUCCUAGGUAGCGAAAACGGUCACUUUUGUGAUCUUCGCUAGAUUGCUCCGGUCAUUAGUGUGGAUAAGUAUAUAAAUGGAUAGAGAUAGGAAAGCAAACACAAGAUGUACGUGAUUCACCCAGAUUGGCUACGUCCACGGAAUAGAGGAGUUCUCAUUAAUUGUGAAGGGUUUACACAAGUACAUAGGUUCAAGCUCUCCUUUAGGGAGUACAAGUGAAUGAUUUAGUACAAAUGACAUUAGGAAAUAUUGUGGGAGUGUGGUAUCGGCUUGACUUUCCUUAUCUGUCUCAUAGGUAGAUGUGGAAUCUUCUCUGGAAGUACUCUUCCUCCAUCCAGGGGUGGUAUCUGUAACUGGUGGAGAUGCACAAGGUAAUGUAUCAAUGUCACUUGAAGCUUACUUGUAGUUUCAGGCUUGGUCAAGCGUGAUACAAACCAUGUAGUAGGAGUUCCCCAAGUCGCCGAGCUAGGGGAUCUGCUGAAAGAGGUAACAGACAAGGUAAGCAAUCAGAGCUCCGGCUGAUUGUUCACAUUCUCCCUAUCUUGCAGGCAGCAUGAAGGAUAAAUAGAAGAAAAAUGAGAAGAGAUGAUAUGAGAUACUUUUGCUUUUGAAGAAGUAACUUUCCACAGGCUUAUUCUUGAACUGGGCUGGAGGGUUUUCUGGUUUCCUCCAAAGUAUAAGGCCGACUGAAGAAUUUGAGGGUCAAAACAAGUCCAUCAAAUCUAGAGUACGUUCGACCCUGCUGAUAUGGGAUACUUUUGCUUUUGACAGAGUAGUGGAUGUAUCGGCACGUGUGCUGUUACGCUUGUCUCCACAUGCUUCAUUGUAUCCUUCUCACUUGCCCUAUCUGUUUCUCAGGCAGAUGCGGUAUCUUCCUUGGAAGCAUAAGAUGUUGAAGAUGAGUACUCGAGAGCAAUGCCAGGGUAAGGGGUUCCAGGCAGUCAGUUCCUGGCUGGAAGCUUGAUUCCAAGUGCUGACUGAUUGCUCUCUUUCUCCUUGUCUUGCAGGUAAGAACAAGGCCAAAGGAAAAGACAGGGAAAAAGCAUGAUAUGGGAUACUCUUGCUUUUAACCCUGAUGAUAUGAGAUAUUCUUGCUCUAGUAUAGCUUGUUUACAGAGGUAUUAUCGGGGGGAAAGAAAGCUGAAUAUUUCGAAAGGCUUCGUUGGGAGUGCCCUCUCAGAUAAGAGGAAGGGUUGAGCAUUUUUGCAGGUCUACCUGUCCGUUGGGGAUGGAGGUCGACAUAUAUAGGAGUCUCCCUAACAUCAAGUAAUAAUGCUAUUCCUUUACCCUGCUUGGUCAUAGCACGGUAGUGGGAGCUGCCAGCUUCACAAGUUUUUAACUCUGUCAGAGCACUUUGAAAAAGUGGUCUGUGGUAUCUGGAAAGCUGAUGUUGCGUGUGAAGAUUACAGACAAGCUUUAUCCAAGGAGAUCCGGCUCUUGAAGUUGGGAAAGUGGUGCCUCUUCGGUUUUUCGAACAAGCAAUCCUGUCGGGGAUCUGGCUCUCGAGAUUCGGAGAACGAUGCCUCUUCGAUUUUUGAGAAAGCAAUCAUGCUGGGGGUCUGGCUCUCGAGAUUCGGAGAGCGGUGUCUUCGAUUUUUGAGAAAGUAAUCAUGUUGGGAGUUGGGAGUGUUUUCUCGAAUAUGAGUAAAGGUUGGGCAUGUUUGCUAGUCUACCUUGCCACGAAGCACAGAGGUUGACACACAGGGACUUUCCAAUUAUCCAGCAGUGGUACUGUUCCUUUACCCUCUCUUCGAUUUUUGAGAAAGUAAUCAUGUUAGGAGUCUGGCCCUCGAGAUUCGGAGGGCGGUGCCUCUUCGAUUUUGGAGCAAGCAAUCUUGUUGGGGGUGUUUUCUCGAAUGUGAGUAAAGGUUGGGCAUGUUUGCUAGUCUACCUUGCCACGAAGCACAGAGGAUGACACACAGGGACUUUCAAAUUAUCCAGCAGUGGUACUGUUCCUUUACCCUCUCUUCGAUUUUUGAGAAAGUAAUCAUGUUGGGAGUCUGGCUCUCGAGAUUCGGAGGGCGAUGCCUCUUCGAUUUUGGGGCAAGCAAUCUUGUUGGGAGUGUUUUCUCGAAUGUGAGUAAAGGUUGGGCAUGUUUGCUAGUCUACCUUGCCAUGAAGCACAGAGGUUGACACACCGGGACUUUCCAAUUAUCCAGCAGUGGUACUGUUCCUUUACCCUUGUGGGUAAUAAUAUGGUAGCUAGGCCGUCAAAAUUUAUGUGUCUAAACUUUGUUAGUGUUGUUUCUUUGCUAUUCUUUUACCCUUCUUGGUCAGAGCGAUGUAGUGAGAGUUGCAAGCUUCAUGUGUCUCGACUUUGUCAGAGAACUUUGGCAAAGUUAUAUGUAGUACCCAUGAGCUACUGUUGCGUGUGGGAAGUGGGUGAUUGAACAGUACGAUUCAUGUGCUUUCUACUUCGCCAGAAAUCUUCGACAGAAUGCCCAUAAUUUCCGCAAAGCUGAGUGUGCGUGUGACAGGUGCUGACAAGGCUGGAAAAGUAGUCUCAACUUUGUCAGAGAACUUUGGCAAAGUUAUAUGUGGUACCCAUGAGCUACUGUUGCGUGUGGGAAGUGGGUGAUUGAACAGUACGAUUCAUGUGCUUUCUACUUCGCCAGAAAUCUUCGACAGAAUGCCCAUAAUUUCCGCAAAGCUGAGUGUGCGUGUGACAGGUGCUGACAAGGCUGGAAAAGUAGGUGCCUCUUCGAUUUCUGAGAUCGACCCUCGUGGUCUCUGAGCAGCCCAGCUUUUGAGAAAGCAAACCUCUUCAAUUUCUGAGAUCGGCCCUCGUGGUCUCUGAGCAGCCCAGCUUUUGAGAAAGCAAACCUCUUCGAUUUCUGAGAUCGGCCCUCGUGGUCUCUGAGCAGCCCAGCUUUUGAGAAAGCAAACCUCUUCGAUUUCUGAGAUCGGCCUUCGUGGUCUUUGAGCAGCCCAGCUUCUGAGAAAGCAAACGCCUCUUCGAUUUCUGAGAUCGACCCUCGUGGUCUCUGAGCAGCCCAGCUUUUGAGAAAGCAAACGCCUCUUCGAUUUCUGAAGCUUCGUCGAGUGCAGAUUUUUAUAGAGGCUGACAUUAAGUUCCAAAGCACACUUGAAUAUCCACCAGUAGAAGCUCCAUUCUUGCACUUCUAAGAUCUUGAUUUGUCUGACCUCUUCUCUUUUCUACACCUUUGAAAAUGUCUGGCCCCUCCGACCGUCGUUUUGACUUGAACCUUGUUGAAGAGGCAGCCCCGCCUUCUCCAGACAACAUAUGGCGCCCAUCCUUCGUCUCCCCUACUGGUCCUCUUACCGUUGGGGAUUCCGUGAUGAAGAAUGAUAUGACCGCUGCGGUAGUGGCCAGGAACCUUCUCACUCCCAAAGAUAACAGACUACUUUCCAAACGGUCUGAUGAGUUGGCUGUUAAGGAUUCUCUGGAUCUUAGUGUUCAGUGUGCAGGUUCUGUGUCUAAUAUGGCCCAACGCCUAUUUGCUCGAACCCGCCAAGUUGAAUCAUUGGCGGCUGAAGUGAUGAGUCUCAAACAGGAGAUUAGAGGGCUCAAGCAUGAGAAUAAACAGUUGCACCGGCUCGCCCAUGACUAUGCUACAAACAUGAAGAGGAAGCUUGACCAGAUGAAGGAAUCUGAUGGUCAGGUUUUACUUGAUCAUCAGAGAUUUGUGGGUUUGUUCCAAAGGCAUUUAUUGCCUUCGUCUUCUGGGGCUGUACCGCGUAAUGAAGCUCCAAAUGAUCAACCUCUGAUGCCUCCUCCUUCUAGGGUUCUGUCCAGUACUGAGGCUCCGAAUGAUCCCCCUCCGGUGCCUUCUCUUUCUGGGGCUCUACCGACUGCCGAGACUUCUCCUAAGCAACCUUUGUGAAGGCUCCCUCUUGUUUGUUUAUUUUGACUCAAGUAUAUGUACAUAUUUGUAAUUUAUCGGGGAUAUCAAUAAAUAAGCUUUCCUUCAUUUCAACUUAUUGUGUUAAAUCACCAAAGCCUUCUUCGCUAAGUUCUUUGAAUUUUCUUUUGUUGAAGCUUGUAUGUUGGAGCUUUGUGAGUGGAGCAUGUAGGUUGAGGUAGUGUUCCCUUAAUUUCCCGAGCGAGGACAACUUCUCGGUUGGAGACUUGGAAAAUCCAAGUCACUGAGUGGGAUCGGCUAUAUGAAUCUUAGAACGCCAUUGUGUUCUGUCCUGUGUCAUGUCCUCCGUUAGAUCCAAGUACUCUAAGUCUUUUCUUAGGGUCUCUCUCAAAGUUUUCCUGGGUCUUCCUCUACCCCUUCGGCCCUGAACCUCUGUCCCAUAGUCGCAUCUUCUAAUUGGAGCGUCAGUAGGCCUUCUUUGCACAUGUCCAAACCACCGUAACCGAUUUUCUCUCAUCUUUCCUUCAAUUUCGGCUACUCCUACUUUACCCUGGAUAUCCUCAUUCCUAAUCUUAUCCUUUCUCGUGUGCCCACACAUCCAACGAAGCAUCCUCAUCUCCGCUACACCCAUUUUGUGUACGUGUUGAUGCUUCACCGCCCAACAUUCUGUGCCAUACAGCAUCGCCGGCCUUAUUGCCGUCCUAUAAAAUUUUCCCUUGAGCUUCAGUGGCAUACGGCAAAAUUUGGAUACUCCAGUGGUAGAUCAGGCUACAAAUUCAAAAUUCAAAACAGAAAAAUCCAAAUUAAACACAAUUCAAAAGCGAUUUAAUAAUUACCAACCACAAAUCCCCCAUGCAUGUAAUAAAAAAUAGAAAUUACACAUAAAAAUACAGAAAUAAGAAAAGGGUACCACAUAUUUUCAUGUCGCUGCUGCUCUUCACAACCCACAAAAUUCGAGCCGAAAGAUGGUGGUGGCCGUGGUUCCGUGAGAGAGAGAGAGAGUUCAAGACGCAGGCUCUGAAAUGUUGACUGGUGUUGCAGUGCGAUUCUUGAGAGAGAAGUCGAGAGUGGGUGAACUGGUGUCGCGAUGAUCUGGAUGAACUGGAAGUGUCGAGAAGAAUGCUGCUGCACUUGUAGCAAGGCAAACAGAGGCAAGAUCUGAAAUAUUAAAAAAUAAUCAAGGGCAAAAUUGGAAGAACACUAUUCACCGAAAAAGUAUGCUAAUGCCUUAUCUUCACCCUCACUUUUUAAUGAAAAUUUUAAUUACAAAUUUGCUCAUUUGUAAAAUGAUUAAUAAGGGCCAAAGUUACUCUCUUUUGUGUUAUUUUUUUUUUAUAAAAAAAUAAAAGUUUAGGCGUGAUAACUCUCACGCUCUGUUUAGACAAUUUGUCUCUCUUAAACCCUAAUUCAUCCUUCACAUCUCUUUUCAUUCAAAGAAUUCAAAAUCAUUCAAAGAAAGCAAAAAGAAUGAACUUAGAAGAUGGCCUUUAUGUGGAAGAAGUAAAGGAUUAUGUGUAGGUCGUGGCCAUCCUACAAUUGAAUAUGCAUAGCUCUAUUGCCGUGAUUUUAUAUUUAACUUUUGCCUACAAUAUUAUGAUUAGUAUUAGGUUAGAGUACAAUUUGUUUCACGUUUUCAUAUAUGUAUUCCUGAAAUUUGUAUUUUAAUUUUCAUAUGCUUUUAUAUUUAACUUUCACGUUUUCAUGGUUGUUCCAUGUUUAUAUGAUUUUCUAUUUAACUUCCACAUUUUCAUAUGCGUAUUCUUGAAAUUUGUUUUGAAAAAUAAACAAAAGCUAUUCUAAUCAUAUUUGUACAUGUCUUUCUUUGCAGCAGGUAGAUGAAUCUGGUAGUAAUUCAACAUCUACACAAAUUGGAAAAAACAUAGUGAACCAUCGUGUUUAGAAUAGGCUACUCUAUACAUUGCUCGUAUACAACAAUUCAAAUCCAUUAUAGGAUCUGCUAUCAUAACUAGAGAGAUCGUGGAGUUUGACAAAAAUCGAAGUUGGUGCAGUGCUUGUCCAAAACUUUUAAUUUUCUCUUUUUUGAUUGGUCUCCAUUAUAAGUUUUGCUAUCAUAACCUCACUCGCAUGCGUUCCUUACGAAAAUUUCCCAUUUAAAGCUGUUUCCAUCAUCAUCUAGCAUAAUCCUAGGGGUUUGGGCUUGAGAGAUGGUUUACUUGAGUAAGCUCCUCCAUUUUCAAUCCCAACCAAAUGUGUACAUCAGGCUGAAGAUUGGGUUCUCCUCCAUUUUCAAUCCCAACCAAAUGUGUACAUCAGGCUGAAGAUUGGGUUAUGGUGGGUGGGGAAACAACUUUUUAAUUUUUUUAACUUUUUAUAGUGGGUGUAAAUAUAACGUAGAUGGGAAAAUAAGAUAAUAAGGUGGAUCUAGCAGCUCUCCAAAGUUUUAGGGAAAAUGAGUGUUUUUUUUAUAAGUAUAAUGAUAUAUAUUACAUUAAUGGGAGGGGAAGUUCGGCUAAGCCACACAAUGAGCAACCUAAUUUGGUAUUGAAUUCGACAUCUAUGAUAUUCAAACAUAAGACCGCUCACUUAUAAGUGUAGAGGAAUGCCAUCAAACUAUAGUACUAAGUUUUAGUAUAUAUAUAAUUACCACCUUUUAUGAAAUAGUCAUAUCUCACGUAUUGGUUCUUAUACAGACUAUAAUUUAAACUAAAUUAAUCAAAAUUAUGAGAAAGUUAAUUCAAAUUUGAGUGUAGAAAGAGAAAUACACUGUUCUAACUAGCUUAGUUUUUAUUUUAUUUUUUUCUUUAACAAACUGUAGCUAGUGGACUAAAACUUGUGCUCGCUGUUUAGAGUGUUAAUCCUAUUGGGAAGCUCUGGAAUUUAAUUUGUUACUUUUAUGGGUAAAUUACAUAGUAGUCCCUCAUGUUUGAGGUCUAUUACAAUCUUAUACAACAUCUUUAAAACAUUUCACUUUCAUACCUCAAGUACUAUUUUAUUUCAAUUUCAUACAACCGUUAAAAAUUUUGUUAAGUUAACCGUUAAAUGAUGACGUGGCAAAUAUGAGGUCCCCAUUUGUACUGAUAUGGCUGACACAUUUAUGCCACGUGGAUAAACACUUAAUAAAAAUUUAAAAUAUUAGAAUAAUUAAUUAAAGAAAAAUAUAAAUUUAUAAAAAAAAUAAAAAAAAAUAAAAAACCCAAAAGUCCUAUUCGUCUUCCCCACCCCUUCCCCCCACCAGAGCCCAUCCCCCCAACACCCACCCCCUUCUCCCAUCCCCCAUCACCCGAGCCUCCCCCGUAACCUUCAAUCUCCAUCUUGCUCCAAAUCCGUCAAUCUCCAUCCCAGAAGCCAAAAACUGGAAAAGUUACAAAUUUUCCCACACUCAACAGAACACAUAGAAAUCCAAACAUUUCCUACCCAUUUUCUCUCAAUUUCCCUCUAACCAAACACACCAUGUUGUCUUUCGAAAGAAUAUGCAAACCAUUCCCAUUCAAUUUCAAAUCCUCAAAAACCCAGCAAAAUUAAAAAACCAAAAAACUAAAAUAUCCAAAAAUUUCCCCUCACCCUCUAUCAUUUUCUCAGCAACCAAACACAACCCAGAAUCCCAAUUAAAAAAAAAAAAAAAACCUGAAUCAUACAAACCCAUUUAGUUGAAACCCAUAAAAAAAAUAGAAAGCAAAUUCAAGAACAAUGGGAAAAUUAUCAGCCACUGGAACGCAAAAUCAGAAGCAUAAUCGAUUUGAUUCAACUCGGAAUCUGACUGAGCAAGCCCACCGUGGUCCAUUGGCAGCUAUUUGGCGGAGCUAAGGUUGCUCGGUGCGGUGUUUGAUGCGCUCAGGGAUAGACUGGGCGAAGACCACUUGGAGAGGUGGACCAGCUAUUCCAGCUCUUGCUCUGCGAGUCCAAUGACUCUUCCCCUUAUUCGAACCGGACCACCCUUUAAAACCUUCAGUGCUCGAGUUCGACCCGACCCACGAACCCCCAUUGUGACGAAGCUUCAAUCCACUCCCAGAUCUCUCAGUGCUCGAGCUCGAUGACUGAGCUUCCCUAGUUGCUCGUUACGAGAAUGGAAGAGGGUUUACUGCAAUUUAGGUUUUUACGAGCUUGAAUUGUAGAGAGAGAAUAUUAGGGUUUUUAGCUUGAAUCGCAGAGAGAGGGGGAAGCUUUAGGUUAGGGAGACUGAAUUUAAGGUUUUUACAAGCUUGAAUUGCAGAGAGAAAAGAUUGACUUGCAGAGAAUUGGGUGUGAUUUUGAGGGUUUUGGAUUAGAGGACAAGGGUGCAUAUGUGGUUUUAUGGGUGAAUGCGGGGGAACAGAUGGAAGUGGAAGGAAUUAGGGUCCAUAUGUGGUUUUGGUAGUGAAGGGAGGGGGAUGGAUGGAAGGGGAACCGACAGAGGGGGAAGUUGAGGUUUUGGUGGUGAAAGGAGGGGUCGAACGGAGGGAGGUGAGUUGGGGGGGGGGGAGAUGGGUUCUGGGAGGGAGAAGAGGCGUAUGGAGGGGUUGCGGGGAAGGUGGGGGGUGGGUUCUGCGUUUUUCAUUUUUUUUUGUUGAGAAGAUUUAGAUUUUAAAAAAAAUUAUUAUUUUUUGCCACGUGGCACACAGGUGGCAGCCACGUGGUACAAAUGUGGCAGCCACGUCAGCUCUUAACGGAUCAAUGGAUGGAAAAUGUAACGGAGGUACUAUAUUGAAAUAAAAUAGUAGGUGAGGUACGAAAGUGAAAUGUUUUAAAGAUGUUGUAUGAAUUUGUAAUAUACCUCAAACCUGAGAGAGUAUUAUGUAAUUUACCCUACUUUUAUUUGAUCUCAAAUAGGAAAUAGUUUCAGCCAAUUAUACGUAUAGACUUGCCCAACCAUUUGUAUAGGGCCAUUAGAUUAUAAUCAGCCCAAACAAAAGAGAAAGAAGCCACACUUUCUCGCUAAACCUACGAACCAACAAGGAGAAAUCUGUGUUCUUCGUAUCAUCUACCUUUCCUUUUCAUCUAUUACAUAAAUAUCUUCUUUCAUUGCUGACUAGUGAAGGCAAUCUAAAGAGGAGGUGGCGGAUUUUAAGAAAACGAUGGAAAGCUUAAGCAGAAGGUGGAGGAUUUGGGAGUGUGGUGGAGAGUCUAUGGCUGCAGGUGGCACAACCAGUGUAUAUAGCUGAGUAAUCUUAAGCUAUGAAGCGGGUGGUGGAAGGUCUAGGUUUAGGUUCCAAUCAUGACAUAUUUUCCUAUAAAUAGAUGCGAUUUGAGUAGGAAUUUUUAAAGCAAAAUUCGUUCAGUUUAUUUUACAAAUAGAGAGAAUUUGAGUGAGAAUUCUGAAGAAGAAAGAAAGCGGUAUAAGUUUGCACAUGAACGCUUAAGGGUAAGAAUUUCUCUUUUGGGUGUCGUGAGUGGUUCUUUUCAAUUUGAUUACCACGUUUGUAUUCUCUAUUUUGAUAUAAAAAAUAUUUAAAAAGAAAAAAACCCUUCAAUACCUAUUUCAUGUUCUUAAUUAUGAUCCUAUUUGAAGCUCUGAAAAGUCAAAAGAAUUUAAGUUGCAAAGUGAUCAUAGAUUUUCUAAGCACAAAUUUUAGAAUUUUUAGAUUCGUAGUCCCUUCUUUCGUCCUUGUUUUAUUACAUUACAAAGCUUGUUUUUCAAAAUCUUUUAGGAUUUAAGAGUGAUUCAUAGCUUUAAAUCGAGUAUUUACUCGAGGAUUGUCAAUGAGAUUUGACCGGUCAAAACAUGUUCAAAAAGUUGCCUUUGAAUCCAUGUAAAACUGUGUAGUUUUUCUGCACGUACUUGUUUUAACUCAUGAUUUCUCUCACUCCAAAGUUCGGUUUUUAACAUAAGUUAUAUCGUUGAAAAGAUGGUUCUUCAUGCUUUCAAACGGGUAUAAAUUCAUAAAUUUUCAUUGAGAUUUGAUUAGGCAAAAAGCUGCUUGUUUUAUGUCCACAAAACUAGAAUAAAGUUCAAUUUUCUGCAGUUUCUCUUUGGUAGAGAUGAUGAACAGUGAUUAUAUAUUACAAUAUUCUUAGUUUUGGUUUGUUUGUCAUGUUCCUUUACUCUGACAUUCAGCUAUAGACUCGACGGCGCAAGAGCUCAGGAAAGCUAAGGAAAGAGAUUUUAGCUUGCUUGGAGUCGAGGUAAGGGAUUUAGAGAUUAAUAAUUGAGUAGAACUUUAUGAGUAAAUUAUUUACUUAUUUUGAUAAAGUUUAUAUGCUUAUGUUUCUAUUGUAAUUGAGUGAUUUGCUUACUUGAUAUUAUGAAUCAUGUAUUUGAUACCUUGGUGCCUAUCAACCAGAAUAAGAAUAGGAAAGCUGAAAAAGAUGAAGCAUAGAAAAGUAGUGGGUCCUGACAGUAUACCAAUAAUACUAUGGAAAGUUUUAGGAGACACUGGUAUAGCAUGACUCACAAACAUUUUCAUUAAGAUUUUGAAAACGAAGAACAUGUCCAAUAAGUGGCGAAAAAGCACUUUGGUGCCUAUCGAAAUAAGUAUGAGUAGAAUAUAUCCAAGGAUGUGUUUGAUGAAGGGAUGCAGUGAGAAGUGAGAAUCUAUGAAGGACAAAUUGAAAGCUUUCCCAUUGCCAUAGGGUUACAUCAAGGCUCAGCUUUAAAAUCCUUACCUUUUUGUAUUGUUAAUAGAUGAGUUAACGAGACAUAUUCAAGAUGAUAUCCUUUUAUGUAUGCUUUUUGCAAAGGAUAUAGUGCUAAUAGAUGAAAUGCAGGACUGAGUUAAUGUGCAGCUAAAGGACUUCGUCUAAGUAGGUCAAAGACAAAGUAUAUGGAGUUCAAAUUCAGUAAAAAUGAGGGUCUAAAUGAGAUAGGGGUGAGGAUUGAAGAUCAUGAAGUACCAAAGAGUUAAUGUCUUCGUUAUCUCGGAGUUGGUGAAGGCAAGGGUGGAUGUAGUGGUGUUGGAUAGCUCACAGGGGAACUCCAUUUAUCAGAUUGAGACGAUAAAGUAUGUGAAGACAAUGUACUCGAAUUUGAAUGUAGUUGAUGGGAAUGUGGUGACGGUGAGUCAGGCGCAGAAUUCGAUUCAGCUGUGUUGAUGGGUUGAGGGUUGGAAUGGGGUCUGCCUCAAUUUGUACCGCUCAAGAGGUCUGUGCCUUUGACCACGGACAGGUGUAAAGGUGCCCUUUUUUUUUUUUUGUUUAGUUGUUGCUUUUGUAAUCGAUGCUUUAGUCUGUGUUAUCAUUGGUGGUGGCUAGAUUAAGCAUUUGUAAAAUCUGGAGCUGUUGAAAGUUAUGAUAUUGGUAGUGAUCGGUUAAAUUGCUUAAAUUCUUUGUGGAUGAGAAAUAUCUGAGUAUGGAUUUGUUUAAUCAAUGACAUUGUGCCGAGCAAUCGUUUUUUUUAUGAUUGUUUUACUAUCUUGUUAUUAGAUAAUUCGAAACGUAGGACAUAGAAAACAACAGUUUGACUUUAGCUUCUGGCAGUGACAACUGACAACCCUUUGAGGUAAGUAGACCAAUUUGCAUACGUUAUUGUGUUACUCUAUCAUUAUUAUUAAGGAUGUCAUUCAAUCAGUCAGUGCAGUUUUUAUGAAUUGGAGUACUAAUCAGUUGGCAUAAUUGGAUAAAUGUUAUGUGCACAGAUUAAUAGAAGCAUGCCAAUUUCCGAAAGGAUAACAAUACAAAAGCAGAAUACAUACAUACACGUUGAAAACCAACAAGAGAGUUCAUCUUCAUCUUUUCAGAUGGGAGGUCUCAUCCUUGCAUAAUCCACAUUCUUCCAAUAUCGACCAAGAUUUAGAAAGUAUCUUUAAUCAAGUUUAAUCUGAAAUAUUAUUGCAUAAUUAAUAAUCUUUAAUCAAAUGACCUGAUCAAUCAUCAGCCUUGCAUGGUAAAGCUUAAACAGAAACAUAAUUAAAGCCUAGCUAUUCCUUUUCUUUUGUAAAAAAAUCCUUACGGUCCUCCAUCGCGGAUAUAUCAGGCAGAAUUAUAAACAUAAUCUAAUCAUGUAGAAGCAGUGAUCACCCAUUACGGAUAUGCUAAGCAUGAUCACCCCUAAAAUACGUAUGGCUCCCAUCACAGAUAUACUAAGCAGGACCGUAACCUAAAACUUUAGGUAGUGAUCACCCAUCGUGGAUAUACCAAGUAUCAUUACUCCUAGAAUGUGUAUGGUCCCCCAUUGCAGAUAUACCAAGCAGAACCAUAGGCGUAGUCUAAUCAUGUAGGCAAUGAUCACCCAUUGCAAAGAUACCAAGCAUGAUCACCUUUAAAAUACAUAUGGUUCCCCAUCACAAAUAUACCAAGCAAGACCGUAACCUAAAGCUAUAUGUAGUGAUGACCCAUCGCGAAUAUACCAAGCAUCAUUACUCCUAGAAUGCGUAUGGUCCCCCAUCGCGAGUAUACCAAGCAGAACCAUAGGCAUAGUCUAAUCGUAUAGGUAGUGAUCACCCAUCGUGGAUAUACUAAGCAUGAUCACCCGUAAAAUUGGUAUGGUCCCCAAUUAUGAAGAUACCAAAUAGGACCGUAACCUAAAGCUCUAGGUAGUGAUCACCCAUCGUAGAUAUACCAAGCAUCAUCACUCCUAGAAUGCGUAUGGUCCCCCAUCGUGGAUAUACCAAGCAUGAUGACCCCUGAAAUACGUAUGGUCCCCAUCGUGGAUAUAUCUAGCAGGACCAUUCAUGUACCACUGCUACAUGGUGCAAUUAGACCAACACACAACAUACCCUUACCUCAAUAUCUAUAUUUACAACGGAAGCAUAUACACUAUCAAUUUCUCAAAACUAAAUAUCUUGUCAAACAGGCAUAUAAAUUCAACUUAAUGCUUCUAGUAGGGUUCUAGGCUCACAUUUCAUACUAGUAAUCAUACAUAUCAUUUAUCAUCAAGAAGUUCACUAAGCUUGUAUCUGACAAUUUGGUUCCACUUGUAUGUAAACCAAGGUGCACAUCACCCAGGAUGGCUCGCCGACCAAGGUAGGUCCACUAGGUUCAAUUAGGUCUCUAGUCAUGGUACUUUCUGUAUUUGAGAAUGAUUCGAAAUAUUUUGACCAAAAAUCAAUCAUCAGUCAACGAAAAGUGAAGAACACUACAUAAUUUAAUCCGGAAGAUCCACCCCCUAGAUUUAAGAUCCAUAACCUCCUAAGAGUCUCAAUAGGUUUCUAAAACAACAUACUAAAAUGUUAUGACAAUCUAACGGUUGGAUCUCCGCCCAUUGCAAAUUUAAGUGACAGUCAACGAUCGGUUCUACAAAUGUAGAAUUUCAAUCCGGAAAGAUCCGUACGUCGGAUUUCCGACCCCGUAAGUUUCUAAUGUACUUAAACAAUACACAUAACAACAUACUACAAUUUUACGAUGAUCCAACGGUCGGAUUGGCGUUAAUUAAGCUUGUUUUUCCGACCAACUUUGUUUUUUAACAAAUUUUGCUGGCAAGUAGAUCUCAACUUAAGGAACAAUUUUCAUACCUGUAACAAAGUCCAAUUCGACCGGGAAGACGCUGAAAUCUGCCUGAAAUCCCCUCAAACCGCCUUGCCGUUUUCGUUGCAAUAUCAGUGAAAGGUUAGUAUUUAUAAUUUCUUUUUUCGUUUUUGUUACGUGUUGAUGCAUGUUAAGCCUAGUCUCUUCCAAUCUUAUAUCCUCUUUUCCAUUCAAGGUGAGCAAUUUCAAUUUUUUGGGUUAUGGAAUAAUUCAUGUGAAUAAUGUGGAGUUGGCCAAUGAUUAAAAAAAUGCAUGUACAAAAGCAUGUUCUUUGACUCAGUUAUUAGUUUUGUUUUAGAACAUAGUAAUACUAAUAUAUAUGUUUUUUAGCCGACCCCACUUAGUGGGAAAAGGCUUUGUUGUUGUUGUAUUCUCCGGCAGCCCCAAGUUAAUCAAUGACCUUUUGGGAAGUGAACGUUGUAGAAGUAUUUGUUAGAACUGUAAAGAGAGAAAGUCUUAGAACUCGAAUCGGUAUUCCUAUAGCUCUAUUCUAUUUCCUAUGGAAAAUUAGUGAAUCAUUUGUUGUUUUUAGGAUUUUUUUUUAAAUGGAUUUUUUGUAUAAUAAAUUUAUUGUUUUAACUCGACAAGCGUAACUCAUACACUUGCAACCUAUACUAUGUUGGCAUCAAGUUUGAUAUUCAUUUCUGUAUUGCAGCAUCAGUGUUCGCGUCAGGAAUUUCCGUCGGGGAUGUCUCCUGGCCGACGAGCACACAGCUCCCCUGGAGGUUGGCGCCGGUUUGAGGGCUGCUGUCGAGCUUCUGCUUCGCUGUCGGGCUUUGUCGGGCAAGUCUCGUCGGGCAAGGCUCUUCGGGCAAGGCUGAAAGAGAAGGACAACGUUAACUUUGAGAGGUGCCUUUGUGGGGCCUUAGGUGUUAACUACAUUGCAGUGUUUGAGAAUUGAAGGGAAAAUCAAGAAGAAAGAUGAAGAGAAGAAGAACACAGAGAGUUUGAGAGAGAGAGAUAUAUAUGCUUUUGUAUUAACUAAUAGAAUGAAUGUUACACAACUGUUUUUAUAAGAGAAAGUCUAACUACUCUAACCAAAUACUAACCAACUUACUAACUGUAUGUAUUGCUGACUUGUACCCUUAAUACUCCCCCUCAAUCUCAACUGGGGAAAACCCAGUUUGAGAUUGGAAGAACAUAUCUGCAAUCACUGCUAUGAAGCUAAACUCUGCACAAACCCAGACCUUUGUCUCUAGUUGAUCUUUGAAGCACAAAGCUGUUUUAAGUCUAAAAGAUAUGCCAAUCCAACCUACUGAUCAUCACAGCAGCUUUAGUCUUUAGAAAUCUGGAAGGAGAUGAGGAAGAUUCCCAUAAGCAAGAAACUUAAACAAAACUGUGUUAUACCACCAUGCGUAUACAUAUGCAACAUAUGACACAUAUCUCCUGCAAGUUCCCCUAUUCCAACUAUGGGAAAAAAAAAAGUUCAGUUAUAUGGACCUCAGCAAUACCAAUACCCCUCUAUUUCCAGCCUUUCAAUUCAACCAAUGGACUUGUACCCUUCUGCCUCUAACCAGAGUUGCACAAAGAAUCACAUGAAGUGCAUAUAAAAUUUCACAUAGAAUAGACGGGAAACGUUACAUACAGUCAUCAUAGGGCCUUCACAAAGAAUCACAUGAAGAAUCUGUGCAAAUUCUUCUCCAGCUGCAGUCAUCAUAGGGCCUUCAGGUUAUGGUACUGAACAACCCAAGUCUCCAUAUGUUAGUGUAUCACGAAGCACCCCCUAUCUGCUUAAUUUGUAUUCAUCUCAUGAACAAUUUCAAGAACUACCCAAGAAUUAUAGAAAACUUGCAAGAACGGCUUUGUGCCGCAAAGAAUCGCAAAGAAUAUACAAGAUAAUGGCUUCGUGCCGCAACAAAUUCAACAAGAAAAUGGCUUCGUGCCUCAACAAAUCAACAGGAAAAAUGGCUUCGUGCCUCAACAAAUCAACAGGACAAAUGGCUUCGUGCCUCAACUAAAAUGGCUUCUUGCCUCAACAAAUUAACAGAAUACUGGCUUCGUGCCCCAAGAAACAUAGUAAAAAAAAAAAAACCCAGAACAAAUCACGACUCCGAAACGAAACAAAUCACCUGAGAACCGCAGAGAUGAAAGAUUAAGCAUAUUCAGAGCUACAACUUCAACACGAACUCCCCAAAAAACCCAUAACUGCCGAGCCCAAGAACAUUCGUGUACCCACAGUGGAUUCGCAGACCCAUUUCCACAAACACCUUCACAUGAAAAUUUUGAGUUUGGCAUUUCGACAAACACCUGGAGUGCACCCAUGUCUGAUCUUUCUUCCAUACCAGAGAACAGAACAGAGAUCAAAGAAUUCACUGACCCAUUUCUUCAAACAGUUGGAGUGCACAAAAUUAGAACGUGAAAAGCUCCUAAGACCAGAAUCCACCUUCAACUACCAGAAAAUCGUCAACUUGAGGAUAUGGAAUUAGAGCAACUGGAUCUUUCUUGUCCCACCAACCUUCCACCUUUGACCACACAAGAUCUGAAGAAGAAAACUUCAGCGCAGGUCAAUCUGGGCUUUUCUGGCAGAGGCAAACUUCAAAAGCUAGUGGGAAGGGCCUCUCUGUCUACGAUUAGCAAUCCGGUGUCGAAAUGAAGGAGGAUUCAUCGCGAUCAGUGGUGAAAUCUCAAUUCAUAUCCCAGAAAAAUAAACCAAGAACAAUCACGGAAGCACCUAAAAUCUAAUGAAAAUUUGAGGAGAAACUUAACUAGAGGAAAAAAAAAAAUGCAAACUACUAAGAAGUGCAACCACCAGAAUCAUGGCCUGAGCUGGUGGCUCUGAUACCAUGUUAACUACAUUGCAGUGUUUGAGAAUUGAAGGGAAAAUCAAGAAGAAAGAUGAAGAGAAGAAGAACACAGAGAGUUUGAGAGAGAGAGAGAUAUAUGCUUUUGUAUUAACUAAUAGAAUGAAUGUUACACAACUGUUUUUAUAAGAGAAAGUCUAACUACUCUAACCAAAUACUAACCAACUUACUAACUGUAUGUAUUGCUGACUUGUACCCUUAAUAUUAGGUGUAAGCCUUGAGGCUCACAAUCAAGGUUAACAUUUAGGUGCUCAGGCGUGCCACUGCCAUCUUUAGCAUGGCAGAUGUAAAAUGGAUAUCGCUUUAGUUGCAUGUAUGUAUGUAUCCAAGAAACCGUGUUAGUUAUAACAAGUGCCUUUGUGGGGCCUUAGGUGUAGGCCUUGAGGCUUCCCAUCAAUAACUAAACCGAUGCUUGAACACAUCAUAUUUGUUCUCGUGAUUGCCGGAGUUUUCUAACUAUUAUACUUCUGAUUACCCGAGUCCAAGAAGUAGAAUGAACCCAAAUAGGUGCCUUUGUGGGGCCUUAGAUGUAGGCCUUGAGGCUUCCUAUCAGAGUUCAUUCCUAUACUUAGACUCUUUAGAUCGCUGAACGGAAUGAAUCCAAAUGGAUGCCUUUGUAGGGCCUUAGGUGUAGGCCUUGAGGCUUUCCAUUAGAAUCCAUUCCAUGCUCAAGCUUUCUAUAGUAAUCAUGAUAUAAUAGAAGGAAAACUAGAGGGUAGGUUGAUUACUUGCGCCCCAAGUAACUUCGGACUUCUCGUUUAUCAAGGACUGUCGUGGAUGGGUUAAGUCCACAUAAGGUUCUUUUUUAUGCCUUGAGGCCAAGGACUUUUAACUGAUCAGAUUUACAUGCCCGAUGGCUUAGGACUUGGAUCUGGUUUGAACACUGACGAUAUAUUCAAAUCGGAUUCAAGUACUGAGAAAGCCUUUUAAUAGUCAUAUUGCUAGAAAUAACUUGCAUAUAACUGGAAGUAUACAACAUAUUGAAAAGACAAAAACAAAGCAAAGAAGGUCAGGCAAGGUUAAACCUUAUCGGGUAAGGUUGCUCGUCUUGCAGGUUCCUAUCUUUGUAGUUUUGUCAAAGGUCUGAAAGCUUAGAGGGAGAGAGAGAUUACAAAAAAAUGAAUCGAUACUAGCAAGGUUGAACAAGGUAGCAGAGCUAUUACAAAGGGUUGAAGAGAGGGUUAUCCCGAGGGGGAUGAAGGUUUGUCCCGAAAGGGAUGAAGGCUGACUACAGCUUUGUUUUGAAGGCAAAUCUGGUUUUGAGCAGAGUUUUUGCUUUUGUUUGUUUGUUUGAGUGUCCUUAUUCCUGGUUUCUCCUUCUUCUUAUAUAGACAACUCGGCUUGGCUCCUUGUAGCAGCAGCCUUGCCCGAAUGCGGUUUGAGGGUGAUGACUCAUCGGCUUUUUUACAUGGACUGCCAUCAUAAAGUACUUUAUGGGCUGUGUAGCUGAUCAGUCUAUACCACUUGGCCUUUGGGUAGGUAAGCAAGUGGUCUUCAUGAGCUGCACCAAGUCAGAAAAGGCCCUUUUUGCCUUCUGGGCUUCGACUGGGCUUCGACUAUCUUAGUCUUUAUGCAUAUUUCACAUUGAGUUGUCAAUGGGAUUGUUCCUUAACUAGACAAUUGUUACUUGGAAUCUGUAUUUAUGCCGUUGCCAUGCAUCGAUCUAUCUCAUGAAUCUUCUUAUGAUCAGUUAUUCUUUUGUUUUGCCAUGUGAUCCUUCAAACAGAUGCACCUGCGUUCUUUUCCGGAUUUAUGGAACAUAGAGAAAAGGUAUUCAAGCUUUCCUUUUUCUUUGUUAACAAAGAUCAUUGGUGCUUAUUGUUUUCCUUGGCUAUCCUACUUUUAGAGUAGGUUGUGGUAAAUGUCAACCCAGUAAUUAAGAAGUGACAUAUUUUUUCUUUGAUGUGUCUGAUAGAUGUAACCUGAAUUGAUAUUUCUUCCUCAGCUCCCUGCGGAUUCCAUAUUGAUCAAUAUGGAUUAAUUAUGCAACUCGAUUGGAGUUUGAAUGUAGUUUCAUAUUGUUAAGCCCUUUCAUAUGGAUGAGAAAUAUUGUUAAUCCCCACUUGGAGCAGCCUGUUCAUCUUUGAUAUCUUCAUCGCUGAUCUCUCUGUCAUCAAAUCCUGCAUCAAAUAAAGUUAAUUAAGACAUCAUUCAUCCCAUACAUUUAGUUUUAUAUGAAACAAAUUUCAGCUAUAAUUGGUUGUAAUAGUACAUGGCUUGGUCUUUGCAGGAUCUUUGGUCUUUGAAAGUUUUAACAUUUUGGUUUUCGCAUUUGAGCUUCGCAGACCUCAUAAGCUUUAUCAGUGCUUUUCUGAAAUUUGGAGGUUUGCUUUCAUUUAUCUUUGUGGUUUUUUUUUUUCACUUACUGGUUGUCUCUUAGACUUUGAGAAUGUAACCUAUUCAAGUUGUCUGCAGGAAGAGAGAGACUGAAAAGCAGAUAGACAAAGCCUUCUUGCCCUUGGCGAGGAAGAGAUCAAGCUGCUACUUUGCGUAUGUUCGAGAACGGAACACAAAGGCAAAGCUCUGUCAUGUUGCACAUUUUGUACUUUUAAAAGUCCUCAACAUCCUCAGUCCAACAAAGAUUAAUGAGGUAGCUGUCUUUACAUACCUUUGCGCUUGCGUCUAUUUAAGAUUACAAAGGAAAGCAUAGCAAUCCAUAGACAGCUUAAGGCUUGACAGUGAUUUUUGGUUUUGUCAGAUAAAAGGCGUUGGGGAAAUCCUUGAAGGUCUCCCCUCAUAUUCUCAGAGGCAUUUUAGCCGAAUGGACAAGCACGAAACAGACACAUAUUUGAACCAGAGACAGAUACAAGGGUAUUGCAUGACAAGUCUUUGAUGUAGUAUAAUUUAGAUACAAACUGAUGACUGUGAUCAAUUUAUUUUCUCUUUGUGGUUUGUAAUCAGAAAUCCACCAUUUUAGUUAUACAUAGGCUUCUAAUGUAAAUCCAAUAGAAUAUAGAUGCAAACGGAUAGAAAUAUUUCUACCGAAUGGAUUUAACUGCUUUGACCGGUUUUUUAAUUAUUUAGAGAUGAAUGUGUAAAAUUGUAGUUACAAUUUCAAAACUUGCAGUAGAGUGCGGACAUUUUUGCUAGUGUCAACUAUGAUCAAACCUGAGCCAAACUGAAUCCAAAAUUUGGUGCAAUCAUUCAUCGACAACCAGUUUUUCUUGAGGAACUGUUGUAGACUUGUAGUUCCAACUUUUAGCUCUAAGCAAUUCUGUUGCUAAUUUUGAGGCUGAGACGUUCAGACAUGAUGGACCCAUGUCUAUUCCUUAUCGUUGUCACAUAUAGCCCACUCAUGUUGCAAAUGUUUUCUUUUCACAAUAGAUUUUUUUUUCUUGGACAAUCAAAACACCACACUGUCCCAUAAAAAUAAGUUAACCAUUGUAUGUGGGACUCAAUUACAGUAAAAUGUGUGUCAACCAGUUCUGUUUGUCUAAAUAACAUAAUUCAUAUUUCUAAGCUAAAAUUGCAAGUUUUUUUAGUUGACUAAGUUUUUUAGACUGUACACGAUAAGGGUCUGUAAUAGUUAAUUUUUCAAUUCGUAUUAGUCCUAAAUUUUAAGUCUAGGUAUUGCAUGUAGUCCAAUAUCCUAGCUAAUGGUUAGGGAUUUGGGUUUCUACCUAUGGUUUGAGGUUCGAAACUCAUUUUUUUUCUUUUCUAAAUUAAUAUAAUAGUUUUGAUCCCUCUCAUAAUCUCAUUCCCCUUAAUAAUAGUAAAAAAAAAAAAAUUUAAAAAAAAAUAGUCUAGCUGUUGAAGACUAGCGAUAUGUUAACAAAGAGCAGGAUUCGUGAAACUCCAAUUGGUAAGUAUCAUGUUACAUCCUUAUAGGAAAUCAUAUAUGAGAAUUUGGUAACGUGAGAUCAAAAUAUAUUUGCAUAGUUUUUAGGAAAGAAAAUCAAUUUGAUUUGGCUUUAGUGUAUUUAGGGCGGUUCGUUGGUGGGCAAAAAAUUAAAUUAGGUUUAACCAAAUCAAAUUCAAUAUAAUCUUGGGAUAUUGUGAAAGGGGUAAAGUUAGGGAGAUUAAAUUUGUAGACAAAAUUUACAAACUAAAGUCAUAAUUCAAUCAUCAACUCUCAUGUCAUUCAAUUUGCAAAAUUUUGUUUACAAAUUUAGUCUCCCUAGUAUUUUUGUGGAAAAGAAAAAAAAAAACCAUGAUCAACGGCAUGGUGAGCAAGUUUUACAGUUUUGCAAAAUCAACGUUUUGAGCCUGAAUUUCAUGUAGCAAAGUUGUGGAGCUUAAUUGAGAGUUAGACAUAUCAUUCAUUAUGCAUGAUCAAGCUAUGUUCAAAAAACUUCGUAGAGGUGUGCAAUCAAUAGGAGACGAAGAGAUGCAAGUACGAAGACAAGAUGGCAAGACAAUCUAUUAGUCGGUGUCUGGUAAGUUGUGUCCAGCAGCUAGUGUGUUGAAAGUAAUUAUGCCUAUGCACCAUGGUGCGAGUUUGAUUUCUACCAAUUCUCUUGCAUCCUAACAACUAUUAAUUUAAUCCACUAAUGCUAUUAUUUGUUAAAAAAAAAGGUUGUGUCUUGUAUGAGUUUUGUACUUGUUUGUUUGACAUUAGUGAAUUCUUUAACCGGCAGUGUGCCCAUGAAAUUUUCUGAAUGUGUGGGUUUUUACCACGUAAAAGAAAAAUCGCGUGUUCUCAUCUUCUUAUUUAAUAUAUUUACUUGUUGCUGCAUUCCAAGAUUGAAACGCCCGAGUGUCUGACUGUUUUUACCUGGGCUGUUUCUUUGUUGGGUUUUGGUUCCUCAAUCCAUCUACAUUUUCAUAGGCUGAUUUUGUUUUAUUUUAUUUUAUUUUAUCUCAACAUAUAUUUUGAUUUACAAACAAUGUUCAACACGAAUCUAGAGGAAGGGGAGAUAAGAGCAUUUGAACAUAGAAUGCAACGGGUUGAGCAUGAAGACAUUAAUUACCAGAGCAAUUCACAUGUCUUAUAAUUUCUUGUAUUAGUAAAUCAAUUGAUUCUUCACUAUCCUUUUUGUCAGUAACCAGAGUGCUAAAAGUUAAAAGAGUGAUUCCUAUUUUUUAAAUGAAAGGUAAUAUUGUUAUGAUGUAAUAUAAUGUUGAAUAAUGAUUUAAUUGUAAACUUAAAGAGAAGGAUAAACAAACUAAUAUCGAAUAAGAGCAUAUUGAAUUUCAGGAGUCGACUAAUAAAAUGAUGAGAAACAAUAAAAAUUAAUUAUAAACUAUGAUUCUUAUUCAAAGUGUCACAUCCCGGCCCGGGGUCCACCACAUCCCGCACUCGCUCCACUAUCGUAGCACGAUAUUGUCCGUUUUGGGCCCCGAUUACGCCCUCACGGUUUUGUUUUUGGGAACUCACACAAGAACUUCCUAGUGGGUCACCCAUCAUGGGAGUACUCUCGCGCAAACUCACUUAACUUCGGAGUUCCGAUGAACUCCGAACAGCUCCCAAAAGGUCUCGUGCUAGGUAGGGAUGAGAAUAUACAUAUAAGGAUCACUCCCCUGGGCGAUGUGGGAUCUUACACAAAGACACAAAAUAAAGAAGAUUACAAAUUGCAAGCGACUUUUUUUUUUGAACAAUCAAUAUUAUCUAUACCAGGGGGUGAGGGGUGUGCUUAGCCUCACAAUAGGCUAGCAAUAAUGUGGUUCAAGUUCACUUUUGGCAAGAAUUGAACAUAAGUCUCUCACUCAUAAGUGAAAAAGAAUACCACUAGACCGUAAUACUAAGUGGCCGACGACUUUAAUCCAAAAGAUUACGAACUAGUUUGGAUGUGCUAUUAAAAUGACUGAAAAUGUUUUUGGAGAAAAUGUUUUUGGGUUCCAGAAGCACUUGAAGUGCUUUUUACAAGAAGCAUCAGCUAUGUGCUUCUUCGAAGAAGCACUUUAAGUGCUUUUCCAAGAUUUACUUGCAUUUUUACUAAGGAUUGUUUCCAAAAGUAUUUUCACCAAAAAUGCUUUCAGUCAUUUUAAAAGCACAUCCAAACGAGUUCUACAUCUUGCCAGAGCUUUCGAAAUUACAAAAGGUAUAUUAAAAAUUAGGAAAAGAUAAUGCUAGGGAGACUAAAUCCAAAGACUAAAUUUGCAUAACUAAAUGAUGUGUCACUAAUGGAAAUAAUAUAUUAAAAAUUAGGAUAAGAUAAUGUUAGGGAGACUAAAUUUGAAGACUAAAUUUGCAUAACUAAAUAAUGUGUCAUCAAUGGAAAUAAGCACGUUUAUCAACGUUUAAGUAAUAAACUAAUCAUCAACUUUUAUGUACUCUUCAUUUUUAAAAUUUUAUCUACAAAUUUAGUUUUCGAAUUUACAAAAGGUAUAUUAUAAAUUAGGAAAAUGCUACGGGCACCCACACAUGCAUCAUUGCAUCUUUAAAUAAAGGGGCUUUUAGAUCCAGGUCAAAAAACAUAGAAUGUUUUUAGGAAUGAGUCCAGUUAUCUAAUUACAUGUUUUUAUUUAUUUUAUACUCAUUUUAUAUUUUAUGAAAAUAUUAAAAAUCAAUUAAAAUCUUUUCAUAUUAUGCAUUUUCCAACUCCAAAAAAUAUAAUUAAUAUCUUAUAACAAAAAAACUAAGAUACUAACAUAAAUUUAUCUGCAAAACAUUCUACCCUAACUCAAGUAACAAAUAUAUAAAUGUAUAUUAUACCUAUACGUGAGAUAUGAAACCUAAUUAAAAGGUAGAAAAAACAUAACAUACCUACAAGUAAGACACAUUAAUCUGUGAUAGGUUGAUUAUUAAGAAAAAAAAAUCUGUCACAUAGAUAGAUAAAUAUAAUUAACCUGUGAUAUAGGUUGAUUACAAAAAUUAAAAAUAAAAUCUAUAAAUAGGGUUUAAAGCAGAUGGAAGAAUGAGAAAUAACAAAAAGAUAAAUAAAAAGAAGGCUUUUUAUAUUAGCACCCCACAAAAUGUUGAAUGCACCCUACAUUAAAAUUUAAUAUUAAUGACUUAUUUACUCUACUAUGUAAUAACAAUUUUGACCUUAUUAGGUCUAAAAAAUAAUAAAAUUUUUAUAAAUACACCCCAAUUCACUUUUAACGUAUUAUUUAUCUAUUUCAACUAUCAAAACCCCUCACAUUCUCCAUUGUUGAAUAAAAUCCUAAGCAAUGAAACUAGAAACAUGUUGAUUGAGAAAAAUAAUUUUUGACGAAUGGAACACGAAAUCGGUGUUUCGAAAGCUUUGAAAUCAUUAUUAUUGUUGUUGAAAAACGUUCAAAUGAACCUAAACAUUUUUUGAAAGCAUUCAAUUUGAAAUCAUUCGGCAAAAUAAAAAAUGAGUGUUAUAAGAUUUGAGAAAUGUGGGGUGUGUGUAGAAAAUAUAAGGUGUAUAUUACGAAUGUGGGGUGUGAGGGUAUUAUGGGGAAGGAAGUGAGGUCUAUUAAAAUAAUUUUUAAUUGAAAAAGUAAAUGUGGGGUAUAUUAAGUAUGUGAGGUUUAUUCAACAAUUUGUGAGAUGCUAAUAUAAUAAGCCUAAAAAGAAAUAAGCAAAGAGAUAAUUGGGAAGAAAUUUGAUUUUAACAAUAAAUCUUAUCAUUGAACAGAUAACUAUUGAUAAUUAAAUAAUUAAAUAUAACAAAUUGGACUUAUUUUAAUAAACUGGACUAUUUCUACUAUUGGCUCAAAAAUUGGACUUAUAUCAAGUUUCCCCUUCAAUAAAUCAAAGUUACAUAUGGGUCCUGCCACUAACACAAUAAAAAAUUAACUACCUAUUUACUCUCUCUCCUUCACCUUCUACCCAAACCGAAGAAUCAAGAAGUCUUAAACAAAUGCCAUUUCCGCUUUCUUUAUGAACUUGGUCAUGGCUACACAGUUGCAAACACUCCAUGAAAAACUUCACUAAACCCCAGAUCUGAAUUAUUUAACGGAAAUAAAUAUGAAGUUUUAAUUGUAACUAAAAAUCCAAAGAUCUAGGGUCUGUUUGGUAUCAUAUUAAAAAAAAAUUAUAAUUUUUCAAAACAUUUCUUAAGAACAUAUUUUAAAAAUAAUUUUCAUUAAGAUUCAAAAACUUGUUUGGUCUGACAUUCAAAAUUGUUAUCAAAUUUUGAUAAUUAAAAGAAAAGAAAAAAAAUAUCUUAUAACAACUCUUCAUCAGUACUACAUAAUGGAAUUGGACAUAUAGAGAUAUUUAAAGAGAAGGUCAGAGAAGAGGGAGAUUAGAGAAAGAGGAAAAAGAGAGAUGAGAGAGAGAGAGAUCAGAGAGAAAUAUGAGAGAUAUUUUGAGGAAGGAGAUAAGGAGAGAAAGAUGGGAGAGAAAGAUGAGAGAGAAAUAGAAGCCAAAGGAAAGAGUUUGAGGAGGAGGGGAUGAGAGAAAAAGAAUGAAGAGAGAAAUAAGACAAAUAUUCGAGGAGGAGGGAGGAGAGAGAAGAUAGAGAAAUUUGGAGGGGAGUAAGAGUACACUAAGUAAGAUAAAAUAGAGAGAAGAAUUGGGAAUGAGAGGAGAUGAGAGAGAAAAAUAGUAGGUUUGGAAUUUCAAAACUUUAAAAACUCAUUUUUGUUGUAUGCAUAAUUUACUGAAUAAUUAUAAAGGAUAGAGAGAGGGGUGCGGCAACAGUAGAGAGAAGGAGAGAGAUGUGUAAUUGUAAGGUGUGUGUUAUUUCGCCCUAUUGUGCCUUUGUUUCUAAUAGUAGGGAAUGUAAACUCCUUAUUCGAAUAGGAUUACAACUCUAAUAGAAUAGUAUAUAGUCUAAGAGAUAUCCCAAAUAUGAUAGGAUUUAAACAAUCACAUUCCUAAUCUAAUAGGACUACAACAUUCCCCCUUGAGUGUGUAAAUACUCAAGUAAAUGGCACAUCAAGUCUUCAGCGAUGAAGUAAGUACAGUUGAUGAAGUUGUCUACACAAUGAGCAAAUGCGAGUCUCAAAACAACGGAAGAAUGCAUAAAAGGUAAAACUCAUAAAACCUUGCUAUGAUAAAACCCAAGGUGGGAUAAAAACCCAUAAACUAGGGAGAAAAGUGAGAAGUUGCAUUAAAUCAAAAUUAUACGUCUUUUGUACGCAAGUAGAAGAGCUCACUAGUGUAUGACCAGCCCAUGAUAGGUGUCUUGUCAAAACCUAGUUCGGUAGCAAAAACCCAGUGGAAAAAAUGCUCUUAAUCGUAAGGAAAAAGAGUACAUAAAGAUCAAGUAAGUAUACUUCUGGAUACCCCCCCUGAGUUUGAUAAAACUUCCAAAUAACAACUACAAGCAUUGCAUAUGAAUAGUUAGACAACCAAUUCCUCGAACAAGAUUCUGGAAGGUUAACUUCGGCAGUGGCGUCGUGUAGAGGUUGGCAAGAUUGUCUAGGAUCAGCUUGCAUGACUUCAAUCUCCUGAUGCUUUGCUCAUGUGAUGUUGACACAAUAUGUCUUGACGUUGACUUUAUUGAUGUAUCAUGUCUUGGUCGGGUGGAUACAUGGGGCAUAGUCUUCAUGGAUCGUCGUCGGGACUCAAUGAUAGAUGAAAACAUCGCAAGUACUUUGAAUAUGCACAACUAGAGCUCUUAGCCAUGUCUCAUAUGUGGCAUAAUGAAGUGAGGUGAGUCUUGAAACGAUUCGAAGAUUUGGCAACUAAGGUCAUAUCGUGAACCUCCAAGAUAUUACGAUAUCCCUAACGGUAAAGGCAUAACCAUUCGAAGAACGUGCCUUGUGUGGGUUUGAUAAGUAACAUACGUUAGCAUAACAAACAAGACAUGCAUCAUUCCGAAGAUCAAGGAGGUCAGAUCCAUUCAGGAUGCGUUGGGAUUAGCCUAAAUCCGUAGUACCUUUAAGGUAGUGGGAAAACAUAUUUAAUAUUAAUUCAGUGGUUGCGUGUAGGCGCGGUGCUGCAUCUUUUCUAAUAGAUCAACAACGAAUAAGAUGUCUUGUCUAACACAAUGAGCUAAGUACAUCAAAGCACAAAGUUGAACUUUGAUAUAGAAUUUCAAAUUCCAUAACCUCUUUAAGGGUCUCAUUUGCAUAUAGUAUAUGGAGGGUCAUAUGUAUACUCAAAGGUAAUAACUUCGAGGUGUAGUUCGACUAAUAGACCAAAGUACAGUCAGAAUAACGCUUGAACUUCAAGUCAAGGCGUAUAUGAGUUUCCCAAGAUCUUUCAUCUCAAAUUUCAUCUUCAGGUGCGAGGCAGUUUUCUUAAGCUCUUCUAGAGUCUUAGUGAGAUUCAUGUCAUGGACAUAAACUGUAACUCUAGCAAUUCGGAAUAAGACUUCAUAGUUUAACAUGCAAGGGCAUAAUUCACAUCACUAAUCAAAUAAUCACUUAGACGGGAAUACCAAUUUCUUUGGAUUGUUUCAAUCCAUAAGUGAAAUCCUCAAACAAGUUAAGAUGGUGUUCCGUGGUUUGGAACUAUUUGAACCAAUCCAUGUAAUUCUUCGGGAACUUACAUGUAAAUUUCCUUAUCAAUAUCCACAUGGAGAAAUACUAACCACAUUUUACAAUGCUGCAGUCAAUCACAUGGCAUUUAAGAGAAACCUUGCAUCGUAAAGCGUACAUUAUAUCGCACUAUUUCAUUAAUCUCAUUAUGCUUCAUUUCCCACUUGUAACACAGCAAGGUUACCUUGGGUAGUGUAGGAACGAUAGGUCCAAACACACUUUGGUAAGGAAUUAAACUUGGAUUGUAAUUUUGAUUGUCCAAUCAGUUUUACGUUGUCACUAAUCAACGUAACAUGGUUCGAUAUUGUCGCUUUUCAUUUAUAUCGGGAGUUACCAUAUAAGUGAAGACAUCAUCAAUGCUAAUCUCAUUCAAAUUUCAUUAUCUCAUCCAAACUAGUAUACUGGACCAAGAACUUUAAGUCUCGAGAGUAAUUCAGAUUAAUCUCAUGAGAUGGAAAUAAUUUGAGACAUCGGUCAAGUAUAGAUUUAUUUUGUGUCGUGAUCUUCCUAUUCUAGGGAAGUGAAUCCUAUGAACUGAGUGAUAUGUCAUGCUUCAAGCCAAGACAUAUUGACUUGCUAUCCGCUGGUGUACUGGAUUGUCCAAUAGGGACGGCACACCCUUCGGGGAUGUUAACUCGACAUCUGUUAAGUACAUAUAUUUAUAGGCAUGUUUACAGCUAGUAUUUGAUUUUGUUACUUUAGCUAGAUCAGAGGAAUAUGUUUGGAGCAACAUUCUAAAAGCUAGAAUACAUCGCACUUGCUUAUCACAAUUGUGUGGUACAAGGAUCAAGAUGAGACAUAGUGGGCAACGUCCAAGCAAAUUCACACUGUUCUUACAGGAACGUGGACGUUCUUAUCUCCCCUUAACGGUGGGAAGACUGUCUCAUUGAAGUGACAAUCCAUAAAAUAAGCGAUAAAGGGAUCGUUUGGAAAGGCUCUAAAGAGCUAGUGUGAAGGAGGAUCAUGAUGGACAAAGAUUCAAAUCCUUCUAUGAGGACCCAUAUUGGUUUGUUGUAGUGGCGCAACUUGGCAUAUGGAAUGCACACCCAAAACACGUAAGUACCAAACGUCAGGUUCGUACCCAGUAACCAACUGUAACGUUGAAAAUAGGUUGGGUGGCAAUGGGCCUCAAGGCGGACUAACAUAGUUGCUUACAAGAUUUCAUAGCCCUAGGCAAAAACCCAAAGCUUGGUGCAUUUACCAAGGUUCGGGCAAUCAUUAAAUUGUGCUUUAUGAUCACUCAACGAGGCUGUUUUGGGGUGAACAUAGGAAUUCGAUGUCUAAUUAUAAACCCAAAAGACAUGUAGUACUUUAUUAAAAACCGUUGAUAUACUCUCCGACAUUAUCCAGUCUUCCAGACUUUAUGGGAUAAUUAGAGUGAUGACCCCUAAAAUCGGCUAGGAGGUAGCAUCAAUGUAUGUGGACAAAUAUGUGACCAUUUGUCGAUAUAUCAACCAAAACCAUAAGUAUUUAUAUGGUCUGUAUUUUGGUUGGAUUAGUCCUCAUAUAUUCCCUUGAAUUCACUGUGAAAAGAGGGUCAUUUUGUACCUUUGCGAGGGAUGAUAUAGAAAUCAAAUUUCCCAAAUGAGCGGGUUUGGCAAAGUGUGCUUGUAAGCACGUGACCCUUACUUCGGGUAAGGAAAUGCGUUGUGGCAUCAUUGUUUGACCUAAGUGUCCCAAAUGAUCGUGCCAAAAACAAGUAAACUGCUCGAAUCACCUAACUCCAGACCAGCCACAUGUGGUGUGUCACUAGCUAGAGACAGCCCAUUGACCCCAAAAUAUAACUUUGGGCUUUGUAUUUUGAAGGUUGUGCUAAGAUAUUCCACUCUAUUUUCUUCAGUGGUUUCAUUCAUGAUCAUUGUCAUCCAAAAUGGGGAGAAUGUAAGGUCUCUUAAAUGGUAAGUUAGUACUAUCCAUACAAUAAGGAGUGUGCUAAUGCUCUUAAUCAGGUUGGAUAGAUCUGAAGUUGUUGCUAGAGAUGUGAUUUAUAUAAAGUUAGUGUGCGUAGUAUCGCAUUCAUCUAGAUAACUAACUUUCCCACAUUCGUACCUAAUCACGUGUUUAAUUGAAUUCAGUCACAUGCUGAAACACCCCAACCCCAUUUAUUUUAAAUUAAUUGUUUGGACCUAAAUUGGUGAGCCAAGGGGCCCACCCUUUUUUUUUGUCUCUCGGUCUCUCUCCUCUCUGCCCUUCCCUGUGUUCUCCCUAUUCUCUCUCUCUCGAAAUCUUCUCUUCCUCACUCCCCGAUCUCUCACCUUUCGACCCACACCUGAGAGCACCCACACCUGCAACUACAUUACUCGAGAACAUUAUCAUCAUCAAGCAUUGCUCUGGUCUCUCUUCUGUCGCAGCGAGAUUGGUGAAAGUAGAGAAAAGAAACCUCCGGCGAGCACCCCCCUUUUCGAGGUCAUUUCCGGCCAAACCACCACGAGUUGGCUGGCGUGGAAGGUAUCAAUCUCUUCGUCUCCCUGAGUACUACAACUUUCCUUUUUGUUUCACCCAAUUUUGUUGAGUAUUGAAGAAGUUAUACUCAUUUGAAUCUUACCCAGUUUCCGCGACCUCCGAGGCUUUCGAGGCAUUUUCCGGCCAAACCAAGAUGAGUUAGACGUUGUGUGAGGUACCAUUCUCUUUGUCUCUUCGAGGGCUACAACUUUCGUUCUUGUUUCACUUGAUUUUGUUGAGUUUUGACAACGUUAUGCCCGUUUAAAAUGGGUGUGGAUUUCCGGCCGAAUUUCCGACUUUCUCUCCCAUUGGGUCUGGCGACCUACCAAAACCCAAGCCUUUGGGCCUUCCCUACCAAGCCCAACCCUUUUGGUUGUGAGGCCUUUGGACCGUGAGUGUGUGUCUGGGUGUGUUUGUGUAGUGUGUGUGUGUGUGUGUGUGUGAUGUGUGUGUGUGUGUGAGUGUGUGUGUGUGUUGUGUGUGGGUUUGGGCCUAAGCCCAAACCACCCCUUUUCACCCUAACCCUUUUUAACCAAAAUCCUUAGGACCCAAAACCCAAAACCCAAUAGAUCCUAAUCCUAUUUAACCUAAACCCUAAUCCGGAUUUCAAGCCUAAAACCCAUUAAACCUAAUUUGACCGUUGACCCCCGGUCAAUGUUGACUUUAGGGUUGACUUUUUGGGAUUUCGUCUCGGACCCUUCUUAGGGUAAUUUGACAUUCUGAAUCUGUUUCCAAUGUCCAUUUUCUCAAAUUCAAUUGCUAUUAUAUAGUUUUAUUUAUUGGACUCUUUAUGUGCUUAGGGGCAAUUAUUGUGACGUUUCCGUCUUCGCUAGUGGCGCAGUUUUUGGCAGCUAAGUACUGUGAGUGGACCCCUUCUAAAAUUAUAUGAUUUUAUGGUUUAAUUGCAUAAAUGAUUAGCAUGCCUACGAAUUUAUGAUUUGAUUUAUAUCAAGCCUGUUUACUAAAUAUGUUUAUUUUCGUCUCGUGUUUUUGGUAAGGAAUCAAUUGUUAGCCUAUAUUAAGCUAUAUUUUGAUAUAUCGUAUUUUUUAUAAAAACCAUGAACUAGUAGACUAUCUGAUGGAUGACGAUAGGAUGCUAGAACAUGUUUUCAAAACCCAUCUUUAUAGUAUAAACGAUGGAUGACUUUAUACUAUGAAAUGGUUAUUUUUUAGAGGCGUAACUAUUUGUGCGUACCUAGUGGACACUAUACCGCCUGGGGCGAGGAUCUGGUGUUGGCAUUUAGGCCGGGAGAAAUAAUCCCUAGCUACGGGCUGAGAGACCACGGAGCAGGCAUUGGGCCGGGAGUUGGUAAUCUCUGGCUACGGGCGCAGAGACCACGGAGCAGGAAUUGGACCGAGAGUUAUAUUUAUUUAAUGAUCUUUCUAGCAGCACACCGCGCUUACGAGACGAUCUAUGAGACGUUUACUGUUUUGAUUUUUGCGAUGAUAUUCCGCGAUAUGACUUUUGAGAUAUUUUUGGCAUGCUAGGAUUUUUAUUGAAUCCAUCACUUUUUAUGCUAGUAGUUUUCAUUAUAUAUAAACUGUGGGGGUUAGUACAUUGAUAACUGUUUUAUUAUUAUUAUAUAUAUAUGAACUUGGUCCACUCACCUUUGUUUUGCGCCCCCAUUCAGGACUUAGGAUCAAGGCACCUAAUCCCGGCGUCAAAACACUUCCGCAGCAGCAUCUUUGAAUCAUCUCGAUGUAGGACCCACUUCUUUAUUCAUUCAAUUUUAUCUUAAUUUUUUUAGUGAUUAGUUUAGUUGUAUGCUCUGAGCACGUUCCUAAAUUAUUAUUUCAUUGUAUUUUAAAUUUCUAACUCUUAUUUACUUCUUAUUCUUAGCUUUUGUAUCAAUUAAUGACUUUCGUCACCCUCGGGUGUCGGCCAGCACGUGUCUAUCCUGGUAUUCAGGGAAUAUCAGGGUUGGGGCGUGUCAGAUUGGUAUCAGAGCAUACUUAGGAUCCUAUUCAAUUCUCGUUUUGUGUCGGUUAUGACAUCAUUUUGAUGUCACGACUUCCGAAAUUGCUGUCUUUCAGCGCAAUUGUGCAAAUCUUUCUCUGUUUGAAUUGUCAUCUUUUGGUUGAAAUACAAGAGUUCGUGUCGGGAUUAUGCCUCAUAGGUGAUGAAUUGGUUUGCUGGAUGACUUUCAGCAUCAGAACGAUACUUUGCGACGUGCGUUCCCUAGGGAUGGCGGACAAAGUCAUAUCUCUUGGAAAUUGCUUGAAACUUUUGAAGUGCGUGUUGUUAAUAGUGAGUAAGUGAUAAUUGGUGGAGUAGAAUCAAUGCUCUUGAAUUGAUUUCCACUGAAGAAGUUCGUGUAAAUCUUUUAAACAAGUCAUCGGCGAUUAUUCUAUCGAUAACCUUCUUGAUUUCUCUAGCGACGAAGUCAAGUUCCUUAACCUUUGACCGUUAGCUUUACACCAAAUUCUUCGAGUGUUGAUUUUGUUUACAUUAAUUGCUUUUCUUGGGAAACUCCUCGGUAACAGACGUUCUCAUCAAUUUCGAAAAGCAGUUGCAAUUCUUAUUGUUGUCGUAGUUGGAAUUAGAUGAUGAAGAUCCAAACUUGUUUGGAUAAACAGAUUCCUUUAAAUUCACCUAGGUUUGGUACUAGGUGAAAAACCCUAGCUCAUUGUCCAUGUACUUUUCGAUACAGAUGGACUUAACUUCUUGCUUGUAGCCUAACUGAUCAGUACUCUUGUCCACUAAAUGUUCAGCCUUGUAAUUUUCAGUGUAAUGGCUUGAGACUCUACCAUAUUCAUCAUUGUAUGAAGAUCGAGGUUUACUCUGAACUUCUCUGGACUCAUUGAGCUUUGGUUUUCUCAAGAGCAUCACUUUAAGGUAGCCAAUCGUGUCACUGCAUGCAUAUGCAGGCUGUUUUGUAUCUUUCUUCUUCGUCAUUCUGCUGAUUCAAAGGUUCUAUGUUUAAUUUUUGAACUUUGAAACAGCUCUCACAAAGUAUUGUGAAUUUUGAAAUUUUUUUAGCGUCAUCAAAUCUUAUCAACAGUUCUUAACUAUUCUUGAGCUUAGACCUAAUUCCUUUUUGGCUAGGAAACCAGUUGACCAUACUAUGAUGAUUUGCAAAAUAAUCAUAAACAGUGACUUCUAUUUUUGCAUUUUCACCUUCCUUUGCUUAUUUGUCUCUCAUUGUGAAACUGGAUCAUUCCGUCGGCAUGGUUUUUAGUUCAAAUCUCGAUAUCUUGUACUCUGGAUUGUAAUGGACUUGUUUUGACCCUCAAAUUCUGGAGUAUUCUCUCAGCCUUUCCGACAUGGUUUCUCGCUCAAUUAGUGAGGAAUUCAUGAUCGAUGGAUUCGGCGGAAGUGUGCACCCAAUUCUUAUCAAUUUGGACAGGAAUGUUGGGAGCAUAAUCUUUUCACAAGCUUACUAGACUUACCAGAAAGAGUUCCAUGUGGGUAUGAGGUUUAAGCUGUAAUUUGGUAAGAAACUGGUGAAGAUUGUAGUGCAGAUGAUUGGCAGAUUACAUCACUAUUUUCACACUGAAUUGAAUGGUCACCACUCAUUAUCUUGCUACAAUUAAUAACCAUCAUGUCUUACCCUGGUAGACCCUUUCGAUGAUGUGAUGUGUUCGCCUAAACGCAGAUUUCCACUACCUCUCACUAGGAUCCUUCAAUUCGAGAGCACGUGGGCGUGAGGUUUAAGCGGUCUUUUAGUAAGAAUUGGUUGAAGGUUUUAGUACUGAAGGUCAGCAUAUUGUAUCACCAUCUUACUACAAUUCAUAGGCAUCACAUAGGUAUCUCAAGGUACAAUUAUCAAGUGAGUUCCUCGUUGACAAAAUUUUGGAGUUGCUGGUCACAUUUGGAGGAACUGAGAAGAAUAGAAUCCUUAGUGCUAGUUAGAGUUUUGACGACGUCAGUUUUUGUUUCGUUUGGUUUGGGGUACGACACUUUUGCGACAUGGUAUGAGAGUUUUCCACGGGCCACAUUGGUUGUUAGAGGAGUUGUGCGCACUUGUAUUCGGAGGAUUGAAUUUACGACGUGUGAAAUUAUUCAUCCUCAGGAAAUUACUGCUUGCUUAUCGAGACAACAAAUGUGUGAUCGAUAUCACGGGCGGCCGACCAGUAUAUCAAUAGCUUAUUUGUUCGGUUCGUUAAGCAAGUGGGCAAGAAGAUUCGUCUACAGCAGUUGAUGCAGAUUUGGAAUUGUUAUUCUUGGGAUUCGACCCAAAGACACAUCUAUUCUCGGAGUACGUGAUGUUUCGCAUGCUUCGUCAAGACCCACUCUCAUUUUCAGUUUUGGUUUUUCAGUAAAAGUAUUUUAAUUUCCAUUACUAGUUAUUUAUUUUUGUCGUUACAAAUGUUUUUGGAAAAGUAUUUCUGUUUUCAUUUUUAAGUUGAUUUGAGUUUUUGACCUAUAUGUUAUUACUUAUCUAUUUUGAUGUUAUCUGGCCUUAAAUUAUUUUGUGUUUUCGACUUUAUAUUUUAUUAAAGUAUGUUUUCUACUUUUACACUGAUGGGGAAAGAAAGUAUGAGCCUGGAGGCAUCAAAGAUGGAAUCAUUGCAACCGAUCGCGACAAUGUGGCAUUUUCCCUUUUGUGCAACCGCUCUUACCUGAUCUCUUCAUUACGUAUAUGUAUAUUAUUCUUCUUCGUAUUUUCCAGUUUUCCAGUGUAGUAAGUUAUUUUAAAUUUCGUGGACGAAUAUUAUUUUAUAAGGGUGGUAGAUUGAAACACCCCAACCCCAUUUAUUUUAAAAUAAUUGUUUGGACCUAAAUUGGUGAGCCAAGGGGCCCACCCUUUUUUUUUGUCCCUUGGUCUCUCUCCUCUCUGCUCUUCCCUGUGUUCUUCCCCUUCUCUCUCUCUCUCUCUCGAAAUCUUCUCUUCCUCACUCCCCGAUCUCUCACCUUUCGACCCACACCCAAGAGCACCCACACCUGCAACUACUCUACUCGAGAACAUUAUCAUCAUCAAGCAUUGCUCUGGUCUCUCUUCCGUCACAGCGAGAUUGGUGAAAGCAGAGAAAAGGAACCUCUGGUGAGCACCGCCCCUUUCAAGGCCAUUUCCGGACAAACCACGGUGAGUUGGCCGGCGUGAAAGGUAUCAAUCUCUUCGUCUCCCUGAGUACUACAACUUUCCUUUUCGUUUCACCCAAUUUCGUUGAGUAUUGAAGAAGUUAUACUCAUUUGAAUCUUACCCAGUUUCCAACGACCUCCGAGGCUUUCAAGGCAUUUUGCGGCCCAACCACGGCGAGUUAGACGUCGUGUGAGGUACCAUUCUCUUCGUCUCUUCGAGGGCUAUAGCUUUUGUUCUUGUUUCACUUGAUUUUGUUGAGUUUUGACAACGUUAUGGCUGUUUAAAGUGGGUGUGGAUUUCCGGCCGAAUUUCCGGCUUUCUCUCCCAUUGGGUCCAGCGACCCACCAAAACCCAAGCCUUUGGGCCUUCCCUGCCGAGCCUUACCCUUUUGGUUGUGAGGCCUUUGGGCCGUGAGUGUGUGUGUGGGUGUGUUUGUGUAGUAUGUGUGUGUGUGUGUGAUGUGUGUGUGUGUGUGUGUGUGUGUAUGUGUGAGUGUGUGUGUGUGUGUUGUGUGUGGGUUUGGGCCGAAGCCCAAACCACCCCUUUUCACCCUAAGCUUUUUAACCAAAAACCUUAAGACCAUAAACCCAAAACCCAAUAGAUCCUAAUCCUAUUUAACCUAAACCCUAAUCCAGAUUUCAAGCCUAAAACCCAUUAGACCUAAUUUGACCGUUGACCCCCGGUCAACGUUGACUUUAGGGUUGACUUUUUGGGAUUUUGUCCGGGACUCUUCUUAGGGUAAUUUGACGUUUUGAAUCCGUUUCCAAUGUCCGUUUUCCCAAAUUCAAUUGCUAUUAUAUAGUUUUAUUUAUUGGACUCUUUAUGUGCUUAGGAGCAGUUAUUGUAACGUUUUCGUCUUCGCUAGUGGCGCAGCUUUUGGCAGCUAAGUACUGUGAGUGGACCCCUUCUAAAAUUAUAUGAUUUUUUGGUUUAAUUGCAUAAAUGAUUAGCAUGCCUACAAAUUUAUGAUUUGAUUUAUAUCAAGCCUGUUUACUAAAUAUAUUGAUUUUCAUCUCGUGUUUUUGGUGAGGAAUAAUUGUUGGCCUAUAUUGAGCUAUAUUUUGAUAUAUCGUAUUUUCUAUAAAAACCAUGAACUGCUAGACUAUAUGAUGGAUGACGAUAGGAUGCUAGAACAUAUUUUUGAAACCCCUCUUUAUGGUAUAGACGACGGAUGACUUUAUACUAUGAAGUGGUUAUUUUUUAGAGGCGUAACUAUUUAUGCGUACCUAGUGGACAUUAUACCGCCUGGGCGAGGAUCUGGUGUUGGCAUUUAGGCCGGGAGAAAUAAUCCCUAGCUACGGGCUGAGGGACACGGAGCAGGCAUUGGGCCGGGAGUUGGUAAUCUCUGGCUACGGGCGCAGAGACCACGGAGCAGGCAUUGGGCCGAGAGUUGGUAAUCUUUGGCUACAGGUGUAGAGACCACGGAGUAGGCAUUAGGCCGGGAGUUAUAUUUAUUCAGUGAUCUUUCUAGCAGCACACCGCGCUUAUGAGACGAUCUAUGAGACGUUUACUGUUUUGAUUUCUGCGAUGAUAUUCCCCGAUAUGACUUUUGAGAUAUUUUUGGCAUGCUAGGAUUUUUAUUAAAUCCAUCACUUUUUAUGCUAGUAGUUUUCAUUAUAUAUAAACUGUGGGGGUUAGUACAUUGAUAACUGUUUUAUUAUUAUUAUAUAUAUAUGAACUUGGUCCACUCACCUUUGUUUUGCGCUCCCAUUCAGGACUUAGGAUCAAGGCACCUAAUCCCGGUGUCAAGACACUUCCGUAACAGCAUCUUUGAAUCCUCUCGAUGUAGGACCCACUUCUUUAUUCAUUCAAUUUUAUCUUAAUUCUUUUUAGUGAUUAUGUUUAGUUGUAUGCUCUAAGCACGUUCCUAAAUUAUUAUUUCAUUGUAUUUUAAAUUUCUAACUCUUAUUUACUUCUUAUUCUUAGCUUUUGUAUCAAUUAAUGACUUUCGUCACCCUCGGGUGUCGGCCAACACGUGUCUAUCCUGGUAUUCAGGGAAUAUCAGGGUCGGGGCGUGUCAUAUGCAUACAAGAAACAUGAUUUAAUUAACUCAUAUUUGAGAACAAUAUCGACAACAUUAUCUAUAACUAAAACAUACACCAAACUUGAAUCCAAGAACAUAGUAAAAUGUUCCUGAAGUUACUAAGGGGAUUCACCAACAAGGCCAUUCAUGUCAAAAUUUUUCUCUUCCAACGAUGUUCAAUGGUGCAAAAUUAGUCUCACAUGUUGACUACGAGAAUGGUACUCCUCAACAACAUUGGUAAAGGCACGAACAAGUACAUAACCAAUGAUUUCUUCCAUUAAGACGGAAGUAGAUUAUGCAGGGUUGAGGUUCGGGAAUACUAUCUUUAUUCUUGAAGUUUUAGGUCUUAGGUGCCAAGGAUCAUGAUUUUGGCAUGAUGCCACACCUUGGCAAGCCCUGAUUUUACCAUAUGUUGUUAAAACAAACUCGAAAUUUGAUUGUGAGAGAGAUAGACCCAGACUUGGGUUCGAAAGGUUCCAGCAGAAGCUGGAGAUGUCUGUUCGAUACGCCUCUGCUGAAGCAGAUGAUACAUUUCGGUGGGCUCCAGUCGAAUUUGGGUAUCACCAUUCAUUAAACUCCUGCCGAAGUUGAGUCAAUACCGUUCUCUCACAUUUGUGGUAUUAAUCAGAUCCAAGAAUUUGGUAAACUUCUGCUUUCUAUAAUGCCACUUCAAGAGAGAGUUAGAAACAUGGAAGGACAAGAAAAGAAUUCUCCAGUCAAAAUUCUAUCUAAUUUAUUAAUUUUGGAAUCGUACUCAUUCAAGGACGUAAUCAUGGUAUGCUUCAGGCAAUGUCUUUCAUGAUUAGAUGUUUUAUAAGAGUGAGCCAAAGAGCCAUAAGAUCUUCAUUAGGGAGGUACUUCCGUUUGUUAUGCUUCGGGCAUAAGUCUUCGAGUGAAAAACAUGGUGGAGGCCUAUUCAGCUUUUUCAUGCCAUUGUUGGCUUCAAUGGUUUCUCAACUUCUUAAUAGUCAAGUGGAGAUUCAUAUCUUAUACCCACAUAAAGUGGUUUCUGUUAGGAACGUCCAAAUCAGUGAAAUCAAACUUGUGACAGUUCGACAAUCCAUUGAAUAGAUGGAACAAGAUUGUGAUUGGUGCUAUGGAAAUAAGAUAUCCAUGAGCUUCAAAGUUAGAACAUUUCAAGUUCUAAGACAUGGUGUACACGAAAAACGUCGGGCUUUCGUGGGUGUAUUGUUUUAUGAAAACUUUAGGUUUCAAAGGCACUAAAUUUGAAAAUACAGGUUCAAUUUAGUUUAUAAACGUUUAGUUCAUAAAAAAAGGUUCCUGGAAGAACACAUAAUACAAGGUACUGAUUUAAAUGUAGUGGAUUUGAGUUGCUUUAGGAACUCAAGUGUGAGUGUUUCAGGACUACAAAAGGAUGUCAACGGUUCAAAAAAGAAAAAUAAAUUAUUGAAUCGUUAAUGUCCAAAAGUGAUAUUCAGGCUAAUAAUUUUGAAUUUAUUGUCAGAUUAAUGGACUGCUGGUUACUUUAAUUAAUUCAAUAGAUCAGGACCAUACAAGAUCGAUCGUGAAAGCAAAAUAAUGAGAGACGGGUCAUUUUAGCUUCAGAUGGCUAUGAGCAAAGUGACAAGUGUAUUAAAAAUUCACUCUUCAUGAAUUCCACCAAAUUUCAGUAAUUUUAUAAUUAUUAAUGUGUACAGAAAUUACUGAAAUGACAGCUUUCGUUCCCUCUUCAUGAAUUCCACCAAGUUUUAGAAAAACUGGUUCAUUCCCUCUACAUAAAUUCCACCAAAUUUUAGAAAAACUGGUUCAUUCCCGAAUUCCACCAAAUUUUAGAAAAACUAGUUGUUUAUGAUUACGUUUUUCUUAUGACCACUUAAAAAUGUUUCCACAAAUUCAACCAAAUGUUUUAAUAUUUCGAUUGGGAAAAUAAGUUAUGAUUGUUCCAAAUUUUCAAAAUAUAUUCUUCUUCGUUAAUAUUUUUUUUUUCCAACCACUUCAAAAUGUUUCCACAAAGCGUUCAUUUCAUUGGACAGUUUAUAGUUUUCAAAGAAGGCAAUGCAGUGCAUAGUCUUUUUCGAAUUCCACAAGGCAAGAACAAAAAAAUGAAAACAAAAAAAGUAGAAUCAUGAGAGAAGUAACAAAUGUGCUUUCAUUUUUUUGGUUCUUGCCUAAAAGCACCAAAAACCAAACCAGACGUAGAAGCUAUUGUCAAUGGCACACAACUUCUACUAAACCAAUGUGCUUUGUUUUACCAACUCUUGACGAAUUGUAAAUUAUAAAUUAAGUUGUUAUUUUUAAAAGCAUAAAAAAUCAAGUAUGUAAGCGAGAGAGAAAAUCUAUGAAGGGUAAAUUACACUUUACCACCUCAAGUUUGGGGUUGAUUUCAAUUUCUUACAAUAUCUUUAAAACAUUUCAAUUUUAUACCUCAAGUACUAUUUUAUUUCAAUAUAAUACAUCCGUUACAUUUUCCAUCCAUUGAUUUGUUAAGAGCUGACGUGAUUGCCAAAUGUGUGCCGCGUGACAAAAAAUAACUAAUUAUUUAUUUAUUUUUUUAAAAACCUGAAUCUUCUCAAAAAAUUAAAAAAAAAAAAAAAAAGAAAACACAGAACCCACCCCCACCUUCCCCGCAACCACUUCCCAACCCUCUUCUCCCUCCCAAGCUUCCCAACCACCUCCCUUUCCUCUUCUCCCUCCCAAGCUUCCCAACCACCUCCCUUUCCUCCACUCUCUUCACCUCCCCUCCAAUCCAAAAACCCACCCCACCCCCUUUCUCCCUUCUCUCAUCUGCAACCCCACCCACCCUUCUUUCCUUUUCUACUCGCACCCACCUUCUUCCUCUCCUCUGCAACUCCUACACAAAAAGUUCAAAAGUUCAAAUGAUACGCCCCGACCCUGAUAUUCCUCGAAUACCAGGAUAAACACGUGCUGGCCGACACCCGAGGGUGACAAAAGCCAUUAAUUGGUUACAAUAGAAAUGAUUAGGAGAAAAUAUUCAUGGAUAACCUCAAAAUUUAAGAGUAAGUAACAAAGUUUAAGGAAUUGUCUAGAGUGCACAGAACACAAUCUAAUUCAAGAUUUACAAAAAGAAAGAUCAUUACAAGAUAUCACACAAGUGGGUGAUAGAUUGCUAUUGGUAGGGAAAUGACUCGUACGUCGAGUCGUUGUCCUCGUUUCUAUGACCUGAAUGGGGGCGCAAAACAAAGGUGAGUGGACCAAGUUCAUAUAUACAAUAAUAAUAAAACAGUUAUCAAUGUACUAAUCCCCAUAGUUUAAUAAUGAAAACUACUAACAUAAUAAGUGAUGGAUUUAAUCAAAAAUUUAGCAUGCCAAAAAUAUCUCCAAAAUCAUAUCGCGGAAUAACAUCGCGGAAACCAAAGCAAUAAACAUAUCAUAAAUCGUCUCAUAAAACGCGGUGUGCUGCUAGAAAGAUCACUGAACAAAUAAACUCCCGGCCUAAUGCUUGCUCCGUGGUCUCUGUGCCCAUAGCCAGAGAUUACCAACUCCCGGCCCAAUACCUGCUCCAUAUCUCUCAGCCCGCAGCUAGGGAUUAUUUCUCCCAGCCUAAAUGCCAACACCAGAUCCUCGCCCCAGGCGGCAUAGUGUCUACUAGGUACGCACAAAUAGUUACACCUCUCAUAAAUAACCACUUCAUAGUAUAAAGUCAUCCAUCGUCUAUACUAUAAAGAGGGGUUUCGAAAACAUGUUCUAGCAUCCUAUUGUCAUCCAUCGGAUAGUCUACCAGUUCAUGGUUUUUAUAGAAAAUACAAUAUAUUAAAAUAUAGCUCAAAAUAGGCUAACAAUUUAUUCCUCACAAAAAACACGAGACGAAAAUCAAUAUAUUUAGUAAACAGGAUUGAUAUAAAUCAAAUCAUAAACUCGUAGGCAUGCUAAUCAUUUAUGUAAUUAAAUUAUAAAAUCAUGUAAUUUUAGAAGGGGUCCACUCACAAAUAUUCCUUAGCAGUAGAGUUGCGCGGAUAAGGAUUAAGAAUUUCCUCACUAGCAACUUCACCUAAGCACAAAAAUGUAAUAAAUAAAUAAAAGGAUUUUCUAAAAGAUUUGGGCUUGAACUAAAUUAAAAUAAAGGAUUUGGGUUGGAUGGUUUAGGGUUUAAUAGAUUUUAGGGUCCUAGGAUUUUUGGGUAAAAAGGGUAUUAAGGUGAAGAAUGGUGGUUUAGGCUUAAGCCCAAACACACACACACACCAUAAGCACACACACAUGCACGGCAUGCAUAUAUACACACGCACACAUACACUUAAACACACACACACACACACACACGGGCUGCACAAAGGCCGGCCCUCACAGCACACACACACCCACAUAAAGGCCCCAAGGCCUCACAAAAUAAAAGGUUGGGCUUGAGCCUUUUAACAAAAACCGGCCCAAGGCCCUUUGGGUCUUUAAAACAAUAUAACUAAAAAUAAAAAUAAUGCGGGCUAGGGUUUUGGGCUAAGGCACAACGGGCUUAAGGCCUGUGGGGGGUUCUAAACAGCCUGAGAGGCCUGGUUUGCCGAGGAAGAAGAAGGCUGGAGCUGCUACAGCUCCGGUAACCUGAAAACGGAGGUUCUAGACUCCGAUCUAAGUACGAACAUGAAGAACAAGGUGAGGGGAAGAUAUUUCUACCUUCAAAUAAUCGUGACACGGUCGAAGGUGACCGGAAAUCCCCUCGAAGCACAAGGGUUCGCCGGAAAAAUGGGUGUGCUCAACCCAACUCGAUUCCGAGGCAAAACCUACGUAAAAAAGGAAGGAUCUAGCUCAUAAAACACACCCAAGCAUCACGAUAAGAGAGAGAAGGAGAGAUUCGUGACUUACCCAACGGAAAAAGAGGAGUUCGUCGGAGCUUUUGCUCAUGUACCGUAGAACUCACAGGGAGGAAUUCCUGGGCUCGUUGUGAGCCUCCCUUGGUGGUGACACGGUCCCAGUGUCCAGAGGAAGAGAGUGAGGCGGGAGGUUGAGAGAGAGAUAUACGGGAGAGCUGAGAGAGAGAGAUAUGGGAGAGAGACGAAGAAGAGAGAGGUCUCGGGGGGUGACAGAAAGAGAGAAAUGAGAGGGGGUUAGAUGGCUGCCACGUGGCAGUUUAGGGUAAGGUUACAUAAAAUACAUAUUAUUGGGGGUGGUUGUAACAAUCUACCCCCCUUAAAAUAAUUUGUCCUCAAAAUUGCAAAGUUACAUGAAAAGAAAAGGAUAUUGAUUCUGCAUUGAUUCCUCUGUCUCCCAAGUAGCUUCUUCAACUACAUUGUUCCUCCAUAGUACCUUUACCAAAUGAAUAACUUUGUUCCGCAACACCUUAUCCUGUCUGUCAAUGAUAGCCACCAAUUCUUCUAUAUAGCUAGCAUCCGAAUUUACUUCCAAUGGUUCUAUCUGGAUGAUAUGAGAGGGAUCUGGUACAUAUUUCUGAAGCAUGGAAACAUGAAAAACGUUAUGGAUCUGAGACAACUCCGGUGGUAGCUCCAACCUAUAAGCAACUGCACCAAUUCUCUCAAUAAUCUGGUAAGGACCAACAAAUCGAGGACUCAGCUUUCCUCGCUUACCAAAACGAACAACACCCUUCCAGGGAGAUAAUUUCAAGAACACAAAGUCGCCCACUGAAAACUCACAAUCCUUGGAGUGCUUAUCUGCAAUACUUUUUUGUCGGUCUUGUGCUACUUUCAAAUUCGCCUUAAUCAAUCGAAUAUUAGCUUUGGUGGUAUCCACAAUCUCUAGUCCUACCAACGGCCUUUCUCUUGCCUUUGUCCAACAUAAUGGCGUCCUACACGCCUUCCCAUAAAGGGCUUCAAAAUGCGCUAUACCAAUACUCGAGUGAUAAAUAUUAUUGUAAGCAAACUCCAUCAACGGUAAAUAGUUAUCCUAACUACCUUUCCACUGUAAUACAGACACUCUCAACAUGUCCUCUAAAGUCUGAAUCGUCCGCUCGGACUGACCAUCAGUUUAUGGAUGAUAAGCAAUGCUGAACAGUAACUGAGUACCCAUAGCGGCAUUAAAGGCUUUCCAUAACCUCGAAGUAAAUCUAGGAUCUCUGUCUAACACAAUGGAGACGGGCACAUCAUGUAGACGAACAAUAUUAUCAACAAAUAAUUUCGCCAAUUUCUCCAGUGAGUAGGUCUGUCGAACUGGUAAGAAAUGAGCGAUCUUGGUAAGUCGAUCAACAAUUACCCAAAUACCAUCAUACCUUGACGGUGUUCUAGGCAAUCCAUAUACAAAGUCCAUAGUGAUAUCCUCCCAUUUCCAAAUUGGUAUCGGAAGAUUCUGCAUCAGUCCCCCAGGUCUCUGCCUAUCUGCUUUAACCUGCUAACAGAUUAAACAUCUGCUCACAUACUCUGCUACAUCCCGCUUCAUCAUUUCCAAAUAAUAGAAAGGAUAAAUGGUGCGAUACAAUUUAGUACUCCCUGGAUGCAUAGCAUAAGCUGAAGUAUGAGCCUCAUCAAGAAUUUUCUUCUUAACAACUUCAUUAUCUUUAGGCACGAACAAACGGUUCCCUUUCAAUAACGCUCCGUCCUUACGGAUGAUGAAUUUAUCAUUCUUCCCCUUUAACACUUGUGCCUUAAAUUCGUCGCAUUCUGGAUCAAGUUCCUGAGCUUCUAUGAUCAUGUUAACAAAAAUAGGUCUAACCUGAAAAUGUGCUAGCCAAGCUCCGUGCUCACCUGGUUCCAAAUUAACACCAAUUUCCCGAAGAGAAAAUAGUAAUGGAACGUGUACAGUUUGAAGUGAUGCAAGCUGCUCAUUGUGUUUCCGACUAAGAGCAUCAGCCACGACAUUAGCAUGCCCAUGAUGGUACUCGAUCAAACAGUCAUAAUCACUGAUAAGUUACAUCCACCUUCUCUGUCUCAAAUUCAGCUCCUUCUUGGUGAACACAUACUUAAGACUCUUAUGAUCCGUAAAAAAUACGACAUUUCUCUCCAUAAAGGUAGUGCAUCCAAAUCUUCAAAGUGAAAAUCACUGCUCCUAACUCCAAAUCAUGAGUGGGAUAAUUUCUUUCAUGGGUUUUGAGUUAUCUGGAAGCGUAGGCAAUAACUUUUCCAUGUUGCAUCAGUACACACCCAAAACCUGAUAAAGAAGCAUCAAUAUACACCUCAAAUUCACCACUGUCAUCUGGAAGAGCGAGAACAGGGGCCUGAGUGAGGCAUCAUUUAAGCUCCUGAAAGCUUUGUUCACAAUUUUCAUCCCACACGAAUUGAACACCUUUACGAGUCAGCUUAGUAAGAGGUAGAGCAAUUGCAUAAUUUUUUUGAAUAAAUCUUCGAUAAUACCCUGCCAAACCUAGAAAACUUCUUACUUCAGUAACACUCUUCGGUUGUUCCCAGUUAGACACUGCUGACACCUUUUGGGGAUCCACGCUAAUUCCUCCAGCAGAAACCAUGUGCCCAAGAAAACCAACUUGAGUUAACCAAAACUGGCACUUACUGAACUUGGCAUAAAGCUAGUCAUCUCUUAAUCGUUCCAGCACUAGCCUUAAAUGCUUCUUGUGCUCAAUCACACUUUUAGAAUAAAUUAGAAUGUCAUCAAUGAACACAAUCACAAACCGAUCCAGAUACGGUCUAAAGACUUUGUUCAUCAAAUCCAUAAAUUUUGCAGGUGCAUUUGUCAAUCCGAAAGGCAUGACACGAAAUUCAUAAUGCCCAUACCUUGUACGGAAAGCAGUUUUCGGGACAUCAUCCUCGCGAAUCCUCAACUGAUGGUAACUCGAUCGAAGAUCAAUUUUGGAAAAUACCUGAGCACCUUUCAAUUGAUCAAACAAAUCAUCAAUCCGAGGCAGUGGGUAAUGAUUCUUCACUGUCACCUGAUUUAGUUGCCUAUAAUCGACACAGAGUCUCAUUGAUCCAUCAUUCUUUCUAACAAAAAGCACAGGAGCUCCCCAUGGGGAUUUAGUCGGCUGGAUGUAACCUUUGUUUACCAAUUCCUGGAGUUGGAUCUUCAAUUCUCUUAACUCCGCUGACGCCAUUUGAUAAGGUGCCAAGGAAAUAGGAUUGGUACCUGGGAGUAAAUCGAUAGUGAACUCAAUUUCCCUCGUAUGUGGCAACCCCGGUAAAUCAUCGAUGAAAUUCCUUACAACAGGCACAUCUUCUGGACGCAAAGAAGAUUCAUCUUUCACGACUACGUGGGCUAAAAACCCCACACAACCCUUAUUCAACAACCUUGUUGCUUGAAUGGCAGAAAUAAUACUAUUGGGGAGGACACGUUGCUCACCCAUAAUUGAAACUGCUGGCAGUCCUGGCCGAUUGAACGUCACAAUUUUCUCCCAACAUGUGACAUUCGGUCGGUGCUUAGAUAGCCAAUCCAUUCUCAAAAUAACAUCAAACUUUGCCAGUUUGAAAGGAAUUAAAUCAACCUCUAAGUUUUCCCCUUCCACAAUAACUGGACAAUUCUGAUAUUGCCACUGAGCACAAAACAAUUCACCACUUGGCAUUUGAAUCAGCAUAUCAAAACCUAGUGGUUGAGGUUGAGAAGGCAUAACCCGAGCAAAAGAUGAAGAAACAAAAGACUGCGUAGCUCCCGGAUCAAUUAAAACUCUAGCCUAAGUAUUACAAACAGGUAACGUACCGAUGAUAACUCGAGGAUCCUGUUUAGCCUCCUGCUGAGUCAUGGCGUUCAUACGCCCAUGAACCUGAUACCCAGCGUUAUUGUUUCGACCGCCACGACCUCUGGAACUACGCCCUGCUCGGUUCAUCUGAUUACUGCUACCAGAAGAUGUUCCAGCCUGCUGCUGGGUUGAAAACUGAGUACUUCGGCUGUCACUUCCUCUAAAAUUCUGGCUACCUCUGCCAUCCAACUGCAUAACUCUGAUACCCCCGAAGUUCUGAUUAGUACUACUACCAUAGCUCUGAUUACUACUGCCACUACCAUCAUAGCUCUGUCGGGCGCCAACAUUCUGAACUGGCCGAUAUCUACUGUAGUUCGGGCCAGAGGUAAAAUUACCAAAUGGUGCUGAAGGACAGUCACGAACAAAAUGUCCGGAACCACCGCACAUAUGACAAACUACAACGGUCAUCCCACAACUCCCUCGAUAAUGUAACCCAUACUGAUUACAAACCGAAUAAACUGAAGUGAAAUGACUGAAAGAUCGUCUCGCCGACUCGUUGCAUGAGCCUUCACUGGAAGACCCUGAACCCCAACUUGAUUGUUUAAAGGAAAAAGAAUGUCUGGGACCGACAGAACUGGAGGGGCCCCCUUAUUCUUUGGUACUCCGCGACCGGAAAUUUCAAUUCCUCUGAUUUUGACUCCGUUGUCUAUUCUAUCUCUAGGGCUGGAUCUAAGUUUGAGGUUGAUCCUGCAUCUCCGUAUCCCACUUAGACUGUUCUAUACUCAGACUUAUGUCGAUUACAUCCUCAUAAGUUCUGGGUCUCUAAGCAACUACCAAUGUACGAUACUCCUGGUUCAGUGCAAUUAUCGCCUGAUCCAUCUGUGCCUGCGAAUUAUCAUAAGUCCCAUCAUGAUGUCUAGCCAAACGCCUGAAAGUACUGUCAAAUUCUGUGAUGCUGAGGUCACCCUGUCGGAACUCUAAAUACUCCUGCCUUUUUUUCAAUCUGUAGUUGGGGCUUAGAAAAUAAGCAAUAAAACGUUUCCUGAAGGUAGCCCAAGUCAUCCAAGAACCAAGUGGACGAGAUACCUUCGUUGAUUUCCACCAACUCCUAGCAUCACCCUGAAUAAAGAAACCUGCAGUACUCGCCCACUCAUUUAACUGACAUUUCAUAGCCUCUAAAGUAUCCUCCAUUUUCUCUAACCACUGCUCAGCCUCCUCACCAUUCCCCACAGAUCUUAACUCAGUAACUCCAUGACUUCUAGCAAUUUCUAAAUACGUCUGAUUCGGUCUAUGACCCGGAAGAGCAUUCAUUAAAGCAUUAGUAAACUGCUGGAUUCACCCCAUUAUAGAAGUACGAGGUCGUCAAGGCACAUUCCCAUCAGGAUUAGCCAUGAUUCUGACAAAGACAACAAGAUUUAGAAAGAUUGAAAUUUACCAAAUUGGUGGAAAGAAAUCCUAACCACGCUCUGAUACCAAUCUGACACGCCCCGAUCCUGAUAUUCCUCGAAUACCAGGAUAGACACGUGCCAGCCGACACCCCAGGGUGACGAAAGCCAUUAAUUGGUUACAAUAGAAAUGAUUAGGAGAAAAUAUUCAUGGAUAACCUCAAAAUUUAAGAGUAAGUAACAAAGUUUAAGGAAUUGUCUAAAGUGCACAGAACACAAUCUAAUUCAAGAUUUACAAAAAGAAAGAUCAUUACAAUCUAUCACACUUGUAACAUCCCACAUCGCCCAGGGGAGUGAUUCUUAAAUGUAUAUUCCCAUCCCUACCUAGCACGAGGCAUUUUGGGAGCUCACUGGCUUCGGGUUUCGUCGGAACUCUGAAGUUAAGCGAGGAGGUGGCCAGAGCACUCCCAUGAUGGGUGACCCACUGGGAAGUUACAUGUGAGUUCCCAGAAACAAAACCGUGAGGGCGUGGUUGGGGCCCAAAGCGGAUAAUAUCGUGCUAUGGUGGUGGAGCAGGCUCGAGAAGUGGUCCCCCUCGGGCCGGGAUGUGACAUCAAAACAGCCAUAAAAACCAAAAUUCUCAAACCCCAAUUGGGCAAAUUCUAAAUUAAUACAGCAUCAAUCAAUUGGAAAUAAUCCCCAAUUGGAAAAGUACCUCUUCUCUGACUUAACAAUAUGCAAUCUUUAAACAAAUAAAUGAAGGCCAAAAUUAGGAGUUGAGUAAAUAAGGAGGAGGCGGAGCUAACCAUGAAAAUGAGGCGAGAGAAAGAAUUGACGUAAUCAGAAUUGCUGUGCGUUUAUCGAUGCGUAGUUAUGUUAGGGAAAAGAGCAUCCGAGGCUCCACCACGCGUCUGACUCAGUGGACACCCACGAGGAGUCUGAUUCAGCUACAAAGUGAGAGCGUUGCAUCGUCAAGUUGGACAUAGGUGAGCAGGGUUUGGAUGGGGGAGAAAGGUGAGUGCAAGUUGAAGAGGAGAGGAAGAAGAUGGGUGCGAGUUGCAGAGGAGAGAAGGGUGGGUGGGGUUGCGAAUGAGAGAAUGGAGAAAGGGAGUGAGGGGGGUUGCGGGGGAGGUGGGAUGGGGUGGGUUUUUGGAUGGGAGGGGAUGUGAAGAGAGUGGAGAAGAAAAAGGUGGUUGGGAGGCUCGGGAGGGAGCAGAUGGGUGGGGAAGGGUUGCGGGGGUGGUUCCAUAUUUUGAGUUUUUUUUUAUUUUUGUUAUUUUUGAGUUUUUUUUACCACGUAACACAUAUUUGACAGCCACGUGAUACAAAUGUGGCAGCCACGUCAGCUCUUAACGAAUCAAUGGAUGAAAAAUGUAACAGAUAUAUUAUAUUGAAAUAAAAUAGUACUUGAGGUAUGAAAUUGAAAUAUUUUAAAGAUAUUAUAAGAAAUUGAAAUCGAUCCCAAACUUGAUUUGGUAAAGUAUAAUUUAUAAGAAAACUUUUGACUUGCAUGCCUUCCGGUCAAAGAAAACUGCGGUUAUAGUCCAGCUGACCGCAAGCAAAUAUCCUUUUGCUUUUCAGCCCUCACACGCAUGUUUUGUUUUAUUUGUUUAUCUCAUUGUGUAGCAAAAAGCUGAUGAAAAGAUAUAGUAAGAAAGAUGAAAAUAAAACAACAAGAAAACAACAAAGUCUUAUCAUUUUUACAGUAAUUAUCAUUAUCAUUUAGGUGCAUGACAUUACCAUCGAUACCAAAUAAAUCAUUAUCUAGGGAAGAAAAAUGUAAAUAUACCGUACCAAUUGCCUUCAACACCUAACACACACCUUGUUUACACAAAAACUAAUCUUCUUUUGGUUAACGGUCCAACUUUGCAUCUUCUUUGUUUAAUGAAGGAAUUAUAAUAGAUUAAUCAAGUCGAACUAUGUAUAAAGCUUGGUCGUCUGACUACAAUAGUAGGAGUCUUACUCUCUAAACCUGCAUAAGACGGAUGUAAAUAACUAAGACUCUAAAAUCAAUUACAAGUAUACUACUUUCUUUCCGCUCAGAGAGAUUAGAAAUGCCUAACUCUUCGAUAAAAAGACUCGUCUGUAACCUAUCUCCAAACUUUGUUAAAUAAAGAAAAAAAAAAUUAUAUCAUUUGAUAAGUAUAAUAGUAUCAUCUCGAGCUUUUUGGUACAAGUCAUAAAUUUGAGAUGGACUGGGAUCAAUCACAUAUAAGAAAUUUCUCAUGGCAUAAUCUAUAUUUUAUGGAACAAUGGAAGACUCUCAUAAAAUAAUAAUUAAUGGGCAAAACCUUGACUUAGCAUGCAAUACUAGUUCUAACGCAUCUUAGAGAUCGCAUUACAUAUAAGUAGUUAGAGAACUAAGGAGCCAAAACUUAUAUCUCGAUCUGAUAAAAUGGUUGACAAAGCCAGCGUUGUUUACGUGAUUCCCAUCCUUUUAUUGCUAUUGUUCUCAUCCAAAAUAGUCUUUGCCAAUGUUUCUGAACAUCCAAAGCACAGUUACUCUCUCUCUCUCUCUCUCUCUCUCUCUCUCUCUCUCUCUCUCUCUCUCUCUCUCAUAUGUGUAUAUUAAAUUAUCGUUUAACACAUAAAUGUUUGGUAACUAAUUAAUGAUGAAGUUCCUGAUCUUGUCAUUGCAGAUGAUGUAGAGAAGAUGUUCAGUAGGUUGCGUAUGCAAAUGAAGAUUAUUCAUGCAAAGAAAGUAGGCGUACCAGUUCCGGGUAGGUCGCCUGGAGUUCCCAAAAAAGCUAAACACAAUAACUAAGUAGGGGAAGAGAUCUUCUCCGGAUCUCUCCCACCAAAUCCACCAAACUCAGUGAUCCGGACAUUUUAAAUUUGAUUCAAUGACUAAAAGCAGAGACUCUUUUAAAAGUUAUAAUAACUUUAACCGUUGGAUCAAAUUUCAAGGGUCCGAAUAACUGGAUUUGGUGGACGUGAUGGGGGAGAUCCGGAGAGGAUCUCUUCCCACUAAGUAGUACUUUGGUUUAUUUUCAUGUUAGGAUAACUUUUGUAGCCUUCUUUUUUACUUUGUGUUGAUGAAUAAGAAUAAUAGUUUGUAAUUGAUUUUUAUUAUUUCUUUGAUUAGUUAAUAUAGUAUCCAAAUGGGAUCGACCCUUGAGAUUCAAUAUGCUCUUAUUUGGUAUCAAUUUGUUUAUCGUUUUUUUUUUCCCUCUCUCUCUCUCUCUAAGUUUACAAUUAACGGUUAUUCAACGUUAGAUUACAUCAAAACAAUAUUAUCUUUCAUUUGUAACUCUUAAUAUUUAGCAAUCCGAUUAUUGACAGAGGAUUGUGAAGAAUCAAUUGAAUCAGUAGGUUGCAUCUUCAACGUCAAUCCAAUACAGUCCAAGUUCAAAUGCUCUUGUAGGCACCGGUGAAAUAAAUACGCACCCCCAAAUUAAAGUUUUGGGAUACUAGGGCUCACGUGGCACACACCAUAGGCCUCACAAGUUACACACAUGACACGUGACUCAUUAAAACCGAACAAGUCAUCAAGAGUGACACGGGUUAACAUUUGGCGAAAAAUUAAUUAAAGGAUUAUCUUUAAUUAAUCUAAAUUUAAAUCAAAUAAUUCAAUUGAUUUAAAUUAAUUAAAAUUUAAAUCAUACACAUCCUCACACUCGGACAAAGAAAAGGUCCGCAUGUAAUUGAAAGAUCCCUUGCAUUUAACAUGUAGCAUUUUUACCAGUUGAUUUUUCUAUGAAGAACAUCUGUGUUGUUCACCAAUAAAAAACUAAUAGGAAAACUAAUAAAAAUUGCAUGAAAACUUUGAGUUUUAACUAUAAGGACAAAAUAAAGGAUAAAGUGAAUAGUACCAUAAUUGACUUUUUAGUGUAAAAAUAUGGUUUUUCGUUAAAGUGAAUAGUACUGAAAGCUUUUCGUUAAAGUUCCCAAAAGAAAUUACUUGACUUCAAUCAAAAUCGAACAAUUUGUAUAUAAAGUUCCCAUAAGAUAUUGUCACAAUGACAUUCUCAAUUUAAAUAGAGUAAUUCUUACUUUACUACCCUGAAAGUAUUGUAAGAUCCCACAUCACACAGGGGAGUGAUCCUUAUAUGUAUAUUCUCAUCCCUACCUAGCACAAGGCAUUUUGGGAGCUCACUGGCUUCGAGUUCCAUCGGAACUCCGAAGUUAAGCGAGUUCGCGCGAGAGCAAUCCCAUGAUGGAUGACCCAUUGGGAAGUUCUCGUGUGAGUUCCCAUAAACAAAACCGUGAGGGCGUGGUCGAGGCCCAAAACGGACAAUAUCGUGCUACGAUGGAGUCGAGCCCGGGAUGUGGUGGGGGCUCGGGUCGGGAUGUGACAAAUUGGUAACAGAGCCAAUCUCUGGCCGGAAGUGUGCCGACGAGGACAUCGGGCCUCUAAGGAGGGUGGAUAAUAAGAUCCCACAUCGUCCAGGGAAGUGAUUCUUAUAUGUAUAUUCUCAUCCCUACCUAGCACGAGGCCUUUUGGGAGCUUAUUGGCUUCGAGUUCCAUUGAAACUCUGAAGUUAAGCGAGUAGCGCGCGAGAGCAAUCCCAUGAUGGGUGACCCACUGGGAAGUUCUCGUGUGAGUUCCCAGAAACAAAACCAUGAGGGCGUGGUCGGGGCCCAAAGCAAACAAUAUCGUGCUACGGUGGAGUCGAGCCCGGGAUGUGACAGUAUCGUUGUUUCCAAACUUUUAUACAUCAAGUAUUUUUCAUCCCAGUCUCAUACCUCAAGUUACCUUUUUUUCUCAGAUUCAACUUCUGUUAAGUUGACCGUUAGCAACUUCACUAAAGCAUGACGUGACUCUCACAUGGACGUUAAUUGUGCAUCCAUGUGUUAUUGUAGCUCCACGCGGACAUUAAAAAAAAUAAAAAUAAACUAAGGCUCAAUUAUUUAAGGGUUGUUCUAUUAACACCCUAUAAUUUGUUGAAUACACCCCACAAUUAAUUUUUUUUCUCAAUAAUUCCAAUUCUACCCUUCUUUUUGUUAAAUCCACGCCACAUUCCAAAAAUAAUAAAUAAAAAAAAAAUCUCACAACCAACCACCCUAUCACAGCACCAUGGCCGGUGAAUCCAUUGUGUCCUUCGAAUCAUCUGAACCUUUGGAGAGGCAAUAAGAGCAUUGCAUGUACCCUGUUUUCUAAGGAGCUUUUUCUGCAGGUUUCUAGAAAUUGUAUUAGGAGUUCAUUCCUAGCUAAUUGCUUUUGAUAAUGAUCUUGAAACUAAAAUCAUAUCCUAUUAUCCAGGUUUCACACUACUGCAUUAAGGUUUUGUUCUUAUUUUGUACCUUUUCUUCUGGAUAAUAUUCAUAUCCUUGUUUGGGAAUUCCUAGUUGGAUUUGGUGUAGUUCUCAAAUCAAAAAUUGAUAUGAAUAUCAUACAAAAGAAAAAGAACAAAAAUAAGUACAAAGAUGAUUAUAAUGAUGUUGAGAAAAUGCAAACAAUAUAAAUAAAAGGUGAGGAUCUGAACAAUGGUGAUGGACUGGGAAGUUUUAUUUUAUGCAGGUUUAAAUGAAGUGUAAAUUAGGAAUUAUAGAAGAAAAUUUUGAUUGUGGGGUGUUUUGAUCAAAUUGUGGGGUGUUAAUUAAAAAAACCCUUAUUUAAUAAUGCCAAAAAUCUAAAAAUUCAUUUAGAAAUAUUUAAUAGCAAUAAUUAAUUUUCUUCAAAAUACUUAAAAAAACUUAACCAACCAUCAUCAUGCUCAACCCAGAAACCUGUAACCAAACAGAAACAAAAAUGUUUUAUCAACCCAGAAACCCAGUCCCUCAACUCAGCCACCGCACCCUCACUCUUCAGAUUCGUCGAAGAACAUAUGGAGUUUCAUAAGCAUAUUACUUAGUCGUCACCGUAAACACUUGAAUCUGUUGCAUGUUGUUGACGUUUGGGUGUUCAGGAUUUUUGAACUGAAAUCUCUGCGAGGAGGCUGGUGUGUUUCGUCGCCUCGUCCAACAUCUCUCUCUUUCUCUCCUCUCUCUCUCUUGCUUUUUGGGCGUCGUCUUGUUUUCUUUAACGUCGUCAUCAUCACUGCAGCGUGUCCUCUGGCAUCGUCCUCGUACUUUCCGGCAACCUCAAGACUUCGUGUUCUCCGGCGAUCUCAAGUUCAAAAGCUCCAAUAGUGAUUGAAUUGCCGAAUUGACUCAACACUUCAUAUCUGGGUCAAGUCUCAGAUACAAGAACGACUCCAUCAUCAAGUCAACUCGGGUCGAAUGUUAUUCCAACUGAAUCAAAUAUCUACAUCUCCAUCCAGAACAAGCUCGAGGAGACGAGGUUGGUGUGCUUCGUUGGGUUGAGGUCGCUGUGCGACCAAAUCAAGCAGAUUUGAUUUGAGCCAUUGGUUAAAGCUGGGGGAGGAGGCAACGGGGUGCGGGGAGUGGAAGGGGAGGAAAUUGAGAGCGAAUCUGAGCCAUUUGUUGAAAUCGAAGUCGAAAACGUGGAGGCAAGAUGAAGAGGAUGAAAGAGAGGUAGGGGUGGGUUCAAAAAAUCGAAAACCGAAAAAAAACGACAACCGAACCGGAUUGAGGAGGAAAAAAAUGGAACCGAAACUAUCAAACCGAACGAAAUCAAAUCUGGCCAGUUCAGUUUCAGUUUUUGAGGUUCGAAAACUGAACCGAACCGAUAUAUAUAUUUAAUUAUGUUUUUUCAAACUUUAUAAAUAGUUUAGUUAUACAAUCAUAACAAAAUUGAACCUGUUGUCAAGUUGGUUUCAAUGAAACUUUUCAAGUUGGAGGGCAUGGGUUUGAACCCUCAUGCCUCCAGGAUUUUUUAGAAUUUUUUUAAUUUUUAUGAGAAAUCAACAAAGCCCUUUAACCCUAGCCACUAGUAGUAGCAGCUAGGGGUGGGUUCGGUUCAAAUCGGUUUGGUUUUUUGCCAAAACUGAAACCAAAUCGAAAUUUCGGUUCGGUUCAUUUUUUUUCGAUUUUUUUUUGUUCGGUUUUGGUUUUUUUUUUUUUUUUUUUUUUCAAAAAAUGAAAAACAUUGAAAUUUUAAAUUUUAACAUCUCCAACACAAUCAUAACAUAAACAUUCUAACUAGAAUCAAAGACAAUGAAAAUAAACAUUUAAAGUUGAACUAAAAUCAUCAAUCAAAUUAUGAGAAAUCAACAAAACCCUUUAACCCUAGCCACUAGUAGUAGCAGCUAGGGGUGGGUUCGGUUCAAAUCGGUUUGGUUUUUUGCCAAAACUGAAACCAAAUCGAAAUUUCGGUUUGGUUCAUUUUUUUUCGAUUUUUUUCGGUUCGGUUUUGGUUUUUUUUUUUUUUUUUUUUUUCAAAAAAUGAAAAACAUUGAAAUUUUAAAUUUUAACAUCUCCAACACAAUCAUAACAUAAGCAUUCUAACUAGAAUCAAAGACAAUGAAAAUAAACAUUUAAAGUUGAACUAAAAUCAUCAAUCAAGUUUUCCAAAGUCCAAACUAACAACCUCACAACACAAAAAUCGUACAAAUGACUUAGAAAAGUUAAAUUGUAUGAUGUUGUUCAAAGAUCAGGGCGGUUUGCUUGUAACUGCAUGUUGACAACUUGAUUAGUAAAAGUAAUGCGUGGGUGGAUUUAUUUAGUGUGUGUUGGAUUCUUUUCCAUCACAAAUUACGCAAGUAAUCUACCCGAAAUAAAUGUUUAUGGAUUCUGUUACAUGUUAUAUGAAAGUAGAUUAGGAAAAGAAAGCUGGGGCAGAAGUAGAUAGUGCUAUGGAGAUGGAUGUAGGUACUUCAGGCUGAGGUUUGGUUCCGGAACCUUAUAUGAGGGAAAAAUAAUAGAUUAGGGUUUAAAGUUUUUAUAGGCCUUUUUUUAAUAUUUUGAGCUUAAAGUUUGGCAACACAUUGGGUUUAGCACAUUUUAACUUACAAAUUGGGUUUAGAAAAUAAUACCUAAAACAAAUAAUUAAAUAAAAAAAUUAAUUUAAUUAAUUCGGUUCGGUUCGGUUUGGUUCGGUUUCUAGAUCACUAAAACCGAACCGAACCAAAAGAAUUUGGUUCGAUUCGAUUUUUUCAAUUCGGUUCGAUUUUUUCGUUCGGUUCAGUUUUUUCAGUUUCGGUUUAGUUUGGUUUUCGGUUUUUUCGGUUUUCAGUUUUUUGAACCCACCCCUAGUCGCUGCCACACUUUUCUAUUUUUCAUUCCCCUCUUCUCUCUCUCGUUCCCUGCCUCUAGACUCCCUUUAUGAACCUUAACCCAAUAACCCUCUCGUGUAGCCUGAGCCUCCUAUCUUUCUCUCUCUCUCUCUCUCGCUCAGUCUUCAACUUCAAUCGCUCUGUCUCUUUCCAUUUCUCAGGCGACCCGCGACGACGUGACCCUUCUCACUCUCAAUCUCUCACACCUCGCCCUCGCCGUCAGCUUUUUCUUGUCGUUUUGAGUCUCGACAGCAAAAGGUUAGCCUCAUUUCUCUCUCUCGGUCUUCAACUUCAAUCACUAUCUGUCUCUCUCAAACUCUAUGUCUUUCUCGAUCUUGAAUCCAGGCGACCCGCCAGUCCGCGACGACUUGACCCUUCUCACUCUCAAUCUCUCACACCUCGCCCUCGCUAUCAAUCUUUCAUCUCAUCGUGAGCUUCUUCUUUCUGUUUCGAGUCUCGACUGCAAAAGGUUAGUCUCAUAAUCUCAUUUCUUUGUGUUUAAUUUUCUGUUCUAUUUAUCUAUUGAAAUUGGUUCUGAUGAGAGAAUGAUUCAUUUCAUACUUUGCAUUUACUACUUACUCUUGGAUUUAUUAGUGUUAUGAAGUGACUGAGAUCUAUGAAAACACAUGUAUCUGGGUUUCUGCUUACUAUGGGCUUCUGCUUACCGAUUCUUCCAGAUGGUAUUUGAUUUACUUGUGAAUUUCACACGGUGUGCUCAUUUUCAGUGUGACUGAUUCUGGGUUUCUUUCUGUCGUUACCACUCACUUUUUGAAUUAUGGUUAGAAGUAUAGGACUUUGUGACUCCAAAUCUGCCUUUCAAAUUCAAUGUGAUUUUUCUAUUUUCUGGAUUUUAAUCUUGCUAGCAAAUUAAAAAAUAGUAGGCUAAAGAACAACUGGGUGAGCUAGAACAACUGGGCAAUGAGAGAACUAGAACUGGGCAACUGGAUUUUAAUCUUGCUAGCAAACUAGUAUCUGUUUGUCAUGUUUGAGCGUACUACCACUGGGAGAGCUAGAACAAAGGGGCAAUGGAUCACUCCCUAAUUAGAAACCUAGACAGUUAAUUGUCGACUAAUUAGUUUCUAUAAAUAAGUCAAGUUUAGGCUGAUACCCCACUAAUGAAGUAGAGCUCUAUACAUUGUACAUAUAUAGACGGUUAUACAUUGUACAUAUAUAGACGGUUGCAUUGUACAUGUAUGCUAAUUAACUGGGUGGACAAUUUGCAACAAAUGUGUUUGAGAAAAUUGAUGGUAAAUGGUUUAUCUGUAUUCACCAUGCUUCAGUUCUUGACUUGUGAAUUUUACAAACUUAAAUACAUGUACAAUGUACGACUUCCCCACCUAAGCGUUGAGCUUGAGGAGUUGAAGAGAAGAAGUGCGUGGAAGACAUGAAAUAUUGAAGGUUUAUUUGAGUUUAUGAUUUUAGUUAAGUGGAAUAUUUCUGUAAAAUUUGGACUUUGUUAUGUUUAUUUUAGGUGUGGAAGACUUGAAGUGUAAUGUUUAUUUUAAAUUUGGACUUUUUGAAGACUUAAACUUUGAUGUUUUUUUUUUUUAAGUUUGGACUUUGGAAGAUUUGAUUGAUGAUUCUAGUUGAACUUUAAAUAUUUAUUUUCAUUGUGUAGGAAUGCUUAUGUUAUGAUUGUGUUGGAGAUGUUAAAAUUUUAAAUUUCUAUUUUUAUUCAUUUAAAAAAAAAAACCGAACCUGGCCAAAAUUGAACCGAAAAAAAUUGAAAAAAUUUGAACAGCACCAAACCGAACAGAAAUUUCAGUUCGGUUUCAAUUUUGGCAAAAAACUGAACCGUUUCGAACCGAACCCAACCCUAGAGGGAGGGGUAGGAUGAAACUUCUUUCCUACGGGCGGAAGAUGACAGGAAAAUUUUUAUUUUUUUUAUUUUGCUAAUUUUUUUAAUUGUCCACGUGGAUACACAAUCAUCGUUCACAUGAGAGCCACAUCACACUUUAACGGAGUUACUAAUGGUUAACCUAGCGAAAGUAUAAAUAUGGAAAAAAAACAUAACUUUGGGUAUGAGACUGGGAUGAAAAAAAAAUUGACUAAACAAUUAGUAUAUAUAUAUAAUAAACAAUUAGUAUAUCUAAAACCACAUUAAUGAAACCCUCUUUGUCAACUAAAAGAUGGUGAAAAGACAUCUUUAUCUUAUAUCACAACAAAAUAGUUAAGGACAGUAAAGUAAUUUCACAAAACAAAGCUGUUUUUUUUAACCUCACCUGCAUGUAGGUUUAUCAUCUCUAAUUAUAAAAAAGAAAAAAAGAAAAUACAACCUCUCUCCCUCUCCCCCUCUAUCCUCACUCCCAUGUUCUUUCUCACUCUCUUCCUCUCUCCUUCAAUUUUAACAACCAUAUGCAUUUAAUGAUACUACGAAAGUGACAAAAUCACAUAUACCAGCUGCAAAUGCGCCCGUAAGAAUUGAUGUCCCUGUUAGAUAAAAUAAAGUGGCAGCGAAUGAUUCAUCUAGUGCACGCAUGAAGGGUGGUAGACCCCCAGGUUCAAAAGUUUCAGCCCUUCAAAAGAGAAAGAUAAAGGCAAAGCUGAAUCCUUAUGAAAUCAUUCAGGAAAAGAAAACAAAUGACAAAUCCACAAUUCAUGAUUAUGUACUUUCAGAAAGAAAAAAAAUGUCAUUGGUGAGACACAUUGUCCUUGAAAAGACAGAAGUACAUGAAAGUAAAGAAAUCUCCAUAAAUUAUGUUGUUUGUACCAUACUUGACCAAUUCUGAAACUACUGAGCACCGGUCAACGUUAUACCGUCAAGGACCCAGAAGAGUUUCCCUCCAACCAGGAGGCCAAUCACAGCGCGACAAGUGUCGACAUCAGAAGCCAAUCAUAGCGCGACACAUAUCAACAUCGGAAGCUAAUCACAACCCGACACGUGUCAAUGUCAUAACAAAGCUAGAACCUCUCUUCUAUAAAAAGAGAUCAUUCUCUCACAAUAUUUCCUAAUGUCAUUUGUACUAAAUCAUUCACUUCUACUCACUAAAGGAGAGCUUGAACCUAUGUACUUGUGUAAACCCUUCACAAUUAAUGAGAACUCCUCUACUCCAUGGACGUAGCCGAUCUGGGAGAACCACGUACAUCUUGUGUUUGCUUCCCUGUCUCUAUCCAUUUACAUACUUAUCCACACUAGUGACCAGAGCAAUCUAGCGAAGGUCACAAACUUAACACUUUCUGUUGUACCAAAGUCCUCACUGAUUUUGUGCAUCAACAUUUGGCGCCGUCUGUGGGAACGACACUUAUUCUCACUCUCUUCAGCUUUGUUAAGCUGGUUUCCACCAUUCAUACACUCUCUUUUGACCAUGCAUCCCUCUCCAACAUGGGGAGCGAAGGAAGCCACAACACACAGAAUGACACCCAUCUUGCACCUAGUGCGAAGCAACGAAAGAAGGAAGGAAAAAAGAUUGCUCUUCAAGCUAAAGUCGAUGAGCUAGAAUCUCAAAACAACAAGAUAGCAAUGAAGAAUGAGGUCUUCCAGGAGCAGUAUGAGAAGCUCUUUGAGAUGCUCCACGAAAUUAGACGUACUCAAACACGCGAACUCGUUACCCCUGUGGACAUCAACCAUCAUCUGGAUGCUUCCCAACAAGGAGGGUCACCUUCCUUCGACAUGGGUAUCCCUGAUGAGGAGCGAGCUAAUCAUCAAAACAUUGAUCAACAUGAGACUUCUCUUAACCCAGUUGCUUCGACCCGAAGCAGGAGAAGUGGAGGAAGACACCUCCUUGCAAAAAGGUUGGAAGGAUCGAAAGCCGUUUAUCGUGACUGCCGAGACUUCCUAAAGCAACGUCGAGAGAAUCCCCUCCAUAUAAGCUCGAAGAUCAAUGACCCAAGGGUUUCUGAAAGAAUCGGUCCCUCCCACGUCCCAGGCCGGCUACCAAUUUGGGAAAGGGGCAACAAGUCCUAGAGAAACACGAAGGUAUAGGGGACUCAGAGAUGUUUCGACAGACAUACCUUGAAAGUCAGUACGGUGAGUCCAGGAAAACAUCACAUGCUCUUAAUCAAACCUUCCUACUUUCAAGAGGAGAUGGAGAUUUACGAAAGAAAGCUCCAGUGGUACAUGAGUCCACUCAAGACCCUCUUGUCCUACAGCUUCUUAAGGAAGUAAACAAGUUGAAGGCCGAACGAUAAGCUGAGAUACCUGAUUGGAACCAACCUAGGCCUGGCCCUCUUACAAGAAGGAUCCUCGACAACCCCUCCAAGCAAAGACAAAGCAGAAGCUUGGCUUGCAACUCUAUACUGGAAAUGAGGACCCGAUUGAACACCUUAACCUCUUUGAGUCCACUAUGGCAUACCGGAUGCAUACUGACGAAGAGCGAUGUCUUCUUCUCCCCUCCACCCUCUCUAGCGGAGCUUUAAACUGGUAUUACCGUCUUCCACCUGAGAUGAUAGACUUAUUUGAGGAAUUGAGGAAACUGUUUGUUUCUCAACACAUUUUCCAGACCGAUCGCUUGCAUUCUACAGAUGACUUGUACACUAUUCGUCACAAACCGGACAAGUCAUUACGAGAGUAUACCGAUCGCUUCAGCCAUGAGUAUUCUCGCUGCGCUGAGGCAGAUGAUAAGACCACCCUCAAGGCCUUCACUGCAGGCCUACGUGAUUGUUUCUUCAAGUACAUGAUCAAUGCCAACACUUGGAAGACUUACUCUGAGGUGAUGACACAUGCUUACAACCAUGCCUCCGCCGAGGUAAUGACAUAUAAAGGGAAACCCCCCACAACCACCCCUUAUUAGCAAGUAAGGAGUGGAAGCCAGAUCCAACCAAAUGAGAAGACCUCGACCUUCCAAACGGCAGCGGUGCCUCCCCCUACCUUACUUAAUACUUUGCCAAGUCAACAGACAUAUCAGUCUCAAGGAAAAAGGAAAGAUUUCAUCCUCACUAGUCUCAUUUUAGUAAAAGGAGUAAGGGACACUACCGCGAUAACCAAAGGUAUCACCACGAUAAUCCCCGACCCCAGGCAGUCAACAUAGUGGGUCAGACACGUGUCAGGAUAGCCCCUACCCCGAGGUAUGAGGCAUACACACCUUUAAACGCCACAUGCGUGGCCAUUUACCCCAACAUAGCACACCUGAUACCGAAGCCAAAGCUGAGGCACCUGGAUUACAAGUCUACGAAGAACACGGGCACGUUUUGCUGCUACCAUGGUCUAAAAUAUCCAUAAUAUCCCGAUAUUUCCAUCGAAAUUUCUAUGUUUUUGGACUACCGAUAUUUCCGAUAUUAUUGAUAUUUUAGACCUUGCUAAGUCACUCAUGUAUCUUACCAUGCAAUGUAUAAAGUGUAAAAUAUUGUACUAAUUCAUUACAUAUAAAUGAUUAUGGUGUGUUUAAACUUCUUUAAUUAAUUACUACAUAUUUUCUACACUCACAAUGUUUGCCAGCUCGCUAAAUAAUCAACUUAAAUCAGUUAUAUUUAUCAUGCAAUGCAUUUCCUUCCAAUUUUUUUGUGAUAAACUAAUAGAUAAUUGACUAAAUAAACAUUUUGUAAAGUUUCAAUAAAAAUUUCCAAAUUUUUCUUACAAUUUCCGUGGUUUUAUUCAAUUUUUAUCGAUAUCGAUAAUAUUCCGAUAUUUCCAUCGAAAUUUCCAUAUUUUUAGAGUACCGAUAUUUCCGAUAUCAUCGAUAUUUUAUACCUUGGCUGCUACCACGAGUAUAACGGCCAUGACGGUGAGAAGUGUAUCACCCUUCGUGAUCAUAUUGAAGCUUUGGCAUGUGAAGGAAAAAUUGAUCAAUUCCUCCUUCACCCUCCAAGGGGUAACCGUAACCAAUGCCAGGUGAAUGUGAUAUAUUCCAUAAGUGGUGGCACACCCAAAUCUAAAUCUUCCAACAGGCCCAUGAAAAAUAGUGAACGAGUUUUAAGGUCUGGCCACCAAGUGUUUCACAUGGAAGAUAUCAGGGGAGGCAAACAUCAAAAGCCUAACUGGGAUCCAAUAUGUUUCUACCCUGAGGAAGAAAGAGGUAUCAUCUACCCUCACAACGACCCACUGAUCGUGGAAACUCACAUAGCCAACUUUGAAGUACGACGAAUCCUGGUAGACGGGGGCUUCGGUCAAUAUCAUGUUCACCGAAGCUUUCAGAGCACUUAAUUUAGCUGAACACUUGCUCGAUCGCUCGAUUUCCCCUCUGAUAAGCUUCUACGGUGAUAUCGUGCAACCUUUGGGGAGCAUACACUUACCUUUCACCAUUGGUAUAGGCCCUUAUACAGCUACCAUUACCACUAACUUCUUGGUGGUUGAUUGCCCAAUGGCAUACAAUGUCAUCUUGGGACGCACAUGCAUCAAUGAUCUUUAGGCCAUGGUAUCCACACAUAUGUUGUUGAUGAAAUUUCCAACCCCUAUGGCAAUGGUUACAUCAGAGGAGAUCAACUUAGUGCACGAUCAUGUUACAACACUUCGGUCAAGCACCAGCACCUGCCUGUGCCUAAGGAAACCUUUUCUAUACAUGACCAAGUCAUAAAGACCAGCCCAGACGAAGCCAACUUGGAUCUUCACGGUGGCAACAGUCAACCCAACAAUCCUCGAGAUGACUCUUUCACCCAGUAAGCACUACCCGCUGAAGAGUUGGAGAAUGUCUCUAUCUCAAAAGAUUAUUCGGAUCGCAUGGUGAAGAUUGGCAUCACUUUGUCACCACCCAUUCGGUUGACAUUGAUCUCUUUUUUUCAAGAGAACACUGAGGUCUUCGCCUGGUCAUACGAGGACAUGUCAGGUAUCUCUCCCGAUAUCAUCUGUCAUCGCUUAAGUAUUGACCCCAAGACCAAGCCAGUGAGACAGAAGCGAAGAUCCUAUAACGUUGAACGGUACGAGGCAAUGAAGGCAGAAGUUGAAAACUCAAAGGCAUAGGCUUCGUCCGCGAAGUCAAUUAUCCAAUAUGGGUAGCAAAUGUUGUCCUUGUUAAGAAGAAUCGGACCAAGGAAAGUCUCCUGCUCCAAAAGGUCUUGUGGAGAAUGUGUGUCGAUUACACCAACCUAAACAAAUGAUGCCCGAAUGAUAGCUUUCCUCUUCCUCUCAUAGACAAACUUAUAGACUCUACAGCAGGGUGUGAACUCCUGAGCUUCAUGGAUGCUUACUCAUGAUACAACCAAAUCCUUAUGAACCCUUCGAACCAAGAACAUACAGCCUUCACUACUGACAAGGAACUAUAUUGCUAUAAAGUCAUGCCAUUCGGCCUAAAGAAUGCAGGAGCGACUUAUCAGAGACUGGUCAAUUUAAUGUUCGCCGAACAGAUUGGGAAGAGCAUGGAAGUUUACGUUGAUGAUAUGCUAGUCAAGAGCAAACAUGCUAACCAACACAUCACCAACUUAUCUGAAACUUUCAUCAUUCUGAAGAGGUAUCGAAUGAGGUUGAACCCCAACAAAUGUGCCUUCGGCAUAGGCUCUGGCAAAUUCUUAGGCUUCAUGAUAAGCCAACGAGGCAUUGAGGCUAAUCCCGAGAAGAUCAAAGCAAUCCUCGACAUGAAGGAACCGGUAACUUCAAAAGACAUCCAAAGCCUUACUGGCAAGAUGGCAGCCUUAACUAGGUUCAUCUCUAAGGCCACAGACAGAUGUGCUUCUUUCUUCAAAGCACUUAAGAGAAGUAAGAAGUAUAUUACAUGGACUGAUGAAUGUGCUGAGGCAUUCAAGAACCUCAAAGACUACAUGAGUAAAGCCCAUCUACUCUCCAAACCUGAGGUUGGUGACACUCUCAUUAUCUAUAUGUCGGUAUCGGCUUCAGUAGUAAGUUCCGUUCUCAUUCGAAAUGAUGGUAAUGUCGAACGGCCUGUCUACUAUGCUAGUAGGGCCUUACAAGAUGCAGAGACACGAUACUCCAACAUUGAGAAAUUGGCUUUAGCAUUGGUCAUGUCUGCUAAAAAACUUCGCCCUUACUUCCAAGCACACUCUAUCAUCGUGCUUACCAAUCAUCCUUUUCGACAGAUACUCCAAAGUCCUGACACUUCCGGGCGAAUGAUCAAAUGGGCAAUAGCAUUGGGUGAGUUUGACAUUUCCUACUAACCAAAGCCAGCUGAGAAGGGCCAAGCAGUGGCAGACUUCAUUGUCGACUUCACAUAUCCUGUUGACAUUGUUUCUACGCCUAAAGAAGUGGUUUCAUUACCCUCGGAAGCUCAGAAACCAGAACCAACAGCCCCAGCAUGGAGCCUAUAUGUUGAUGGCUCGUCCAACCAACAGGGUUGUGGAGCAGGACUAGUCCUUACGACCCCUGACAAAGUGGCAAUGAAGUAUGCUCUUCGUUUCAAAUUCAAGGCGUCGAACAAUGAAGCCGAGUAUGAAGCCCUCCUAGCAGGCUUACAUUUGACUAAAUACCUUGGGGUUAAACGAAUUGACAUCUUCAGUGACUCUUAACCAGGUCACCAAUAACUUUGACGCUAAUGAUAGCUCUAUGGCAGCAUAUUUGGCACAAACACAAUUGUUGCUCAAGCACUUCCACUACCAGAUCACCCAAAUUCCUUGAGCGGCAAACAGUCAUGCAGAUGCUUUAGCUCACCUCGCCUCAGCGGUGGAAGACAAUAUUGGGAGAAAAAUUCAAGUUAAAUUGUUGGCAGCACCAAGCACCAUGGUUGCGAAGUAUGCAACUUACAACAGGGGGAUAGUUGGAUUACCCGAUUUAUAGAUUCCUUACUCAUGGCACCCUUCCAAAUGACAAAAUCCAAGCUAAGCAAAUUCGAUAAAAGGCUACCUGUUACUUGAUCAUUAAUGACCAACUCUACAAGCGGGGUUUUAACCUACCAUACCUAAGAUGCCUUACGCCCGCAGAGGCGGAAACUGUCAUUCGGGAAAUACAUGAAGGAGUCAACGGAGAUCAUGCUGGAUCUCAAUCCCUAGCACACAAGGCUUUUCGCCAAAGAUAUUACUGGCCAACAUUCCACUAAGAUACCAUCAGAAUAUCCCGCUCAUGUGAUAAGUGUUAACGCUACGCAACUAUUCCUCACUCCCCUCCCGAGCCGCUCACUCCUAUGAUCAGCCCUUGGCCCUUCGCCCAAUGGGGACUUGAUUUGAUCGGCCCAAUGCCUGCAAGGAAGGGCAAAGUUCGCUAUGCAAUCGUUGCAGUUGACUACUUCACAAAGUGGGCUGAAGUAGAACCCUUGGCAACCAUUACUUAGGCAAAAAUAGAAGACUUCGUAUGGAAUAACAUCAUUUGCAGAUUCGGCAUUCCCAAUGCGAUAGUCACUGACAACAGGCAACAGUUCGACAAUAAUAACUUCAGGAUGUUCUGCUCUAAGUUCAACAUCAACUUAUGUUUUGCCUCCCCACCUCAUCCCCAGUCUAAUGGACAAGUUGAAGCUAUCAACAAAAUAAUCAAGCGAACUUUGAAAACCAGCUUGGACAAGGCUAAAGGUUGUUGGCCAGAAUUUGUACCCCAAGUUCUUUGGUCAUACCGCACUUCGUAUCGGACAUCAACAGGAGAAACCCCAUUCUCACUUGCCUUUGGUACAUAGGCAAUUGUCCCAGUUGAGCUUGAGCAAGCAACGUUCUGAGUCCAGAACUACGUGCAAAGUGAAAAUGACAAACAACUUACCCUCAACUUAGAUCUAGUCGAGGAAUACAGAAACCAGGCUCACUUGAGGAAUGUCGCAUACAAGCAGUGCAUCUCCAACUAUUAUGACUCAAGGAUCAAACCUCGUUCUUUCAAAGUGGGGGACUGGGUAUUGAAGAAAAAAUUACUCUGCGAUAGAGUCCCGAGUGAAGGAACACUUAGUCCAAACUGGGAUGGAUCAUUUAAAGUUGUUGGCAUCAGUCGCCUUGGCUCCUACAAGCUUAGAAGCUCUGAUGGCAAGACCCUUGGCCAUCCAUGGAACGCUGAUCACUUGAAGUACUAUUAUAAGUAAACUCACAUUGUACAAGUGUUAAGCUUUAGCCGUUCGGCAUACUAUGUAACGAAGACUAUUUGGCAUGAAUUCAAUAAAGAGGUGAUUUAGACAACUCGGUCCUAAUCCUCUUACAUUCCUAGCAAUGAAACACUCGGGUUUAAAGCUUCAACAUGAAUGCUUCCAACAUGAAACAAAAUCUAAGUAUAUGUCAACAAAACUAUACAAAUAAACGAACAGCUUCAUAGUAUAUUCGUUCAAUCAUACAUUCCAACAUAUUCAUACAUAAGCCAACUGUGCUUUGAAAGGGUUCAACAUACUUUGUGUCAUUCGACACUUGCUACAAUGUGCCUAGACAUUGCUAUUCUCACCAACCAGGUGAUGGUGAAGAAGGAACUCAUCUUCAUGCCACCAACAGGUGAUGAAAUGUACACCCGUAUUCCCCUUCGCCAAACCAGGGAAGAGGAACUCUCUUCAUGCCACCAACCAGGUUGAUGAAUGUACAACAUUCAUGAACUAGGUGAUGAAAUGUAUAACCCGUACUCUAAUAUCAUUUGGCAACUUGCCACGCAUGCCACCAACCAGGUGAUGAAAUGUACAACCCGUACUCUAAUAUCAUUUGGCAACUUACCAUUCAUGCCACCAACCAGAUGAUGAAAUGUACAACCCGUACUCUAAUAUCAUUUAGCAACUUGCCACUCAUACCACCAACCAGGUGAUGAAAUGUACAACCUGUACUCUCUUUCAUGCCACAAACCAGGUGAUGAAAUGUAGAACUCGUACUCUAAUAUCAUUUGGCAACUUGCCAUUCAUGCCACUAACCAGGGGAAGAAGGAACUCAUCCUCGUGCUACCAACCAGGUGAUGAAAUAUGAUGAAAAGUGAUGAAGGAACUCACCUUCGUACCACCAACCAAGUGAUGAAAGCAACUCACCAUUCAUUCUAUCUACCAGAAGACGAGUGGUAUAACUUGUACACAUGAACUCCUAGCAUUCACAAAUAAUAAAAAACCCUCAAGCUUGACAACUUAACUAGGGGAGCACUUAUGCCCAACAAGAGUUAUAGUCACCAACAAAGUCUUAUUGCAAGCCAACAACAACUUCAGUGCAUGGCAUACGAAGAUCAACCUAUUCAGCCCUCUUGCAUCUGCUUCAAACAUUUCCCCUCUAUAACAAUGCAAACUCCACAACUCGUAGAAAGCUUCACGCACUAUUGAUCAAGACAGUGUGAAGUAAAACCAAUUUAUAAUGCCAACAAGAGCUUCAUCAAUAGAGGGCAACCACAAUUCUUAAAAGCUUCACACACUCUUAAUCAAGACAGUGUGAAGUAAAAUCAAAUUUUGUGCCAAUAAGAGCUUCACAUGGAGGGCAACCACAAUUCUGAAAAGNNNNNNNNNNNNNNNNNNNNNNNNNNNNNNNNNNNNNNNNNNNNNNNNNNNNNNNNNNNNNNNNNNNNNNNNNNNNNNNNNNNNNNNNNNNNNNNNNNNNNNNNNNNNNNNNNNNNNNNNNNNNNNNNNNNNNNNNNNNNNNNNNNNNNNNNNNNNNNNNNNNNNNNNNNNNNNNNNNNNNNNNNNNNNNNNNNNNNNNNNNNNNNNNNNNNNNNNNNNNNNNNNNNNNNNNNNNNNNNNNNNNNNNNNNNNNNNNNNNNNNNNNNNNNNNNNNNNNNNNNNNNNNNNNNNNNNNNNNNNNNNNNNNNNNNNNNNNNNNNNNNNNNNNNNNNNNNNNNNNNNNNNNNNNNNNNNNNNNNNNNNNNNNNNNNNNNNNNNNNNNNNNNNNNNNNNNNNNNNNNNNNNNNNNNNNNNNNNNNNNNNNNNNNNNNNNNNNNNNNNNNNNNNNNNNNNNNNNNNNNNNNNNNNNNNNNNNNNNNNNNNNNNNNNNNNNNNNNNNNNNNNNNNNNNNNNNNNNNNNNNNNNNNNNNNNNNNNNNNNNNNNNNNNNNNNNNNNNNNNNNNNNNNNNNNNNNNNNNNNNNNNNNNNNNNNNNNNNNNNNNNNNNNNNNNNNNNNNNNNNNNNNNNNNNNNNNNNNNNNNNNNNNNNNNNNNNNNNNNNNNNNNNNNNNNNNNNNNNNNNNNNNNNNNNNNNNNNNNNNNNNNNNNNNNNNNNNNNNNNNNNNNNNNNNNNNNNNNNNNNNNNNNNNNNNNNNNNNNNNNNNNNNNNNNNNNNNNNNNNNNNNNNNNNNNNNNNNNNNNNNNNNNNNNNNNNNNNNNNNNNNNNNNNNNNNNNNNNNNNNNNNNNNNNNNNNNNNNNNNNNNNNNNNNNNNNNNNNNNNNNNNNNNNNNNNNNNNNNNNNNNNNNNNNNNNNNNNNNNNNNNNNNNNNNNNNNNNNNNNNNNNNNNNNNNNNNNNNNNNNNNNNNNNNNNNNNNNNNNNNNNNNNNNNNNNNNNNNNNNNNNNNNNNNNNNNNNNNNNNNNNNNNNNNNNNNNNNNNNNNNNNNNNNNNNNNNNNNNNNNNNNNNNNNNNNNNNNNNNNNNNNNNNNNNNNNNNNNNNNNNNNNNNNNNNNNNNNNNNNNNNNNNNNNNNNNNNNNNNNNNNNNNNNNNNNNNNNNNNNNNNNNNNNNNNNNNNNNNNNNNNNNNNNNNNNNNNNNNNNNNNNNNNNNNNNNNNNNNNNNNNNNNNNNNNNNNNNNNNNNNNNNNNNNNNNNNNNNNNNNNNNNNNNNNNNNNNNNNNNNNNNNNNNNNNNNNNNNNNNNNNNNNNNNNNNNNNNNNNNNNNNNNNNNNNNNNNNNNNNNNNNNNNNNNNNNNNNNNNNNNNNNNNNNNNNNNNNNNNNNNNNNNNNNNNNNNNNNNNNNNNNNNNNNNNNNNNNNNNNNNNNNNNNNNNNNNNNNNACUAUCUUGAUCAAGAUAGUGCGAAGCAAAAUCAAUUCAUAGUACCUAACAAAAGCUUGAACUCCAAAGCUUCACCUGCAAAAGCUUCACCAACAAAAGCUUCACCAAUGGAGGACAACUACAAAUUCUCAAAAGCUUCACACUAUCUUGAUCAAGAUAGUGUGAAGCAAAAUCAAUUCAUGGUACCCAACAAAAGCUUUAACUCCAAAGCUUCACCUACAAAAGCUUCACCCACAAAAGCUUCACCAACAAAAACUUCAUCAAUAGAGGACAACUAUAAAUUCUCAAAAGCUUCACAUUAUCUUGCUCAAGAUAGUGUGAAGCAAAAUCAAUUCAUGGUACUCAACAAAAGCUUCAACUCCAAAGCUUCACCUACAAAGCUUCAACUCCAAAGUUUCACCUACAGAAGCUUCAACACAAAAGCUUGACCCACAAAACCUUCACCUACAAAAGCUUGACCCACAAAAGCUUCACCCACAAAACUUUUACCCACAAAAGCUUGACUCACAAAAGCUUCACCUACAAAAAACGUCACCCACAAAAGCUUCACCCACAAAAGCUUCACACUAUCUUGAUCAAGAUAAUGUGAAGCAAAAUCAAUUCAUGGUGCCCAACAAAGCUUCAACCUCAAAGCUUCACCUACAAAGCUAAUAUAUAUAUAUAUAUAUAUAUAUAUAUUUUCGGAAAUUUGAAAAUUCAAAAAUUCAAAAAUUCGAAAAUUCGAAAAUUCGAAAAAAAAAAAUUCGAAAAUUCAAAAAUUCAAAAAAAAAAAAUUCUAAAAUUCGAAAAUUAGAAAAAAAAAAUUGCCUAGGCCUCAUUUUCUUUGGGCCUAACAACUUUCAUAACAAAUAUAUAUGAAUGAGGAGUUUUGGGCUACCACUUAGAAAGGAAAUGCCUCAUUCGUCAACUCCCUCGACCGGAGACUUGGGGGACACCUACCAUAUGCUACUGCACCUUGAUACUCAGAAGUCUCACGACCACUCAGUGACUUGGAUUUUUCAAGUCUCCAACCGAGAAGUUUUCAUCACUCAGGAAAUUAAGGGAGCACUACCUCAACAUACAUGCUUCACUCACAAAGCUUUAACAUAUAAGCUUCAACAAAAGGAAAAAUUCAAAGAACUUAGUGAAGAAGGUCUUGGUGUAUUUAACACAAUACGUUGAAAUGAAGCAAAGCUUAUUUAUUGAUAUCUCCGAUAAGUUACAAAUAUGUACAUAUACAUGAAUCAAAAUAAACAAACAAGAAGGAGCCUUCAUAAAGGUUGCUCAGGAGAAGUCUCAGCAGUCGGCAGAGCCCCAGAAAAAGGAGGCACCAGAGGGUGAUUAUUCAAAGCCUCAGUACUAGGCAGAACCCCAGAAGGAGGAGGCACCGAAGGUUGAUCAUUUGGAGCUUAAUUACGCGGUACAGCCCCAGAAGACGAAGACAAUAAAUGCCUUUGGAACAAACCCACAAACCUCUGAUGAUCAAGUAAAAUCUGACCAUCAAAUUCUUGCAGCUGGUUGAGCUUCCUCUUCAUGUUUGUAGCAUAGUCAUGUGCAAGCCUGUGCAACUGUAUAUUCUCAUGCUUGAGCCCUCUGAUCUCCUGUUUGAGAUUUAUCACUUUAGCUGCCAAUGAUUCAACUUGGCAGGUUCGAGCAAAUAAGCGUUGGGCCAUAUUAGACACAGAACCUGCACACUGAACAUUGAGAGCCAGAGAAUCCUUAAUAGCCAACUCAUCAGACCGUUUGGAAAGUAGUCUGUUAUCUUUGGGAGUAACAAGGUUCCUGGCUACCACCACAGCGGUUAUAUCAUUCUUCAUCACAGAGUCCCCAAUGGUAAGAGGACCAGUUGGGGAUAAGAAGGAUGGGCGCCAUAUGUUGUCUUAAGAAGGCAUGGCUGCCUCUUCACCAAAGUUCAAGUCAAAAUGACGGUCGGAUGGGUCAUACAUUUUUAGAAAUGAUGAAGGAGAAAUGAGGUGCAAUAAAUCUCUGAAGUAAAGGGAAAAUUCCUACAAACAAUAACUCACUGAAUGUACUCUUUGCGCACAAUUGAUGCCCUUAUAAAAGAAAGAACAACAGGGCUGUUGGUUCAAAAAUCAAAGAGGCACCACUUUCCACACGCAACAUCAGCUCAUCGGGUACCACAGAUAACUUUGCCAAAGAUCUCUGACAAAAUUUAGACACAUAAAUUUUGAAGGUCUAGCUACCCUACUAUUACCCACAAGGGUAAAGGAACAGCACCACUACUUGAUAACUAGAAAGUCCCAAUGUGUGUCAAUCUCCAUGCUAUGUGGCAAGGCGGACUGGCAAAAAUGCCCAACCUUUACUCACAUUCGAGAAAACACUCCCAACAAGAUUGCUUGCUCAAAAAUCGAAGAGGAACCAUUCUCCAAAUCUCAAGAGUCAGACUCCCAACAAGAUUACUUUCUCAAAAUCGAAGAGGCACCGUUCUCUGAAUCUCGAGAGUCAAAUCCCCGACAGGAUUGCUUGUUUGAAAACCGAAUAAGCACCGCUCUCCGAACUUUGAGAGCCAGAUUUCCUUGGAUAAAGCUUGUUUGCAAUCUUUACACGCAACAUCAGCUUUCCAGAUACCACAGACCACUUUUUCAAAGCGCUCUGACAAAGUUAAAACAUGUGAAGCUUGCAGCUCCCACUACAUUGCUAUGACUAAGAAGGGUAAAGGAAUAACAUUAUUACUUGCUCAAAAAUCGAAGAGGCACCGCCCUCCGAAUCUCGAAAGCCAGACUCCCAACAGAAUUAUUUUCUCAAAAAUCGAAGAGGCACCACUCUCCGAAUCUCAAGAGCCAGACUCCCAACAGGAUUUCUUUCUAAAAAAUCGAGGAUGCACUGCUCUUCAAAUCUCGAGAGCCAGAUCUCCGACAGGAUUGCUUGUUCGAAAACCGAAAAGGUAUCGCUCUCCAAACUUCGAGAGCCAGAUUUCCUUGGAUAAAGCUUGUCUGCAAUCUUCACACGCAACAUCAGCUUUCUAGAUACCACAUACCACUUUUUUAAAGUGCUCUGACAAAGUUAAAACAUGUGAAACUUGUAGCUCCCACUACAUUGCUACGACCAAGAAGGGUAAAGAAAUAGCAUUACUACUUGUUGUUAGGGAGACUCCUAUAUAUGUCGACCUUCAUCCUCUACGGACAGGUAGACUUGCAAAAAUGCUCAACCUUUCCUUAUAUCUGAUAGGGCACUCCUAACGAAGCCUCUCGAAAUACUCAGCUUUCUUCCCCCAAUAAUACCUAUGCAAACCAGCCACACUAGAGCAAGAGUAUCUCAUAUCAUCAGGGUUAAAAGCAAGAGUAUCCCAUAUCAUGCUUUUUCCCUAUCUUUUCCUUUGGCCUUAUUCUUACCUGCAAGACAAUGAGAAAGAGAGCAAUCAGUCAGCACUUAGAAUCAAGCUUCCGAUCAGGAACUGACUGCCUGGAACCCCUUGCCUGAUUACUUACCUGGCAUUGCUCUUGAGUACUCAUCUUCAACAUCUUAUGCUUCCAGAGAAGAUACCACAUCUGUCUGAGGAACAGAUAGGGCAAGUAAGAAGGAUACAAGGAAGCAUGUGGAGAUAAGCGUAACAGAACACGUGCCGAUACAUCCACUACUUUGUCAAAAGUAAAAGUAUCACAUAUCAUCAGGGUCGAACGUACUCUAGAUUUGAUGGACUUGUUUUGACCCUCAAAUUCUUGAGUCGGCCUUAUAUUUUGGAGGAAACCAGAAAACCUUCCAGCCCAGUUCAAGAAUAAGCUUGUGGAAAGUUACUUCUCCAAAAGCAAAAGUAUCUCAUAUCAUUCUUCUCCAUUUACUUCUCUUUAUCCCUGUUGCUAUUUACGACAUAAGGAGAAGGAGAACAAUCAACCGGAAGCCGAAGUCGAACCUCCGAUCCAGGUUGCUUGCUUGGAAGUCUGAUUGCUUACCUUGUCUGUUACCUCUUUUGGCAAAUCUCCUAACUUGGCGACUUGGGGGACUCCUACUAUAGGGUUUUGUAUCGCACUUGACCAAGCCCGAAACUACAAGUAAGCUUCAAGUGAAAUUGAUACAUUACCUUGUGCAUCUUCAUCGGUUAAAGAUACCACCCCUGGAUGGAGGAAAAAUACUUUCAGAGAAGAUGCCACAUCUACAUAUGAGACAAAUAAGGCAAGUGAAAAUGAUACCACACUUCGGUACUUAGAAGUUUCAUGAUUACUCAAUGGCUUGGAUCUUGCAAGUCCCUAACCGAUGAGCUUCCCUCAUUCGGGAACUUAGGGGAGCAUUGUUUGUACCAUACUUGACCAAUCCCAAAAAUACUGAGCAUCGGUCAACGUUAUAUCGUCAAGGACCCAGAAAAGUUUCCCUUCAACCAGGAGGCCAAUCACAGUGUGACACGUGUCGACAUUAGAAGCAAAUCAUAACGCGACACUUGUCAACAUCAGAAGCCAAUCACAACACGACACGUGUCAAUGUUAGAAUGAAACUAGAAACUCUCUUGUAUAAAUAAAGAUCAUUCUCUCACAAUAUUUUGUACUAAAUCAUUCACUUGUACUCACUAAAGGAGAGCUUGAACCUAUGUACUUGUGUAAACCUUUCACAAUUAAUGAGAACUCCUCUACUCCGUGGACGUAACCAAUCUGGGUGAACCACGUACAUCAAGUGUUUGCUUCCCUGUCUCUAUCCAUUUACAUACUUAUCCACACUAGUGACCAGAGCAAUCUAGGGAAGAUCACAAACUUAACACUUUCUGUUGUACCAAAAUCCUCACUGAUUUUGUGCAUCAACAUAUGUAUGUACUAACAAAUUUUGGGAUUGAAAUGAAAUAAUCGUCGACUACAUGUUCGCAUUUGCAGUAGCCACUGAAAUCAUAUUAAGCGAUGAUAUUGAGCCUCACUUUAUUGAUGAAUGCAAACAGAGACAAUAUUAGCCUAAGUGGAAAGAUGAAUCCAAACAGAAUUAAAUUCCUUGGAAAGGCGAAGUGUUUUUGGACCAGUAGUCCAAACUCCGCCUGGUGUAAACCUCGUGGGUUACAAAUGGGUAUUCACAAGAAAACGCAAUCAGAAAAACGAGAUUGCAAGAUAUAAAGCACGACUCGUUGCACAAGGUUUUUCACAAAUACCUGAAAUUGAUUAUGAUGAGACAUACUCUCCUGUAAUGGACGCAAUUACAUUCCGUUACUUAAUAAGUUUAGUGGUUUCAGAAAAACUUAUCAUGCGACUUACGGAUGUCAUCACCAUGCAUCUAUAUGGAGAAUUAGAUAUUGACAUAUAUAUGAAGGUCCCAGAAGGACUUAAGUUGCCUGAAACGACUAACAAACCAUGAGGUAUGAUCUCAAUCAAAUUAAGGCGAUCAUUAUAUGGGCUCAAGUAAUCUGGACGAAUGUGGUAUAAUCAUCUGAGUGAGUAUUUGAUCAAAGAAGGAUAUACCAACAAUGUCAUUUGCUCUUGUGUGUUCAUUAAGAAAUCAACUUCUGGAUUUGCAAUAGUGGCAGUAUAUGUGGAUGAUAUGAACCUAGUUGGAACCCCUGAAGAGCUCAAUAAAACUGUUGAGUAUCUGAAAAGCAAAUUUGAAAUGAAAGACCUUGGAAAAACAAAAUAUUGUCUCGGCCUGCAGAUCGAGCAUUGUACUAAUGAAAUUUUGGUUCAUUAAUCAGCUUACAUUGAAAAAUCCUGAAGCAAUUUGGCAUGGACAAGGCUUAUCCACUCAGCACGCCAAUGGUCGUUCAUUCUUUGGACAUUAAAAAAAAUCCAUUCCAUCCAAAAGAAGAUGAUGGAGUGGUCCUUGGUCCAGAAGUACCAUAUCUGAGUGCAAUAUGUGCUUUAUUGUAUUUAGCACAAUGUACUAGACCAUAUAUAGCCUUUUCAAUCAACUUGUUAGCAAGAUAUAGCUUUACUCCAACAAUUCAUCAUUGGAAGGGAGUCAUAGAUGUUUUACAAUACUUUUGUGGGAUAACAGACAUGAGUCUCUUCUACUCAGAGAAAUCCACAAUUGACCAGAUUCUUAUUGGAUAUGCAAAUACUGAUUUUCUCUCUGAUCCAUAUAAAGCCCACUCACAAACUGGAUAUGUGUUCACUAAUGAAGAUACAUCAAUCUCAUGGUGCUCAACAAAGCAAACUAGUUGCUACAUCUUCCAAUCACUCGAAAAUACUUGUUUUACAUGAAGCAAGUCGUGAAUGUUCUUGGUUAAGAUCAAUGAUCCAUCAUAUCCGGAAUUCAUGUGGUCUACCUUCAAAGACAGACACUCCAACCGUCAUUCAUGAAAAUAAUGUAGCCUAUGUUGCCCAAAUGAAGGAAUGAUUCAUCAAGGGCAAUAAGACUAAACAUAUAUCUCUAGUGCACAUGAGCUUCAUAAGGUUAAAGUUAUUGAAGUCAGACAAAUCCAUUCCAAUAAAAUCUGGCAGACCUGUUCACCAAAUCUCUACUAAAGUGCACAUUUCAGAAGCUAGUGCAGGGUAUCGGAUUACGUCAACUUACCAAUCAAUUAAAUUUGAAGAAUGUAGAAUCAGGAAGAGAUACAAUUCAGGGGGAGCAUCCAUGAUACAUGUUUGUUGUACUCUUUUUCCUUUGACUAGGAUUUUUCCUAUCAAGGUUUUAACGAGGCAACAUAAGUAUGUUUAACACUAUAUCAACAAUGCAGGUAAAAUUGUACUUUUUUUCCUUCGCUAUGGUUUUUUUCCACUGGGUUUUUCCGAGUAAGGUUUUAACGAGGCAACUAAUGUUGAUAUGUGGGCAUCCAAUGGGGAGUAUUGUAAAAGUUUUGGGGUGAAUGCCCACAUACUUUUGGAAAAAGGUGAGAAGACUUUAGAAUAGUGAUCAUGUUGUUGUUGUAUGAAGUUUGUCAAAGAACACUUAUUUUACCUUUGUAAGUUUUCACAGGAGUGACUCUAUUUAAAGAGCACUCUGUGUGUGAUCACUACACACUGCAAAAGAUAAGAGCUUAAAGCAAUACUAUUAGUAUCCCUCACUUCCUCUUUUUACCUGCAAUCCUUUUGUGUUAUAGUUACAAAACUAAACAGUAUGAUAUUUUGCACUCGUUUUGCUCCUGUCCUUAACAAAAGUUAUAUCUCUAACUUUUGCCUAUUUAUAACAUUAAUUAAUUAUUAUUUAUUUAACAAUUAAAAUUAAUUGAAAAAAAAAACUUUCUCCCCCCUUUUUCCCACAAUGUUGUUUCGGGGUGCCAAUUUGCCCGAAGCUCGUCUUCAACCUGCCAACCCCAAAUUUCUCUGCCAAACCCCAUCCCUCUCCACCCUCCGUCGCCGUUGAAGUUUUCCAGCUGCUCUCCUAAUCUCGUUUCCUCUUCAAAAAAUUCUCAUAUGCCUCUUUCUCUCUCUUAUUCUCCUUCUCAAGCCGUCAGCAUGGGAAGCCACGAAGUCGAUCACCCCAACUUCAAAUUCGAGAUCUACGAAGUCAGCACCCCGACUUCGACCCCAACCACCAACUCGCUUUCUCUCACUAGCAACUUGUAUUUGUCAAUGUGGCACAAUACAAAUCCGACGAACGACGCUGGUGAAUCCGAUGAAUGACUCGAGUUAGAAGACCAAAUUGAUUCGAAGCCCACCUUCAAUUCUUCUGAGUUUUCUUGGGUGUGUUUGGAGUUAGGCCUGAUGGUGAUUGAGGGGGUGGGCUGGCGAUGGGAGGGUAGGGGUGUGCUGCGGCUACGUUGUGAAGGGAUUGAAGCUAAAUUACCCAGUUUAUGAAUUUCAAAGGGAUUGGAGGUUGAGUCGCCGGAUAAGGAAAAGAUUGGGGUUUAAUUUAUGCCAAGUCAUUACUUAACAGUUAAAUAAAUGAAUUGAUUAAUGAAGAUAUGAUAUUUUAAUGAAUUCAUAAGUUAAUGUAUGAUAUUACAACGUUUAAAAAUGAGAUAUGAAUUUAUUAUCUGACAUAAAGUUAAGGUGAUAAAAUAUAAUUUAUCUUUUCCUUUUUUCGAAGACAUGGCUGAGAAGAAGCAAUAAGAAGUUGAGAAAUGACACCGCCCCACCCUCAAAGCCUUUAUUAAGAUAAUUUAGAAAUUAGCAUUUAUUUAGGUGAGGUUACUGGGGAGUGGCAAUAUGUGACGAUGGCUGCUGGAAAUUGGUAGCCAAAUUAGCUUUCAGUUUGUGUUGCCGGCGAUCAAAAGAAGAAGACAAGGGGAAGAAGAUGCAGGUUUUAUUUUCAAAAUUAACUCAAGGGAAAGAAGCAAAUUCUUAACUCGACUUUAAUUUUAAUAAUUAACUUCAUGUGCAUUUUAAAAUUGAGUUUGACUAUGAUGUACUGAAUUAUAACAUUUGAUUGCAUGAAUUAUUAUAUGAUUAAAUAUACCAUUGAUACCAAAUACUUCAUUGUCAUUUUGACAAUAUGAAUAAUACUGUUCAAAAUCAUAAUGCAAGCUUCCCAAUUUCAAUUUUAAAGAUAAGAGACAAAGACUUCAACACAAAGUGUAAGAAAACUCAAAGUCUUCCCAGACAAAGACACCAUCUCAUAUAUUAAAAUUAGGGUAAUUCUCAGUUUAUUAUCCUAAAAUUUCUUAGUUUUCAACAUUUUAUACAUCAAUUUGUUUUUUCAUCUCAGUCUGGUACCUAAAGUGAUAAUUCUAGAACACUUUCAUACAUCUGUUAAACUUUCUAUUAAAACAGUCGUUAACUUAUAACGUGGCACCAACGUGGACAAUAAUUGAACAACACGUGUCAAUCUAGGCCCAUGUGAACAUUAAAAAAUAAAAAAAAGUAAAACAUACCAAAAAAAUCUAGGAAAAAAACCUCCGAAGUUUCAAACACAACCCUAUCUUUGUCCUGGAGACCCAGAUCAUCUUCAACCUUGGGAUAUGGAAACCGACGAGGAAAACCAAGCCAAUUUCCUUACCUGCUCUGCUCCCCAUUCGUAAAACCUUGCAAUCAGCUUCAAUGGCUUCCUCACCUGUAUCAUAUGGUACGUGAAUUCUAUGGCCUAUGCUUUCUAGAUUGUUGUCCUCGUUGACAAUUGACUAAGGCCCUAUUUUUCUAAUUACUUAUACGGAUAAUCUCAGUUACUACUACGAAAUUUUUUUGGUGACAUCAAAUUUCAGAAUGGUACCUGAAGUCAUACUUUUGGGAUACUUUUAUAUUUUCGUUAAGGUUGCUGUUAAAUCAAUCAUUCACUGGUGGUGCGGGAUCCACGUGGAUAAUAACUCGACACCAUGUGUCAAUAUAGGCCCACGUGAACAUUAAAAAAAUUAAAAAUUUAAAAAAAAGAUUUGAAAAUUAAAAAAAAAAAAAAACUAAAAAAAUCUGGACCUCUCCUACUUCAGCCCUUCCACCCUUCCCUCUACCUCUUCGACUCCACUCUCUCCCUCUCUUUCUCUCCGACAAACCACCUCUGAACGUUCCUCCCAAACCCUAAUUCUUUCCCAAUCCCCAAUUUUUUCCCCCAAUUCACCUCCAACUUUUUAACCCCACCUUUCAAUUCAACCUUCCCGCCGCCGAUUCACUAUCCACAAGAUCACAAUUUGGGAGACCACAACGGUACCCAGUAAGCCUAGCAAAAAGGUCGUGCGUUGCUGCUUUGUGUCAUUUUCGUGUAACAUCUGUUAUCUUAAUGGGUCGUGGUGUCACACCUAUUAUCUUAACGGGUUUUUAAUAGGUCGGGUCAUUUUACCCAACAAGUAAAAUGACUCGACCCGUUAUGACUCGUUAAGAAUUUUUUUUUUCUUUCUAAAUUUGCACAUACCACAUUGCCACAUAAAUAUUACUUAACUAAUUCGAAACGAAAAACCCCAAUUUGAAGAAACAAAACCAAUCUUCAAUAGAAAACUAAUUCAAAGAAAAACCCUAUAUUUUCAAAGUAAUUCGAAAGAAAUAAUAAUUACCUCGAUUAGGGCUCAAGAUUUGCUCGAUCCAGAGAGAAGCAAAGACAAAAGUAGAAGAUCGAUUGGUGUUGGGUUACUAGGUCAUAUGUGGUGACAGUGGUGUGGUGGAGGGAGAUUGGAGAGGGUGGUCAUGAACUCGUGAUUGGCAGGAAUUGAAGUUCGAAACUGAGAUUCGAGAGUUCAGUUCGAGUGAGAGCAGUUGCUUUAAUUCAAGCCUUCAAGAAUGAGAGAGAAUCUGAUUUAGGGCUGAAAAAAAAAACAUUAGACACCCGAGAUUAAAUCUCAGCCGAUCUAACCUAUUAUCUGGACCAAUCCGUUAUCUUAACAGGUUCUUAUAUACUUACCCGAUAAUGAUCCGAUUCAUUAUCGUGUCGAUCCGAAAACCUGUAAAUUUCGUGUCGUGUUGGGUUAAUGGUUUAUGUCAAAAAUUGACAGGCUUAGUACCCAGGAAAAAAGGAAGCCAGAUCCGACUUGGUCGCCAAGUUAAUUGCCACGGGCCAAUCAUGGAAUCCAUAAUAUGCGUUGUGGGUGAUAAACCUGAUUGCACAGAGAGAGGAGAUGAGGAGAAAAAGAAGGAAGGAUUGUAAAAACAGUCAUGCCAGCGAUAGUGGGAAUUGUGAGAGUUACUGAGAAUGGGAUGGUGUAGAAUUCAAGGAAGGCUAGGUAGAGGAUGGUGUUGUGCGGAAGCGGCAUCCAACUGUAAGUGAAAAAGUAAAACAUAACAGAAUAAAACCAACACCAACAAGAACACCAAGAUUUAUACUGGUUCGGCAAUGCCUACAUCCAGUUUAGAGACAACGGAGUAUUCCACUAUAAUCAAUGAGAACAUACAAUAGUGUUUAUCACUCAAUUUCCCAAAGACCCAAAUAACCCAAGCUCACACACUUUGCAAUAGGAAGGGAGAAAACCAAAAAUACAAAGCAAAACAAUUUGAGAAAAAAUCUUUUCUCUGCCGAAAUGCUUCUUGCUCUUUUUCUUCUUCCUACUUACGGGCUGCACCUUGCUCCCCUUUUAAAGCCAAAGAAAAUGGCUCUUCAAGGACAUCAAUGGCCAAAGGCCUACCAUCAAGUCAAAAAGAGUUAGGCACAAUUGUUGUUUGUCUCCCAUUACCACAAAGUAGCCGAAAUUUUUUAUCUUUGACUACAUUGUUUGAGUCAAUAAUCAACAAUCUCCACCUUGGCUCAAACCCUCUAAGAUGGUCGUCUCCCAAUCCCCCAUGGGGCAAUCAACAAAUUUUACAAAUGACAAUCAAGUCUAAGCAGUGCUUAAACUUGUGCAAUGAAACUGGCUUUGUUAACAUAUCCGCAGGAUUGUCAGCGGUCCCAAUCUUCUGAAGAAGAAUAUCUCCCUCAUCAAUAAUCUCACGAACAAAAUGGAACCUCACGUCAAUGUGUUUCGUACGUGCAUGAUGAACUUGAUUCUUUGCUAAAUGAAUAGCACUCUGACUGUCGCAAUGAACAUUCACAUGGUCUUGUUGAACCCCUAAGUCAUCAAGCAACCCUUGAAGCCAGAUGGCUUCCUUUAUAGCUUCUGUUACAGCCAUGUAUUCUGCCUCAGUAGUCGACAAAGCAACUGUAGAUUGCAGAAUCGACCUCCAACUUACUGGACCUCCAGCAAUAGUGAAUACAAAACCAGUAGUGGACCUACGCUUGUCCAAAUCACCUGCGUAAUCAGAAUCCACAUAUCCAACAACACAUUGACCAAUAACUUUAUCCUGCUGGAACAAUAAACCAACAUCCACAGUACCCAAAAUAUACCGUAGAAUCCAUUUCACAGCUUGCCAAUGCCCUUUUCCUGGAUUAUGCAUAUAUCUACUGACAAUACUAACAGCUUGUGAAAUAUCAGGUCUAGUACACACCAUAGCAUACAUCAAACUACCAACAACAUUUGCAUAAGGAAUUUGAGCCAUGUACUGACUCUCUUCACAGUUUUAGGAGACAUAGAAGCGCUAAGUUUGAAAUGAGAGACAAGAGGUGUACUAACCGGUUUUGAAUUUUCAUUCAUCCUGAAACGUUGUAGUACCUUCUUCAAAUAUUGCUUCUGACACAGACUAAUCUUGCCCUUCGCUCUAUCUCUUUCAAUUUCCAUACCUAGUAUCUUCCGAGCUUCUCCCAAGUCCUUCAUCUCAAAUUCAUUACUUAGUUGAGUCUUCAAUCUUUCAAUCUCCACUUGGCUCUUACAUGCUAUAAGCACAUCAUCAACAUAUAAAAGCAGAUAAAUGAAGGUUCCAUCUUGUAGUUGCGAAAGUAUACACAAUGGUCAUAGUGACUUCUUGUGUACUUUUGCCCGAUCAUAAAUCGAUCAAAUCGCUUGUACCAUUGUCUUGGAGACUGCUUCAAGCCAUACAAUGAUUUUUCCAAUUUGCAAACCCAAUUUUCCUUUCCAGCAACCUUAAAACCUUCUGGCUGAGACAUAUAAAUCUCUUCCUCCAAAUCACCAUGUAAGAACGCAGUCUUGACAUCAAGUUGGGCCAACUCAAGGUCAAACUGCACAACCAAAGCCAACAAAAUACGAAUAGAAGAAUGUUUUACUACAGGAGAAAAUACCUCAUUGUAGUCAAUGCCUUCCUUCUGAGCGUAGCCUUUAGCUACCAAUCUGGCUUUGAAUCUUACAUUGUCUUUUCCCAAAGAUUCCAUCUUUUUGUCAUACACCCAUUUACAACCAAUUGUUCUUCCCCUUUGGUAACUGAACCAGAUUCCAAGUCUCAUUUUUAUGAAGAGAUUUCAUCUCCUCAUCCAUAGAUUUCUUCCACAACUCGCACUCUGAACUCAUGACAGCUUCUUUGUAGGCGGAUGGAAUAUCAUCUUCAAUAACAGGAAGUGCAUAUACCACAAUAUCAGUAAAUCGAGCAGGCUUUCGAAUUUCCCUUCUCGAUCUUCUGGUUGCAAUAUAGUCUUGUUGCUGUGGAGGCUCUUGGGUAAGUACUUCCUCUUCAUCAUCCUCGUCCUCAUCAUCAGAAUUAACUGUAGGACUAGUGGUUGUAACAUCAGACCUUAUUGGAACAACUGGAGUCUUCAGUAACUCCACCUACUUUGAGCUACUCAUGGUCUCGGUCGCUUCAGUUUCACCUUCAUGCUUGUUCUGAUUAACCAUAGCAGCCUCAUCAAAGUCACAUCUCUGCUUACAACAAAUUUCUUCUCAUCUGGACACCAGAGUCGAUAUCCCUUCACGCCAGUGCUAAAGCCCAUAAAUAUAGCUUUCUUUGCUCUUGGAUCCAACUUGCUUUCUCUGACAUAAUAGUAAGCAGAACAGCCAAAUAUGUGUAAAAACUUGUAAUCAGUACAAGGUUUACCAGACCAUACCUCCAUGGGCGUUUUGCCCUCGUUCGCAGCAGCUGGCAAUCUAUUAAUGAGAUGGCUUGCAUAAGUAAUUGCCUCAGCCCAAAAUGCCUUGCCUAAACCAGCAUUAGACAACAUACACCGGACUUUCUCAAGCAAGGUACGGUUCAUGCGCUCCGCCACUCCAUUCUGUUGCGGUGUCUCCUUAACCGUGAAGUGUCUCACAAUACCCUCAUCUUGACAAACUUUCAAGAAAAAAAUCAGACUUAUAUUCACCCCCAUUGUCUGAUCUGAGAGUCUUGAUCUUUCGACCGCUUUGCGUUUCAAUCAUCUUUUUCCACUUCAGGAAUAUCUUCAAAACUUCAUCUUUACGCUUCAUGGUGUACACCCAUAUUCUUCUAAAGAAGUCAUCAACAAAGGAGAAAAAAUAAUGGCUACCUCCCCAAUAUGCAUUCUUGGAAGGUCCCCAAACAUCAGUGUGAACAUAAUCAAGAAUGCCUUUAGUGUGGUGAAUAGCAGUGCCAAAUUUUACUGUAGUUUGCUUACCCAACACAAUGCUCACAGAAUUCCAAUUUGCAUGCCUUUGCACCUUUCAAUAAGCCUUGCUUCACUAAUCCUUGCAACGCUUUUUCACCAGCAUGCCCAAGACGCAUAUGUCAUAACCUCGUGGUGUCUGUGCUAUUUGUGUCAGCAGCUUCGGUGACAGCUGCUCCACCAAUAAAUGUAUUCCCCUGCAAGAAAUACAAGUUAUUUCGUCUUGUACCUUUCAUCACCACCAGUGCCCCGUACACAGCUUUAAGAACUCCACCUUCCAUGGUGAUCUUGAGACCCUUGGAUUCCAAUGCACCCAAUGAGAUGAGAUUUUUCUUCAUAUCCGGUACAUACCGAACAUCACUUAAUUCUCUGACUGUUCUAUCAUGCAUCUUCAAACAGAUUUUGCCUAUCCCUUGUGUUUUGCAGGCAUUAUUAUUACCCAUCAAAACAACUCAACCAUCCAGCUCCUCGAAAUUAGAAAACCAUUCCCGAAUGGGACACAUAUGAUAGGUGCAACCUGAAUCCAAAAUCCACUCAUUUGAGUGACCAUCAGCAUAUGAACUAGCCAAAGCAAACUCAAAAUCAUCAUCAUCUCCAGAUUUUGCAAUAUUUGCUUCAGAACCCGCUUUCUCCUUCUUUUUGUUCUUCAAUUUGGGGCAGUCUUUCUUCCAAUGACCCUUUUGGCGACAAAAAGCACAUUCAUCUUUAGCAGGAAACUUCCCUCGUGACUUUGAACGAAAUUUUCCCCGCUUCCCAGAUUUUCUUUCCUCUGUUCGACCCCUUGCAACAAAUGCCUCGGUUUGUGAAUUGUGAGUCUUCAAUUCCUUCUUACGACACUCAUGAUUCACCAAUGCCGCAGACACCUCAUCAAGUUUCACCUCAGAUUUUCCAUACAACAGAGUAGUUGUCAAAUGAUCAUAAUCAUCAGGCAAUGAAUUUAACAAACAUAAUGCCUUGUCCUCGUCAGGAAUUUUCACAUCAAGGUUUGCUAAAUCAGCAAGUAUUUUAUUAUAAUUAUUGAGGUGUUCGUGCAUAGAGAUACCUGGACGAUACUGAAAUCGGAAGAGUCGCUUCUUCAAGAAGAGACGAUUUUCUGCGCUCUUAGUCAUAUACUUCUCCUCCAAUUUCGUCCAUAACUCCUUAGCAGAAGUUUCCUUCAUAUACGGGUAUUUCAACUCCUUAUCAAGGAACGAUCGAAUAGCAGCACAAGCAUGAAGAUUAAUUCGCGUCCUGCUUAUCAUCAAUAUCUUCUAGUUUAUCUUCCAGAACCAUAUCCAACCCUUGUUGAUACAACACAUCCAUAACUUCACAUUGCCACAUACCAAAAUUAUUAGAGCCAUUGAAUUUAUCAAUCUCUAACCUUGUAGUAGUAGUUGGAUGUCUAUUGGAUGUAGACGAAGACGAUGCUGACCCCUUCUUUACAGAUUCAUCUUUAUCUCCAGCCAUCUACUCGGCACUAUUCACAAAUACGGCAUUGUUCACAGGUACAAUACUGUUCACAGAUACUGUAGCAGUUCACUGUUUACUGAACUGUAGCGCCAACACUAUUCACAGAACUAAGCUCUGGUACCACUUGUUGUGCGGAAGCGGCAUCCAACUGUAAGUGAAAAAGUAAAACAGAAUAGAAUAAAACCAACACCAACAAGAACACCAAGAUUUAUACUGGUUCGGCAAUGCCUACAUCCAGUUUGGAGACAACGGAGUAUUCCACUAUAAUCAAUGAGAACAUACAAUAGUGUUUAUCACUUAAUUUCCCAAAGACCCAAAUAACCCAAGCUCACACACAUUGCAAUAGGAAGGGAGAAAACCAAAAAUACAAAGCAAAACAAUUUGAGAAAAAAUCUUUUCUCUGCCGAAAGGCUUCUUGCUCUUUUUCUUCUUCCUACUUACGGGCUGCACCUUGCUCCCCUUUUAAAGCCAAAGAAAAUGGCUCUUCAAGGACAUCAAUGGCCAAAGGCCUACCAUCAAGUCAAAAAGAGUUAGGCACAAUUGUUGUUUGUCUCCCAUUACCACAAAGUAGCCGAAAUUUUUUAUCUUUGACUACAUUGUUUGAGUCAAUAAUCAACAGAUGGUGGAUGGUAAGAAAGCGAGGGGGAGAAGGAAGAUGGCCGAAGGGGAUUAGGAGAGGCUAGAAUUUUUUUUAAUUUUUUUUUAAUUUUAAAUUUUCUAAAUUUUAAUGUUUUUAGUUUUUAAUAUACACAUGGGCUAUAUUUACAUGUGUCCUCAGUAAUUGUUCACGCAGGAGCCACAUCACCAGUUGACAGUUGAUUUAACAGUAAUCUUAAUGGAUAUAUGUAAGGGGUGUGCUAUCCACACACCUCAUUUUAUUUCUCACACACCUUUGAUAAUUUCUAUCCGUUGAUCUUUUUCAAUUCAUUUAAUCCGACGGUUGAAAAAUAAAAAGGUGUGUGAGAAGUAAAAUGAGGUGUGUGGAUAUCACACCCCUAUAUGUAAUUACGACUUUAUGUACCACUCUGGGAUGAAAAAACUUGUUGUACCAAAUAUUGAAAUCAAGAAUGUUAAGGUAGUAAACUGAAAUUAAUCGUACUUUUUAAUUUACAUGGUGGUAUCUUUUAUCUUAAAAUUUGACAUAUUAAAAAAAAAAAAAAAAAAAAAAAAACCCUUAAAAAAAUCACUAGAAAGUUCAAGGUUUCUCCCGUUUUCUUUAACUUUAACAAUAAAAACUUAAAAACACCAUCGGGUUGUAAUUUUUAAUUAACCAUUUGGAUGAAAAGUCAAAGAUAAGAAAAACAAAUAGAGGAUAUGCAAAUUGGUAAUACAUCUCACUAUAAAUAAAGCCCUGAAUUGCUUAAGAAAAAGGUAUACACAAAAACCAUGACUAGAGUUUCAACUUAUUGUGAUAAACUAUGCUUUCUAGCUUUCCUUAUCUUGUAUCUUCAGCUAGCUUCAUCACAAAAAAGUGUUUUUGCUUCUGCCAAUUCCACUGAAGCAGAAGCACUUCUCAAAUGGAAAGCUAGCUUUCAAAACCAAACCCAAAACGACCUGACCUCAUGGAUGAAUGCAAAUGAAGCCCCAUGCAAUACUUGGAUUGGAGUUUCAUGCAACUCAGCUGGAAGUGUCAACAGAUUAAACCUCACCAAUUCUGGUAUACAAAGUACUCUACUUGAAUUUCCUUUCAUGUCCUUGCCUAAUCUUGCAUAUGUUGAUCUAAGCUACAAUGAACUUUUUGAUCAAAUCCCACCUGAGAUCAGUUCCCUCACCAAACUCAUCUAUUUUGAUGUAUCCUACAAUCAAAUGUCUGGAAAAAUCCCACCUGAAAUCGGUCUUUUAACAAGUAUUCAGGUCCUUCACCUAAAUGCAAAUAAUUUCAACGGCUCAAUUCCUCAAGAAAUAGGCCAACUUAAAUUUGUCUAUGAGCUAGCUCUAAACUUAAACAAUUUAGAGGGUUCAAUUCCAGCUUCUGUGGGUAAUUUGAGCCAAUUGACUUCUUUGUUUCUCUU
rnacentral:lncRNA from 1 species